UUGGUUCGGUUUCGUAGGGGAACUGCUCUGCUCAGUUAUCAUCGUGUGCUUGGUGAGUCGUCGUCGUCGUUGUUCGUCGUCAAGGUUUAAGAAGAAGUUUAAGAAGUGAGAGAUGGAUUGGUUCUGUGUCGCUGAGGGGAUGACAAAAUCUGCCUCCUUUUUUUUGUGCUUUGCUGCUCCAGAUGGAAAAGAUUGUUAUCAUUAUUAAUCCUUGCAGUACCUGCAGUGCACUGUGUUUAUGAUUUGCUCCAUUUUCUUGCAUGAUGGUUUGUGAGGAUUGGUUUGUGAUGUGCAUGGCGAAAUGCUUGUGGCAGUGGUUAGGCCACUGUGUUUAUGAUUUGCUCCAUUUUCUUGCAUGAUGGUUUGUGAGGAUUGGUUUGUGAUGUGCAUGGCGAAAUGCUUGUGGCAGUGGUUAGAUCACAGUCAGUAACAUAAUCCUCUGUUCUUGUGGUACUGGACUGCUGGUUUGCUGCAGCUGAAUUCAUCUGGCUGGAGCUGGAUGUGAGCGAGAGUGAUGAUGCUGUGCCUUUGCAACAACAACAAGAGGUUGUUUUGUUUUGUUGUGUGGUUACAGUGGUGGAGGAAAAAAAGGUCUUCUGCUCGUGUCGUGCGUGCGGUUUAGCUUUUUGCUGCAUCAUGGAAUCUGGGUGACACGGGUGUCAGUUCGGCCAUGGCCGCCUGCCUGGUGUCAUGUUCUCUUCUGUCUUCUGUCUGGGGGCUUUAGCUUUACUCUCUCUCUGAUAGGCUUUUUACCCUGCUUAGUUAAUCGUUUGGCUUGUUGCCCUGCUUGAUCCAUUGCAUUCCACAUUUCCACGGGCGCCAUGACUCUGUUCUUGGCUUAACUUAAUCCAGUUUGAAUCUUAGGACCAAAUAAAGCCCCACUGCCUAUGGCCAUAUGCAUUUGUCAAAUGGUACCCUUGAGAUGCCUCCUUUGGCAGUGCAGAGCACGAGGAUUAACAAGUGCUGUACUGAUCGAGUUCGUUUCAGGAUUAACAUAUUGCUGGAUGCCGGCUUAGAUGUGUGAUUAUUAUACCUUCGUUGGAGCACCCCUGCUUUUGUCGGGUGGCUACUGGUUGUAGUGGGCGUUCGAUCCGCACUUGAAAAUUGAAGUGGUCUGAUGCCUAUCCAUCCUCUAUGCACAAUGGAUGGUUGAUAAUUGUGCUAAGCCCAUGUCUACGAACCACCGAGUUUAUUCGCAGCUCAUUGUAUCAUGUUGAAUUGAAUGAAUGUCACAUAAGAUUCUUUGUUUUUUUGACAUAUCAAGGAUAGAAUGAGGACUUCAUUCUUCUGCAUUCGUCCGUAUUUUUACAUAAGAUUCUUCUUUGAACCACCGAGUUUUCUUGCACUGCCCAACACUACGUCCUUGUUAGGAUAUCAUUUUUCUUGCACUGUAGGAGGGUGAAAUGUAGUGUCAUCACCAAUCGGUGGUAGAGUUAUUUCCUCACUUUGGCUCUGUUCGCUUCAGCUUAUAAGCCGUCUGAAAAGCUGAAACGGCUGAUUUGUUGUGAGAGGAAAACACUGUUUGGUGGCUGAUAAGGAAAAGCUGAAAUGGCUGAUUUGUUGUGAGACGAAAACACUGUUUGGUGGCUGAUAAGUUGGCUGAAUAAGCUGAAGCGAACAAGCCCUACACGCACGUAGCAUAGCAUUACGUUCCCACUGCUCCGGUACACUUGCAACGCCCCCAAGUGUUUUCCUUCAACUAUACGAUAUUUUCCGUGACGCUAUCAAAGCGGCACCACGAAGGAGGCCGUUGGGGGUUAUGGUUUCAGGGUUAGGUUAGUAGAGUUGUGGAGGGCAUCCUACUUUCUUCCGAAGCAGAAACUACAACCGCGAUAUUUUUAGAUGUCCAUAUUCUGUAUGGGUGUUGCAUUACGUUUCCACUAUUCCAACGCACUCGGUGACAUCUCGAAUUAUUCCUUUCUAGCAUACAAUUCGUCGUGGUGCUGUCCUAAAGUGUUUCCCUCUGGGUGCACAAUUUUGCCGUGCUGUUACCUUGAAGCGUCAGCGCACAAUUUGUCAUGACGAUGUCGAAGCGCCACUACGGGGAAAGAGGAUGCAGGGGUUAGGAUCUUAGGAUCAAAUUACCGAUGUCGAUGAGGUAAAAGGGACGGUAAUAGAGACAUAGGUUUUGGAGUGAGCUAGGUUAGGCCCCGUUGGAUGCAAAAUCAGAUUCUAAGAAUCUGGAUUCUGAGAAUCCAUAAUCUGGCUUCAUAAAAUUCGAGGUAAAAUCUGUCCCGUUUGGAAACCGGCCAAAUUUUGGAUUUUGGAUUCUCAAAAUAUCUGGUCAUCCAAACGGGGUCCUAGUGUGGUCGUAGAUUUUAGGGUAAUUUGGAUAUUACUGUAGCUGAUAAGAGAAAUGAAUAUAUUGAUUAAAUCCGGAUGGAGGGAGGAGUAAUUGGUAAAGGCGGGUUGGUCAGCAGCCUUGCUUGCUAUAAAUGGUGGGUGGUGUGUGGCCGCGGCUGAAGCGUGGCCGUACCCUUUCCCCCUGGCGGGCAAGCAAGCCGUCGGCGCCGAGGCCUGCAGCUGCAGCAGGAGGAGGGGGAGGAGACUGGACCGGAGGGCCGCGUGUCAGGCGGGUCAUGUGCCGCUACCUGAGCCCAACUGCACCGCCGGCUGGUGGCGACACUCGUGCGUCCCGUGGGCCGUCGACUCCUCCGUCCUUCCCUCCCGCGACCUGGCGACGCUGUCCCCCCCCCCCCCCUGCCUCUCUCUCUCUCUGCUGCCUCCGUCGACGCGACGGGCCGGCCGAUCCUAUCCGCUGCCUCUCUGCGCGCCCGUGCUCUUCCUUCCAGAUGUGGGAAAGACAAGGAGAGGGAGGGAGGGAGAGCCUGUACGCGCCAGUAGCCAACGCUCGGCUUUGUUUGACCACUCACUCCCCCGGACACCGGUCACCCAGUGCUCCAACAGUAGCUAGCAAUUAGCAGCACAAGUAAUGGCUGCUUCCUUGUGCUAGCAAUGGGGGUGGCGUCGGUUGCCAAGUGGAUGAUGGACAUGAUUCCUCUACUCAGCUGCAAGAAAAAAGAAAAAGAAAAGUGCACGCAGGGAAAUAUGCUCACCUCGCCUUUUCUUUUCUUUUCUUUUCGUUUCUUUUCAACAACCAGCGCAUCGCAUUCGCAGCUAGCCAGGGGGAGAGAGAUGCACGCGCAUCGAUAUGUCUGGAUGGAUGAUGAAUCUGUGCCCGAUCGAUCGGCGGGCAGGAUUAUAUUCCUCCCAUCCCACACCCUACCAAUUGGUCGAGCUGCCAGAGGGGCCCACAUGUCAGUCACGCACCUACCUGCCGCAGCUGGGUCUCGUCCGACCAUGGUCGUGGGCCACGUACGGCCGGCCCGCCCGCCUUCUCGUCUCGACUGGGCCCCCAACAACGCCCCAACCUCCUCCUCCCUCCUAUCCUCCAAUCCACCACCGUGCUCUCUUCUCAUCUUUCUCCCUCGCUAUCCCCCAAUCCUCGUCGUCAGAGAUGGCGGCGACCACGCUGCUGGCGGGCUCGCCGUGGCUGCGCCUGCGCCUCCGCGCGGACGCGCCCGCGCGCCCCUUCGCCCGCCACAUCCACCUCGGCCGGGCCCUCUCCGCCCGCGCCCGCGUCCGCGCCUCCUCCGCCGCCGCCGACGCUGAGCCCGCCGGCCCCGUCCGCGUCCGCUUCGCGCCUUCGCCCACGGGCAACCUCCACGUCGGCGGCGCCCGCACCGCGCUCUUCAACUACCUCUUCGCGCGCUCCAAGGGCGGACGGUUCGUGCUCCGCGUCGAGGACACCGACCUCGAGCGAUCCACCAGGAAGUCCGAGGAGGCCGUACUCGCCGACCUCGCGUGGCUCGGACUCCAGUGGGACGAAGGUCGACCUCUCUCUCUUCCACCGCGUAUUUCACGGUCCCGGAUCGCUUGUCAUCUUGUUGUUCGGGAGCCUUAGCUUCAUGUGGUUGACGCAUUUCGACCUCGUUCGUAGUCCUGCAAUUGGAGCACUGUCCUUGACUUGAUUACUGCAUCGUAGGUUUAGUUCUGCGCCUGGUGCCGCGAUUCUUAAUGCUGUUAUCAUAACGCCUUCUGCUAGUCACAUCUACUGUGGUGGGUCUAGGAGUCAACCUAAGUCGAAUUCUGUAGGUGCAGAGGGUCAACUUGUUUGGUGAAUUGGUCUCUGCUCGGUGACUCAGAUGCUUUAAGAAACAUUGGUUGCUAAGCAUAUGAUCCAACGUUAGAGAUGUUAAUUCUUUUUUUUGUAAAGCAAUGCUACGCGCACAACGGUAGAGGAAAUGACUUGGCGUAUAUGGUUAGGUCCGGAUGUUGGCGGGGAGUUUGGGCCUUAUCGCCAAUCAGAGCGGAAUUCGCUGUACAAGCAGUAUGCUGAGAAGCUUUUGGACUCUGGUGCGGUUUACCGCUGCUUUUGCUCCAAUGAGGUAUCAUUCUCUUCUUGCAUGACUUGCAUGAUACAUGUCUUAUUAAGCGCUGAUGAUUUCUAUGAUCUCCCUUCCAUGUGCUGUUCGCUCUAUUUGUGAACAAUGAACUUAGUUCUUCUAAAAGAUUUUUGCAAAGCAUUUCAUCCAUUAUGUUCUAGAGAAAGUUCUUAGCGAUCAACUUUAUCAUGAUUCAAACUGGAAUAACUAAACUUGAAGUCAUUGACAUGACUUGCAGUAGUUUCUACUACUCAUAUGUUGUCUGGUUUCAUAAUCGUUAUCAUUACUUCAGGAACUUGAGCAAAUGAAGGAAGUCGCGAAGCAGAGGCAGCUUCCUCCUGUAUACAUGGGCAAGUGGGCAACUGCUUCAGACGUCGAAGUGGAGCAGGAGCUAGAGAAGGGGACACCUUACACUUAUCGGUUCCGUGUGCCAAAGGAAGGGUCAUUGAAAAUUAAUGACCUUAUUCGUGGAGAGGUAAUACUGAAAAUUCCAGAACAUAAGCUUUGGCAGUACCAUGCUAUUGUACUACCUUUAAGGUUGCAUUGAUGAUAAUUGCAUAUUGUUAAAACUCAAAAGUGAUAUACAUGAACUGAUCAACGGAUAGUUUCAUAAAGGUCAGUUGGAACUUAGACACGCUGGGUGAUUUUGUGAUUAUGAGAAGCAAUGGACAACCUGUGUAUAACUUCUGUGUGACGGUUGACGAUGCUACCAUGCAAAUCUCUCAUGUUAUCAGGUAGUAAGGACUAAGGAAAAGCAAUCUUGUUUCAGUCUUUCUUUUGAACGGUCUAGCAGACUAGCACCCUUGUGAUGACUACCAUGUUUUCUUACAGAGCUGAAGAGCAUUUACCAAACACACUGCGGCAAGCUCUGAUUUAUAAAGUAAUUUCCUCUACCUGCUUUUAUCUUGUAUACCAUGAUCUGUAGUAUUGACCCUUUAAAAGCAAUCUCAACAUAAUAUGCCGUUAUGAUCUGCUACAGGCUCUUGGAUUUCCAAUGCCUUCAUUUGCCCAUGUGUCACUUAUUCUCGCUCCUGACAAAAGCAAACUGUCAAAACGUCAUGGAGCUACAUCUGUGGGGCAGGUAACUAACUGAUCAUUUACAAGGCCACUUGUUUAUCUGCAUCAGAUUAUUUGAUUGCGGCAAUGCUCUUAGUGCUCUUCUCUAUUCAUUUGUCUUUAUUGUUGCUGGUUGUAAUUAUUUUCAAAUCUCACAUGUUUCCUAACGUCAUCUCCUUUUAAAUGGUAUAUAAUGAAACACAAAGCUUCUUUUUCUUUGGACAGUAUAAAGAGAUGGGCUAUCUACCUCAGGCAAUGGUAAAUUAUUUAGCACUAUUGGGCUGGGGUGAUGGUACUGAAAAUGAGUUCUUCACUAUUGAUGAUCUAGGUUAGUUCUCAAUAAUUCAUUCUAUCAGUUUUACUCCCCCCCCCCCCCCCCCCCCCCCCCAAAUGGUCAACGAUCACUUGUUUAGUAAUUCAUUCUUAUUAUUUUGGUGCUGUUUUUCAUUUGCAGUUGAAAAAUUCACUAUCAAUCGUGUCAAUAAAAGUGGAGCAGUAUUUGAUGCAACAAAAUUAAAGUAAGCCUAUUUUCCAGUUUCUCUUUGUUAGAGAUUUUGGGGCUGCUUGGUUGCCCGCCUCCGAUUGCCACACCGCACUUUGCGGCUGCCACAAAAAGCUAGGCCAGCACUUGGAUUCUGACAAAGCUGCGGCACGCCACAGCAUUUUAGUUGAUUUGCGGUACAAAUUUUCGCUACAGCUGCGGUGCCGUUUUUGUCCGCCAAAGCUUCAGCACGCCGCAGUUACGGCGUGGCAGACUAUGGCUGGGAAGCAAGCAGCCCCUUUGCAACAGAACUGUCAGGAUGCUAGAAUUGCUUGAUAUAUUCAGUGACACUGAUUUAACCUAGGGGUUUGCUGCCCCUUAAUCUUUGGUAACUUCAAGUCAUAUAAUCAGGUUUUGGUUAUAUGAGAACUAUAAUUAUGAGUUAUGAUGAACUUGCUCGGAGGCUAUUUCAUGGAGUCCUAAAUAAGCUGCCUGAGAGUACCUAUGUCAAAUGAGCUGAACUGGACAGUUGAGCUAAAAAGCCGCUAAAUUCUAGAGUCACUUUCAAGAUAUUGAACCACUUGAUUCAUAAGCUGUCUAAAUAGUAUGAGCUAAAAGAGAUACGCUCAAUGCACGUUUUGUUGUCUGCUCUCUGUUGUGUGUUGAAGCGCAUUAAACUAUAUGCUAAUAUUGACACAUAGCAUUCACUUAUUGCCACAUUUUUUAUACUCUCUUGGCCUGUUCAGUAUUCCCUUUAAAAGGUGCGAUCUCUGUGUGCUUCACCAUUAUAUUUUGAUACUGAACUUCUGUACUUUUCUAGAUGGAUGAAUGGACAGCAUUUAAGAUCAUUUCCACCAGAUGAACUCAUCAAGGCUUUAGAAGAUCGGUGGAAGAAAACAUGCAUUCUCCAAGAAUCUGAAAGUGGUUUUGCUAAGGUAAAAUUCUCUCUCCCGUGCACCUGGGGUGCCUCUAUAUUGGAAGUACAUGUUAAAGGGUUAUAUAUGCCAAAGCAUCCAACACACUAUUUGGUUCCAGUAGCAGUUCUUUUUGACAAUUACUAUGGUAAGCAUAAUAAAGCUACCAAGAAGAGAGUAAUUAGGAUUAUAUGCUAUCUGAAAAGUUACUUCUUAGGAAAACACUAAUUUUGCUAUACACAACUGUACUCAGGAAGCUGCCGAGCUUUUGAAGGAUGGUAUUGAUCUGAUAACAGAGGCUGAUGCAGCUCUUACAAAUUUGUUGUCAUAUCCCCUUCAUGCUACUUUAAGCAGGUUCGUAAAAACAAUAUACUGGAUUAAUUUUAUUGGCUUGUGGUUCCUGUUUUAUUCCCUACAGCUUCCUUGCACAUGGUUGGCAAUGUGGUCAUCUUGAUAAAUUCCGAUGAUUAAGUUGUUUGUUGUGCUUGGCCAGCUUCACUAAAUGAACUACUCGUGUUUGUAUUCUCCAGUGAUGAAGCUAAACCUGUGGUGCAAGACAAGAUUUCCGAGGUUGCUUCGGGUCUUAUUUCUGCAUACGAUAGCGGUGAACUCACUCAAGCACUAGCUGAAGGCCGUGAUGGUUGGCAAAAGUGGGUGAAAGGUUUUGGCAAAUCUCUAAAAAGAAAGGUCCGUUGUGACUCUGUAACUUCCUUUUUUCUUCUGUUGUGCUUUUGACUUUGUUACCACUGGAUCGGUGACUUCUUCUGCAAGUGACCUGUCUCACCUGAACAAUGAUGUCAGGAAUCAUGAAAUUGCAGCAGAAUCAUUUGAUGCAAACCUUUACAGAGAGUUCUAACAAGCUUUUAGCAGCAAACUUAUUAGUAGCAAACAUUUGACACGCUGUAUCUUUUUCUUGCAUCCAUCUGUGACCAGGGCAAAGGGCUCUUUAUGCCGCUCCGAGUACUGUUGACCGGGAAGCUUCAUGGGCCUGAUAUGGGUGGCAGCAUCGCCCUUAUACACAAAGCUGGCAUCUGUGGAGCGGUGACUCAGUCGAAUUUUGUAACUCUAGAUGAGCGGUUCAGGAUUCUCAAGGAGGUUGACUGGGAAUCGCUGGUGAAGGAGCAUGAGUCCCCUGCUGAAUCAGCUGUCCCCGCUGCUUCAUAGAAGAUAGAUCGUGCUUGUAGGUGAUUGUAUCAGUCAGUGGUGAGUUUUGUUACGGGCAAUGUUGAGCCUGAGGAGUUUUGCCCAUUUUUCCUGUAUUUUGGCUGACUGGAGCUCCACCCAGUGGCAGUUCAGUGGUUAAUAAUGCGGAAUUUUGAUCUUAGGUUGAUUCUGUAAUGGACAAUGUUGAAUGAUUAGGUGAGACGAGGAUCUUGUUUUCUAGAUCUUCAUAAGGGCCGCCCUUUUUUGGCGUGCUGUUCCUAAACAUGGUAUGAGAAUUAGUCUGGGCCACGAAGGAUUGAAUUACUGUGUUCAUCGCAAGAGCUGAACCUUGUUUCUCUCAUCUCGGUGUGGCAUGCUUAUGAAACCAACCUUUUCAAUUACCAUCAGCUGGCCAAAAUGUUAAACUCUGUGUGUGUGUGUGUGGGGGGGGGGGGGGGGGGGGGGGGGCGGGUGGGGCGGCCGCUCGCACCACCGGCAAAACGCUCACGGGGAGGGCGCAGCCGGUUGUUUUGAAUCCCAAAAUGCAUGAAAUUUGUCUGCCCCAUCCACCUAUCUUUUAAUCUAACUGUCCACCUUCUACAUCCUCCUGAUCCCUUUCUUUCUUCCACUUUACAUAUAACACCAUUCUAUUGCGCGUGUUCACGUCACUUCAUUUUAGUUGGUCAUAUUUUCACACCCUAGUAUCCUACCGACUAAUCAUCUCUACCCCACCCACAAUAAUCAUCACCGCCGAGUCAAUCUUCCUUCCGCCAAUCUCUACUACCUAUACACUCACCAUUUUUACUAUGGAACCGGUCUAUCUUACGUUAAUCCUUGCAUGGUUUAUGCACCCACCAGCCACCUCUAUCGUCGAGCUGAUUUUCCUUCCGAUUAUCUCUCUCUAUGUCAUCGUGUCACCAAGGGAGGCUCGAAUCUUGCUGGAAUAUAAGGAUCUCUAUGUCAUCGUCUCAUCGAGGGAGGUCGGAUCUUCCAAUAUCCAUGUCAUCGUCUCAUCGAAGGAGGCUCGGAUCUUAUCAGGAUAUAAGAAAACAAAGAAUAGAGAGAAGAAAGAAAACUUAUUAUUGACGAGAAAGAAAACACAUGAUAUCAUUAGAUUUCAUUUUUUUUCUUGAUUACUUCUCGUUACAGAUAGAUAGACCUUAAACCCUCGUAGACCCUUGUUAUUGUGGUGCUUGGAGAAGCGUGCCACGCUACACAAUUUGUGCCCCCUCUUUCCGCAGGCAACUUUUUGCGCUCUCGCCUAUUCUUCCCCAGCGAAAACCUCGCCGCCGCCGCCGCCGCCGCCGCCGCCUCGUCCCCCGCAGCGUCGGGGCCCUAAACCCUAGGCAUGGCGUCCUCCAUACUCUCCGACUGCUCCUCCGCCCGCCUCCUCCCUCUCCGCCGCGCGCUCCUCCCGCAGCGGGUGCCCCGCAUCCGCCCCUGCCCGGCUCUAGCUUCCUCCAGGCGCCUCUUCGCCGCCGCCCGACCGCAGCUGCUCCCGCGCCCGCCCCGCAUGGAUUCGGUGCCCGCCGCCGCCGCCUCCUCCGCUGAGUCAGGUGCGCAUCCUCAGGCAUGCUAACUUCAGAUGAUGUUUCCACCCCCGUACACUUGAUACGCUAGUGUGUAUUGUCUUCUGUCGAAUUUUGGGCAAGGAUUGUGACGUGGGGGAAGGUGAAAAGCCUUUAGAUAGAUUCUGCUAGUGUGGAGAAAUUUAGGUGAUGCUAAAAAUGAAACCGAGAAUUUCCCUGGAAGGAAUGGCUAUUUAUCAGUUUAGAUGUAGCAAUAAGUGAAACGUCGAAACGAUCAAUAUUGUUCUGGCAUGUGUAAGAUUUAAAUAUUUAUUUAAAUCUUACACUACUUUGUGUCACCCUGACUAUAUUUUUUUUUGUUAUCUUCACGUGUAGCAACCGUCGCAGCUGAUGCAUCUGCCAAAGUGAUUGAUGGGAAGCUAGUGGCGAAGCAAGUGAGAGAAGAAAUAGCUGUUGAGGUCACCAAGAUGAAGGAUGUGAUCGGCAUAGUGCCUGGCCUGGCAGUCAUUCUUGUUGGAUCAAGGAAGGAUUCACAAACUUAUGUGCGGAACAAGAAGAAAGCGUGUGAAGCGGUUGGUAUAAAGUCGUAUGAGGUCAACUUGCCAGAGGACAGUUCCGAGGAGGAGGUUAUCCAGCACAUAGCAAGCUUUAAUAGUGACCCAUCUGUGCAUGGCAUCUUGGUUCAGCUGCCGUUACCUCGGGUGAGUUUGCGAUUGUGGUUACUCUAUUGGCUACUGUAGCUAUAUAACCAACAAAAUAGGAGUCAAGAACUGCAUUUUGCCUCCUAACAACUGCCACCUGGAAUAUUCACGUUUUAUUUUAUUUUGCUUGUUAAUGAUUGUCUACCUGGACAGUAUAUGGCAUAAGAGGGUAAUAUGUUUUAUGCGUACUAUCCGGUUAAAUCUUCUUGAAUGGUAGAGUUUUGCAACAGAGUCCAAAUGUUUCCAUGUCUUGUCUUGGAAGUGUUAAAAUCAGCCCUCUGGUUAAUUGAUUGAACGGCAGAGUUUAACAAUAGAGCCCCAAAUGUUUCCAACUUUCCAUUCACUGAUGUCCUUGAAGUGUUAAAAGUAGUCCUCUGGUUAAUUUUGAAAAAAUAAACUUAGGAUGGUACACUGUCUAAUGAGUCGUGUAUUAUGUGGUGUUGCAAGUAAGUUGUCUUCAUUCUUAGCAGUAUCGUACUCUGUGCAGAAGCUUUAACUUUAUUUGCAUGCUACUAGAUACUACAUUAGUUGCAGUAGCAAAUGUGAGAACAUUUUUCAAGUGCUUUUAGUAUCAAGGAGUACAUGGCUUUCAUCAACCAGUGACAUUUCUGUUGUGAAAUUAUUUGCAGCAUAUGAACGAUGAGAACGUUUUGAAUGCUGUCAGUAUUGAAAAGGAUGUUGAUGGCUUUCAUCCCCUGAACAUUGGACGACUUGCGAUGCAAGGUCGAGAUCCAUUCUUUGUUCCUUGCACCCCAAAAGGAUGCAUGGAGUUGCUGCACAGAUAUGGAGUUGAAAUAAAAGGGAAGAGAGCUGUCGUAAUCGGAAGAAGCAAUAUUGUUGGGAUGCCUGCUGCAUUGUUGUUGCAAGUAUGAACUGAUUCUUCUUUAUUUCUAAUAGUUGGAGCAAUUUUAUUGUGGUGUUCAAUUAAUCCAUCUUUAUAUGUUUAUCAGAAAGCAAAUGCAACUGUCAGCAUUGUGCAUUCACAAACUAAGAACCCUGAGGAAAUAACAAGACAGGCGGAUAUAAUCAUCGCAGCUGUUGGAGUUGCGAACUUGGUCAGAGGGAAUUGGAUAAAAUCUGGAGCAGCUAUUAUUGAUGUUGGCAUCAACCCAGUUGAUGUAAGACACCCUUUUCAUAAAUUACUAGUAGCAUAUUGCUAUUUUAUGUUAUUUCUAUCGUUUUCUUGUUUGUGUCACUCCUUUUGGGUUUCAUCUCUAGUUUACCCCUGCGCUUGGGGGACUUGAAGGCUUUACUGUUGUUCUGAAUACCUUUACCUUUUUUUUUCUGUCUGUUCAUUUGAUGUUCAAGAAAUCUAGUGGCUUUAACGGGAUGCAUAUUUCUAAAUGGGAGCAGAAGACUGUAUCAACUACAAAUUCCAGAUACUAGAUUUUAUGUGAUCUACAUGACCUGCUGAUGUACCUGUGAUUUUGUUUUAGUUUCUUUGUUUUUCCUGGGCACCUUUGUUAUUACAUCUGGUUCAGAUAUGCAGAACUUUUACAUUUUGGGAUUUGGUGGUGGGGUGGGGUGGGGGUUCCACUGUCUUCCUGUCAUCGAUCAAAUCUAGAAAGGGCCUACUUAUUCUUGUGGUCCCCCAUUCAGAAUUCAUUUAUUAAUACUUAAAUUGGCUUCUUAAAUUUAUGAGCCCCAUGUUAGAGUGUUCCAGGUUAUAUUUCUUCACAUUGUAUUAUAUGCAUGUGCAGCAUGUGAUGAUCAAUCAAUUAAUACUCUUUAUAUUGAUUUGUCCUAUCCAUGAGCCAUCUUUCAGUGGCUAUUGCCUCUUUUCCAAGCCCUUUGCGGCUUCAUAUUGCUUUUCUUGCUUGAUAUGUUUACUAAUGAUUUACUGAUUGGGAAUGCUGCAGGACCCAGAAAGCCCUCGGGGUUAUAGGCUCGUCGGAGAUGUCUGUUACGAGGAGGCCUCCAAGGUUGCUGGAGCGAUCACACCGGUUCCUGGUGGUGUUGGGCCGAUGACCAUUGCAAUGCUUUUGUCAAACACACUUGAGUCAGCUAAAAGAAUCCACAAUUUUAAAUAACUGCAGAAUCCAACAGAAAGAAGUUUGGAUGGGUGCCUAACGUUUGAUGUAGACUACAAGCAAAGGGUUUGCUCAACUGUUUUCUGUGUCUUCUGUUGGACCAGAAAAGUGCAACAGGAGCCCUAAAAAAAUAAAUUUUGACACAGAUGAGAUAUGUAUCCCGGCUUGAUACAGUAUUGUAUUUGAUAAUGUGCCAUGGAACCAUACCUUUGGCACCAGUAGAAUCAGGUGAAUCUGAGAUGUCAGUAAGUCGAGGUGUCAGUAAGCUGGGAUGAAUGUUGCUGCAUGCAUCAGACCAAAUCAGCAAAAUUUGUUUCCAUGUCUUGACUGUGACUGGUGGGUGCCAUUGUCGAUGUGGGAUAAUGCUGACAAGCGCUCCAAUCUAAUCUGUCCAGUUGGAUCCUGUAUUUUAUUAGCUGUCUGCACCCAUUUUUUUAUGUGUGGUACACUGCACUGCACACACAUGAUGGUGUAUUUGGUUCUUCCCAACUGCUCCCUUCUCACAGCUGGAUGGGGUUUGCUGUUUGUUUAUGAGAAUUGUUUGUCAGCCUGUUCGCUUCAGCUUAUCAGCCAUCGAACAGUGUUUUUCUCUCAUAACAAAUUAGCCGUUUCAGCUUUUCAGCCGGCUUAUAAGUCCAGCCGAACAGAUCGUGUCAUGUGAAUUACUAGUACUACAAUUUUGAAUCAAAUGGAAUGUACGAUUUAGACCGUGUCAUGUGAAUUACUAGUACUACAAUUUUGAAUCAAAUGGAAUGUACGAUUUGUGUGGCGUAGCUCUUGGUCUAUUCAUUAAGGCACCAGCCAAAUACGCGCUAUUUUUAUCUUGUAUAUGCAUCAUGAUUUCAAAGUUUUAAACUAAGCAUUAUCCGUAAUCUUAGUUCAUACAUCAUAGCAGAUGGAUGUCCAGCGCUGGAAUCUUCUUCUGUGGCAACAAACAAAUCUUCUGGACAUUCUCGAUGGUGUUACCUGCUGGUUGUUGGAUACAGUACGUAUACGUAGUACUCCCUCCGUUCCAAAUUGCAGAUCGUUUUAAUUUUUUUAGUUCAUAUAUAUUAUUAUGCACUAGACGUACACUAUAUCUAGAUGCGUGAACCUAAAAACUAAAACGACAUACAAUUUGAAACGGGGAGAGGAGCAUCUUUUAUGCUGCAGAAACGUUUACCUAAACGCAGUGGCAGUUGAGUCGUUCCCUGGAAGAAGAAGCAAGAAUGCCUAGCGCCUAGGUGACCCCAAAUGAAAGGCACAAUAAAAUAAAUUGUGUGUAUUGUGUGGGCAGUUGGUAGGUGACCCUAAAUGAAAGGCACAAUAAAAUAAAUUAUAUGUAUUGUGUGGGCAGUUGGUAGACACAUAUAAAAGGAAAAGAUUGGGAUGAUUAGGGAAAAGACAUCAUCAAGAGGAGGAGACAGUAGGGCAGUUGGAGAAUGCCCUUAAGUAGCAUUUGGGAAAUGGCUGUGGCUUAAUGGCUUUCGUUGCUGAAUAUACGUCAUCUGGAAGCAUGCAUUCUAGCCUAUCGUGCCUAGGUAUCAAUAUCGUAAUGUUUCCACUUCUUUUAGAUGAAAAAUCUCAAGCGAACGGCGCGCAUUGAACUCAGAAAAUAAUUGCCAUCCAGAAUCUCCAAUGGCGAGUGAGAUCUUUUUGGAAAGAAGGAAAAGAAAAGAAAAGGAAAACUCACCUUCCUACGUAACACUAUCAUGCGUAUAAGCUCUUCUACAAAUUUUAAAUGGGAGAUAUGAGGAUGUGAUGUGUAUCCUAUAUCACGCCUUGUUAUUUUAAUCUUGCUCCCACAUCUAAUAUGAACUGUAUAUGAUACGGACGCUCGAAUAAUACAUUGUUAUCUCUAUCCCGACAUUUUUCUCGCUAUAUUCAACCAAACUUGUCGUCGAAUUUACUUCCACUCUCAGCGUGCUAAUUUGCUUAUCCGUGGACGCGUAUUUGCACCGAUCAUCCCCUCUCACACGGAUGGAUAGUGCCCUAUUGUUUCGCCUCCAUGUCUACUAUCCUCCUCCAUUGUCCAAACUAGAACAAGGGGACACAAGGCCCCCUAUCUCUUGGAGCUUUUCGAGGAGAAGGUAGAGGUAGAAAAAAAAAUUCUUAUAUUUGCAACAAUUAUGUACAACAUUUCUUCUUCAUCACCAUCUGUGAUGAGAUCUUGAAAUUGAAAGAUGAGAGUUGAAAAUGAAAGAUGAGAGAUGAGAAAGAGAGAACGAACAUAAAGCUGAUAAGAAAUAUCCAAAUAAGUUUAGAACUAUCUCAUGUGCACCAUAUACUAAUAUACCACGUUCUUUCCGCACGAGAACGAGUCCUCUGAAACUAACAUCAAGAGUUCGAGACACUCACGACCAAGCGUUGCCACGACAUUCUUUACUUAACUACUUCUAAUUGACUAAUAAUUUCGAUUAAUUCGUGCAAUAAUAAUAACAGAGCAUAGGAGGUGCGAGGUGUGGCCGCGUAAGGGCAGUAAUAAUACCCCGGGGGCAGGGGCAGGGCAGCAGGGAGGGGGGCAAUAAAGAAGGAAAUGAUGCGCGCGCACACCGUGGCCACCCCCUCUCUCUCCUCUCUCUCUCUCUCUCUCCUCAAGCCCUCCACCACCACCACCCACCGUUCCGGCGCGGAGACCGCUUCCCUUCCCCCACCCCCGCAACCCUCUCCUCCCCCGCCCGCCUCCUCCGCGCUUCCCUCCAUUUGUCCGCGCCCCGCUCCCUCCCGAUCUUAACCACCCGCCGCGCGCUCCCGCCACCCGGCUUCCUCUGGUCCGCCCUCCUUCCCCCCCCUCCCUCACCACCAAAACGCUCGGCUGCCCCCAACUUUCCAUCUCUCUUCUUCUUGUUCCCCCCAGAGGACGCGGAGGAGGAGGAGGAGGAAGAAGAAGCAGGAGGCCUGCCUCUCCCCCCCUGCACCGGUAGCAAGAGGAGGAGGGAGGGCGGAAGAGGAUGAGCGCGUCCAGGUUCAUAAAGUGCGUCACGGUCGGGGACGGCGCCGUCGGCAAGACCUGCAUGCUCAUCUCCUACACCUCCAACACCUUCCCCACCGUACGCCCACUUCCCCCUUCCCUCUCCUUUUUUUUUUCACUCAUUAUCUGCAAAGAUUUCCUUGUCCCUUUUUUUCUGCCGGGAUUUUGGUCUCGAUUGGGAAAAAAUGUGGAAUUCCGGCCGCAUUCUUGAUCUGGGUGCUGGAUUUGUGGGACAAAUCGGGGGAAAUCAAACGCCGUUGUGGCUGAUUUGCCCCGCGCCUGCUAAUUUGUCCCUAGUUACGACAAUGCGGCUGCGAAUUGCUGCAAUCUUUUCAUGGUUAGGGUUGGGUCGCGUACCACAGCAGCUGCCCGUUCGUCACAGAGAAAGGGGAUCUUUUCUGCGCUAUUCCCAAAUCAGACCCGAAUCGGCGCCUUUAGCACGCUAGGGUUGGGGGGAAUCGCCCCCGGCGAGUCUCAAAUUUGAAAUUUGUUUACAAAUUACUUCAUUUAUAGGAGUUGCUAAAAAAUUGGGGGAAAUGUAGAUUCCCUCGCCAAUCUCCGCCCCCACCUCUUGAUCCGUUUCGACCAGACCAGGAUCGCUUUCCCGACUUUUUAGUUACCCUGCCUGCCUGUACCCUCCUCCGCCACCCACGCCUUCCGUGUGGUUGGUGAAAUGGAUUGCCAUUGUCUCACUUCACGCAAUUCCACACUGGUUGUUGCAACAAAAGCAUCGCUAGCUUUUCACGCAUGCUUCCUUUUCCUACAGUAAAUAUAGUAUUCCUCUUUACGAAAGUUUUUUUUGACCAUGUAGUAGCAUAUCCAUAGCACUGGAGAUUUUUUUCGAGAGAAGAUGCGAUUUUGAUUUUCACGCGCGCUUUGUGGUAGAUUAGCUUGGAGCCCUGAGUAAGUGUGACCACGGACUAGUAUAUCCGCAGGACCACGGUGGACCGCCCUCCAUGCUCGUGGAGGGUCUAAUGACAAACUUUUCUAGUUGCUUUUCGUUUAAUGCGGGGAUGCUUUGUGCCUUCAUUCCCUCUUGUUCUCUUCCAUGGGCUUGUGCCCAUUUUUCAGCUUAUGAUUUAGUUGUGCAUUUAGUGAUAUGUUAUGUGUGUACUUACUGUUGUCACCAUUGCUUUGCCAGGACUAUGUUCCGACGGUGUUUGACAACUUCAGUGCGAACGUUGUGGUUGAUGGUAACACUGUCAACCUCGGGCUAUGGGAUACUGCAGGUGACUAGCUAUCUGUCUUGUUUUGCUACUUAUGGCGCUCCCCCCCCCCCCCCCCCCCUGAUUCAAGGUGGUUAAACUUCGUCUUGGGAACUACAACAGGUCAAGAGGAUUACAACAGACUGAGACCACUGAGCUAUCGUGGAGCUGAUGUUUUCCUUCUGGCCUUCUCACUGAUCAGUAAGGCUAGUUAUGAGAAUGUUUCAAAGAAGGCAAGACACUGAUUCUUAUUUUCUCUAUUUCUUUUUGUUUGAGCUACCUGUUACUUUAUGCCGUUUUCUAUGGACAUCGUUGUUUUUAGAUCAUUUAUGUGAUAGUCUUCAUUUAGCUGAUUUGUGAUAACCUCCAUUGCUCUGAUUUGUCCAUCACAUUCUGAGUGAUUGUUUUUUUCAGUAAAGAAAUUCUACUAUAUUGUCUGGAAACACAUUUCCAAAAUCAAUUUCUGGAUAGGAUUUAAUACAGAGAUGGUUUCCAAACUUAAAUAUCUUGACUUCUUGUCUACUGACUCCAAACCCUUUCCAUUUUUCAGUGGAUACCUGAACUGAAGCAUUAUGCACCCGGUGUGCCAAUAAUUCUCGUGGGGACAAAGCUUGGUAAGAAUGAUGCAGUCCUAAACUUUGAGAAAUCCAUCCUUCUGUGCUUGUAAGGUUCAUUAUGUUAAUUUUUGAGGGAAGAAGUUGUUGGUGGUUGUUAUUUUGAUAACAAUAAAAUUGCAUGAAUUUGGCCGUGUUGUUAUAAUAUCAUGUGAUGACAAAGUCUGUACACUAUAAAAGCAUGGCUGCUACCCGGAUUGCAAAUAUUGUAUAUAUACCUGUCUGAAUUGACUGUUUAGUUUCUGUUCCUGUUUUUUUUGAAACUAAUGCAACAGCUAAUGGUUAGCUGCCCCUCAGUUUGCUGUUGUCCUGUUGGGUUCAGCGAUUUUUUCUUCUUCUGGUUUCCGUAGUGCUUAUAAUAUUUAACUAGUGGCAUAACUUCUAGAUAACCCAUGUAUGCAUAAUGCUACAGAUUGCCAGCUGCACUGUAUCUCACAUUUUCACAAUGUGCAUUGCACUAACAGAUCUUCGAGAUGACAAGCAGUUCUUUGUGGACCACCCUGGUGCUGUUCCUAUCACUACUGCUCAGGUAUGGCUUACUGCCUUGUUUGCCCUUAUGAGUAUUAGAUAAAUGCUUGUACAUCUAGUGAGUUUUGUCAAGUUUGUCCUGAUUUUCUUCUUGCCCAGUCACUGUUGUCUAACUCACAUUGUUACCUUGCCACCUGUAGGGAGAGGAGCUAAGAAAGCAAAUAGGCGCGCCAUACUACAUCGAAUGCAGCUCAAAGACCCAACUAGUAUUGUUAUCUGCUCAAUCAUCUUCUGAUCAUGCAAUAUCAUGUGAGAUACUAACAGGCUUUCUCUUUUGUUUCCACCUGAAUUGCAGAACGUAAAGGGUGUCUUCGAUGCGGCGAUAAAGGUUGUGCUGCAGCCACCCAAGGCGAAGAAGAAGAAAAAGGCGCAGAGGGGGGCGUGCUCCAUUUUGUGAUCUAAUCAUCAGUAGACAAAGAAACAAGGGCGAAGUUGCCAUGGUUUAUUAUCGUCGCGUCUUGCUUCAGCGAAACAGCAUUGGUGGGUCCCCCUAGGUUUACUGGCAGCUGCAGCAAGUUCUUCUCUUUGUCGAGGCAUUGAGCGAUCCGUUUGUUUCAUUUCCUCCUUCCUGCCUUGUGAUUAUGUGGGUGUGACUGACAAGUCGUGGCAAUUAGGUAACUUGCUUAGAAGGUAUUUCCCGUGUUUGAGCAAAAAAAUAUCUUGUUAUCUCUGUUCCAUAAGUAGACAUGAUGUAAUCGUACUAAGUUUAUUUUUACUUAUUUCACUUCAAUGGAAAAUUAUGCUUCCCUUCACAUGAUGGUCAUGCCUGUACGCCAAUGCAUUCCUAAAGAAUGCCUUCCUGUCAUGUUUACUGCAUUUUGUUUGGCAAAUGGAGCAUCCUAGUGGUUUGACUUUGCUCAUUUGGAUACAACAAUGAUCCCAAGGUUUACAGCUUGCACUGGUAUUAUAGUAUGUGGUACCAUGUAGAUCAUGGAGAGCAUGUUUGCAAGUAGCAGUUGCAACAGAAGAAUAUCCAUUCGUCUGAUACGAUAUCAGAAGGUUACAGACCUUAAAAACCAGUAUUAUCUUUAGAAAGCCAUGUGGACAGGGCAACAACUUCUUCCUAUAGCCGGGGAAUGUGGUGCUGCACACGUCCAGGUUCCAAAGAUUUGAGUAGGAUUUGGAUGGUUUCAUCAACGUGUGCUUCGUUUGGUUGAUUCUUUCCACCACAUUUCAGUGUGAAACUUGCUGGUGCAGCAGCAGACUGGAACCAAUUUGUUUUAGGGAACCAUUUCACUCUUCCAUUUUUGUUGUCACGUGCCAUUGCUUGAAAUAAAGUGUUGGGGGCGAAGAACGGUACGCUGGAAACCCUUGCGUUGGUUUCUGUUCUAAUGGAGCGUCUUGCAAAGAACCGAGGCAAAAUGCAAAAUCAGCACCAGAGCUAAUAAGAACAAAAAAAAAUUAAAACAAAAAACAAUUUCGAGCGACAAGGAAACCUUAAAUCCUAUUAUGCUGUGUACAAUUACGUACUUGUCCCCGAGCAAUGCAGUGAGUGGAGGGGUGUUUCGGUACUUUCCUAUGACGGAUUAGCAAAAAAAAAGUUCCGUUGCCGGCUUUCGAACCCGGGUCUCUCGGGUGAGAGCUAGACUACAACGGAAGGUUGAGACACUGGGAUGAGUACAUCUUAAAAUCAUAUUUCUAAAAAGGAAGGAAAAAUGCAAAAAGAAUUACGACGCCUGAGAGAUUCGAACUCUCGCGGGGAAACCCCAUGUACUUAGCAGGCACACGCCUUAACCACUCGGCCAAAGCGUCGUUGUUGGGAGCGUACGAGAUAAAAUUUAUUAUAAUUUGGAUUCAGACACGGAAGGCCAUCAAAAUCGUGCAUAUGAUCGUUCUUAGUUAUCAUCCUUCCUGAGAUCUCAACUCUAGGCUUAGUUAGUGAAUUAAAGCAAUCUUAUUGUUCAUGGAUGUUGGUUACAUGUGAUCUUGUCCCCUGCCUGCUCUGCUCUCUCACUCCGCCACUCAUGCUCCCUGAGCUGCUUGAGUGAGGAGAGCUGAAAGAGCUCUAGCCCAUGGCGUACUUCUGCGUCCACCCCCUUGCCGUGGACUCGUAUCUGAGGCGGUCGGUCUUGCACAUGUGCGCGAUCUCCGGCACCAGCGGGUCGUCCGGGUUUGGGUCCGUCAGCAGCGAGCAAAUGGAGAGCAGGACCUUGGAGAUGGUCAGCGCCGGGCUCCACUGCUCCUUGAGAAUGUCCAGGCAGAUGUUGCCGUUGCUGUUAAUGUUCGGGUGGAACACCUUCGUCUUGAACGCCACCUGUUUCAUUUGUUCGUGGUUUUCAUUCAUUCAGUUCGUCGUCGUCGAUGAGCAUGAGAUUCUCAGCUCAGACUUCAUAACAUUGCAUAAUUCAGCGAAAUUUUGGAGAUGAAGAGUGGGUGAGUACCUUGGGAGGCUUGAAUGGAUAGUCUGGAGGGAAGUGGAUGGUGACCAGGAACACGCCUCCAGAGUAGGGGCUGUCGCUGGGGCCGAUGAUCGUCGCUUGCCAGUGGAAUAUGUCAUCAGACACAGGGCCUGAUCACAAAGAACAGUUGAACCAGAAUUCAGAAGAAAGAAAAUUCAACUUUGAACUUCCUUUUUCUUUGGGGUCUGAAAUUGUAUGCCUGACCAUGUGUACACCAAACUGAUUGAUACCUGCGCUGCAGGACGUCGGUGGAUCCCUCUGCAGGUCCUUGAGCUCCUUGAUGAUUCUCCGCAGCGCCAUGGAUAUCGGAUCCUUGCACUAGCUCCUGAACAGCUCUUGAAAGGAAUGAAGAGUGCCUUAUUGAUCUGAAAGUCUCAAACUGCACAACUAACGAAACCGGUUUGCUUCGGUGUCCGGGAACCGAGGAUCGCUGGGCCUCUAUAUAUACACCCACAGAAAGAAAGAAUUUUGUUCUUGCCCGCUGAAAAGAACCUUUUGGCCAUGGUCAAUGGCAUUAGAUUCUUGAAUGAGAUGGAAGAAGAAAGCAAAAGGCUAGAGCAAUGAUAAUAAACAAUGACAAUAUCACACCAAAUAUUCUCCGUGAAGAUCAAACUAGCGGUCGCGCAUUUGCGCUUGUGCUUGAAAUGAAUUUAGGGUUCCAAGGGAAUGUAUUCACCGUGAAGCUAGUGAAGAGGUGAGAUUCUGACCGAAAGGGCGAUUGCAAGUGGGAAAAAGUAGUGCCAUAACAUAACUUGUACAACCGACGGCUCUGGUUCGUCGAACGUGAUGUUCAUUUCAGUGGCAACAAAAAUGGAAGAGAAGAUGUCCCAUAGAAAGAAAAAAUAGAAAAAAAAUCAUCUUUGCAUCUAAUAUCAUCGGACAUCCGGUCGGUGUGUGUUCUUGGUAGCAUAUGCUUAUGGGCCUGAACUGUCGAAAUAUUCUAGCUUAUCACAAGUAGAAUCUUGGCUGUUUGAGGCCAAAUCAUACAGUACUGCCUCAUGGUUCUUCGGUAUGGAGCAUCUUCGGUAGAACUUUGGUUCGAUUCUCGUUGAGCAAUCGAUUCAGAGCAAGACUUUGAGGCUCCAUUUGGUUUCACGGAAUUGGGGUAGCUCAACUUCGAUUUCCGUGUGGCAAUCGAAAUGGGUUCCAAUUUCAUUGCUGUGUCUGGUUAGCAAGGAAAAGCAUUGAGACAACAUCAGAUUCAACCAAUUCCAACUACACCGUUCGGCUGCCAAUCUUGAGAAAUGGAAAUCCUUUGCGUCAGUAAAAUUGUGAAUGCAACGAAAGUUGAACAGCGCGGCUGGGGACCAUCUUUUUUGACCCCCGCGUCGUCUCUCUCGGGAGCGCACGUCGGCCGCCGCCGUCAUCCCUUGCCGACGACGGCGACGGUGGCGGCGGCGGCCAGCGACAGCCCCCCAAGCGGAGGCAGCCGCGUUUUCAUCCCGUUUUCCCCUUCUCCAACCCCUCCUGCUCCUUCCCCUUCAUCCUUGGCUUGGUCCGGCGGCAGUUCGGCAUGGUUGGUGGCAGGAUCCGCGAGGUAGGGUACCGGAUCUGUGCUCUCCCUGCGGGAUUCGCUCGGAUUCGGUGGCGGCCGGUGCGGGUCGGGCGCGGCUGGGCGGCGGCUGCUGCUCCCCUGCCUGCGCAACGGUGGGCGCUGGUGCUGCAGUUUCGUGUAGCGGCGGCCCAGAUCCAGCCGGAGGCAGCGUGAUACGGCGGCGCGUGCGUCGGGCGCGCGGCUUGGCCCGGCGAUGGCGGCUGGCGAGCGACGUUGCCCGAUAAGGGCGGCGACCGCGCCUGGCGUGCGGCGUGGCUCGGCUGCGGCGACUGCUCCCGGCAGAGUCACGAGAGAGAUGUCCCAAUGCAACCCGGUCGAUGAUGUGGUGUUGAGUUGGGUUUGUCGAUAUCCCAAUCCAACCAACGUCCCAAUCUAAGUUGAUGUCCCAAUCUAACUGGCUGAUGUUGUGUUGAGUUUGUUGUCCUAAUCCAACCAACAGACGAUGUGUCGUUAAGUUGAGUUUAUUGAUGUUCCAAUCCAACCAACAUGUUAAUGUCCCAAUCCAACCAACAUGUUUAUGUCCCAAUUCAACCGGCGAUGUUGUGUUGUUAAGUUUGGAGCUGAUGUUGUGUUGCUGAAUUAUGUUAAUGUCCCAAUCCAACCGACGAUGAUGUUGUGCGAUGAUGUUGUGUUGCUCAGUUAAGUUUGGUUGGAGUUGGGGACCAUUUCCUCAGGCUGGGCUUAUUCUACUUUUUAAUAUAAUCUCGUUAAAAAAAAGAAAGUUGAACAGCGCUCGUUGGGCCGAAGCCUUGGUGCUCGAACUGCCUGCCCCGGUGACGAGAGCAAGCCCAUGCGGCCGGCAUUGCGGGCUGGGCUCAUCUGGGCCAAGCUGAACUCGGGAAUACUUCCGCCAUAACAAACUCCAGUUGGAUAAUGCUUUGAUUCGAAGCAGCAGAGAACAUAACUCUCCGAAUUCUGCAAACUUCAAUUUAAAAUUUAAUUUGAAUUGGUUGGGGCGCGCCAGGCCCUGCCAGCAGUCUCCGAAUUCUGCAAACUUCAAUUUAAAAUUUAAUUUGAAUUGGUUGGGGCGCGCCAGGCCCUGCCAGCAGUCUCCGAAUUCUGCAAACUUCAAUUUAAAAUUUAAUUUGAAUUGGUUGGGGCGCGCCAGGCCCUGCCAGCAGUGCAACGACUGGGCGACGCUCGAGGACCCCAGUGGCAAGCCACUGUAGUGGGCCCUCCCCCACAAAAAAUAAAUUUAAUAUCGAAGUGGGCACAUGGCCCACAUAUCAGAUAUUAAACUGAUAAGAACAGAUACUACACUUGAUCUUAGCCAAAAGGCCGAGAAAGGUAUGAGUUGCUACGUUGCGGUGCCCAUUGUUUUGUAUUGGUCUCCACCGACUCACUUGCCUUGGCUUAGCAGUAUGGCACAAAUCCUGUGCUAACUCCAGGGGUUUGCAGAUAAUCUAUGGGGUGAAGAGCCGGGCCAUGCUAUCGUGUUGAACACAAACCUAUCACUAUUACAGCCCAUAAGCGCGGCCUAGCAUAUUUUUCCAUAAAACAGCCCAUAGGAUUUCCUUUGUGCCUCAGCCAGCAGUCCAUUUUUCUUCUUUGGGCCGCAGCAAUUCCACUUCAGGCCCAGGGACGGGAAUAAGGCCUGAGUAAUUAAUUAAUUAAUCUUCUUUGGGCUUGCAGGUGAAGGGGGCGGGCGGGUGCACGCGGGGAAGGAGACGGGCGGUGUCCGCGUAAGCGAGAGCGCGGGCUGGGAGCUCACAACGGCACGUGGCCGUGUUCAUGGUGGCCUGCUCAAGCUGCUGCUUAGUUAACUCCGUUCCUUGACGGCGCUGAAGACUCCUCCCGUACAGUGCAAGAGGCGGAGGCCUCCUGGUUGAGGAAGGUGAUAAAUGAUGCAGUGGCGCUGGCUAAAUUUAUUGCCUGCUUAAAUCGAUUCACUGAUGCUUGAUUGAAUCGUGCGCGUCUCUGGAAUGAAGACACGCAAGUGAUUUGGUGUUCCUGUAGGAUUCGUUGUUAUGUAUUUCUCAAAUUUGGAUGUUUCGCAUGCUACCAGCGAGAUUUAUAACAGAAAUCCUCCCAAGCCAUGCUAGUCGUGGUGGUCGCUCUCAUCUCACAACCCCACGAAGGAGAUGCAUCAGCCUCUGCUACCGUGGUUGCGCCGCCGCCGCCUUCGGCCGCUGGCCCAGCUUUAUGCGGAACCCGCACGCACUGGUCAAUGGUGUCGUGACGGCCGACAUGGUGGGUAAGCAUGCCUGCUGCUCUUUGGACUGAGCGCUGCCGUCGUGGCCCGUGGCGGCGGCGCGUGGGCGAGCGUAGUGCGCUCGCGCACUCGGUGGCGGCGGCAUUGUGGCACAAGGGCACCUAGCAACGGCGCCGCUACAUGGAGCUCGCGACCGAUAAUGUACGGCGAUUGAGGCGGCGUUGAUGGAGCUCGCAACUGAAGACGAAGGGAGGUCACGGCGCUCACGAUGUGCUCGACCAAAUGCCUGAGAGGGAGGAAAGAAGAGGGAGGAAAGAGAAAAUGUCCGGUCAGCGUGCCAUGUCACCGUUAGAUGCUCACGUGGAGGGGUAUGGACCUAGAUGGUACAACAUAAAAAGUUUAUGAAACUAAAAAUGCACUUUUAACUCACUUACAAGUUGAUGGACGUGGUGCAUUUUACUCUUAAUUUACCCUGUCAAAACCGAACAUUUACCCUCUCAACCGAACAACCACUCAAAAGUCGAAACCGUAGAACUAUUGGAUACAAGAUGGGACGAACAUGAAAGAUAUGGUUCUCAAUCAUUAAUUUAAGAAUGAAAGCUGCCAGAUUCAUCAUGUGUAGCAACGGCUGCUCAAGCAGUUGUAGAUGGUAGAAGACGGGGAGCAUCAGAUGAGGUAUCACAAAUAAAUUCACUCGAUGGUAUUUGUCACACCCUAAAAUUUUUAGGAGGUGAAUAAAAAGAAUAAAUAAAUAAUGAUUUUCUCAGAAUUUAAAUUUUUUUCCAAUAUUUAUUUUUCUUUGCAGGAAAUUUAGUAUGCGAAAAAAUAAUUGUUUGUUUUUUGGAAUUAAAUAAUGUUGUUUUUUGUCUGUGCAUUCAUGCCGAUGCAUCUUGGUUUUUCUUGAGUGCAAAAGGUUUUAAAAUGCAUUUAGACGAUGACCAGGUUCUUCUAAGAAUUUUUCAGCUUUUUCUAAAAUUUAUUCUCGUUUUCCUUGAGCUUAAUCCAAUUUUUGGAUGGUUCUUGUCGUUGCUAAGAAUUACCCAAUUUUUGGAUGGUUCUUGUCGUUGCUAAGAAUUACGAGUCAAGACUACGGCAAGUGAAUUUAUUUCUAUGCGCGUAAGGCCCGGAUGGAUGCACGAGAGGACACGAGGUUUAUACUGGUUCGGGCAGAAAUAGCCCUACGUCCAGUGCGGGGAGCUGCUCGUGUUACUCGUGCAGAGUUUGCAGUAGGGGUUACAAACAGGCGAGAGAAGGAAGCCGGUUCCAAGUCUCUGUGGGUGUGUACUGAUGCUCAUGAGAAGAGGGUAUGAGUAGGGAUUCGCUCGGAUUCGGUGGCGGCCGGUGCGGGUCGGGCGCGGCUGGGCGGCGGCUGCUGCUCCCCUGCCUGCGCAACGGUGGGCGCUGGUGCUGCAGUUUCGUGUAGCGGCGGCCCAGAUCCAGCCGGAGGCAGCGUGAUACGGCGGCGCGUGCGUCGGGCGCGCGGCUUGGCCCGGCGAUGGCGGCUGGCGAGCGACGUUGCCCGAUAAGGGCGGCGACCGCGCCUGGCGUGCGGCAUGGCUCGGCUGCGGCGACUGCUCCCGGCAGAGUCACGAGAGAGAUGUCCCAAUGCAACCCGGUCGAUGAUGUGGUGUUGAGUUGGGUUUGUCGAUAUCCCAAUCCAACCAACGUCCCAAUCUAAGUUGAUGUCCCAAUCUAACUGGCUGAUGUUGUGUUGAGUUUGUUAUCCUAAUCCAACCAACAGACGAUGUGUCGUUAAGUUGAGUUUAUUGAUGUUCCAAUCCAACCAACAUGUUAAUGUCCCAAUCCAACCAAUAUGUUUAUGUCCCAAUUCAACCGGCGAUGUUAUGUUGUUAAGUUUGGAGCUGAUGUUGUGUUGCUGAAUUAUGUUAAUGUCCCAAUCCAACCGACGAUGAUGUUGUGCGAUGAUGUUGUGUUGCUCAGUUAAGUUUGGUUGGAGUUGGGGACCACAGGCUGGGCUUAUUCUACUUUUUAAUAUAAUCUCGUUAAAAAAAAGAAAGUUGAACAGCGCUCGUUGGGCCGAAGCCUUGGUGCUCGAACUGCCUGCCCCGGUGACGAGAGCAAGCCCAUGCGGCCGGCAUUGCGGGCUGGGCUCAUCUGGGCCAAGCUGAACUCGGGAAUACUUCCGCCAUAACAAACUCCAGUUGGAUAAUGCUUUGAUUCGAAGCAGCAGAGAACAUAACUCUCCGAAUUUUGCAAACUUCAAUUUAAAAUUUAAUUUGAAUUGGUUGGGGCGCGCCAGGCCCUGCCAGCAGUGCAACGGCUGGGCGACGCUCGAGGACCCCAGUGGCAAGCCACUGUAGUGGGCCCUCCCCCACAAAAAAUAAAUUUAAUAUCGAAGUGGGCACAUGACCCACAUAUCAGAUAUUAAACUGAUAAGAACAGAUACUACACUUGAUCUUAGCCAAAAGGCCGAGAAAGGUAUGCUCUGGGAGGAUGCCCUGGGUCUCGUUAUAUAGCUGGUCGACGCCUCCGUGCUGCUAGGCUUGGCGAGGUGGGACAAACAGGUCAACGCGCUGCGCCGCUGCCGAUCAGCGCUUCGGCCGAGCGCUGUGCCGUGCCAUAUGUAAUGGGCCGCGGCCCAUCAAGUGUUGCCGCCUUCUCUUAUCCUUUGACUUCUACGUAGGCCCACCACUACCAAACGGCAGGACGUCGAAGCCCAGCACACCGGAUGCUCUUCUUUUCAGUUCUUUUUUAUUGUCUGUUCUUUGCCAGCCCCAAUGACUAUAACGACUUUUAUUCGGAAAAUGUAUCUCUGGGCUGGCGGCGUGUGUGGGUUUGCCUUGUGUUGGGCCUCUGCUGUGGCCACAUGGCCCACAAGCCCGCACAACCUCGCCAUCCUCCUCCUCCUCCCGUUCCCCAACCCGCGCGAGGUCGCCGCCGAACCCUACCUCAGACAUCAGUCCCUCUCGUCCGAUCUCUCCUUCCAACACCCAUAGCUCUCCUCCAAUCUCCUUUUCUUCGAUUGGGACCCAUAAUUGCCAUGCCGUUGUAUCGUUUUUUAUCGUUGGUCCUGUAUAUAGUCAGGUCUGGGUUUCAGAGCUCACUUGUGCUGUGAGGGCUCAGAACAUGUUGUUUGCCCCGUUUCUAGACACGGGUAAUUUCUCUCUCUUGCAACGACCUAAGGGUAGCAGCAUUUUCGUUGAGUCCAAUAUGUAUUGCAGUAAUAUAUAGAUACAGUAGUUGUUGUUGAUUGAAAGAAUUUUUCAUGCUUACUGCUUGGUUCUUUGCAACUUGAGGAGGACAGAGCUCACAAUGAGGAGAUGAGAUAUAUCAUUGAUAAUUAAUAUGUGUAAAGCCAUGAAGAUCAGUGACUGGUUUAGCCUGCAGGCAGGAGAGCUUUAAGAAGCUCCGCAAACAUCUUGCAUGAGGGUCCUUUGAUCGUGUCAAAGAAUCUACCCAGAUCUUUUCGAAAGAAUGUAUAUUAGAGCUAGCUCUUGUGUUACUGGAGGAGGACUUCCUUUCUGAAGCCAUUUCAAGGCAAACAAGGAGGCCGGGAAGAAGAUGAGCCAAGCAACGGGAAAGGCGCAGGAUGUGAUAAAAGAAGAGCUUGAGAAGAACAACAAGCAGUACGAAGAGCAUCUUGAAGAUGAAGCUUAGGAGGAUGACAAGGGUAUGCAUGUGGAUGGAGGGGAUGAGAUUGAAGAUCCUGGUAAGUUGACUAUGUCGAAAUCAUAAGAGCUAGGUGAUUAUGGUGAUGAGGACUGUCCAUGAGUAAGAAAUUGAGCAAGAAAGAUAAGCUGAUGGACAGGAAGCUCUUGAAAUACCAAGUGAAAUAACAUGGGUUGUUGUUGAUGAGAAAUUCAAGGAAGUUGUGGUAUCAAGGUACAGGAAAGAUAGAGCGUGGUGAGCAACUAACGUUUUUUUACCCGUAUGACCAAAACACCUGCUCAGAAGCUUGAAAUCCUUUUCCACGUGAUUUCUGCACGGUUUGAUGUUGUCAAAGAAUCGUACAGUAUGAUUUAAACAUUAGUGUUCUCAGAACUAUCUAUUUCCAUAUGAUAAUUGUUGUAUCACAAGAUUUACCUGUAAUUGUUUUUUUUAAAGAACAUAGGUUUAUGCAUUAUAUUUGUAUACAAAGCUGUCAAAAGCAACGAAGAAAGACUCAGGAAAAAAAGAGAACAAGCAAAAGAAAUAUGUUUCAAGAGAUCAAUGUUCCACUUUAUGGUUGUAAGCCAGCAAAGUAGGAUUACUACGUUAAUUGAACAUUACCACACACAUCCUUUUCUUCCAUCAGAAAUUGGCAUCUUAUCCUUUGGAUUCAUAUCAUCUCGAACGGGUAUCUACAAUGACAAAGUUUUCUCAAUCUUUUUUUCUAGUCAUUAAAUAUUGUAGCCCAAAAAAUGUAUAUAUCAUUGAAUAAAAUAUAAGUUGGCUACGCCAUAUUUAUGAAAUAAGCAACAGAUCCAAAUUGUCCACAAAGGAAGAGCCUGCAUAAAUGCACGAUUCAAAAUAAUCAGUCCAAGUGCAAAAGAAAUGUUAUGUCCAUAUUUAUUAUUGCAGCCAUGGAACCAUCCUUUUUCAUUAUACCAAAUCCACAAGAGAAAUAUGAGAACAAGGAUGUCCCACAUUAAUUGUGGUGGAAUUAUAAAAGCAAUAUGCGUAUCUUUUGGGCAUCAUUUUUAGAUGUUUUUGGGUAUAUCUUUUUCUAUAAGGUUUGCAUUAAUAAGCUACAAGUGUAUAUCUGUUCACUUUAUACUUUCCACCCAAACUUCUUUAAAAUUUCAAAGUUUUAAUUUGGUCCUUGUGACUUGUACAAUCUUAUGUAAAAGAAAUGAUACACAUAUUGCAAAAUUUAACCUAUGUAAUGUGGUUGGGUAUUUUCCUUCCUAAUUGUAGUUUAUAAGAAAUGUUGGCCAUUGUUCAAAAUCAAGUUAUAAAUACAGGUAACUCAAUUAUUGUCGUGUUGAAAGGUCAAAUUGGCAUAUAGCGAUCGACUGGCGUAUCAUCAUAAAUUAGUAGAUAUGUUUGACGAUAGCAUAAUUGGAAGAAGAUACUGGAACCAACAUAUUCCAAGCACGCGGCAUGCUUCUCCAGAUAUCGUGAAGUGCCAUCACCCGCAAACAUGAAAUCGUUGCAUCAUUGUCUUCGGGAAUGCCAAAAUGCGACAUGAUGCUAGAGCCAAACGAAGCAGCCAUGACAUUCCACGACUUUUAUUGGUUGAUAUUGUGACGAAUACAUUUAAUCGAUAUGCUCGAUCUACCUGGCAUUCCCGCGUAGCGUGUACCAACUAAAAGAACGGCUCCUGAAUACUUCCAAAUUUGAUUCAACAACCUCUGGAUAUGCCAAAACCACAUCGGACAACGAGUGUGAUGCCAAACAUCAACGGGCGCAAAUCGCGCGCGCAAAGCUGUAGUACCUGACUGGAUAGCUUCUCUAACGAGAUGUCCGUUGCUCACCUCGAAAUCGUGAAUCCCACGUUCUCCAUGGCGGCAUUCUUUUGCACACAAGAGCCCUUUUAAACCCUUCAUUCCUCUUCUCCUCCCCAAACAUAUUCUUCCCCUUCUUGAGAAGAGCCUUCUAUUGAAAUUGCUACAAAAUCUAGGCCCCAUUUUGCAAAUUCCCUAGCAGCUAUGCACCUCCAGCCGCCCCUGCCACUGCUAUAUCUACCCCGCCGCUUCUCCCCCACAGAGCAUUCCCCACCACCACCACCACCGGAAGGAAGCUCACUCUCUCCUCCCAUGCAAGGAAGCUCAAGCUCCUCGUGCGUCAACAAGCCCUCCCUGGCGCCGCCCGUCCCCGGAGCCGAUGGCCCGCCGGCGGCGCGCCGCAUCGUGGCGGCCCACCGGCUCCCCCUCCGCGCGUCGCCGGACCCGGACUCGCCGUUCGGCUUCGCCUUCUCCCUCGACCCCGACGCGCCCUCGCUCCAGCUCUCGCGCGGUUUCUCCCCCGCGCCCGUCACCUACAUCGGCACCCUCCCCGCCUCGGUCGAAUCCAAGAUCGUCCCCUCCGACGAACUUAAUGACUACCUCAUGGAGAACUUCUCCUGCCUUCCCGUGCACCUCGACGGCGGCCGCCACGCCGAGUUCUACGACGGCUUCUGCAAGCGCUACCUGUGGCCGCUUCUCCAUUACCUGCUCCCGUUCACGGUGGCCGACGCCGGCAACCUGUACUUCGACGAAGCCGAGUACAGAGCGUUCAUCGCGGCGAACAGGCAGUUCGCCGACCGCGUGAUCCAGGUGCUCUCCCCCGACGACGGCGACCUCGUCAUCGUCCAUGACUACCACCUCUGGGCGCUCCCCACCUUCCUCCGCCGCAAGUGCCCGCGCGCCGCCGUCGGGCUGUUCCUCCACACGCCGUUCCCCUCCGCCGAGAUCCUCAGCUCCGUCGCCGUCUGCGACGAACUCCUACGCGGUCUACUCAACGCCGACCUCGUUGGCUUCCACACCUCCUACUACGCCCACCAAUUCGUCUCCUGCUGCUGGGGCCUCCUCGGCGUCUCCUACAACAUCUCCUCCCUGCACGGCGGCCACGUGGGCAUCAACUACCACGGCCGGACCGUGCUGGUCAAGACCUUCACCGUUGGCGUCGACAUGGGCCGGCUCCGCGCCACGCUGGCCUCGCCGGAGGCCGCCGCCAAGGCCAAGGAGAUCGCCGAGGCGUACCGCGGCCGCGUCCUCAUGGUCGGUGUCGACGACGUCGACCCCUUCAAGGGCGUGGGCCUGAAGCUCCUCGCCUUGGAGAAGAUGCUCGAAGCGGACCAGGACAUGCGCCGACGAGUGGUCCUCGUGCAGAUCAACAACCCCGCGCGCAGCGCCGGCGGCGAUGCUGAUGACGUCCGUAGCGAGGCGGCGCAGAUCGAGCGGCGCAUCAACAGGCGCUUCGGGGACGGCGGCGAGCUGGUCGUCGCCAUCGACGGGCCAGUGCCCAUGUGGGUGAAGGCGGCCUACUACGCCGCCGCCGACUGCUGCGUCGUCACCGCCGUGCGCGACGGGCUCAACCGGAUCCCCUACUUCUACACGGUGUGCCGCGAGGAGGGCGCGCGGCGGGGCGGCGCCGUCGUCGUGUCCCAGUUCGCCGGCUGCGCAGCGUCGCUGGGCGGCGCGAUCCGCGUGAACCCGUUGGACCCCGCGGCCCUGGCCGACGCCAUGCGCGCCGCCGUCACCAUGGACGCCGAGGAGAGGCAGGCGCGGCACAGCGCCAACUACGGCUACCUCCGCGCGCACGAUGUCGCCGACUGGGCGCGGUCGUUCGACAAGGCCCUGAACCUCGCCUGCAGGGACCACGCGGCGUUGUUGCUUGUCGGGUUCGGGCUCGGGCUGGGGUACCGCGCAAUGGCGCUCCGGCCGAGGUUCCAGGCGCUCACGGCGGAGCACGUCCGGCCGUCGUACCGCGACGCCGCGUGCAGGCUGAUCCUGCUGGACUACGACGGGACCAUGGUGCCCGAGCAGCAGGACGAGAGGAAGGGGGCGCCGGAUGCUGGAAUUGUCCGCCUCCUCAACGAGCUCUGCGCCGACCCGAAGAACGUCGUCUUCCUCGUCAGCGGCCGCGGCAAGGAUCAGCUGGCGGCGUGGUUCGCUUCCUGCGAGAAGCUCGGCAUCUGCGCGGAGCAUGGCUACUUCACAAGGUGAAACAACAAUUCAACAAUUCACUGCCUUCCUUCAGUUAUUACUUUUUUUUUGAAAAAGCUCCUUCAGUUAUUACUGAUCUCGGUCAAAGGUUUGAGAUUAUUGUGAAGAACCGAUCAAGAUUUGAGAUUGAGAUAGACUGCAUUGCGACAUGUCUAUAUAAAAUAUGCAUCAGGUGGAGCAAGGGCGAUCCAUGGGAGGUGAUGAACAAGCAGGUGGUGCCUGGCGGCACUGGAUCUGGAUGGAAGGCGGUAGCUGAGCGAGUGAUGAGGCAGUACAUGGAGGCAACCGCUGGCUCCUACAUGGAGACGAAGGAGACCGCGCUGGCGUGGCACUACCAGAACGCCGACCCGGUGGUGGGCCCGUGCCAGGCCAAGGAGCUCCACGACCACCUCGUCGGCCUGCUCGCCGACGAGCCGGCGUCCGUGGCCAUCGGCAGCCAGAUCGUGGAAGUGAACCCUCAGGUGCGUGUUGACCGAUCGAUCAAUGCAAUUUCAAUUCAUCGUUUAAUUUGUUUGUCUCGAUCACCGACAAGUUGGUACUGAUUUCUCCUUUUUUUGUCCGCGUGAAAAUUAAAAUUGCAGGGCGUGAACAAGGGCGUGGCGGUGAGGGGCGUGCUGUCGGCGAUGUCGCGGCGCGGGGUGGCGGCGCCGGACCUGGCGCUGUGCUUCGGGGACGGCGAGGCCGACGAGGACAUGUUCGAGGCCCUGGCGAGGUCCGGCGCGCGCCUCGCUGCGGGCGCGAGGGUGUUCGCGUGCACCGUGGGGAAGAAGGCGACCGAGGCGGCGUUCUACGUGGAGGAGCCCGCGGACGUGGUCGGCCUGCUCCGCGCCCUGGCACGCUGCUACUCCUACUAGCUCGGCCGAAUCGCCGGCUGGCUGGCGGCGCUAAAGCUGCCAGCCGCGGCGGCCGGUGGGGAUCUCCUGGAUCCAGCCGAUCGGAUCGUCCAAUAUCGAUCUCGAUCGAGAAAUUAAGAAGAGUUGUUAGUCGAUUGUUAUUACCGGUGUGUGCAAGAACAAUACUCCAUGAACGAACUACCUAGCUAGUGGUGUUGUGGAGCUAUAUACAUAUCAUCAAAAUCAAAAAUACAUAUAAUAUAAUAUAUAUAAUAUAUGUUUGUUUGGCUUUGUUAUAUAUGUGUGUAUAUAUAAUAUAUGCAUCAUAUUAGGAAAUUAAAGACCGAAAGAGGAAGAGGACUGAUGAUGAUAUGAUGCACGCAUGGGCUGCAUGCCACUGUAGCUGACUGGAGAGUGGAUCGGAGUGCCUGCAUCUAGGAUCUACACCUGCCUGUCCGCAGGCACAUUGCAUACGCGGCGGAUCGGACCAGGUCGUCAGAUACCUGACAAGUAAGGCAAGGAAAGGGAAAGCUACAAGGAAGCGGCACGCUCAUCAUCAUCGGCCAGGCCACCGACCGCCGGAAAUUAGGACGUAAUCUCUUCCGCGAUGACGAAGAUGAUGACACUGCCCGGCCGGCCGGGUCGACCGCCGGACCUUACUACACAGCCGAUCGAGCAACUACCGGCCACCGCACCACCGCCGGCGACGAGCACCUUGAGUACGUGUGACACGCAGGCACGGACAGACACUAUCACACUACACCUGGAAUGGCUUUCGUAUGCAACAUUGGCAACUACUAGAUAGAUAGAUAGAUACAAGUAGGUGGCCGGUGUCUCUAUUAUGUAUGACUCUUACCAAUCUAGAUGAUCGAUCACUCUGCUCUUCCGAGGAUACAGCUCAAUUCCAUAUAGGGGAUGUGAGCCUGUGACCGGCCGGCGGCCCAGAAACACGAUGCAGCCCAUCAGGUUGUAGGCCCGUUAGUGGAGAAUAUAGACCAAAGACCUCUUGGUCCUGCUUAUACUGAAAGCAUCGGGUAGCUGCUGGGGUUUCCAGCUUUACAGAAGAAGCACCAUUACAAUCACACCUCCACGCCGGCACAAGAACUAGCUUUUGUCAGGUACUCCAUGUUUCUACCAUCGAAAUCUACUUAACAGAAAAAGGAAAGGCAAAAGAUUGCGUCGUAGUUCUGUUUUGCUUCCGUCGCUCGCCGUCCGCCACCACGCCAUCAUCUUAUAGUUUGCGCGUCGCUUCGACAGAUCACCUCGCCACGCUCUGCCAUCAGAUCCCCUGUAAUUCCUGUUUCAGCUUCAGCAGUAGUUCUUCCCGCCUUGUUCGCCCCUCCACAGCCGCCAUCUUGCACCAGUUGGAGUUGAGCAGUCAAAUAGCAGUACUAGAUCAAGAAGAAGUAAUCAGAAUUCACAAGAGUGAGCGAUCAACACGAUCACCUUGACCAUGCGUUUUUGAAUCUGAAAUGUUUCGCAACGCCUUUUCUGUUGUGCCUGUCCUUUUUCUGUCACUGUUGGGCUGAGAGCUCUGACGCAUGGACAUUGCAUCACCAAAGAUAUCACCACCAGCUAAAUCGCGAUCUCUUCUUCCUUCCAACAACCUCUUGCGUCUGACAAGGGACCAGAAGGGCGGCUCCAUGUCCAUUGUCCCCCCCCCCCCCCCCCCCCCCCCCCCUGCCCAUUUGAACCAACUCGCCGGAGUGAGCGGACACGCAAAUUUCCAAGAAACGCCAGCUGAAACGAGGGUGAAGCCUGAAUUUACAUAUAGACUCCUGAUUUGGAUCGCGAUAUUAAUAAUCGCGAUCCGAAUAUAUGCAAAAUCCCCCCGGUUUCCGUAUCGAAUUCGGCUCUCGGUCCCUCCACUCCACCUCUGGCUUGUCUGCCGACGGCUCCUCGCCGCCACCCUCCCCGCCUUCCGCGCCAGCAGGAGCUCGAUGCCCCAUCGCCGUCCGAUGCAGUCAAACUCUAGGAUCUCUACCUUCACUCUCUCUGCUCCCCCAGCAAGUCCCUAACAUGGCGGCAGUCAUCGGAGCCAAGCGAGCUCGCCGAGGCGCACGCACUUGAGCUCACGCAGCCGGCCAUGGCAGGUUGGUAAGCACUGCGCUCUCGCACUCUGUCCACUCAUAGCAACUCUCACCAUAUGCGCUAUUGUACCUGACGAAGGAAGCCGUAUGUUGCUGCAAUUUUAUUUCUUCUGAUGUUUCUGCCUCGGAUUAUGCAGGUGAUCGUAUUACCAUGCAUGCGCAAGUAACAAUUCAUACCAACUAUGACAAAUCUGCAUAUGGUUCUGAUGUAUCGGUGUAUCACAAUUCACAACACUUGUGAUUUUCAGAGUCGUAAGUGCAUGCUAAUUCCAUCGCUUCUACUACAAUGGAAGUUUUUAUUUCAUUCAGCGUUUGUGUAUUCAGCAAAAAUAUUUUACCACCAUGUAUGAUGCAUGUAGUCUGACAUGGAACUCAUAUUUUUUAUAAAAAAAUGGCAUAGAACUCAUCGGUCAUCAACAUUGCAGACUUGCGUGUUCUUAUUUCUUAACAGAUUAGAUACCCGAGAAUGUGUAUUUGUAUAGCCAAAUCCAUGGAAUUGGGAAAACAAUUGAGAAAAAUACGGUCACGUCUUUUUUUGCAACUGACCUAACCAUAACAACCCUCACAACAAUACAGGUGUGCUAAUCGAGCAAAGCAUGGUUUUCUUUCAGUUAAUCCCAAGAUUUUGGUGAACAAAUCUGCUUUAGGGAAGAGGUUAGGGGUAAUUCAGAGAAGAGACACAGGUGGGGCUGUGAGUGACUCUAUAUAUAUACGGUGCUCACACUGGCACUCAUGAUGCAACUGUCCUGCAAUAGAAAUGCAAUAGAAAUGAUUUUUCAGUUAGCAAUAGCUUUCAGCUGAUUCACUUCUCCCCCUCUGCUGAAUCAUUACCGGAUCUCGUCACUGCCUUCAGAGAAGAGGUCACCUGGAAGCUAGAAAGCUUUUUUUCUCUCUGCUUAUUGUUGCCAGAGAUUACCUAGGCAGGACUCUAGACAUCAUCAUCCAGGUGAAUAACAAGGAAUUAUGUACCUUUGCUUCUUGCAUUUUGCUAGCACAUAAAAGUUACAGCUACUUAUAGACUGCUUCAGUUUAGAGUUCAGAUAUGAAUGUUCAGAUGACUGAGCUACUUUUAUUUAGUUGCCCAAGUAUGAUUCUGCUUGUGAUCAUAUAUGUAGUAACAUCAAGUAGUGAUGACACGUGGCACACAUCACAUGAACCGGUCCAUCGGGUCAGAUUGUACCCUUGCAUGAAUCAUCCAUAGCCUGAAGUUUCUUGCAGCCUUAUUUCACACCGAUGACAUCAACAUAUCCUAUCCUGAUUCCUGCAUGUUCGUUCAAAAAACAAAUCCUGAUUCCUGACAGCAUGAAAGCGACUUGCGCAUGCUCCAACUGACGCUUACAUUACAUAGCUUCUUGCUUCGAUGUGCCUGCAGCUACUCCUAGUACUAGGUGAUCACUAGUGCUCGGUGCCAUGGGAGGGGGAGAUCACCGGUGCAUGGCCGCCACGGCGGCCGCUUCUGCCGGGGAUGGAGGCGGCAGCGUGGAGGCUGCGCUGAGGCCUCUUGUUGGUGCAAACGCCUGGGACUACUGCAUCUACUGGAGGCUGUCUCCUGAUCAGAGGUAGCACCGCCUGAUCUGACUGUGAUCAUGCUCCCUGUACUCUGACACUUCCUGGAAUUGUUCUGAUUCAGUGAUUCAUCGUCCUCUGUGACACGAACUGCAUGCAGGUUCUUGGAGAUGGCUGGGUUGUGCUGCAGCAGUGAGUUCGAGGCCCAGGUUUCUGCACUUGGUGAGCUGCCUUCGUCUAUCCCACUGGAUUCCUCAUCUGCAGGGUAAUUCACACAGUCCUUACUAUCCGUUCAUUUCCCCCAAAUCAAUUCUUACUCAGGAAUUCAGGAUAGAUUGCAAGUUCUUUUUAUUGUUAAUCUUUGCUGUUUUGCAUGGAUCAGGAUGCACGCCGAGGCAAUGAUGUCCAACCAGCCGAUUUGGCAGACCAGCUGCGUGCCAGAGCUCCCAACAAGUUAUUCCACUGUAAGCACAGUUCAUCUUUAACCGCCACUGCCUAAGCAUCGAACUGCCUAACCAACUACCCCAUGACACGAUGCAGGAGCUCGGAUCCGCCGGACCUAGGACGCGGUUGCUGGUGCCGAUCGCCGGUGGCCUCGUCGAGCUCUUCGCCGCCAGAUACGUAAGCGACGUCUGAACAUACACCUUGAUUUCUUGCCGACAUCAGAAAGUUCAAGAAACUUAUUAUUUUAGGCGAAACUUUCAGUUAGGCUAAAGAGUUGUAAGAGCAUACAGCUUCAGCGUGAGCUAGCGACGCCGGCCGAGAUGUCGCGGCGAACCGCACGCAACAGCCACAGCCUUUGCAUUUGGAUGAUGCACAGGCGCACACAAACACAUGACACACCUGACGCUCUAUUUUAUAAUGCCGGCGCGCCGCGCCGUGCGUGCGUGCGCAGAUGGCGGAGGAGGAGCAGAUGGCGGAGCUGGUCAUGGCGCAGUGCGGGGUGCCGGCGCGGGCGACAGAGGGCGAGGGGGACGAGGGCGGCGCCGCCGUGCACACGUGGCCGGAGGCGCCAGGCUUCGCGUGGGACGGCGCCGACCCGCAGCGUAUGUUCGGGGCGGUGCCGCCGUCGCUCAGCCUAUUCGACGCCGCGGGGGACCCGUUCCUGGUGGCGCCACCGCCCGGGGUGGUCGACGACGCGGCGGCGGCAGGGUGGCAGUACGUCGCGGCGGCCGGGAGCGAGCCGUCGGUGGCGGCGCAGCAGGAGCAGCACGGCGCGGCGCGCGCUGGAGGCGCGGACUCGGGGUCCGAGGGAAGCGACUUGCAGGGGGACCCCGAGGACGACGGCGACGACGACGUGCAGGGGCGGGGCGGCGGCGGCGGCAAGCGGCAGCAGUGCAAGAACCUGCUGGCAGAGCGGAAGCGGAGGAAGAAGCUCAACGAGCGGCUCUACAAGCUCAGGUCGCUCGUCCCCAACAUCACCAAGGUUCGUACCCCUCGAUCGCUCGUCCCCAACAUCACCAAGCUUCUUUGAUCAAACAUUCAUUGGCUGCGAUGCGAAUUGAUUGAUCCUUGGCUGAUCCUUGGCAUUGUUCGUUCAGAUGGACCGCGCUUCGAUACUCGGAGAUGCGAUCGACUACAUCGUGGGGCUGCAGAACCAGGUGAAGGCGCUGCAGGACGAGCUGGAGGACCCGGCGGACGGCGCCCCCGACGUGCUCCUGGACCACCCGCCGCCGGCGAGCCUGGUGGGGCUAGAGAACGACGACUCGCCGCGCGCGAGCAAGAGGGCCCGGGUAGCGGCGGCGGCGCCGGCGGAGGAGGAGAAGGGGCACGACAUGGAGCCGCAGGUGGAGGUGCGGCAAGUGGAGGCGAACGAGUUCUUCCUGCAAGUGCUGUGCGAGCACAAGCCCGGCCGCUUCGUCCGCCUCAUGGACGCCGUCAACGCCCUCGGCCUCGACGUCACCAAUGUCAACGUGACCUCCUACAAGACCCUCGUCCUCAACGUCCUCCACGUCGCCGUACGUGUAUAUUAUAACCAACUGCGGCUACCUCGCCACCGCCAUUGAUGAAGCUCGUAUACAGCACGUGCUCAUCAAGAACGUUUGCAUUGGUUGGUUGAUUGCAGAGGCGGGACAACGAGGUGGCGGUGCAGGCGGACAGGGUGAGGGACUCGCUGCUGGAGGUGACGCGGGAGUCCUACGGCGGCGUCUGGUCGUCGGCGGCACCGGCGGUGGGGAGCAGCGGCAGCAUCGACGUGAAGCUCGACUGCGUCGACGUGAAGCUCGAUGGUGGCGUCGAUGUGCAGGCACCGGCGGCUGCGGCGGAAGACCAUUACGGCGGUUACAACCAUCUCCUCCAGUACCUCACCUGAUCAUACGCCACCAGUUCAUGGAUCAUCCUUCGUGUUCAAUCAAAGGGAUCAACUAAUAAAACGGGUUUCAUGCAAGUAGAACACUACUGUUGAAUUGUGUCAUCAAAAUGAGUUAGUUUUAUUUAUUUAUUUUGAACAUUCUUGCGUUUUUCUUUGAGACUUAUACAUCUACAAAUAAACUACUAAAAUCAAUUGCGUGUACUAGAUUUUGAAGGAAAAUGUAAAACCUCAUGUAUAUGACAUGGCUUAUCUUAAACAUUAACUUCUCUUCAUGCCAUCGUUGAUCCACCACCUAUCCCAUGUAUUUCUUACCAUACAUCUCACUGUUAAUUCAAAAAAAAUAAAUAGCUUCAAUAGUUAAUGUGAUCACAUGUAUAUGUGAAAAAUUCAUGUUCGGUUUUGAAUCCUAAUAGUUGAAAACGUACUACAUCACACUCACACAACCCACACAAAGGUGAGUGUGCAUGACAUCACACGUAUAUAAAUAAAGCGUCAUUUUCUUCUAUGCCAAUUAUUAGAGCAUCUAAAUUCCUCCCUUAUUUGGUACUCACGAGCUGAAAAUGUACUACAUCACACUCACACAACCCACACAAAGGUGAGUGUGCAUGACAUCACACGUACAUAAAUAAAGCGUCAUUUUCUUCUAUGCCAAUUAUUAGAGCAUCUAAAUUCCUCCCUUAUUUGGUACUCACGAGCGGUUGUGAUCGGAAUUUGAAAAUUAAGCUCUUCCAAAAAAUUGAGUAAUUUUAUUUCAGCCAAAAUAAAUGUCGUUGAUCAACAUACAUUUCAUUUUCAACGCACAAAUCCUUACUAGAUAAACUUUAUUACUCGGUAAUCACUGUGAGUAAGUAUUUUCAUUUGGAAAUUAAGGAUGGAUUAAUGUAUCAACGAACCAAUUUAGUACUAACUGAAGUUAAUUACGGAGCUAUUUGUUUCUCUUGUCAGAAGUAAGCUAAGAGGGUGUUUGAUCCUGGAGCUAAAGUUUAGUCCGUGUCACAUCGGAUAUUCGGAUGCUAAUUAGGAGGACUAAACAUGAGUUAAUUACAAACUAAUUAUGGAACCCCUAGACUAAAUCGCAAGACGAAUCUAUUAAGCCUAAUUAAUCUAUCAUUAGCGAAUGUUUACUGUAGCACUAUAUUGUCAAAUCAUGGACUAAUUAGGCUCUGGCCAGCUCAGCGAGGCUCUUGGGAUCCAGAGAUGUUCUUUGACAAAUUUGCAUCUUAUGGACCAAGCUUUCUUCAUAUCGUGUUUGGUAGCUUUAUAUUUACCUUGUAUUGAGUAUAUGGUAACCUUAAUUACCAAUCUAUCCAUUUCUCUUCAAUCAACUGUCGUGCUGCCGCCGCUUCUUCUGCUUCCAUGGUCGAUUAUAGACAAAAUCACCGAUGAUAGUCGGGAUUUUGCACCCCUUGCUUGCGAAAAUGCCGUCGGCAUGGCCGUCAACCUCAUCAUCGCUAGGAUGCGCAGCGCAUGCAUCCAGAGAUACCCAAAGCUAGGUGUAGGAGGACAUGCGCAAGCUGGAGCUACUCUGCCCUGCUCUCGAUCCCCUUGGCCGAAUUAGCUAAUACAUCAAUAAAGGAACAAAAUGGAGAGAAUUAAGCAUGAAUUGACUGCCAAUAUGUUAAAUUGCCCUCAAAUCGGCUAAUAACAUGGAUCAAACGUGUGGCCGGCGUCCAGUUAAGCUCUAAUUAAGCAAAAUUGAACAUAGAUUGCAAUCUAUUGUUGCCGUAGAGCAGGAUAGGAGAUACGACAAGCACCGUACCACGCCACUCGCUGCACCGCUGCACGCUGAAGCCCAGUGGAAUUCUCCUCCUGGGACUCGCCGGCCGCAUCCUCCGCGACGGCUCCCACGCUGCCCGCACCACCGCACGCCCAUCACAUGGAGUCCUCCUCGCCGGGCGCUGCCCUAUGGUGGCCGCCAGCCGUUCCUCUUCCUCUACUCGAGGCUCGCGGACCAUGGUCGUGCCGAUGCCGGUGCCCUGCGCAUUCUCCACGCGCGGCUGUGCCGCCACAGCCGUUGCCUACCCAGCCAGCUUCUCAAGUGGCAUAGGAGCAGGGGGCUGGGGCUACUAGUCGCGGGUGAAGGCAGCGGUGGUGGCAUGUGGGAGAGUGGUGACACAUCGGUGCGUGAGGAAAAAAUGACUGGAGGUCACCGCAACUGCUCAUAAGAGCCCCUUCGAGCCUGCAGAACGAUCGAUUUUGACGUUCCACGCAGUACAGGCCAGCAAGCUUUUUUUUGCAUAUGCUGGGUUUGGCCUGUGACCCUAUCCGAACUACCGAAUACAGUUACCUGCACUAUGUGAGGCUGGCCUAAGGUAGUUCAGCCUACCAAACGUCCCUCACUUGGACUGUCAAGGUCUUUUUUUCGAUCCAACAAAGUAAGGUGAGACGAGGUUAGCUUGGUCAAGAGCUAAACGUGGCCUAAUAUCAAAUAAAAUUAUUUGAUAGUGAGCAGAAAGAAUAAAAUCAAAGUUCCUAGUUUUAUAGUAGAUAGAUUAUUUAAUUUUCUGGAUAAAUUUGUUCGUGUGAAAACGUUAAACGUUUUGUAAGAACAUUAGCGUAAAUCUGGAAUACGCUUCCACGGCCACGGUGAAGCCCUAAGCCCCAGCCCCCGUCGCCCCCACCCUCGACCGCCCGCCGCCUGGACGUCCUAUCCGUCCGCGGCCAGCCUGUGCGGGGCGCCGGCCACGUCUCCAUCCGCGUCCUGCCUCCCUUGCGGCGGCGAGAAUGGCUGCGGAGGCUGCAGCCCUAGAAGCGCCGUCACUCGAGAGGCCCUCACCGCGGGAAGCCACCCUCGACGACGAGACACGGGCCCUCGUCGUCCCCGACGCUGCUGACCUCCCGGCGUCUCCCCCCUCCGCCGUCGAGGCUAACUUCGCGCGCUACUUCAUCGCUGGUAAAAGGCUUGACUUUUUCAUACUUGAUGGGUGUAAAAGCUCUCAGCUUUUAUUUUGAGUUUGAGGUAUGCUUGUUCUUUUAGAGAGUGAAAUGCGUCGUCCUUGCAAGUCUAUGGAAGCAACAAUUAAGAAUGCCGAGUAGCUUAAAUAAUUACUGUUAUAGGACCGAAGUGUUCCAGAUGAAUAUUUGAUCUUUGAAACUGAACUGCUUUAUAAUUCGAUUCUGAUGUCAAUUUUUAGUGUAUUCUUGGAAUACUGAUUCAUUUUUGUAAUUGGAGUUUGAUAUCUUUGUUUCGGUUCACGGUUAAUGAAGUGUCUAAUCAAUUAACAACAGCAUCUGGGACUUUUGGGUGUAAAUUGGUGUACUCAAUCACUGUGGGAGUAUUGUAUCAGCAAUUCACCAUCCAACUUAUUUCUUUCUUGGAGCAUAUUUAUGUAACCCAUUGUAAGUGGAGGACGACAUAAUAUACUAUGUGAUUCAUAGCUAAAAAUAUUAGUUAGUUCUCAAACUUUAGUUAUUAACAGAAUGGAAUGUUUCAGAACUUCAUGCUGUGUAGUUGAGCCAGAAGAACAAAAUGUUUUUACUGCUUUCAAGAGGUCUGCUUCAACUACUCUAAUUCAACGCCACCACUUUCUUGGGCAGAUUUUCCGAAUCCAGGGCAUGAUCAGUAUGUGUACCGUCAUCCAAAUGGGUAGGUUUUUCAUUUUAAGGAGUCCAUAUUGCACUUUUUAGUGAAAAAGUAAGGAAAUUAUUUGCAUAUAAUAAGAAUGCAACGGUGGUAGUGCUAAGUGCCUAACACUGCUUAACGUGUGCUUAAUUACAUAAUGUUUGUAUUGCUUUGAUCUGUGAACAAUUGAUCUGUUCUUGUGUCAGGUACUUAUUUUCUGCAGUAACUCUAGUUGACAUGUUCCAAUACCUUCCUUUUUCCUGAUAUAGUUCAUAUUGAGGUUUCUAAUGAGCCUUAAUAUGCAUUCUCAUGGCUGCCUCCUUUUUGUUGAAAAAUUUAGAUUGUGUGUGGUUGGUUUAGCUCCAGCCCACGUUGCAUUUAAAGAGGAAGGAGGUAUAACCGCUGUUGACUUCAAUGUUGGCAAGUCAGAUCGCAGUGAGAUGAAAGUCACGGGCAAACGCAAAAGGGUAACUAGAAUGCUUGAAUCAUGUUUCCUGUUUAGUUAAAUAAAUGGCAGCAUGAGUUGAUGUUGAUUUUUUUUUUGCAGAAUGCACAACAUUUGCAAGAAAACUCAGCGCUGUGCAAAGUUUGUGUAAAUGAUAAGUCUUUUGUUGUGAGGUUGGUCCCCUUGAUCUUACAAACCUAGGAAGUAUGCAUGACAUCAUUGUUUUCUGCACUGGAGUUGCUUAUUCUGAACUCUUACAGAUGCUGUGUUAAAGGCUCCCUUUUGGAGAUUAAUGAUAGACUGAUCAAACAACCAGAUCUUCUUAAUACUGCUGUGAGUACAUCAUGUUAUCUGGCAGAGUAUUUAUUUGACUCUUUGUACACUUCUUUGUUCAUUCUCCUUUUCUCUUUUAGUUGUCCUUGGGAUUGAAUACUAAUAUGAGACUCUUGCUGCUCUUUUUAUUGGUAUGUUUGUUUUGUUUACCAUAGACCAGCAGAAUACAUCUUAACACUUUUAUCCCUUUUCACAUUUAGGCUGAUAGAGAAGGAUAUAUAGCAAUCUUCCAGCCAAAACCAGCUGACUGGCUCAAAAUUAAGGAUAAAUUUCUUAGUUACGAGGACUACAGGAACUUGAGAGGAGUUUGCUGACAGCCUGACACCAGACAUUCAAAAGGUAUCUAGUACCGUAUUUUUCACCUUUGUGUUACGUUGCAAUGAACUUGGAGCAACACGUGUUCCAAACAUUGUCAAUAUGAAACUCUGUAGUCAUACUGUCUUAUUGCAUCAUUUUUUUUACAGUGUUCAGUGUAAUUAUUUUUGUCCAUGCAGGAGUUUUGAAGAUAAGCCAGUGCUUAGGUGUGAUUCAACCACGGUGUGAUGGUAUAUUUAUAAGUUUCAUCAGUUAGCUACUGCAUACUGUUACUCGGUGCUUCUCAGCCUACAAAACAUGGAAACUGGGACCCUGUUGACCUCCCAAGUAUCUACACUGGACUGGACUCAUGUUAUUCAACUUAUCAGUGACUCAUAUGUCGGCUCAUUUGAUGAAAAGGCGCUGACAAUGUUUGCUUUAUUCCUUUUGUUGGAAAGUUGAUGUACAAGGACUCGGUCAUUUGUGGCUAUGCCUUACUUCCCAAUGUAUCAACUGAUGCGUUGGCACCAAUUUAUCAAAGUUAGCCAUCUCCAUCUCUAGCCAUACAAAACUGGUAUAAGAUCAAUGCACUGUAAAAGCAGUUGUUUUUUUUGAGGUACACAGAUGAAGCGAGUUUUGAAAUCGAAUGAUUCAUGCUCUUGUGACUGGAGCAUUGCUUCCGGUGACUGAACAAACUUACAUCUGUGCGUAUUUUUCAUGGUUGGGACUUGGGGACCAAAGAGUAUACAAAAUGUUAGACUACACGCUUCAACCUGUUUUCAAGUCCGUAUGGAUGACUCCACAUAGCUGUAAAAUUGUAACAGAUGAAACGUUAUAAGCCAUUAGUCACAGGCUCAAAGCUACUGAUUUUCUGAUCAUUGGGUUGGGUGAUUGGGUCUGCGACAUAUAUGAGCAAAAAUAUUUCCUUAAAUUUACUUCGUAAUGCAAUAUCCUGUGUGUUGAACUGUUGAUGUACAAUGGAUGAUGGGAGCACAUUAGCACAUCAUUCGAAAAAUUAACAGAAAAUUAGUGUACUCUUCAAAUGGUCACAUGUACAAGGCACUGGUGUCAUGAUGCUUUACAUGUUACACUUGAGGCAAUUUGCAUCUUCACAGUUGGCAUCAAAUAGUAGGCUGUAGGCACAAGUUUUUCUUUUACUAAAACAUAGACAUGGCAUGGCGUCGCUCCUAGAAUUACAAUAUCUCUAUGCAGAGGACCAAAAAUGCCAUGCUGUUCCUCUGUGCUGCCAGUAAGAAACAUAGGCCAUUCUGAAUCAGAGUUACAGGAUCUCUGAUCCAUGAGAUACAGUUACCUCAUGGGAGUUUCAUUUACGUUUUUCCUUGUCCAGCGCGAUUUCAACAAGCUGAAUGUUCCCCUGCAGUGAAGCAGCCUUGCAUGACGGGAGGAAGGAGAAACCAUCCAGCAGUUUCAAACACUUUAAACCCCACUUGACCAUCAAAAACUCGAUCAAAUGGUGACCACUGCAUAUAAAAGAAGAAUCCGGCUGAUUUAUCAGAAAUAUAGCUUUCCACACUCCUUCCAAGUGAAACAGGUAUGAAAUGGUUCCUUGGUACCUGCGGUUGUGGUAUGUGGUUAUGAACAUCGCCCCAGGAGAAUUUUCCAGGAGGAAAGUAACCGUUGCGAAGAGAUCAUCAAAAUCUUGCCAAAUACAUGCACUGGUAUGUCAGCCAGCCAAAAAUACAAGAAUGCAAAUAGCAACAGGUAGCCAGUGAAUGCAUGGGCCACCAAAUGAUUAUCCUAAAAUAAAUAAUAACUGUAAUCCACUGAACAGAGUAGAAUAGAGCAGUAGCUCACUUGCUGAAUCAUAAAGUACAUCAGCUCCAAGAAUGAUGUCAGGAUGCAGAUCAAAUAUUGGUUCAUCCCAGUCUCCCCAGGUAAGUCCUGAUACCUGCAAGGUUGUGGACUAACUGUAAGCUUUCUGAAUUCUUAUAGGUUGCCAGACGCCCAGACAUGUAAAAUUCAGUCCUCCAAAUCAAACCAUACAGUGCAGCUGGCAUCAUUGAGAGUGCAUAUUCUUCUGAUGUUGUUCAGAACCUAGUCAGUGAAAAACAAAGAGGAAAUCAAUCACCGAAACACCAACAAGGAUAAAAAAUAAUAAGGAUUCCUAAGAUGGGUUGGAACUAACUUCUGUGUUGUGUGCAAUGUCUGAAAUCAAUCACUGAAACACCGACAAGGAUAAAAACAAUAAGGAUUCCAAGACGGGUUGGAACUAACUUCUGUGUUGUGUGCAAUGUCUGUCAGAGUCACAUCUGCUCCAACCUUUGCAGCUACUAAACCUGGUAGUGAGGUUCCAGCACCAAGCUGUAAGACAUAUAUAUGCAAAUUAGAAAUGAGCAUAAAAUACUACUACCAACAUUAUUAUUGUUCUACAUUGGCAUAGCUGUAGUUUCGUUCGCUGAACAAUAACCUCACCAUAGAGAAAUACAGAAUUCCAUUACAAGAGACUAUUGAACCCCAAGGAAUUGGCACUUCCCAGCUAUUGAGCUAAGAUUGUUAAGUGGAUUGCCAUUUACACUUUACCCCACUAACAAAUGGACCAUGUUGGUCACUUGCUACAAACAUUCAGGGUAGCCCAAAGAGAAGUAGUACCUCAACAACUUUAGAGCCAGAGAACCGUGACCUCUGUUGCCACACGUAUUCAGCUAGAAUGAUACUGCAUGGCCAGACAAACAUGCCGUAGUCCUCUUCAAUGUUCUGUAAACCCAACCAAAAGCAGCUCGUCAGGACACAACAUAUAGAACACAGGAAGCCAGCAAUAGCAAGUAAAACCGGCAUUCCAUUUCAAAACAUAGGGCGUCUUAGGGUUCUAAAAAAGCCAAAUAAUAUAAAUUUGUAGCCAAUGAUUAAUCAAACCAAAACACACGUUUAGACUUUAGUACACAAAAUAUGUAUAAACAGAUUCGUAUUUCAAAUAUGUUUGAACAUAUUUUGAUUUCAUAUCAAUUGAUAAGAUAACAUAAGAGAAACUAGUGUUAGUCACAGAAAAAAAAUGUUGUCCUUCCUUUGCGGCAUUUCACCGAACACUACCCCGGCAUCGCUAGCAACCGCCAGCCGUAGCGCUGCUACUCGAUCGCCGCCUAGAGAGGGUUGAUGCUUUAACCUCGACGCAGCGCCUGUCCGUACGAAGCGCGCGUGGGGACUGGGGAGGGAGGGACGAGGCGGCACGGCGCGGGUACCUCGAUGAUGUCCACGCGGAGGUCGUGGUCGCUCUCGGACGCGUCGCCGCCGAAGUAGUGCCGCGACACGGUGGUCAUACGCGCGGGAACGGCAGCGGCCCGGGCACCGGAGGCGACGCCUUCCAUCGCGAGUUCGCGACGAUCUCUGAUCGUUGGACCACGACGCAGAGUGGACUCGAGGAGGACAGCGAAAUAGGCGGCGUGCUCUGUGCUUAUUAGAUUUCUCUGUGCCAAGACCAUCAAAAAGGAUCCUUUAUGUUUUUCCCUGUAGUGAAGCAGCCUUGCAUGACGGAGGGAAGGAGAAACCAUCCAGAAUUCCGAAUACUUCAAAACCUUCUUGCCCAUCAAAAACUCUAUCAAAUGAUGAUCACUGCACAGAGAAACCCAACUGAUUUAUCAGAAAUGUAGGUUGCCAAAUCUCUUCCAGGUGAAAAAGGGACAGACAAUUCCUUGGUACCUGCGGUUGUGGUAAGUGGUUAUGAACACUGCCCCGGAAGAGUUUUCAGGAGAAAGGCCACCAUGGCGAAGAGAUCAUCAAAAUCUUAUCAAAUAGAUGCAGCCAAUGUAGCUCAGCCAAAACAAUGAGAACACGCACAAAUUGAAAUGGGUAACCAAGUGAAUGCAUGGACCACCAAACGAUAAUCCAUAUUCCUGAAAUCUGCAUGGUUAUGGAGUAAUUCAAGUCCUCUGAAUUUGGUGGGGUACAAACAUGUAGAAUUCUGUUCUCAAAAUCAAACCGUACAGUACAGCUGGCAUUACUGAGAGCACAUAUUCUUCUGAUGUUUUUCAGUACCAAGUCAAUUUGGAAACAAAGAGGAAAUCAACUACUGAAACAUUGGCAAGGAUCUAAUAACAAUGAUUCGUAAGAUGGAUUGGAACAAAAUUCUGUAUUGUGUGCAAUGUCUGUCAGUGUACAUCUGCUCCAGCCCUUUGCAGCUACUAAUCCUUGUAGGAGCUUCCAGCACCAAGCCGUAAAUCAUAAGUGAAAAUUAGAAAUGAGCGUAAAAUACUAAUUUCAAACUUACUGUUAUUCCGUACUGGCAUAGCUGUAGUUUUGUCCCAUCCAACAGGAACCUCAACAUGGAGGAACACGGGAAUACAUUACGAGAGGAGACUCUUUGAGUUUUGAGCCAAGGAAUUGGGACUUUGGAGAAAUUGAGCUAAGAUUGUUCAGCGAGCUGACAGUUACAAAUGGACCACAUUGGUCGCUGUCCACGAACAUUCAGGGUAGCCAUUCUCUGCCAGAAUGAUACUGCAUGGCCAGACAAACAUGCCGUAGUCCUCUUCAAUAUUCUGUAAACCAACCAAAAGCACCUCGUGAGAACACAAAAUGUACAAUAGCGCACGGCCUGGCCGAGAGAUAUUGUGAUUAGUAUUUUGUUUCGCCGCUGAACAACAACGGGGAUGUAGCUCAGAUGGUAGAGCGCUCGCUUAGCAUGCGAGAGGUACGGGGAUCGAUACCCCGCAUCUCCAUUUAUCUUUUUGUCAUUUUCUUCCCUUUUGCUUUAGUUUUCUUGCAAAUCUUCAUAAUCUCGGGUGUAAGAUCUAGACGGCGUAGGGAGGCCGUGCGCCCAUGCGCCGCCGGGUGUAAGAAUUGAAAUUGUGGGUUAUCGAAUGUGAUUCUUUUAUGACAUGCUCGGCCUCGUCAUCUUAACAGAACGUGCUCGGGCCUCAUCAUCUUUUAUGAAAUAUCUUAAUAGUUGUUAGUUAGAUUAUCAGAUGGCACCAAACCAUUAAUAAACUGAAACAUGAUGUACUGAUUUAGUUUACAAGAUUUUCUCAUGAAACUUAUAUUUUAUAUUUUAUCAUAACAGACCGCUCUUGGUCCCAUCAUCUUUUAUGACAUGUCUUAAAAGUUGUUAGUUAGAUUAUCAAAUGGCACCGAACCAUUAAUAAACUACGAUAUGAAUGAUUAGUGUACUGAUUUAGUACUGAUUGAAAUAUAAGGGAUGAUAGUCACUUAAGGUAUGAAAAAUACACAUUUUCCUUUAUAUUUUGAAAUAAACUGAGAGGGGCAUGUGCCCUCCACCCCUACCUUCUCCUCUAAGCUCAGUUAUUGGUAUCAGAACAAUUUGGUAUUAUUUUACCCUAAUGUCAAAAUAAGAGAACUCUAUUGAUAUUGACAUGGUCGAUGAGGACACACUUGAUGUCCCUUGUGGAUAGCUUGUACAUUAUCUUCCUGAGAACUAUGAGAGGAUUUCAUGGUGCAACCGGAGGCAAGACUCCCCUCAAGCUACAUGGGUACCACGAUGAAUGUCACAAAUGACUUGUUAGUGCGGUAUUUAUUCAAACUUUUUUCCUUACAAAAUCGAUAUAUUUUUCUCGUAAAUCUGAAACAUUUUCUUAACCAAACCAUUUUCAUGUGCAAUUUCUUUUUUCUGAACCUAAAACAAUUUUCUUGUGAAGCGGGAACAAAUUUCUUCUGAACAUUUGUUCCAACUUUAUAAACAAAUGUUCUGGAAUUACAUGGAAAUUCACCCAGAGCGGUCAAUACACCACCGCUUCAGCAUAUAAGGCUCAACUCCUAGGUAGCGUGAAAACGACUAAUCUUGCAACAGUGUGGUAAGCCUGGGCACCAGCAAAAUGCAAAGUUUUUGCCUGGCUAAUUCUUCAAAAUAGGGUCUGGACUUCGGACAGACUAGCAAAACGGGGCUGGGACCACACCCCAACAUGCACCCUAUGCCGAUGCACGAUGGAGACUGCGCAUCAUCUCCUAGCCGAAUGCAGAUACACAAAGCAAAUUUGGAAACUCGUGGCCCAAUGGUUGUCACAAGAAAGCCUGCAACCGGGUCAAUGGAAGCACAACAUAACGGACAUAGAUUGGUGGACCAAUAUCACAUCAACAACAGGGAUCCCGCGUAAAGCGUCCAGAAGCCUCGCCCUCCUCAUUAUGUGGGAAAUAUGGAACGAGCAAAAUUCCCGAAUCUUCCGCCACCAGGGUUCCCCGACGACAUCACUAAUGGCGAAAAUCAAAUCCUCAACCAACAUGUGGUUAGCAGCGGGAGCGAGAGGCCUAGCGGCCCUUCUUUUGUAAACACAACACUCUGGGUGCCUCCCUGCUCUUUUUUUUCCCCUUUUUUCCCCUCUUUUUGCCCGGUUCGCCGGCUAUAACCCUCCUCUAUCAAUGAAGUAGGCACACUCUCGUGCCCUUUUCCUUUCAAAAAAAUAAAAAAUAAAAUAAACAAAUGUUCUACUUCGUAUAAAAAAUGUUAUUCGUGAAAAUGUAAUCCAACCGUCCUCCUAACAACACCUUUCGUACGUGCCUUUUGGGGUUGGUUGUGCCUACAAUAUUCACAAACUAGCCCAACUUCCGGUAUGUAGCGUAUUUAAAAGCAAAAUUGCAAAAAUCCAAAUCAAAAUUUGUGGUGGUGUUGGCACGAGAAAUCAUCUUCUGAAAUGGAAUAGAUAUGAUACAGUAUUUUUUUUUUGAAAGAGGAAGGCAUUGUGCUUGUCUUACCAAAUGUAGCAUCUUUUUUUUUUUGCUCAUCAUCUCACACGGUGAAUGUGUUAGCGUUCUUUUCCAAAAAAAGGAAAAAAGUCAUAUGCAGUCGUAGGUUGUGCUGCAUUGAAGCAUGCAUUGUGAGCGCUCUUGUGACCUACACACGGCUACAUUGUCAGGUAAUCCGGCAGGUUGUUGGGGGACCCGAGGAUCCUCCCGCCGACGUCCGGGAACGUCUCGUGCCCCGGCAACACCCCAACGCUGCCGUCGGCGCCGACGAGCACCGGGUACCUCAUGAGGUGUCCCCGUAGCUCGCCGGCCCGCCCCGUGUCGUCCGUGUACCUCUCCCAGUUCUCCCGCGCGACGCCGUUCACCAGGGCGACGCACUCCCGCGACUCCGGCCGCCGCACCGCCUCCGGCCACUGCCGGACGACCUCCUUCCCCAGGUGCUCCUCCCACAGCGACAUCCUGUACCCGAACACCUUGCCCCGCGGCCGGCGUUCGGCGCGGUGCGGCUGGUAGGCGCCGACGGCGAUCUCCGUGUCGCGUGACCCGGCCAGCGAGCGCUGGUUGAUGUUGGCGGAGCCGACGAUGACGUACUCGUCGUCCACGAUCAUCCCCUUGGAGUGCACGUACACCAUGAACCGCCGGUGCCUCCGAGCCAUCGCCGCGGGGUCGUCGCCGCCGCCGACCUCCUCCGGCGGCGGCUCCCGGUUGCCGAGGCAGUAGAAGUUGAGGAACUGCUGCGGGUGCGCGUCCUUGAGCCCUUUAUCGUCAAUCUCUGCGGCGAUGACCCUGUACAUCAUCUCCAUGGUCUGGCUCUGCCAGAAGAGGAUCUCCUGGGCGGGGGCGGAGCGGGGGUCCCCCUCGGGCCACAUGGGCAUCACGACGUACGCCGCGAAAGGCUCGCCGGCGCGGAUCUUGCUGGCGACCUUGAGCGCGAGCUCCAUGGGGACAAGGUUGGCGGCGCCCGGGUGACCGUUCGACGGCCACGCGUACGACGAGCCGAUGAAGUACUGGUUCUCGAUGUAGACGAAGCGCUCCGCCGCCCGGAUCGCCGCGACGUACGCCGUGUGGAUGCUCUGCUCCACGGCGAGGUUCUUGUCGCACAGCAGGUGGCGCCGCUCCAUCUCUGCUCUCUCCCAGGGGCGCGGGAACCUCUUCACCGAUCCGGCGUCCACCGACCGGAACACCUGCGCGUGCCAGCACUCGGGGUCGCCCUCCGGCAAGGCGUGCAGGGCUCGCUGCUCGUCGUCGGUGGCGCCGGCGGCGGCGGAGGGGCUGAGGAUCCAGGAGAUGCGCUCGAGCUUGAGCAGGGAGUCGUCCUUCCGGCGGUGCGACGCCUUGCCGAACACCUCCCGGAGCUUGGUGGCCUUCCUCCACCGCUGCUCGAAGUUGGUCAGGACAUCGUACGCCGCCGGGCCGUCCAGGCGGCAGUGCAUGUCGUGCCACGGCUGCCGGGGGCCCUCCGCCGCCGCGCCGCCCCCGAACGUGGGGUUGCGGACGUCGCCGUGGAAGACGGUGUCGAGGCCGCGGAAGAGCGAGUGGCCGGGCGUGUCGUAGCGACCGGCGCAGAGGUCGAGGCCGCCGAGGAACGCCGUGAUCCGGCGGUGGGCGCUGUCGGAGGACGCCGGCGUGUCGAUGAGCACGCACUUCUGGUGGUGCGUGAACAGCGUCCCCACAACCUGCACGGCCAAGGCUGGAGGCGUCGCAUUUCAAUUGCAAGGAUUGGGCCACUAGUUCAUAGAGACAUUGCUCGUAUAUUACUGUAGCAGAAGAAGCUUGCCUUUUGUUUCACCAUGCUGAGCUUGCUGCUCGGGUACCUCGGAGACAACGCGCAGAUCACUGACGAGUGCUUGAAGAACUUCUUCGUCUCCUCGUCGUGCGUUUGCAUCACCCCUCUCUGCAACUCAUCAUGCAUAAAAAGGAAUCAGAUCAUCAAAUCUGCACCUGCAAUCUGCAAAUGAUGAUCGAACUCGAUCGAUCUCUAACAAUUCGUCCAUAGUCCAAACCGUUCUGAGGAAGAAGUUGUCGUGUGAGGUCUUGUCGUCCCAGACGAGGAGCAGGACCCGGACGCCCUCCUGGGACUUGUACUUGAGCAGGUCGCCGAGGCUCAUCUUCUCCACCGCCGCGCCGCCCAGCGCCAUCACCUCCGCCGCCUUCGCCGUCAUCUCCAGCGACAUCGCCUCCCGCAGCAGCCUCACCUUGGUGUACACCGACCACCCUGCCACGUACACGAGGUGCUGCGCGCCCAGCACUGCCAGGCACAGGUCCUCCCAGCACCGGCCCGGCUCGAACACCCCUGGCACGCCGUCGAGCUCGCCGGCCGCCACGUGCGCGUCCUGGUACAGCCGCACGUCGCACCCGCGCCGCGGCGGGAAGUACGCCGGGACCCCACCGCUACCUGAGCGCCAGAACGCCGGGAUCCUCGCCGCCGGGACGAACCUGGCGGAGAUGCGGAUGGUGGAGCCCGGCAACGGCAUCGGGCGCCGGCCGCGGCCGUCGGGGCGGGCGAGAUUGAGACACCAUUCGGAGCGGUCGGGCUUGCCGGCGGUGGCGAGGAUGUCGGCGGCGUGGAGGGAGGCGGUGCCGAUGAGGUCGGAGCCGAAGGGGUCGGCGUCUUUGACGUGGAAGUCGAGGCGGGCGGUGCGGUGGGCGAGCGGGAGGAGGAAGCUGGCCUCCCAUUUGGGCGCCUCGGAGUUGCGGAAGACGUAGGUGCGCGCCAGCGUCGUCUCGUGGUGGGGCCCCGCCGGCACGACCACGGCGGCGUAGGGGUCGGAGGUCGCGUGGAGGAGGUGGCCGUGCGGCUGGCGCUCGUGGUGCCGGUGGAGGCCGUGGAGGUGGUGGUGGUGGUGGCGGUGGUGGGUGCUUUUGUCGUCGGGCAUGGAGCGGCUACUAGCAGCAGGCCGGCCGCGGCUCGCCGCCAUCCCCGGCGGGCAGAGGCAGAGGCGGCGGAGGAAGGUGGAGAGGAGGUCCAUGUUGGGGAGGCCGCGCGCCUCGUGGAUGGUCAGGUCGAGGUCGCCGUGGAGGAGCAGCGCCUCGCCGGCGCCGGAGUUGUACAUUAUUGGAUGCCGGCCGGAGCUCGCGUUCUGGCUGGGGCCGCCGCGGUGGCGCGUUACUGGAGACUGAGAGCGUGGCGGGAAGCAGCAGAGCUUUGUAAGCCCUGGGCGGGCCCAGUUGUCAGUGUCAAUGUCGCGCCGGCAGCGGAGCCCAAUUGCCGAAGGCGAGGUGGCGUGUGGCUUUGUGAAAGAACGGGGAUGCGAUUCUUGGCGUGGCCGGCCGACAAGCCAGCGGCACAUCUGGAUUGUGCUUUCCGCUAAUGGCAACUUGUACGUAGGAUCGUGGUAUAAAGCAAAGCUUGAUUCGGAAGCUAGUACUCCUUCUAAUCUAAUCACAUCCUAGUCCCUCACGUUGCCUGGGUGAGGGGUUGUUUUUUUUAAAAAAAUGGAAUACCGGCCUCUCUGCGACCGCACACAGCCAUGGUAUACUCCUAAUUAGGGGGAGCCAUGGUAUACUUCUAAUUAGGGGAAGUUUGGAUCCCCGGACUAAACUUUAGUCCCUGUCACAUGGAUGUCACAUGGAAUGGAAUGUACUAAUUAGGAGUAUUAAAUAUAAACUAUUUACAAAACUCAUUGCACAGAUGGAGGCUAAACGGCGAGACGAAUCUAUUAAGCCUAAUUAGUCCAUGAUUUGACAAUAUGCUGCUACAUUUGCUAAUGAUGGAUUAAUUAGGCUUAAUAGAUUCGUCUCGCCGUUUAGCCUCCAUCAUCCGUGUAAUUAGUUUUAUAAUUAACUUAUAUUUAGUCCUUCUAAUUAACUCCAAAUAUUCAUUGUACGGACUAAACUUUAGCUUCAGGAUCCAAACACCUUCUUUGAAAAUUUAUCCGGGAUAGAUCGGUAAAGGUGGUAGCACUACAGUUGGGCAUGAGCGGUGGGCUGACGAGGGCAAGGCAUGGGAUAUAGGGCAAUAGAGGAAGAACGGCAUGGGUAAUGAUAUGGACGGUUGGAAUAUAUCUACAAAAUAUAACAAAAAUAUACUAUGAAACUACUGUUAGAUCUUUGAUGUCUAUAAACUCAACCCAUAAUAACAAAGUUCUGUAGCUCACGGAAGAUACUCCUAGCUAAUUGUUACAUAAUACUCCUAGCUAAUUGUUAGCUCUAGCUAGAUCUCCAGUUCUCCAGAUCUACAAAAUGAUAGGUAUACCGCCAAAAAUUAAAUGGCAAAAGAAGAGAACAGGUCAUCUUCCCUGCCUGUCCCUGGGCUUCCUUUUCCUUUUCCGAAGUAAUCUGGACUCUGGCAGAAGAAAAAACAACGUUGAGGAGGAACAUGGGUUAACCAUCUCUGAAGAAGAUGGAUGAUGAUAGGAAGAAAAACCUUGACAGGAAAGUAGAGAUCCUCUUUACCCGGUCCAAAAACUUGACCGCCAGCAACCUUCUUGGGCUGGAAGAUGUAGGCCGCUAGGCCUCCGGCCCUUAUACCGCUGGGCCUCUACAAUUAAGUCUAUAAUUGGGCCGCAAAUCCAAUCCUAAUAAUAUACCCCAUUCCAGCGAACUACGGUAUCAGAAAAAUGUAUCUGUAUCGUAGAACAUUUUUUGAUACAUGUUCUACGGUCGUACUCUUAUCAUCGUAUGCCGACACAUACGCAGGGAGCAGUGAUGGAGAGAGAGAAAUCGAAAUCCAAAGCUAAUUAACGCAUUAAUUUACUAGUCGGAAAAAAAAUAAUGGUGGCCUGCGGCCACUGUCCUGUCCUAGAAAGCCGGCGCCGUCCACGCAUGCAUGUCGUCGAGUCGAGGUUGCGACGCGGCCCGUCGAGGCCGUCCAGUUGCUACCACCACCCUGCGCUGUCUCCUCAUUCUCUGUGUACUGUACCAUCACCGUGCAUCUUCAUUAACGAAGAGAGAUUGUAGUAGUGUUUCAGCAGGAUAAUAAUAGUAAAAAAAAGAGAUAUAAUCUACAAUUCUAGUCAACUCCAUGUAGUAUAUUCAUGUCGACAUCUGGUGGGGCCGGGGCCACCCAUAUGCACCCAAGAUCACACCACGUGUCAUACAUCUUUUAUCUUCUAUUUUCAGAAUAACUUUGGUGCUUACCUCAUGCAUGACGCAUGCAUAUGCUAGUACCAAUGGUUCACAUGAUAUGGCUAGCCUACUAUUUCAAAUUGUAUGUUAUUUUAAAUUUUUUUAAAUGUAUGAUUUUUCUUUGCACCUUACAUUAUGUCUAGAUACAUGUUAAAAUAUAUGUAUCCAGAGAAUUCAAAACGGCGUAUAAUUUAGAACAGGUUCCCAAAUCAUAUAUUUCUCUUUCAAUAAUAUUUGUUAAAAGAACCACCAUAUGCAUUCUAGGUUAUAUUAUGAAAUCAACUCCAAAAUCGCGCCAGUUCAUGAGAUACAAUAAUGAUAAUAAUUUUGGAUGUAUAUGUCUGAAAAUGUAUCCUUGUCUAUUUUUCUUUGUCUUUAUUUCAUUUGUGCCUUGGAGUUAUUUUUAACCAAAGACAUUUGUGCCUUCAUUGUCAUUGUUGUAUAUCUCGAACAGGUUGAAUUUGGAGGGUUUUUUUUUUGUGUCAAGCAUAACAUAACCUUACCUAUGUAAAUAUGGUGAUCUUUUUUCAAGAUAUUUGAAAUAAAACUUGGUAUGAUUUGUAAGAAUAUUCAUGUUUUCAACACCUAGCUGGUGGUAACUUUGUACUUUCCGCUACAAGACACAAUAUGUUGGUAACUUUGUAGUAUUACCUUUUUUUAUGUGCCUUUAGUCCUAUUGCAAUCAUCUGGUUUGUACUUGUUUCAUAGCCAAUAAAUCUUUCAUUGUGGACAGACACCCUAAUUGAACUAUAUAUAAAAAAAUUACUGGAAACAAUAACACAGUCCACCAGAUAAUUAACUGUGGGGGAGACUGGAAAUCUGCAGCAAUUUUUUUACCAGUCGUUUGGUUAAAGAGAUUUUUUUAAAAAAUUAUUAUAUAUGACAAUAAUUAUAUUAUGUAGGAUAAGAAAAAAUGGUGUUUAAACAGGUGCACACUUUGCAAUACUCUUCGUGUCUCAACCAAUUCUGGUGUCUGAUUUCCUAACUGGUUUGGUACCAGUACCUUCUGAAAGUCAGACAACGAUAAACCAGCGGAUCCGGUGCUGGGCUGGAGUGCUCAUCCAACACCUCAUCUCUGGAUUAAUUCAAUUAAAGGGGUGUUUGGAUCCUUAGCUAAAGUUUAGUCCAUGUCACAUCGAAUCUUCGGAGACUAAUUAGGAGGACUAAAUAUGAGUUAAUUAUAAAACUAAUUACACAGAUGGAGGCUAAUUCGCGAGAUGAAUCUAUUAAGCCUAAUUAAUUCAUGAUUAGCACAUGUUUAUAGUAGCAUCACAUUAUCAAAUCAUGGACUAAUUAGGCUUAAUAGAUUCAUCUCGCGAAUUAGUCUCCAUCUGUGCAAUUGAUUUUGUAAUUAAUCUAUAUUUAAUUCUUCUAAUUAGUAUCUAAGCAUUCGAUAUGAUAGGACUAAACUUUAUUCCUGGAACCAAACGGGAGCUAAAGUAGGAGCUAUUUGAGAUGCGGAGAACCGUAUGAUCCGUCAAGAAACACAGGCAUAUUCUAACUCACUCAUGUGGGCACGCGUAGCAAUGCUUAUCCUCGAAUAGAUUAUUAUUAAUGAAUUAACUAAUCGCCUUCUUAAUUCAUAUAUUGAUGUGGAUGUGCUGUGAUGCGGCGGAUCGGUACGGGCAUAUCCUCCUCUAGGUUUCUUUUUUUGACAGCGUACACAAAUUCAUCCAGAAUGAGGUUGAUCGAGGUAAUGCAGUACUUCAUUCAUGCAUGCAACACUCAUAUCUAGUAUCUAACUCCAUUUGAUUUGAUUCAUAUUUUACCUCUACACGGUGGGAUAUUAAUUUUGAAAGUGACCCAUAGCUUUAUCUUUUUGCUGGUUUACUCUCUCUUCUCGUGUUUCUUUUUUUCUCUUUGCCUUUGAAAGAGCCUUAUAUCCUUUACCAUUCUCCAUUUUUUUCAUGAAUUCUAACUAGUCUUAUAAUUCGUCUCCAGAGCAGAGAAUGUAAGUCAUGAUUUGGUGGCUAAUCCUAGUGAUUUUUUGGUGAUCUGUCUUUAAUUUGUCCGAAUUUCAUGAACUUACCGAAGUAGCCAGUGUAAGCUAGACGCUGCUUUUCAUCCAUGCAGGUGCUCAAGUUCCAAAAACAGCUGUUUAAUUUUAAAUAACUAUUGUUCAUGUACUCACCUGUCUCUUAAUAUCUGUCAUCGUGCGAAGCGUGUUGGUCUCUAAUGAUACUAAUUAUGUAUCAUAAAUAUUAAUAUUUUUUUAUGUAUUUGGUCAAAAUUGAUUAUAUUUGAAUUUUAAAAAAACGAGAACAAUAGGUAGAAAAGGACGGAGGGAGUACUUUACAAUAUCAUGCUGUCCUGUGACGCUAAAAAUCCAUACUACUCCAAGUUGGGUGCCCAUCUAGUCAGCUCGUUGGGGGUCCAGGAGGGAUGAACCUGCAGCUAAUGCUAAUCUGAGAUGAAUCCCAACCGUGCCUUAACCAACGCAUUAGCAAUAACAGCCAAAAGUCUUGAACUCUUCCUCAUGCACAUCUGCAGGUUGCAGACGCCUUGUAGACCUAGCACUAGCAGAUGUCCAUGUGUGUGAUGCUGGGUGUUGUUGACCUGCUGUUCAUGAACAAGGGGGAGAAAAACAGUGGCUUGUUGUCCCUGUAAUCAUUUUCAAUUCGCCACAUCACAUUUGACUUAGUUUCUCCGAUUAUUUAAUUCAUUCAUCAUCGUGGGCAUCCAAAUCCAAAUCCUACCAAAGAAGGGGUGGGCUAGCCACCUCAGACAACCUUAUCUCCAAAAACCAGUUAGUAUACCAAAUAUUUGAUUUCCAAAAACUGUAUUUACUCGAAAUUUAGAGCUCAGCAAUUUCUUCCCAAAAUCUUCUCUGGUUUCUUGUUAAUCCGAGGUUGAAUUUGUAGGAAGCCUCUCUUUUCCUCUCUGGAUUCGCCUAGGCGUCCGUCUCCGACUCCGAGUCACUACUCUCUAUUGCUGCCUCUCCAUCGCUAUAAAGCUCUCGCCUUUGCCGCCGUCUCCUCACGUGCGCGCCACCACCUUCCAUGCAUGCAAGGGCACUAGCAGCUAGCACGGCCGUCUCGUGCCUCUGCGAGUCGACUUUCUCGAUUGACGUUCGUAGUUAAUUAAUCAGAUCCAUGGCCGUGGAGGAUCCCCCGGCGCCGGCGCCGCCGCGGCAGUCCGCGGCUGGCGCGUGGGGACGGCGGGCGGACAAGCACGGCCGCCGCCGCCUCGAGGUAUACAACGAGGUGCUCGCCCGCCUGCGCUCCUCCUCCUCCGCCGCCGCGCCCGCCGAGAUCUCGCCGGCCUUCGAGGAAGCGCUCUGGGCCCACUUCCACCGCCUCCCCGCACGGUGAGCCGCCGCCGCCGCAGCUCGCCCCCCGGUGAUUUCCUGUCGCGAUCGUUGCUUCGCCUGACGCGCGUACGAUCCGCCGCGCAGGUACGCGCUGGAUGUGAACGCGGAGAGGGCGGACGACGUGGUCACGCACCAGCGGCUGCUGGAGGAGGCGCGCGACCCGGAGCGGCGGCCCGCCUUGUCGGUGCGCGUCGUGCAGGUCAGAGAUCCACACCCAUCGUAUUCCUAUCCACUGUCAUCAUCACAUGCUUAAUUGCGUAGUUGCAUGCCCCACACGCGUCCUUCAUUUGCUCCUCUCGUUCAGGAAUCUAUGCAACGUCUUUUGAGUUCUGAGUUCUGACCAGCAGGUACCAAAGUAACUUGUUCGAUCAUAUAUAUGCGGAAGAAUAGAUCUCGCAAAAAGAUGCAAUUUUUAGGAUGUUGUUCUUUGUUCCAGGAGUUUAGCAACUCUUUUGACAUGUUCGAUCAUACCAACGAGUAGAGCUAUUGUAAAGAUGCACCUUUUUGUUGGUUGUUCUUGUUCUCGUUUCACCAAUAUGUUCAUUCUUGAUCUGUUCGAUGGUGCCGGAGUUUACAAGAGCUUGCAUAUCAUUUGUUCUUUUGUUGUUAUUAAAGGCAUUUCAUGUAUUAACCUGAUAUGUGAUUAUCUAUGAUUUCUGAAGCAAACCUGUUUGUUUCAUGGUUGAUCAUCAGGUUUCUAGAAUUAUUGACGGGGAUAUGGGUGAUUCUAUCGAUCCUGACAUGGAGAUGGUUGCUUCUAAUCACUUGCCGAGUCAGUUGUACGUAUGACCUAUAUAUUUGUAGAUAAAAAAAAAUCUCUUUUAUGUACUGAUAGCUUUCUACUGAUAUAGCUCUUCGUGUUUUUUUGGCCUGUUAAUGUUGUGACGUGUACAAUUCUUCAGGGUCCACCCACCUCCUGCAUUUGGUUCUUCCUCCAAUCUAGAGGCGCUUGGGCUUGAAACAAGUGAGGGUGAUGUAAGAAGCACCAACGAUACUGAUCACAGUGUACAUCUCAUUUCCAGGUAAAUAAUUUCCUUUGCAGUGCUUAUAGUGUCGUGCUUGCUUUUUGAUCUAUUUUUUUUCGGUUUAGUGUUUCCAUUCCUCGAGAAAAGAAGUAGCAUUUCAGGAUUUCUUGGCAGAUUAACAAUGAAGCAAUUCACCUUUUUGGACCUCAAUAUAUUGUUUGUGAUAUUUUGAUGUUGCAAUUUCGAAAAUGACAGAUAUGGCUACAUGUGUUACUCUAAACAAAUGAUUGCAAUAUACAAUAUUUGCUAAUGCUUAGCUGCAAAUCAGCUCCCAAUGUGGCUUGAGAUGUUAUUUCUUUAAAAACAAUUAUUUAAGAUGUUAGGAUAUGUACAAUUUUCUUCUGAAUGCAAGAAAAUUUGUACUUUCUUGAGGUGACAUAUAUCUUAAACUUGGUUGGGGUUCCAAAUAUCUCCAUCAAGGUUACUCACCUGAGCUAGCAUCUUUGAGUUUCGUUCUGGUUUGUUUGCAUAGUAUGAAACUGUUAAAUGGUCAUGCUUGGAAGCCUUCAUUUGUCCAAAGCAUAUAACCUUUUAUUUCAAAAAAAAACAAAGCACAUAACCUGAAGUAGUUACUAUUUAGGGACAUAUAUCUUGUUGAUAUACAAACAGUUUGAGAAGAUAAUUUCUCUGCUACUUGAUAGUUCUCUCUGUUCUGAAUGGUGCAGGCCUAUGCAUGAGAUAACUUUUGCAACAGUUGAUAAGCCAAAACUUCUUAGUCAGGUAGGCAAUCUUCGUUUUCCUUGGAAUGUGCAAUUCUCAGUUAAGGCUACUCACAAUUAGCCAACGCAUACAGUUAAUAGGGAUAAUCAAAUUCAGUAAAUUUAGAAGCUAGCAUGUACUAGUCAAUAAGCACAAUGAAUAAAACUAAAUAUUAUAUAAAAAUCUUGAUAAUAGGGUAAAGAAAUUAACAAUAUACAAUAAAUCAGUUGAAGUCAGGUUAAGUCACUUCCAGAGUAGACCUUUGUCAGCAACUGCCUGCGGUCUUAUGCUGUCAUUUAUCCGUUUAUUUGCAGCUGACAUGUUUGCUUGCUGAGCUCGGUCUUGACAUCCAAGAAGCACAUGCAUUUUCAACAAUUGAUGGUUACUCAUUGGAUGUAUUUGUUGUUACUGGGUGGCAUCUUGGGGUAUGGAGUUCCUCUUUGCUUCAGUACAUCAUUGCAAUUGAUUAUUUGCUUUUAAGUAUUCUAUUAGUUCAGUAAUGUGUGAUUUUUUGUUAAUAACAAUAUAUUCUUUUCCUGAAAUUUCUAGAGUACUGAGGAGCUACAAGGAAAGUUACUCCAGAAAUUUCACAAAAUUGAGGUACUCAUUUCCUCCCCUCGUUUUGUGAAAUUAGAAACUCCAGUCAUACAAAAUAUAAUCUGCCUUUGGCUACCUUGGUAUUACUUAAAUUGUCCUCUUAUUUCUAGAGAAGUUCUUAGUUUAUUAAAGCAGAUCACCUAUUGGGAUCUAAUAAUUUAAAAGGUCUUGCGGUCUUCAACCAUUGAUGACACCAGAAAAAUGUAUACUUUUAUUGUUACAUGUGCACAGCAGUGCUUCUAAAAACAUUUAUUCUGAUGUUCUGAAAUUACAAGCAAGUGUUUAACUGUGUUAAGUUAACGUUGUGUACAGGCACAGGCUUGCCCUGUAUCUAACAGAUCAUCACCGUCAUCACAAGUUCAAGGUGGAGAAAGUAUGCCAUCUACUAGUGUGGAAAUACCAACAGAUGGUGCAGAUGUUUGGGAAAUUGAUCUGAAACUGCUCAAAUUUGGAAACAAAGUUGCUUCUGGAUCAAAUGGCGACCUGUAAGUACAAUCUGAAGCAAAGUUUUAAGUUUUUCUUAGUCAUAAAGUGGAAAUAGAAGAAAAUUCAGAGCUGAAUUUGAUGCUGGGCUUCCGUAGGUACCGUGGAUCGUACUGCAGUCAGGAUGUUGCCAUUAAAGUAGUGAUGCCUGAGCGAAUCAGUGCGGAUAUGUACCAAGAUUUUGCACAGGAAGUGUACAUUAUGAGGUUAGUUUGAAAUUGUUUAUUGACAUUAGCUUUACUGAAAUGGUUCCAUCUCCAUUUGUUAUGAAUUUCUCUAGUAUUGAAAACUUCAAGUCAUAGUGUAGGUUCUAUAUUUUACAAAUUAAACUUAUCUGCCUAUCAACUUUGAUAAUUAUGUAAUUGUUUCUUGGUUUAUACAUGCUUGCAGAAAGGUUCGUCACAGGAACGUUGUGCAGUUUAUCGGUGCCUCUACAAGACAACCAAACUUAUAUAUUGUAACAGGUAUACUAUUCUGUAGUAGCCAUGCCAAUAAAUUUCUUAUUUGAUCCCCUUACACCUUUUUUCGCAUAUCCUUGUCUUAGAUUUCAUGUCAGGAGGGAGUGUCUAUGAUUACCUCCAUAAAAAGAACAGUGCUUUCAAGCUUCCAGAAAUUCUAAGAGUGGCAACUGACAUCUCUAAAGGAAUGAACUAUCUGCAUCAGAAUAACAUAAUUCACCGUGACCUCAAGACUGCAAAUCUUCUCAUGGAUGAAAACAAGGUCAGCUUUAAUUUUUCAUAAAGUCAUAAUUCAUAUUAUUUGUUCAAUUAUAAGAAUGUGAACAUAGAUCUUUGCUGGUAUCACUAGAUCUCAAAACCUGAAAGGAAUAUAUUUUGCAGGUUGUAAAGGUUGCAGAUUUUGGUGUUGCUCGUGUGAAAGAUCAAUCUGGAGUGAUGACUGCAGAGACUGGAACUUACCGUUGGAUGGCACCUGAGGUGUACAUCGUCCACAUGCAUAUUUCAUAAGAAAGUAAUGCCUAUUUGUCUGUCCUAACAAACAGAUGCUUUUGUUGAAACUUCAGGUCAUAGAACAUAAGCCCUAUGAUCACAAAGCAGAUGUUUUUAGCUUUGCAAUUGUCCUGUGGGAGCUGCUAACCGGCAAGGUGAUGGCACUUGUAUUCUUUGGCAUGAUUAGUCCCUCAAUUUCUCUUACUUUUAGUUGGUAUAUAAUUGUCUGUGAAGGUUGACGUCGAUAACUGUUCAAUUUCUCAGAUCCCUUAUGAGUACCUAACACCACUGCAAGCAGCAAUUGGUGUUGUUCAGAAGGUAAGCGCAUUUCAACAUUUCUGCUUGGUUUCCACAGUUACAUUAGUACGCCCACAAAGGAUAUAACUUCAUGGAGUUCAUAGACAGCUACAUCUAGAAGACAUUGUAUUUCUUUAGUUCUUAUUUUAGGUAAGGACAUGUGCAGAGACUUGGGAAGAGGGAGGGGAGCAGUUCUUUAUAGGAAGAGUCUUUUACAAAUGAUGCUGGCUUUGCUCUUUCAAGGAAGAGUCAUUUAAGUACUGGAUUGUCUUCCUUUGUGGUGCAUUUGUUUAUUAACAGAUUAUACAAUAUAUUAUAAACAAGUUCACUGUACAUACAACAAGUUAAAACAGCUAGCCAGGACCAGUUUCUAUUUUUAAGUGAAACUGAUAUGGCCAGUUCUUUUGAAGAAAACAACUUUUGUUCCAGUGCUUACAGGGUUUUCUAGAGAUUUUUACAGUCCAUAGUAGUUUGGGUAAAUUUUGGGCUGGUAGACCAUACUCUUCACUUACACGUUAUGAAGAACUCCGUUUACCUGUGUGCAUUCUCUGCAGGGCAUUAGGCCAACAAUCCCAAAAGACACCCACCCCAAGCUCGUCGAGUUGCUUCAGAAAUGCUGGCAUAGAGAUCCAGCUGAAAGGCCUGACUUCUUUGAGAUACUGGAAAUUCUUCAGAGACUCUCCAAAGAGGUUAGCCCUCUGCAUUUUUGGUUCUCACCACCGGCUUAUCACAUGUCUAGAUAUAGUUAUCGUGAUUUUCUUCUGUAACUCGAAAAGUUGGUCCCUGCUCAGCUUGUCCUCGCUAUUGUAUCCUGUCGAAUGUAAUGCUCUAUCAUGAUUCUCACCUCACUUUGAAACAGGUGGGAACUGACACUGAGGGUCGCCACAAAGCGAAGACAGGUUUUCUUUCAGCCCUGAAGAGAGGUCGCUGAAGGGCACAUAAUAGUUACUCCAAUGUUGGUGCUUGAUGCAGAGUGUAAUUGCAGCAUCCUGCUGGGGGAGCGUGCCUUGUAGUGUACAGUCAAUCAGUCAUAACUUCAUGUAACUGCAGCUGUUUUGGUCUUCUUCUUUCUUUUCUUUUUUUUUUUGCUAUAAUCUACUUUGUUUUCUUCCUCUUUUUUCUUUUUGCCCCUGUUAAUCUGCUCUUGUUCCAGUUUUGUUGAAUUUUCAUAAGAUUGAAGAGGCGAGCUGUUAGUAUCUGAUGACAUUGUUUCAUGUCUGAUUUUUUAAAUGGAAACUACGGCAGGCGAGAAGCUGGCCUGAACCAGGAGGUUGUUGCGUACAAGAUUUAAGAAAAAAGGUUGAGAAUGGAGGGAUCUUGUAACCAUCCUCUGUUGUCUUCUUCCUGUACUUGGAACCUUCUUUUACCCUGUUUCCAGAUUCCAUUAGAACUAUUUGCAGAUUUCAAGGGUGGUUUGUACAGGUUACCACCGGUUUCUUGAACAUGGUUGUAUACAUCAGUCAGCUGUUUCAGUGAGGAAUUCUGUUUCCUGCAAUUUUUGUGGACCCCAUAUGUAUACUUCAUUUGUAUUUCAAAAGUUAUAUAUAUGCAAGCAGCUAUUGUUCGAAUGUGCUGAAAUAUUAUCUUCUGAUGAUAAUUAGUAAUCCUCUUUGUACAACGCCCUGACAGAGGUGGUAUACGCCGGCGCCUCCAUCUUCAUCCCAGCCCCUACCAUGGACUUGUACACCAUGUCGGCCUUGUCCAGCUUCUUGUUCUUGCCUAAGCAUGUCCCUACCUACUUCCCCGGGUCCCCGGCAGGAUGGUGCGCGGCGGGCGUGUUCCGGCUCGACGCCGUCGCGGCCGUGCGGUUCGGCGUCAGCUGCUCCGGUGCCGGCGCGCUCUGUGGCGGUGCAUACAAAAGGGUUGGACGGCCGCGCACACGGGCAAUGCACGCGUCCUCAUGGCGACGGACGACGCAGGAGCCAGCAGCGCUGUAGCUUGCGGACGGGCGGCCGGGGCAACGGGCAAAGGCCGCCGGAGCAGAGCACGACUUCCGUUCCCAGCUAGCUUGCGUCCCGAUGCCCGCGGCUCUCUCUCCCUAGUCUCCGCACUCCCGCACGCCGCUGCCACGCGGUGGUUUCCCAGACGACUUCAACUUCGAGGUGGCCCUUCGCGCGAAGCUCAGGGAGGCGGCCGUCCCCACGCCGUCACGACCGCGUGGUUCGUUCGACGGCCAGCUCCGGCGCCGACCGACCUCGGUGGCGCUGCUCGCGCGGGCAAUGCCGAUGCGCAGGAGCCGGCGUUGCCAGCGAGGCUCUGCAGUCGAUCUCGGCCGCACGAGUCUGAUCCCACGGCCACGAGAGGCCAAGGGGGUGGCCGGUAUUUCAUUUACCGUCCACCCCCGGACGAGAAAUCAGAUACCAUCCACCCCCGAGCCCGGCGUUCCUCGCCGCCGGGGAGCGCCGGUUCCCGUUCUGCGUCCCCGGCGACCGUACCUACAUGUUCCAGCACUCGGUCGGCCGGUACGGCGCGCCAGUGGCGUCGCCGGGAGUCCCUGCCAGCUUAACAGCCGGGGCCAUGCCGCUCGGCGUGGCGCGCCACGGGAGGCGGCGGGUGCGUGGCGCGGGGCACUCGAGCUCUGCGACGUCAAUGGAGUUUGGAACUACUGCCGGGAGGCGUUCGACAACGAUGCCGCCGCCGUCCGGCGCGGGGUGCCGCGCGCGGCUGGGUUAAUUCCGACGAGUGCGUGGCGGAGGCGAUGGAGGCGUUGGAAGACGCGGGUGGACGUGUCCACUGCCUAGCCAAGCGGCGUUCAUGCCGGCUCGGGCAGUCGGGCUCGCACGACGAUCGGCGGCGGCGAGUAUCGUCUCCUGCUUCUGGCACUGAUACUGGUACUGCUAGCUGCUUAAACAAAAAUGAAAUACACGAUAAAUAAAUUGGCAAAUCCACGAUAGAUGUAAAACAGUAAGUAGAAAAUUUUGGACCUAUUCAAUUUCCCCCCCACAUUUCAACUGUAAGUAGAAAAUCAGUGGCAAAUAUAAGCAUUAUUUUGGACAAAGAAUCAUCUAAAAAUGUGCCGGUUGCCAUCGCUUUCAGUUUCAGCUUACAUGUUAUAUUUCCCUGCAAUUUUAAUGUACCCGAAUUUAAAAAUCAGAGUGUUUAAACAUAUCUUAUACUUGUACUUGAGUAUUUUUUUUCGAGAAUAUGUACUUGAGUGUUUAGAAAUCAGAGUAUUUGACCAUUUGUAAAACAUAUUUAAUUUGACCAGAUAUUCGUAUGUAGGGCCUGUGCUGAUAUACGAUAAGGCAUCGUCAUCUCAUCCGAUUCCAAGACACAGGACAGCUCUGAGCUCUGCUCCGCCACCGUCCAACCAGCAAUGCCAGCGGUGGCGUCCCUAUCGACACCGGCGCCGGCCGCGGCUGCGCGGCGCCGGAGGUUCUCCCCCGCGGCUUCGGCGUCGCUGCGCCGGGUCGCGUCGGGCGGGGGCUCCAGCUGGCGCAGCGAGCGGCGGCUCAUGUCGGAGCUGGAGCGCACGGUCACGGCGGGCGCGGCCGAGCGCGUCAUCCGCAGCUACGUCGGCACCAAGUCGGAGCGCGCCGCCCUCGCCGCGCUCUCCAGGCUCCUCAUGGACUCCGACCCCCUCGCCAUCCCGGUGCGCCCCGCGUCCUCUCUCUGAGCUAAUAAGAACCUCUGCAUCCUGCUCGCACAUCUCUCGUUGGGGGAAAGCCGUGUGAAUCUAGCCGUGCCAAGAAAGCUUCUUGAUUCUUUCCCCUGCAUUGUUUGGUGACAACUGACAUGUCUGUAGAAAGUUGAUGCAUUCCUGUCCUUGAAAGUAGCAUCACAAUCUAUGAGCAACCGAUUCAACUUUCACUAGUUAUUACCUCUGAAUUCCAACGUCUUUAUGGCUAGCCGUACCAAGGCAGCGUCUUGAUUCUUUCCCCUGCAUAAUUUGGUGACUUGUGUGCAGAAAGUUGAUGCCUGUCCUGUCCUUGAAGUAGCAUCAUAAUCUAUGAGCAACCAAUUCAACUUUUGGUAGCUAUUAGCUCUGAAUUCCAGCUACUGUAUGUUAGGGCCUAGCCUAGGAUCACUGGAGCACAUCUAGUCGGGUUCGAGAGAGACAUGAGUGGACAAGGAGUUCCUGGUGAGUGCGUAGUGUGAGAGUGAGAGAGAUUGGGGUACCUUCACCCCUAGGGGUGGGAGCAGCAGAGCUGCUGGCCAUCGCGGGUUCUGUUGACGGAGUCUGCGCAAGGCAGCGACGCGCAGUGCCGACUCCGGUCGGCGGUGAGGUGGCGGUGGUGCUUCCCGCCGCUACUGCGCAACCUAGAUCGGUAGGUAUGUCGGUGGGGCGGCUGACUACGGCGAACCUCGUGAGCCGAGCCGGGUCCCCCACCCUGUUUAUAUAGCGCAGCGCGACAGGGGCCCACUACCCAUUGAUAGGGUAAGCGCCCCCGAUCAGGGCGCAGAUCAAGGUCCUGAUUGGCCCAAAGGCCAAUCGGGAAAGAGAUCAAUCUAACAUUCUCCCCCUUGAUCUCAUCAUUUACUUUUAGCUUUAUACUUUUCACUUUUAUUCGUUUCAUCAUAGAUUAAUAUGUAGAGCAUGUUUCGUCGUCACAGCUUGAUUGCCGAUAGAAUCAACAGCUACAACACACCUCUCUAUUUUGAAACAAUUCUGUUUCUUUUGGGCCUUAUCCAAUCCAGGAAUUAUAGGCUUUCCCUUAAACCCAUGCCGGCUAAGUGUUCCCUGAACACAUUGGGAGGUAAGCCUUUCGUGAGCGGAUCCGCAAGCAUAUCUUUUGUUCUAAUAUGCUCGAGACUUAUAGUGUGAUCCUGGAUUCUGUCUUUCACAACGUAAAACUUUAUCUCAAUGGCUUUGGAAGCAUUGCUUGAUUUGUUGUUGUGAGCGUAGAAUACUACUGGUUCAUUGUCGCAGUACAUCUUUAGUGGUCUGUGAAUACAGUCAACCACUCUUAAUCCGGGUAUAAAUUUCUUUAGCCACAUUGCCUGCCCCGUGGCCUCAUGACAUGCUAUGAAUUCUGCAUGCAUCGUUGAUGACGCAAUUACUUUCUGUUUCGAGCUUCUCCAUGAGAUAGCUCCUCCUGCGAGAGUGAAUACGUAUCCAGACGUGGAUUUUCUAUCAUCUUUGUCUCCCGCAAAGUCUGCAUCUGAAUACCCUUUUAUCUCUAGGGAAUCAGAUCUCUUAUAUGUAAGCAUGAGUUCUUUCGUGCCUUGCGCGUAGCGCAACGCCUUCUUUACCAUUUUCCAGUGUUCUAUGCCUGGAUUACUUUGAUAUCUACCGAGAACCCUGGUGACAAAAGCUAAGUCAGGGCGAGUGCACACUUGGGCAUACUGUAAGCUUCCGACAGCUGAAGCAUAUGGAACCGCUUUCAUUUGAUCGAUCUCGUACUGGUUCCUGGGACAUUGAAAAUUCCCAAAACUGUCGCCCUUGACUAUAGGAGUAGGUGUGGCUUUACUCGCAUGCAUAUUGUACUUCUUUAGAACCUUUUCUAAAUAUGCCUUUUGCGAUAACCCUAGAACCCCAUUCAAUCUAUCUCGGUGAAUUUCUAUGCCCAAAACAUAUGUUGCUUCACCAAGGUCCUUCAUAUCGAAGUUUGAGGACAAGAACUUCUUUGUCUCUUGCAGAAGACUGAUAUCACUGCUUGCAAGCAAAAUAUCAUCCACAUACAGGAUUAGGAAAAUGUAUUUCCCAUUUUUGAACUUUGCAUAGACACAAUUGUCCUCUAUAUUCUCUUGAAACCCAAAUUUCUUUAUUAUAUCAUUAAACUUUAGAUACCACUGUCUAGAGGCUUGCUUUAAUCCGUAAAUGGAUUUCUUUAGACGACAUCCCAUAUUCUCUUUGUCUUCCAUGACAAAACCCUUUGGUUGUUUCAUGUAGACGUUUUCUUCUAAAUCCCCAUUUAGAAAUGUCGUCUUUACAUCCAUCUGAUGUAACUCUAAAUCAAAAUGUGCAACUAGCGCCAUUAUGAUUCUGAAGGAGUCUUUACAUGAGACAGGAGAAAAAGUCUCAUUAUAAUCUAUUCCUUCUCUUUGUGUAAAACCUUUUGCCACAAGUCUCGCCUUAUACCUUUCUAUGUUCCCUUUGGAGUCACGUUUAGUCUUGUAGACCCAUUUACAGCCUACUGUUUUUAGCUCCUUUAGGAAUCUCCUCAAGUUCCCAAACAUUGUUGGAACUCAUCGAUUUCAUCUCAUCUUCCAUGGCCUCUAGCCACUUCGAUGAGUGAACACUUUUCAUGGCUUCUUCAUAUGAAGUGGGAUCACCUUCUAUAUGAACUUCUUCUGUGUUAUAAACUUUAUAACAAUCAGGGAUGGCUGAUUUUCUGACCCUUUGAGACCUUCUAGGCCCCUCACUUUCAGGCAUAUUCUGUGCCUCUGCUUGUGGCACACUAUUCUGAGGUGGCUGCUGUAACUCUUCCUCGUGUGCAAUGAUGGGUUCGGUUGGCUCCUGAAGGACAUGUUCCAAAACUUCACUCAUCGUUUCCACGGGUGGAAUCACAGUAGGUGCUUGCACCACAAUAUCAGGGACUGUAGCGGGUGCUUGCACCACGACCUCAGGAACUAUCGGUGCGGGAAUAAUAGGUAGUGAGAAGUAUGGUUCCUGAAUCAUCGGAUUAGGUGCACACACCCGCUUCUCCUCAAGAUCAAUUUCUCGAGCUACCAUGCUCCCCCUCACCAUCUCAUCCUCUAAGAAAAUCGCCUGUCUCGUUUCUACAAACUUUGUGAAUCUGUCUGGACAGUAGAAACGAAAACCCUUUGAUUUUUCCGGGUAGCCAAUGAAGUGGCAACUUACUGUUUUGGGAUCUAGUUUCCCGAUGUUUGGGUUAAACACUUUGGCCUCAGCUGGGCUCCCCCACACACGUAAGUGGUUUAGUGAGGGUACUCUUCCUGUCCAUAGUUCGUACGGUGUUUUGGGCACCGACUUACCUGGUACUCUAUUAAGAAUGUGAAUGGCAGUCUUCAGCGCCUCUAUCCACAGUCCCAAUGGUAAGGUGGAAUAGCUCAUCAUGCUGCGCACCAUAUCCAUCAGUGUAUGGUUACGCCUUUCAGCUACUCCAUUUUGCUGAGGUUCGCCCGGCAUUGAAUACUGGGCUACUAUGCCAUUUUCCUGCAAGAACCUUGCAAAAGGUCCAGGAACUUGGCCGAAUGGGGUAUGCCGACCAUAGUACUCCCCCCCACGGUCGGAUCUUACUAUUUUGAUUCUUUUGUUAUGCUGAUUUUCAACUUCAGAUUUAAAUAUCUUAAAUUUAUCCAACGCUUCUGAUCUUUCUUUGAUAGGAUAAAUAUAACCGUAACGGGAGUAAUCAUCUGUGAAUGUUAUGAACAAGUCAUAGCCAUCCACACUUUUCACAGGAAAAGGUCCACAAAUAUCAGUGUGGAUUAUCUCUAAAAUUCCUGUGCUACGUUUAGCGCCUUUUUUAAUUUGCUUUACAAAUUUUCCUUUAAUGCAAUCAACGCAUUGUUCUAAGUCUGAGAACUCUAAUUGAGGAAGAAUUUCAUUCUUAACUAGUCUUUCUAUUCUCCCCCUCGAAAUAUGGCCUAAACGACAGUGCCAUAAUUUCGACGAUAUUUCAUGAGUUCUCUUUCUUUUCUUUGUUUCUGUCUCUGACGAGGAUACAUUCAUAUUCACAUCACACACAGAAUUAACUUUUUCACGCAAUGAUAAUAAAUAUAACUCAUUGUGAAGGAUGGCAACACCAACACAUGCAUUAUCGAACCAAAUGGCACACUUUCCAUUACCAAAAUGACAUUCAUAACCAUCAUGGUCCAAACGUGAAAUACUUAUUAAGUUUCUGUGUAAUGAGGGAACAUAAAGCACAUCUUUAAGUACAAGCAUGAAACCAUCAACUAGCUCUAAAGAGACAUCGCCAACAGCUUCAACUUCUGCUUGGACUCCAUUUGCGACUUCAACGCAUCUUUCGCUUCUUUGCGUAGUCCUCGUCGAAUGGAAUCCCUGUAAAGAAUUUGCAACAUGAACAGUUGCACCUGAGUCAAUCCACCAAGUAGAUUUCGAAUACUGUGUAUACAAGGAUUCAUUUACAAAAGAAAUAGUAUUCUCACCUCUUUUUGCCAUUAUUGACUUUAACCAGUCGGGGCAGUCUUUCUUGAAGUGCCCCUUUUUCUUGCAAUGUAGACAUUGAUCUUUGUCUACUGGGAGAAGCUUUUGGUGAUUCUGUUGCAUAGGAGCUUUUCCACGUGCCUUGAAAGAGGGGUUAGCAAUCUUUUUCCUGUUAUCCUUAACAUAGUGUAAUGAGCCACCAUGUGAGGAUCUAAGUCUGUCCUCUUCCUGCACGCACAUGGCGAUCAUUUUCUCCAUGUCCCACUGUUCUGGCUGCAUGUUGUAAUUGACAACAAAAGUGUCAAACUCUUUAGGCAGAGAAGCAAAAACCAAAUGCAUAAUGUGCCCAGGCUUGAGCUCAAGAUCCAUAGGCUUCAGCUGUGCUGCCAAGUUAUACAUCCUCAUGAUGUGAUCUCUUAUGCCAGUCCCUCCGCCAUUGUACCUCUCUGUGGCCAGCUGCUUGAACAGCUGAGUAGCAUAUAUCUUUGAGGAACCAGUGAACUGAUUCCUUAUCUUGUCGAGGUACUCUGAAACGGAGUCACACUCUGCGAUCGAGCCCAAGAUGGCAGGCUCAAUCGUAUUCUUUACCAAAGCCAUACAUUUCUUGUUGGCAGUGGUCCACUGUUUGUUUUCAAGGGUGUAUGCCAACUCCAGUGGAGCAUAGUCCCUUUCCUUUUGCUGCCAUGCAGCAUCAUCAUCACCAUCAGCCCUCACUGGCUUCUGUGGAGCUUGUGGCUGCGGUGUGGUCAGCACCCAGUCAACUUCUCCACAAACGAAGGAGAACUCAAUCUUCUUCCUCCAUUCUGUGUAGUUGUUGCCUUUGAGAAUGGGUAUCUCUUUGAGACACGCCAUUAAGUUGAAUGAUCCUGAAAUUCACAAUCCAUAAGUGAGAUCAUAACGACAAUUGCAUGAUUCAUUUCCAACGUUGGUCAAAAAAUAAAACAUACAACUGUUGAUGCAAUUUAAAACUAUAUCACCGUUGGGCAGAAAUAGAAAUAAAAGCAUCAAAAUAACUUUUUAAAUCAUGAUACAGUUAUUAACAACGUUGGUCAGAAAAUAACAGCACCAUGAUCUAAUUAACUUUAUCAUGCUCUCACAUAAAUUUAAUUAUCCCGUUGGUUCAAAAUUAAAUUUAAAUGGAGCAAUAAAAAUGACUUUUGCAGCGGAAACUGUGAAAUAAAUCUAUUUUCAGAAGCAAGACACUGUACAAAACUUUAUUAAUCUCUAAUACAAAUUAUCCCGUUGGUUCAAAUUAGAUUAGAGACUAAAACUGUGUAAAAACUAUUAAUUAAAUGCUUCUGAAAAUAGAAAAAACAAAAUACCAGGAGUUACUGUGCAAAUCGCGAAAACCGGCCCACGCGCGAAAACGGCCCACAGCCCGUUCCCGCGCGCGGCCCGCUCGCGCGACGCCGGCGGCCUAACGCGGCGCAACCGGCCCGCUUAGGCGCUACGCAGGCGGCCCAUUAACGCGCUGCGUAGCCAGCCCACGAAAAUGGCCCGCUAAAAACCGGCUCGUCGCCGGCCUAGCGCGCGGCGCGCGGCGCGCGGCUGCAGGCCGCAACCUGGGCCUGGGCCGUCUCUUCUCGAUCUAUUGCUUUUCCCGAUCUAGAAUAGCUUCUAGGAGGUGUCUGAUACCAUUGUUAGGGCCUAGCCUAGGAUCACUGGAGCACAUCUAGUCGGGUUCGAGAGAGACAUGAGUGGACAAGGAGUUCCUGGUGAGUGCGUAGUGUGAGAGUGAGAGAGAUUGGGGUACCUUCACCCCUAGGGGUGGGAGCAGCAGAGCUGCUGGCCAUCGCGGGUUCUGUUGACGGAGUCUGCGCAAGGCAGCGACGCGCAGUGCCGACUCCGGUCGGCGGUGAGGUGGCGGUGGUGCUUCCCGCCGCUACUGCGCAACCUAGAUCGGUAGGUAUGUCGGUGGGGCGGCUGGCUACGGCGAACCUCGUGAGCCGAGCCGGGUCCCCCACCCUGUUUAUAUAGCGCAGCGCGACAGGGGCCCACUACCCAUUGAUAGGGUAAGCGCCCCCGAUCAGGGCGCAGAUCAAGGUCCUGAUUGGCCUUUGGGCCAAUCGGGAAAGAGAUCAAUCUAACACUGUAGUGUCUGAGUGCCUUUUUCACCAUUUCAUGAUGAACUGUCAUUUCAUAAUUUGUGCAUGUGCAUGCCAAGGACAUAUUGAAAGGUCUAGCCUUGUUGAACUCUAAUCUAAAAUGGGCUUCGCAGUAAAAAUUAUCAUCUGAUUCGUCGAAUUUGUUAUCUUUAUUGUUAUCGCAGUUCUAUGAGGCAGUCACAAUGGCCCGGUGGUUCAAAUGGAGCUCUAUUCAUGCUGCUGCAGUUGCUGCCUUGCUUGAAGUAAAUGGAAGCACAGGAGAAUCAAGGUCCCUGAUCUCUGACUCCAUCUCGCAGCACCUCCAGUCCACCGAUGAGGUGGCUCUCUUCUACUGUGAUCUCAUGGCUGCUUUCUCCUCGCGUGGGCUGAAAGAUCGGGCAGUGGAUUUCUACACUGAGCUACGGUCAAUGCCGCUCACCAGGCACAAGACCUACACAGCCAUGAUAAAAUCCUUGUGCCUGAUGGGUCUGGCCACUGAGGCUGAGGAAGCGCUUAGGGAGAUGGUCUCUCUCGGCUACCAGCCUGAAGCCUUCCAGUUUGGAUUGGUCGCGAAAUGCUAUGGCAAGUCAGGUUCGUUAGUUGAGAUGGAGAGGGUUAUUGCAUCCAUGUCAGAUGCUGGUAUCCGCCUGGGCACUGGCGCAGCGAACAUCGUGCUUUCAUGCUACAGCUCCUGCCGUGAUCAUUCCAAGAUGCUGGCAUGGUUAAAGAAGAUGAAAAAACUGCGCAUUGUGCCAACUACAAAAGCAUACAACUUUGUGCUCAAUUCAUGUCCCACGCUUGCUUCAGUGGUUCAAGAAUUGAAUCCUUCACUCCCACUGUCAACGACCGGGUUGGUCAAAAAGCUCAAGUCUGUAUCUACACUAGCAUCAGAAGCUGAACUGGUGCACGAGCUUCUAGCCUCCUCGUCAGUGUUGGACAAGGCAAUGGAGUGGUCUGAAACAGAGGUGAAGCUGAAUCUGCAUGGAUUCAGUACAAUUGCUGCCUAUGUGUUGAUGCUGCAGUGGGUGGAUGUGAUUAAGGGCCGUACGUUACCGUUGGAGGUGUCUGUUGUGUGUGGCAUUGGGAAGCACAGUGAUGUCCGAGGUGAACCCAAAGUGCGGGAGCUGGCACAAGAGGUUCUGAGCCGGAUGGGGAGCCCCCUUCGGCUAUCCACAAGGAACAAAGGGCGUCUUGUGGCAAAGCGAGAUAGGGUGACGCGAUGGCUUGCCAGCCUUCCAGUGCCUGAUGAGGUUUCAGAUAAAUCACCUGAUGCAUCGAGCCAACAACCAUUUGUAUUUACUCUUUUCAGAAAACUUGGACAAUUUUUUUCCACCCUCGUGUAGGUUUUCAGAUGAAUUGCAGAGUAGAAUGAUAGGAAGUCUACAUAAGGUGCUCAAAUAUGUGUUGGCCUAAUCCUUGUUCUGAUGCGGGAGUGUUAUGCCUCAACUAGCUGCUUGAUGCUGAUGGGACUGAUGAACUGUGCUGGUCCAUCAUAGAAGGCAUGGCCCGCAAACUUGGAAGUAGCCUGAGUAGGGUGCAGAAGGUCCCAGAAGAGGUACUUGCUGCGGUCACUGCAGCAGCUGGAGCUGGGGGUGCACCCUCUCUCAGCAUUGAAUCUGCCAUCACCGCAGCAUGCACUCUUCACCUCCUCCAACCCUGCAGGGAAAAAGUGAUCAACGCUGCAGAAAUACUGGAGAAAGAUGCGACAAAUCAGUGCUAUUACAAUGUUCGAUGUGUGGGUUUCAUAUCCAGAAUACUCCUGCUCAGUUUUUGCAACUUACCAGCCGCAUGGGGUUUUUUAAUCAAACUAGAGACAAGCUCAUAAGCACUGGCAAUGGAGUACUUCAUGCCGUGCAUUUCUGAGCUGAGAUUGCUGAACAGGUCCCUGAUUCCAUCAUUCAGGCUCUUGGCCAACUGAUUCAAGGGCUCAACACAUUCUCCGGUUGGGUUCUGGCUUCUCAAGUAUGGACAGCACCCAAUUAGUGGCACAUUGAUCACCGCGAAUUUCCUCGCUCCCAAAUUGUACAGUGUCUGCAGAAAAGUAAAUAUACAGAUACAGUUAUAGUUGAUAAAAGCAUCCACUUCGCUCUUGUGCUUAGAGCUCCUGACUUCCAUCUUCCGAGUAUGAUAACGUAUGAUGACUAGAGUUCUUACUUUGACAUGGCUAUCAUACGUGGAAAUCAUAGCUUCAGAGAACUGCUGAAUGGCGGUGGAGUCUGGUGAUCUGUUCUGUAAGAAGAAGUCGAAGGCAUCAUUCGCCCCAGCGCUUAUGAGGAAGAUGGAUUUUGACAGCAAGGCUGACACUCUGCCAGCACUCAGUCUGGUUGACAUCUGGUCUUUAAGGUCUGAGAAGUACUCUAUCUGCUGCGUCAUGCUGAUUGUAGAUCCCUGUUGUAUUGACCAUUUGGAAUUUUGGUGUUAGUGGUUUUCUUCGGAGUAAUUAUGGUACUAGGUAAUGUUGAUUGUACUAGCAAUUUAAUUUGUAAGGGAGAAAAAUUCUUGACAAUCACAUAUGCGUUUCACCAAAUUCAUGAGCUGAGUACAAAAGAUGCUAUUUCGGUUGAACUUUUGUGACCAAUCUUUUCAUCUUUAGGUAGUAAUGAAUCACUUGAUGUACAGUUACCAUUAAAGAUUUAUGUACCAAAAAGUUCACUUGAUGUACAGUUACCAUUAAAGAUUUAUGUACCAAAAAGUGCGUCCAGUCAUUACUACCAAAAAGUGUGUCCAGUCAUCACACAUAUAGUGCUUGAAGCGUACCAUAAGCCUAAGUUUGCUACGAUGUAAUAAUUUUGGAGGUUGCUACAUAACAAUGUAAAAGGCUGGAACCUUGUUUGUUCCUUUAUCUAAAAAAAAUAAGCCUAAAAAAGCUAAAGCCUCCUAGACAGCUAAACCAAGUUAAUUGAGAUUUUGAUUAAUCAUAAAUUAUAGCAUGAUGUCACUUAAGGUAUCUGUUGAGGAUAAGAUCAAGUCUCAAAAAACAUAGAAUGAACAAUGAGAGAUGGAACAAAUAUGCAGGUGGACAUACAGUGGAAUCAAGAAGGCCAGAGCCUCCAGAAGCAAAGUUAGCUCCGGUAGCGUAGGCUGCUGCAGCUGCCAUCGUCAUGUUCCUCGUCAUCUCACUGCUGCUGUUGGCAGCAUUGGCCAAGAGUGAGAGGUAUGGCGGUGGGCUCCUGCUGAACCCCAUGGCAAUGGCUGAAAAUUUUUAUCACAACAAGAACAAAACGCAUCCGUUCAAAAUUUCAUUCAUCGGAGCUUAUCUGUCUGUCAGAGAAAUGUUGCAGAAAUCAGUAUCAACCGCUGUAAAUUCAACGCACUUUUGCUGCAUCAAUAUUUCUGAACGAAGUUUUAAUUUGCUGCAUUGUUCUGUGAGCUGUCUUCAUGAGCGUUGUAGUUAAGUAUUUACAGUGGCCAUUGUAUUACUCACCGAUGAAGUCGACGCCGAUGAGACCGUUGCUGAACCUGCCGGUGGGCUUGCCGCCGGGGAAGUCGACGCCGUUGUGGGGGAAGUCGGCCCUGGCGAUGCUCCACGGCAGGUAGUCGUUGUUCCCCACGUCGGCCGUGGAGUCGCCGAACACGUACAUCGCCGGGACCUUGGCCCCGGCGGCCACACUCGCCGCCUCCGCCGCUAUUGCCACAAGAAUUGCCGCCGCCGCAGCAGCAGCAGCUUGUCGCACAGCCAUGGAUGGCCACAGCCGCGGGAGUGGUGUGUCAGUGUGUUGCACGAUCCAGCAAGCAUGUGGGCAUAUUUAUACGGAUGUGAUUGCACGAAAAGUUAAUUUGCCAGAGGUAAAUAGUAAACAAAACUCAACUAACCGAAUGAAUUGAUCAUUAGCUGUCACGUUCCGUUUGUGCCAGUAAUGGCAUUGGCAGUGCGACUCCUCGUAGUUGUUUACCAAUUCAUUGUGUUCUUUUGGUACUCAACUAGUGAAGUAAGUAGCCCAAGCCCAUAAAAAUCGAAUGCUCUUCUCUGAUGCACUGAUUUGAUUACAUUCUUAUGAGAUGAGGAGAAUUCAUUUUGAGGACAGGAGAGAACCGAAUGCUUGUAUUAUUCUUCUUUUUGAAAAAUCAAACAGUUCUCAAUAAACUAACACAGCUGACAAGACACUUGAAAUAGGAUGGACACACUUGAAGGAAGUGAUGCUUCCUUCAACAAUACGUCUUACAAUCAAACAGCAGUGGUAGUGUGUGAUGCUUCUUUUAAGAAUAUAAGAUGGACAUUGUUUCAACAAUACGUCUUACAGUCGAAAUAUAUCAGAGGCAGCAUCUAUCAACCAGCUCAAUAUAUCCCACAAAAUUCUUGCCGAGCAUUACAUGAGUACCAUGCUCAGGGUAAGAUACAACAUAAUACUACUAAAUGUUUCGAAAAUACACUUUCUUCUCGUCUGUCUUCCUGUCUGCAAGUUCUUCAAGAAGUGAAUUUCAGGGGGGACACCAUCCCAAUAAUGGCAGAUGCAAAUGUGUGAUUUGGGAAUCAGCAUCCGUGUAAUGGAGAUAAAUAAGAAUAUGUUCCUUGUCUGGCAGUCACCAGUUGUGAUCGAUUACGAUCCAGGGCAACUCUGAUGCUCAUGGAUGUGCAUUAUGCCCUUUUCCUAGUGAUCCUGUCACAAGCCAAAAUAUCAACCAAUUGAGUGAUAAAAAUAGGUGGAAAAGAAGAUGGUAAUGAACUGAUGGCUAACAAACCUGAAGCAAUGAAUCCCAAGUGCAUUGGUGAUCUCAUGAAUAACAGAUGUGGCAAAAUGCACGUACAGUGCCACUGCAAGGAUUGAACAAAAUAGUGAGAUCAGACUGCAUGGGCUCGUACAAGGCAAGACGUGCUAAAAAACUACAGCCAAUUUCUCAUGAUUUCUUGUAAGUAGGCAAUUUAACAGAAUGAAUAGCUUUGAGUUACUGAUCUAAAGUUUGCAAGCCACCAACCAGUAAAACACCCUUAAAUCAUGAUGAAUUAGCGGAUUUAAUCUUGCAUAAAUAGAACAGCAAAAAGAAAUAUUAAUUUUUGAGCAACAACAAGAUCAAAUUAGUACUUUAGCGCACAACUGUAGCUUGUUACUGAAAAGAUAAGCUGUGAGAAUAAUGCGGUACCUGUAAAUAAGCAGUACAUUAAGAGAACUAGCUGCUCAUCAACAAGGGGAUUUCUGCAACAAUCAAUGACCAUAAAAUCAGUUGAGCCAGGAAACUAUUACAAACAAAACAAAUGAAAAAGGUAGUCAGACACACACCCAUCAUCAAGCCGGGCAGUCAGUGCAUUAGCAAUUGCAAAUGGAAAAUAAGCAAGGGCCUGUAAAAAGGACAGCACAAUUUUUCAGCAUGCUAGCAUAGGCCUUAUGCCCAUAUAUAAGGAUGGUGUAAAAGAGAACAAAGAAGGAUUUGGCUUUCCAAGAAAGUACCAUGCACAUCCCUGUUUUCAAACCUUUGGGUUCAUCACAUAAGUGAGCAAGAAUCAUUCUUCCCUGUGGAACAAUAUAAACAGAUAUCAGGUAAUGUCCAUAUAUUUACACUGUACUGCUAUAUCUCUGAAACAGGGCAUUUAUUACAUCAAAAGGAAAAAUGAAGACACGAUGCUUUUAAGUCUUAAACAUGGAAGUGCCAUUUACAAAUGAGCAGGUGCACAUAUAGGCACAGAAAUGGACAGAUAUACAAGGCAUUAGUUAUAAAAAUCAGCAUAAAAGCCUUACCACAAGAAAGCCAAAUGCAAAACCGGUUCCAAUAAUUAGCAGAUGCGGCUGAUUUCUCAUGAUAUCUGAAGGAGAUAGGUAGGACCUGCAUAAAAAUAUGAUCGUUAAGUGAUAUACUAGAGGUUUCACCUAGACUGGUAGCUUAGACUGCCAAGCUCAAAGUUCUAGGUAGAGUGAUGCAUAACUUCAUAUACAUAAAGCAAGGAAAGGUUUCAACAGCCUUACCAGACAAGAACUCCAGCCAAGAGCAAACCAAAAGGAAAGAGCUGACACAAAUGAAGAAUGCAGAAUAUCAAAUGAAGAAAAGAGAAUCACAACAGUAGACUAAAAAAAAGAUAAAUUUAGAGAUUACCAUGGCUAGUGCCAACAACAUGCUUCCUUUCCUUGCUUCAACGACUUUAUACACAUUGUGAAUGCUGUACAGUUGCAAUAUUAACUUAGUCGACAUUGGUAUGUUCAACCGAUUCAAAAUUAUAAAAUAUGAUAAGCUCAAAGAUUAAGCAAAUAAGGUACUCAUUCAACUCAGAUAUAUUGUGCAGAGAUAUGUAUCAGCUUAAAAGAGUAUCAAUUGCUUCAUUAACUUGAUCUAGGACUAUGCUAUUCCAUGUAUCAGCCCAUCUGGUUGUCCAAUUUGCAACUGUAACUUCACUAUCAAUCUCUUUAGCAGAUUUACUUCAUGGACAAAUUUUCAAUUAAAGACAAACUAUUCCUUUUUUAUCAGAAAGAUGAAUUGAUCUUCUUACACAUGAAGCAAUAUAAUAAACUACAGAUUAAAAUAUGCUUGUUAUUUCUUUGACUUAAAUUAAUAUAACAUCUAAUGUAAUUUUAGAGGGCGUUAAAGAGAAUAUCAAAGGGUCAUAUAAUAUGCAGAAGAACCAUAUAGAACAUCCAGCAGCAGAAAACACCACUAGAAAAUAAUACAUGUAUACUGAACUUACUUAGAUCCAAUUGUUGGGAUUACAGCAAAAGCAAUCAUAAGACCCAGCACGAUGUCAUAGACAGGGAUUUCUGGGAAAAGAGGCAAUGAGCAAUAAACUUCAGUAUAGGAAAUGUCAUUUUGUCUUGCGACUUCACAAUGAAGCUUUCAUAGAGUAUUAAUAGGGGGGAAAACGGAAAUAGGUGAUAUAGAUGGCGAUAGAAUCAAAGAACUUGACGACCAUAUGAUAAUAUAAAUAUAAACACAACAAAAUGGUAGCAUCUAUACCAGGAAUAAGAGGAACCCAACCCAGUAGGGGCAUUGACUUCUGGAAAUCCUGUGCCCACCACUCAGCUCCUACAAAAGGAAUGAUGAACUAUUAGUACAGCCAUAUGGAAGUCCACAUGAGUAUGUACAGUGAAUUAGCAAGGGAACACAUUUUUUUUCUAAGUUCCACAGAGACCAGGUAAGCAUGAAAAUUGACAGUUUAAAUCAAAUAAGAGCAUCUCCGAGAGUGCCUAAAAAAUAAAGUCCAAAAAAUAUAGUUUUGGGACCUUGCCAAAAAUUAUUGGGAGGAAAAAAUACCCCUUACAACCAACAGUUACCAAAAAAUUAGUCCCAAAAAGAUUCAAUUCUUGCCACAUCAUCCAUGUGUGGGGCCAAAACUUUUUUUUUCUAGCUGUGAACAGUAACUGCGGGAUUUCUUUUUUCUUGGCCUUUUUUUACCGCGAGUUUUGGGAGCAUGGAGAGGAGGGCAAAUUUAGCUGUAGAUGGAGUAUGUAUUGGACAUGCGGAAAAAUUGGAAACUUAAAUAGACAACUGUUGGAGCAUUCUUUUUCCACAUUCAUUCCCAAAACUAAUUAUUGGAAUUAUAUAUUGGGCACUCUUGGAGAUGCUCUAAUACCUGUGAAAAAGGUGAAAAUAUGGCACAAGUAGAUCAGCAUAAGGCCUUCAGUUGGUCCAUUUACUAUAGGAAGAAUAAGUGUAUUUGUGAAAAAGCUGCACAAAGCAAUGAAGUGUGAGAUUACAGGAUAAAAAAAGAAACCAUUGCAACAAAAAUUGAAAAGAAAGCAUCAUAAUAAACAACAAAAAGUAUGCAAAUCUCAGUAGGGCAGUGGGUAGUUCCAAUAUAUCCCUAUUUUUAAUUACACAAGUGUGUAUUCACUUUCCAAAAGCAUUAAUGCACUUCCCACAUGACAAACAUAUUCAUGAACAAGACCAAAUCAUCCAUAAUGAACCACUAGAACAAAUGUAAGACAUCAAGUUUUAAGGUCCAUACGGGUGAAAGAAAAAUAGAAUUUGUUCGGCUUUUGAAAAUUAGAAAGCCUCCAGAAGACUUGCAGUCUUGUAAGACAUCAAUCUACAGAACGACACAUUUCGCAAGAUUGUAAGAAUAUAGAACUACGACCACUGGGCAAGAACACAAGAACUCACUGCUCCCAGGUUGCGAAGUAAAAUGGGACAGCUGAAAUAACCCAAAACCAGAAGGUAGCCUUUCCACACAUUGCCGUGCUUCCAAAAGCCAAGGACUCAAACUAAUAGAUAAAAUACAAUAAUUAGUUCACAACAAUUUCAGAAUCAUUGCACUUGAAAGGAAAAAGUUGACAGGUGGCCUUACAGCACAGGCAAGAGCAUCACAUCCUGCAUGGAAUAAAAACUUGUCAGCAUCAUAUGGGCUUUCUUAAAACUAAGUCCACAAACUUAAGUUUAAAGGAGAGAUUACCAUGGUCAAAAAGCUCGCCUAAAGGACUUGAUGAGUUGGUACGCCUUGCUUGUUUUCCAUCCACAGCAUCAAAUGUCUGCAUCAAUAUCAUUCCAUUUAAACUAAAAUAAUUGAAAGUUUGACAUGAUAUAUUCAUAAAAAACAUGAAGCUAUUAAAUCCCAGGAAAAGAGGAAAACCCCAUGAGAUGUUCAGAAAGAUAUUCAAAUUAAUUACAAAACCUAGGUACCAUGGUGAACAGAUGCCUUGAAAUUUAAAAAUUGCUACUAGUGCAGACUGACAAAUUGGAGUGCUAGCUGAAUGACAGACUUAUGUUACGCUGCGAAGGAAGUGACCUGAUAAAGGAAGAGAAGCAAUCCAUGAGCAAGGUGAACCCAUCUGGGGGGCGCUGUAUCUAGAUGAGGUGAAUAUAACUGCAGGUAAAAUGGAAACGGUAAUAAGGCUCAAUGUUACUGGACCAUUAGCACUGUAGUACUGUGAUCAAGAAGAAAGAGAACUCUCACAUAUAUAAGUCAGAAAAAUACAAUAUCAUACGUAUUGACAACUUUACUGCCGUAAGAUACUUACAAAGCCAAGGAAUGCCGAUGUCAGUAGAAACAUGAAACCUGUCAGCGUAAUCUGGAAUAAAACGAAGCAAGCGCCAAUGUUGUAUCAGGAUUGCAAAAAAAGCAGCAUAGCUCAUAGUAGCAGCAUGCGAAUUGAAUUCUCACCAUGUUUGGUCUGCAGAUCAUCCCAACAUGGAUACCCACAAAAGAUAAGAAUAAAGAAGGUUAGCACUCAAUGCACAAAACUAAGAAAAAGAUGCAACUCGAUGCGCACGAGCAUUAGGUUGAAGAUUAGACUGCAGAUAUGGUAUGCUUUAUCAAAAGUGGUAAACUUUGCAGCUAAUUAGCAAACAGCGGGAUAAAAUAAAGCGCACAAUUUGCAGAUAUGGUGUGCUUUAUCAAGAGUGGUAAACUGCGCAGCUAAACAGCAAACAACGGGAUAAAAUAAAACGCACAAUGUGCAUUAAGCUCGCAGGAGACAACUGAAUUACAGCAGUAAAAUCAAAGAAUGGCAAGAUUUUAAUUGCUUGCUCCUACAUAAAGAAAGUAAAGAUGUCAGCAUUAAAGGCACGGAUCGUAAUCCUCAUGUGCCACAUUGAAGGCAUGCUUUAUAAACUAAGCAGGAACUAAUCUAUAGAACUUAGAACAUAUUGAAAACAGUCCUUAUCAGCUUUGCAAGGAGGAGCCACUAAGCAAAAGCUGCUGCUUUCUCAGUGUAUGCAGCGCCCUGCAAGAUGGUAUCCAAAGCUAAAGAUGAUUCCUCAUGCUAUGCUAAAGCUCGGGACUCCGCAUUACAGAAGAUUAGGAGCAGCUAAGCUCAAAUUACCCAGAUCACAAGCAUGCCAUGCCAUGCCGCACAAGCAAAUGAUUCAGAACCAGAUCGCGCUAGUAGCCAAUGGAAAACAGGCUGGCGAGAUGGUGGAGGCAGAGACACUCUGGGUACGAAAACAAUUGUAGCUUAUCCUUACAGAGGCAGUCGCUCGCAUCGCGCAUUUAGCACGGGAGAGAGCUCGAGGUUGACGUCGACGGAAGCAGGAACGGGGAGAGGAGAGGAGAGGAGGGAUGUAGCCAGGUGGGGAUGGCGGUGCUUACGGGAACCAUAGCGGGAAGAUGUUGACGAAUCGGGACCAGAAGGGCUGGAGGAUGUACUUGGCGACGAGCGAGUGGUCGACGCCGCUGUACUUGUAGCGGCGCAGCGUGGCGACGCCGUGGUGGCCAAUGUAACCCAUCUCCCUCUCCCUCUCCCUUGGAAGCGCGCUGCCGCAAUCCCCAAAUCCGAAUCCGCAGCCGGGAGGGAGGGAUGAGGCGGCGGAUGGGGGGAGGGAAUGAGCAGAGGGAGGGCGCGUGGGGAGGAGGAAUUUAUGCCGGGAGCGAGCCGCGAUGCGAUUGGGGGAGGACGGAAUUUUCAAUGAGGCAUGGGUGGGGUGGGGGGGGGGGGGGGGGGGGGGGGGGGUGGCCGCCGGCGCCGGGACGACGACGAAAGGAAACGAAGGGUGGGGAGCGGAAUGGAGCCGCGCGCUUUUGCGAUCUGGUCCCUCCGCAUCUACGGUAUUCCUGUCGGGUGGCGCCAGUCAGUCAAUCACGUGCGGGCGUGUGGCUUCGAUCCAAUUCCAAAUUUUUUUUAUAGAAAAUUGAAAGAAUAUGAGAAAAGUAGGGCAAGUCCAGCGCAAACCUAAUAUUUAUCACAGCAAGUUAACAAAGAUUUUUUUAAAAGGAAAUUUGAAAGGAAACAUAUAGUAUGAGUGAGAAUUUUGGCAGGCAUGUCUGGUGAUUUACGAGCAGAGGAACAAUCGCCGGGGACCACGGGAAUAGAAUCGCGGAAAGUGGAGGGGGACUGAAGCGAGGGCCAGCUAUGAGCUAUCUGCGGCUGUGCAAGUGGGCCCGGCGCCGUCAGUGAGCCGGCGAGCUGCCGUCGCGUGAACGGCGGGCCACUCGCCGUUGUCGUCGCCGGUUGGGUCGGGGCAGUCUCCACGGACAGGCCCACAACUCUUUUCUUGGGCUCAAACCGGCCUUCCGCUUUGCUACACGCCCAGCCCACAACACAACUCGUCUGUCGUCUCCUCCAUUCCAUUCCACUGCGGCUGGCUCCGCACGCCUCCACGCCGCCGCCCAAACCUACUGGUCGCCGCCGCUACCCGCGAAUAGGUAGGAGGCAGGCGGAGGAUGGGGAAGGUGCCGCACGCCAUGCGCGCCGCCGCCAGGCUCCCCGUCGCCCUCGUCCCAAAGUCCAAACCCCACGCCGCCUCCUCCUCCGCGCCGCCGCCGGCUCCCCCGCCCGCGCGUCGCCCCGCCAACACUGCCAAACCCCACCGCAAGCCCCACAAGGGCCCCAAACCCCCGGGAUCCCUUGCCCCCGCUGACGCCAACGACGCGGCCCCGGCAGUGCAGGAUGAGCGGAAGCCCAUCAGGACCCCCGCGGACCUCGCCGCCGCCAUCCGCGCCACGGCGGACAAUGACAUCGACGCGGCGGUGGCCCUGGCCCUCAAGGCGCCCCCCGCGGUCCCGCUCCCGACCUACUCCCUCGCGCUCCUCCUCCGCCGCCUCGCCGUCCACCGCUCCGUCGCCGCGGCGCGGGACCUGCUCAACAAGCUCCACCCGUCCCCGUCCCCGCCCGACCCCUCGUCCUCCUCGACGGCCCCGCGCGGGGCGCUGCUCGCGCUCGCCGACGCCGUCUGCCACCGCGGCGACCCGCGCGAGAUCUCCCGCCUCCUCCCGGUGCUCGCCGACCACGGCGUCCGCGCCGACGCGCACCUCUACAACGCCCUCAUGAAGGCGCACGUCGCGGCCUCCGACACGGCCGGCCUCCUCGCCGUGCUCCGGCGGAUGAAGGCCGACGGCGUCGAGCCCGACCUCGUCACCUACAACACGCUCGUCUACGGGCUCGCGCGCGGGGGGAUGGUCGCCAAGGCCAGGACAUUCCUCGACACCAUGGCCGCGCAGGGGCACUUCCCUGACGUCAUCACCUACACCUCGCUCAUGAACGGGAUGUGCGUCAAGGGUGAUGCGCUUGGGGCGCUUAAAUUGCUUGAUGAGAUGGAAGCCAAGGGGUGUGAGCCCAAUGAGCGCACCUACAACACGCUGCUCAUGGGGCUCUGCAAGAACAAGAAGCUGGACAAGGCCGUUGAGGUGUACAAGUCCAUGGUACAGGCUGGGAUGAAGAUGGAGGCGCCGGCGUAUGCCACCUUUGUCAGGGUGUUGUGUCGAUCGGGGAGCGUUGCCGAUGCUUAUGAGGUGUUUGAUUAUGCCAUUGAGACCAAGAGUUUCACAGAGGUCACGGCAUAUACUGAGCUAGAGAACUCGCUCAAGUGGCUGCGCAAGAUGAAGUCAUGACUGAAUUUGGAAGGAGAGUAUCUGGAAAUGAGAGGUGGCAGUUUCUUUGCUGCUGGUACUUGGUUUCUUCAUUUAGUGAAACAUUGUCAGGCUGAUACAAUGAAUAUCUACGAAUGCAUUUGGAUUCAGGCUAUAUUUUUGGGGACUGAUCAUGUUGUUUCUUGCUCAUCCGAAAUGUAAGGAUGGGAUGUCCAGAAAAAAAAAUUGCACCUUGAGUCAUUUAGAGGUAGAGAUGGCACAAGCUUUAGUCAUGUAUGCCUUUGCUUGCUAUGGUCAUGUAGUGGGUAGCACCUUGAUGUAAACAAACAUGUAUUAUGUUUAUCCUCUGGGAAAUGUUUUACAUAAACACAGAAGUUAUGUUCUUCCUAUGAGGAAUGAUUUCUUUUCAAUGAUUACCGUGAAAAGUACAAGGUAAGAAACUGUUGUAAUGUCUAUUGGAGCUGCUGCUGUAAAUAUGUCUAUUGGAUCUGGAUAAAUUAACUCCAAGGCAGUACCUGAUAAUAAGAUGUAGCACUUUUACCUGUUUCAUGGUGUCCCCUUGGGUACAAUCAUGCAAAAUUACAAGGCUGGGUUGAUAUUGAUGUCUUGAUUUUCCUGCAGCAUCCAGCAAGUGUACCUGGGAAUCAGAGGCAAGUGUAGUUUUGGUCCAUGAUCACUUACUUACCAUUCCCUGCCAAUAAUAUCUUUUAUUUCCUGGAAGUAAUCUUCACCAACCUAUUAGGAUCUGUCAUCUUCCCCACCUAGUAAUGAAUUGUCAUUCAGUAUGUUUUGAGUCACUUCUGUGAUGACCUUAGCAAUUCCCAUCAGCUCCCAUUGGCAAAGGACUACCAUGGCUUGAAGGGCUCGUAGGGAGAUGAUGACUAAUUUCCUAUGAACUGUCACGCCUUUUUGUAUGACUGUCUGGUUCAACAGCAUAUCUGCAACUCAUGCUACAGUUUUCUGCUUUGUGCUUCAACACUUGGCUAGCUGUUUGGGCGCAGAUGUCUACAUGGACAGGAUGUGCAAGCUUAUCCCCGAAUACCUGGGGAGGACAUGACUCCAUCCAUAGUUGGUGGACAGCUCUGGGGCCGCUAACACGGCACAUAAAAAAAGGCUUACGGAGCCUUAUUAUUCUGGUCCUAUGGGAGAUUUGGACAGAAAGAAACACAGAACUUUCAAAUAUAAAGAGCAAACAGAGCAGCGGGUAUGCGAGAAGAUUAAAGACCAAGUAGCUAUAUGGAUGCAGCGGGAGCUAAGCAUUUAGCGGCUUUCGUUUUAGCGGUGUGAUUUUUAUAGUUGCAUGUAUAGUAUACUAGUGGAGUCUCCGUAUUUCUCCACAAGGAUGUAAAGUGUGUACAGUGUACAGUUUUUGUACAACGUCCAUCGGGCAUCCCUCUUUUUUAAUAUUGCAGCAGCUCUCUUGUUGGCUCAUUUCAAAAAAAAAACACUUGGCUACCCACCUUUGCAGAUAAUCAAUCAACCAGUGGAUAAAACUAUAGAAGAGCACAAGGCUGAUCAUACACAUUGCAGAUUUGAACUGUUCAUUGAUACUGAACAAUGACCAUAUGCUCUAUAGUGCUGGUUCAUCUUCGGGAAGAGUUUGGGAUCUCUUGCUAUGGAAGGGGCUCGCUCUACCUGAAAGCACUACCAGUGUGGCUUGGUCACCGGAGGAUCUUCAGAUUUGCUGUGCCUGUCUGAAUAUCCAUCUACAAAAUGUACUUGGGAGGUUCAUAUGCUAUGUUAUUGUGUAUUCUUCUGUGGUAAAAAGGAAUUCAGAAUUUUGUUCUCCCGGUAACGGCUUGUGAUUUUGAUGGAUUGUUGUGUGGAGAAUCAGCUUUGAGCCUUCUUUGAGCUGUGCGUCGAGCAUCAGAAACUAAAUGCAUACGAAUAAUACGCUGAAUACAUCGAGACCGAGGAGGGCACCAAGACGAUCAGGUAAGAUGGUGUCCCAGCACUGACCUCUGCAGCAAGCACAACAGCAUGAAGAAAACGGAAGAGAGGAGUACGCCAGCGAAGUAUAGGAAGCGGCAUCGUGGUGGGUGGACCGGAGUGGUCAGUGACAGUGACAGGGUGUUUGGGCUACAGGGGACACGUAUAGCCAAUUGCUGCAACAAGUUAUAUCUGAAUGAAACAAAGACAUCGAGGCUGGGCGUUCAUCUUCCUCCUCAAGGCUACCGAGAUCACAUCUGUAUCUACUAUCUACUGAUCUGAUGGGCGGCAACGGCGUGGUGUCAGGAUGGAAGGGAGGACAAAAUCACAAUUCACAGGGCACAACAGAACCGAAUGGAAGUAAAAGCGCAGUCGGUAAGCAGACUGAAUCGCAAGUAAGCAGACAGAACCGAAUGGAAUUAGAUGAACACACAUGCCACUGCAGUGUGCAUCUACUAUAUAUCUUCAUAGCUGAUCUGAACAAUGAAACUGAGCAGGUUUUGUUCAGAAGAAAUUUCGAGCAUAUAAUACCAUGUCCCCAAUUCUUUAUCAGGGGUUCCAUUUUUAUUUGUAGUACGCUAUUAUGCAUUCAGCAGUUCUAGUAUCACUGUCAUCAAGAAGCAGGAGACGAUACUCGUCGCCGCCGACCGUCCCCGCGUGCUGGGCCGCCGUUGACCUGGACGAUGCGCUGCGCGAAACUUCAUCCGGUGAGCCCUUGCGCCGCCCGUCCAGGAAUGCAGCGCCGCCGGCUGCGGAGCUUCGUUGGCAACGCUGCGCGUCCACGCGGUUCGUCGCCAUGGUCGUCCGCAGGUUGACGGCGCCGCUUCGCCACCAUGAACACGCGCGCAUUGGCCGCCGCGAGCAGGGCCACCGAGCACGGGCUGGCCAUAACUGGCGCGGUCGGCGCCGGAGCUGGCCGUCGAACGAACCGCGCGGUGGCGAUGGCGUCGAGCCGGAACACCCGGCCCCUCGCUGAGGAUUGUGACCAUCGUGGUGCGCGCGAUUCAUUGUAAUGCAUGGACGACUGACAUCAUGGCUAUGUUUUCUGACGCCCGUCCCGUCCGCCAUGAAAGACGCAUGGAUGGAGACGCCUGCAGCCAAGGACAAGAGCGGGGAAAGGAUUGCUUCAGGAGGAGAUAGAAGCAAUAAAGCAAGCUUUCGAUCGAUGCUGCUGCUGCUGCUUCUGGGACCUUGUACUUGUUUCUGUUGGGCCGCUGGCACUGGCUUUGAACUGAAGAAAGCCAAAGACGCAUGUGCUUGGUACUGUAGUAUACUGAAUAAACCAUGCAAUCGAAAACAGAAGUCGUGAUUUUCACAGUGACAGCGUACAGCAAGUACUUGUACCGGUAUGCAGGAUUACCAGUCAUCUUAAGUGUCAAAAGCUGCAAUUAUUUUACAGAAAACUGCAUUAUGUAUAGAAGAAAUAAAACUACACUUGAACAGGAGUAGAUGGAGUCUAUGUGGCAUAUUUUCAGGAGUCCACCAUUUUCCAUCCAAGUCUCAUGCAGCAUAUUCCGGAGUAAAACAAACUUAGACAGAGAUAUCUCGGCUGCUCGCAUUCUCAUCUAAUUGUUCUUCCAUUAAGCAAGACAGCCUUUCAUGGCUUUAUCUGCCGUCUUUAUGUUGCAGACAAGUAUGCAUCCAACUGUCAACCUCUGUAGAUGAUCAGAGAAAGGCACAGCCUAACGAUCGCCAUGAUCCAUAACAGAUAUUCAACCCUGCUAGAGCAUAUAUAGGCUUUGGAUUCGCCGUAAAUAAUGUAUUGAUGAGAAAUUUGCGUUGUGAAGUUCAGGACUGCGUUUGCAUGAACAAUUCGGCUAAACUGCUUUCUAGACUUUGAGAUGGUGCUCCGGGCCCCUGGCAGCAAGUCUCCGCUCCGUCCGUCCCGCGCCUUCACACCUCCAUCUGACCAUCUACGCCUCGGCCCGCCGUUCUGCUCAGAGCUCCGCCCGUUCCGUCCGUCACUACCGCCGGACCAAGCACUCCCUGAUGCCGGUGGCACGGCACACGCCGGGCGGCACUUGCCCGUGCGCGCUCAGAGGACCGGUGCGACGCCAUGGCCACGCCGUACCCCAGCGACGGUGCGAGCGCACUCGUUCGUUUCUCCAGCCGCCGUGCACGCAGAACGUUCGAAGUGGGACUCGUCCCGGUAACCCUCGCGCGGCGGCGAGGUGCGGGAGCACGGACGGAGAGCAGAGAGAGCGCGGCGACGGAGUCGGCGUUGACCGCGCGCCGAGGCGUUCGUUGAGCCCGCCGAAGCGGAAGCCCUCGGGAACGAGACGGGCGGUCCAGAAGCCAUUGACGCGUUCGCUGAUGAUCCAGGAAACAUCGCCGCCGUGCACGCCUGGAACACGAGCCGCUUCGUGCCGCGCGCCCGUCCGGCAGCGGGAACACGCCGUCCGAGCAGCCGGCGCCCGUUGAUAGCGCACGCCGCCGCCGAGCGCGCGUUGGGCAAGGACUCCAGUGAUUCGCGGCCGGAAGUUCCGCGGACGCGCACGUUGUAGCAGGCCAGCAGCUGCGGAGAUGGAGGUGAGCAUGACCCGGUGCUUCUCUUCCACGAUCCCGGCGGCGGCGUCGGACUCUUGGUCUUGGGUGCGGACGGUAAAUGAAAUACCGUCCACCCCUUUGGUCUUUCCUGGCCGUUGGAUCCGCCUCGUGCGGCCAAGAUCGACCUGACUAGUUGCUGGACGCGACAAGUCUCCACGGUUCAAGCUAUUUUGACCCUUUUCGCCAAAAAAUUUCACAAAUAGGCUCCUAGCGAAACCAAUUUCAAAAAUAGACCCUUAGCUUGACGUCAGGAUGGCUGACGCCACGCUAUAACAUCUUGGCGCCAGCCUUCAUGGUGCCAAGAUCCCCGCACCGGGCCUCCGACGUGGCGCCGGGCCUCUGACAUGGUGCCAUAGAUCUUGGCGCCAAGACUUGGCGCCAAGCCUCCUUAAAUAAAGAGCUGGCCCUUCUUCCUGCCCGAGAGUUCCUCCUCAUUCUUCUUCACUCUCUCGGGUUUUUACUCUCCCUACUUCGCCCUCUACUACGAAUCGACAUUCUAGCUUAGAAAACUUUCAUUUGAUCCGUGGAUCUUGAAGAGCAAGGUAUCCUCUCUCCCUCGUACCUUUUUUUUCACAUCGAUUCGCUAUAUAUUUGUUGCAUUUUUGAACUUAGGGUUUCAUGCAAAUGUAGGAUGCCGAGGCGUGGAAAAGCUAAGAAACUAAGGUAACCCCUGCGCACGUAGUUAUGUUAUAUGCUCAUUGUUGUGGAUCAAAUGAAAAAACCUUAAUUGUAGGUUUAUUAUUAAGUGUGUUUGGUUGUUACAACGAAAUAAACUAAAUUGUAGUUAUGGCGCCAAGCUGACCGGAAAUGCCUUCGAUCCAUUGCCUCUGCCUAGUGAUGUUCCAGUGCCUAUGUGCUUUUGCGGCGAUCCUUGCAAGGUAGCCAAGUCCAAUGAACAUGCCACGUAUAGGCAGAGGUAUUGGAUGUGUUUCAACUUUGCGUUUGAACCUACACUUCGUCAGCGCCGCAUUAACAUAUUGGUAAGGAAUUGUUGUUGUCUUAUAAUUAUUGACCAUAAUAUUUUUGUUUUAUAACAAUUGCAUUUAUUGUAGACCCCUCCACCGCUAUGUGAUUUUGAGCAGUGGAUCGACACUGAGAUCAAUCCUGAAGACAAGGAGUUUUUGAAGUAUAUGAUGCGCUGGGAUACAGAGAGGAAGGAGGUGUACGAGAAGAGGCUCAGAGAGGAGGCUGCGGAAAAGGAGCACAAGGAAGAGGAGGAAAGGAGGCGUGUUGCUGCGAACAAGGAGGAGAGGGAGAAGAAGCUUGAGUGUGCACGCCGAGCGAAAGCAGCGGUUGAGGAGAAUCCCGAUGCCUUGAGAAAGGGAAAGUGGCCUCGUUGCACUCAGUAGUCAUAAUUAGUUUCUAGUUCUAUGGUUUAUUUAUGAAUAAUAUUUUUUACUGUGAGACUUUUAUUAUGUUGUCAUGUAAUGAUGCACUUUAAGUAUGGACAUGCAAGUGGUAGACGACCUAUGUUUAUCUUGCGAUGUAAUGCACUUCGAAGUUGUACUCUAGUGAAAUUUCCGCAGAAAAUAAAAAGGGUACUUGUUAGCGAAAUUUCGGCAAAAUUUCCCCUACUUUUUGAUGCAAUCCAUACAAAAUUACGAGAUGAAUAGUGAACAUAAAUUAUGAAACAUUCAUAAUAGUUCAUAUGAAACAUUCAUAAUAAAAUCCACAAUAGUUCAGAAUGAAAGUCCAUAUAACACAAAUUUCGCAAUAAGAACCAUCACUGCCUGCUAGUCUUACCCUUACCCUUAUGACCAAGGGCGUCGGUGCCUGGAGUGUAAGGAGAACGUGGACGACGUAGUCUAGUGCCUACAACCUGUGUGGGCUAAGUCAAGGGAGCCUCGUGGAGCUAAGACGGGCCAAGCUUGUCGGGCCUCUGGUCAUCGUCGUCGUUGUCGUCGUCCUCAUCCUCGGAUGCAAUUGCUUCCGACGCUGAGGUGCCUUGCCUAGACGUACCAACGUCUCCUUCGCGUGGGGAUGGAACGUGCACGUCUCGCGUCGUGGCAGUCCUGCAAACACAACGAGCAGCCGCACGGCGAAGCCGACUAGACAGUUGCUGUUGUGGAAAAACUAGUUAAACGAAAGAAUUUAACGUGUUAAUAAAGUAUUUGAAAGAACAAUUUGAGUCUUACGUCCAGAAAACUUCGCGUCUCGGGGUCUGUAACUCUAGGAUGAAAAUGCUCAAUAUCUCUAACCGAGCUUUGGAGCGUACGACCCUACAACAAAUUUUCAGAAAUCAGUAGUCACUUAAGCAAUAAAUGAUUAAGUCAUUAAUUUACUUACACACUAAGUCAUUACAUGACUAAAUGGUUAAGUCAAUAAGUCAUUAAGUCCUUAUCGAACUAACUAAAUCACUAAGUAACUCAACAUAUAACAUAGAAAAGUGAAGCAAUUGUCUUACCAUCCUAUCCAGGAUUGGUCCUGUCUCCACCUGCCUUCCAGCACGAGUACUCUGAUCGUACACCGUGUCUUCAUCGUCGGACGAUUGGAUGUCGGCGUAGUCAUCUUGCGUCCAUUGUACCCUCAGCCUGUGACGCGUCGCACCUUGGUACCAAGUCUGGUAUUACCUAUACUCACUGUUUGUGUGCGGCUCGUCGUUCUCGUCCACGUUGUCCUCGACCUGCUCCCAUUCCUCAAUGUAAGCCUGGUGGAACGCGUGCCACUCAGAGAUCUUCCGUUUCUUCUUACGAUCCACGCUGCACGUCACGUUAGAUCUUACUGCUAGGAAAAAUUAAGUUAAUGGUAAUGGAAAUAAUUCAAAUAGGAUUGUAAGGUCUCUUCCAUAUCACCGUAAACGCUUGCAACCACCUCUUCAAUGCGGGAAGGUCCUUAAAUACCCUUCCCUCUUCAAUAACCAUACUAGGACUAACUUCAGGAGCAUCUAGGAGCUCAUCAUCACGUCAUUCUGCAAACGCUUGAUCGAAAAGAGUAAGAUCGCUAAACUCGUGAACUAUCGGAUGACGACGUCCAGGAAGAUACGCCUGAACAUCUCAAUAUCACUCUCUGUCAUCUCUCCAACAGGGCGAUCAUCAUCAGAAUCAAGAUCCACUCCCAUUUCGUAUGCAUCUUCAUCAUUGAAAAUUUCAACACUAUUGGAGCCACGCAAUCCAUCUCCACAUUGCACUUGUGCAGCAACUAGAGGCACAUCCAUAUUUUCUGGAAUAUCUCCUGCGACAUUAAGUACAAAUAUGAGUAAAGAAGAAAUUGAUGGAACAAAUAGGGUUAGCUCCCAACAAUAGAAACUGGUAAGACACUUACUCGGAUCAUUCUGAGUGAAAAGGAACUCAUCAGGAGAGUCCGUCACAUCAUCAACAACCCGACAACCAUGUCCAACUACUUCAUUGGGGGCAGAUUCAGCAUCGAGAAUAGUAGGUGCAACAUCCACGUCCAUAACAGGUUAUGGGACGGGAGGAUCGAAGUGUGCCCGUUGACCCAUGGGUCGGGAAAACCGACGAGGAUUUGGAUCAACUCCCACCUGAUGAACAACCACUUCAACACUUGGGGAAUGAUCAUUCAUAACCGUUCUCACAUAUUUUUCCCACUGGCCUGCACACCGAAUUGGGACCAUCUUCCUUUGAAUGUUGAGAGGGGAGCCUAGGUGAAGUAUGCCCUCGACUGUGAUUUCAUCAUCUCCAUGACAAUGUAGCUCCUCCCGAGCCCUUGCAAGCAACUCACUAAACGAGGGUUUCUCAUCAAAUAUCACAACCUCGCAUCGCAUGGCAACAAACUUAACACAUCCAUAUUCAUCCCUUUCCAUGGUGCCUCUAUGAUAUAUGCUCACUACGCUCUCGAUCUAGUACAUCAAUAUAACGACGCACAAUUCAUUUAGUCCAUAAUAAAUGAAACAUUCUAAGUACAAGGUCUCUAGUAUGAAAUGAGCUAGUAUCAAUUGACUACUCACUACCAAAUACAACUAACUAACUAUGUUAUACAACUAGCUAACUAUGUCACCUAAUAUGUACCUAUGUACUUAACUAUACAACUACUCAACUAAAUAACUACUUAACUAAAUAACUAGUUUACUAUGUAACUAACUAUACAUCUAACUACGUAAACAAAAUUGGACAUCCAUCUAGUUAAAUAGUGUCAUGAGUAUCCUCUAUUCCUUCUAUCAUUGCAAUUCAUAAAAAUAAACUUUCAUAUCUAACAAUUCUACCUAACUAUUCUAAUUUACGUAUCUAACUAUUUCAUCUACCAAUUCUACCUAUGUCGGUGUUUUAGAUCGGCAAUCCGCCUAGAGGGUACCCUAGGUGGUCUUUUAUGCGGUAAGGGUUGUCGAGAAUCAAGGAAUCAAUGGUGACGCAAGGAACAUGAUUUAGACAGGUUCGGGCUGCUAGAUCGCGUAAUACCCUACGUCCUGUGUGUUGGUUUGUAUUGAGACGAUGUCUGUCUGUUUAGGUCUGUUUGAGGGGGGUCCCUGCCCGGCCUUAUAUACACGGGAGGGUAGGGUUACAAGUAUGAGUCCUAGUCGGGUACUAUUACAGAGUUCUACUCGGUAACAGCCCGAGUAGUUUUCCAUAAACAUACUUGACUAGUCCGAGAAGGAUACGCCUAUCCUUGUUCUGAUCUUGUCCGAGUACGUCCCUUGGUGGGCCGUCCAAGACCUACUCGUGGACCUGGGGUGUAUGCCCGACAAGCCCCUGAGUACUUUGUAGUCGUGCGCCACAAUCUUGGGCACUGCGGGCACUAUCCGAGUAGCUUGGUCGUAGAGGUUGCAGACCGAAGUGCUCGAGUACUGUCGCGUGGCUGGAAGGUACUCUUUUUGCUCCUUUCGAGUUGUUUCUAUCCCGAGUAAUUUUAUAUGGUACUGCGAUGUCAAUCGCACUGCAUAUGGAGUAGCCCCCGAGCCUUAGGUUGAGUCAAAGAGUCAAGCUUAGGGUCAAACCAGCCUUUGUCCGUUUUACCCUUGGAGAUCUUGGGAAAAGAAAAAACUGAUCAACGGGUACGGUACCCGCAGCCCCCAAGCACUUAGGCGAUCUUUGUCGUUGAAGUGGUCAGCAGUCCGUUGAAUAGAGUAGUCAUUGGAUGUUUAAGUCGAUUAAUACGCAAUUGAUCUGUCCGUUGCGCAACUGACGCGUGGAAACCGGGGCUGGCGGAGAUAAAACUGGAAGCCCCCCUUUCGGUUGCUGUUACACCGUACGGCAAUCAGAUCUCUUUUUCUUCCUCCUCUGCGCCUCCGCUCUUUGUUUCGCCGCCGCCGCCGCUAUUGCCUCUUUUUGAGAAAGAUCCGAGUGUGAGCGCCUUCUAUCUUGAGGUUGAGUCCGUCGAAUGCGCACCAACAAGAUGGGCAAGAAACCCGAGAUGAUUCAGGAAAAGGCUCCGGCGACCGGCAAGGUGAGAUCUAAGAAAGGGAAGCAGCUGGUAUUGCCGGCGCCGAAGGUGGGGCUGACGAACCAAACUGCGCCUCCGCCGCCCGGGGCAACCUGGCAACACUUGGUGAUGAAGGAGGAAGCGGUCCAGGCGCUAGUCAAAGCCAGGCUCCUUCAGCCGAAGGAGAUUCUUGAGUGGCACCCCGCGUUCCCCAAUGCGUGGCAGUUUGAGGAGCAUCCAGGUGAGACAGUGAUGCUCGCGCAUUUUGUGGAAAGGGGGUUGGCGGUGCCUACCUCCGACUUAUUUAGAGGUAUUCUUGAGUAUUAUAAACUUCAGCUCGUCCAUUUGAAUCCCAAUGGUGUACUGCACGUGUCUAUUUUCGUACACCUUUGCGAAGUUUACGUGGGAGUUCCUCCCAGCCUCGAGUUGUUUAGGAAGCUGUUCCGUUGUAAGCCUCAGCCGAGUGCCCAACGGACGGAAGUCUUUGGAGGCGCCGGGUUCCAACUCAGGAACUCGGGCGCGUAUAUUGACUAUAACCUGACCGACUCCCACAGGGAGUGGAAGAAAAGGUGGUUCUACAUUGGGAACCAUGACCCUCGCUUGCCCGUGGUGACUGGUCACGCGCCCAAGCACGCGGAAAACUGGGUGAGCGAGCCCGAGGACACCCCUGAGCUCGAUCACCUGAUGCAGCAGAUCACCAAGUUGAAGGCACUCGGUUUGACUGGGAUCAACGUGGCGGCCAGCUUCCUGAAGAGAAGGGUCCAGACGCUCCAACAACGUGCUCACUCGGGAAGUGAGUACGUAGGUCUGAAGGAUCCAUCGCGUAUGUCCGAUGAGGACAUAUCCGAUGAUGACGUAGAGGCGCUGCUGGCUAAGUUUUUUAGGAACUAUCAGGGAGUACCAGUAAUCCCUGCAACCCUCCGUCAGUAUGACGCCUGGUACGAGCUAGAAAUGGUAAGUCUUUUACUCCUGACUUAUUCUCUUUUGACUUGUGAUUCUUGUUGCUGAUACCGACUUGUUGUUUGUAGUCUCGAGUUCUUGCCGGCUACUUGGCGCAGUCGGAAGAAGAGUCAGAGGCUGCUGUCGAGGAGUCGGAGGACGAGCCUUCUCCUCCUGUUAAGAGACGCAGAGUAGUCCGCAAGAUGUCUGCGGCUAAGUCUGCUUCAACUCUUGAGAAGUCUCGGGGUACCAAGGUAUGUAAUCGUGAACUCAUCUGUUACUGAUGGAUUUGAACUCGUGAUUGAUUGUGGCGACUUUUGUUUUUUUGUUCGUAAAGGCUGUAGAACAGCGGUUGUUGAAGAUGAGGCUGUUUCUGAAGAAACGGCCGUGAUCGACCUAGAAGUCAGUAACGUGUCUGUUGACAUGGUGUUGGAGGCGCCAUCAGCAGAAACUGGCGUAGCCCCCGAGCUACCCGCGCCUACUCCAUCAAUUGCCAUGCCGCCCAUUGCUGACCAAGCGGUCUUGGGGCUGCCUGCUGGAGUAGCGGGCGUUGCAAAGGAGGUGUCGCUAGUACUUGCUACUGGCACUUUGCUGUCCAAUGUGAUCGCCAGUGGUAAGCAUUGUCCCUUCCGAUUGUAUUCGUUUGAGUAGUACUGUAGUCUUGACUUCGGUUUUGUAGACCUUGGCGAGAAGACAGCGCCGGUGGCUAUUCCCACGGCUCCUAGUACUCGACCUCUUGUCGCCGAGAAGAAGCGUGUGCGACUACCGCCACAUUCAACCCGGUGAGCUUUCUUGUCUGUUUGAAUGAUGUUGGGUUGUCUUGAAAUCAUGUGGUCACACUUUGUUGGUGCAGAGAUGCAGAGGAGACUAUCCCUGUAGAGACAGGGGUAGUACCGGAUCCCUCGACUACAAUAUCUGUUCCUUUGGAGGACUUGACUGUUGAAGAGGUACCUGAGGUUGACGUCGGUCGUCUUGGAGCUACUAUGUCGAUGCUUCAAGAUGUAAUUCGCUCGGUGGAGGUUCCUGCCGUUGCAUCGGGCUCGGGAAGUGCUGCCCUAUCAUCAUCUUCUGGCAGAUCGUUUGCAGUAGUCGAAAAAGCCAAACAAACGACUGCUCCAGGUAUGUCUCUGUAGUCUUUUUAUUGUAGUCGUAGCCGGUAGCUGACAUGAUAAAUGUUGUAGGUGCUACUCUGGGUACGAUUCCUCAUCUUGUGGAGAGUACCCAGAGGCCAGUGCUUAGCCUGCCUUCUGAUUUGGAGUUCUAGAGGGCCAUCGAUGUUUUCCGGAGCUUCCAGGUAGAUGUCCCUGUUCAGUUUGUUGCAUGACCCGAGUAGUGUUGAGGCUUGAAACUCACCGCACCAUACUUGGAUUUUUUCAGGAAAGAAGCCAUCAGCUGGAGCAGGAAUGUGCCCGACUGACAGAAGCUUUGCGGGUUCAUGAAGUCAGGACGGAGUCCUUUGCCGUGGAACGCGCGGAUCACGCGGUUCUGCAGGAAAAACUGGAGAGCCGCUACAAGUCCUUGAACAAGAAGUAUCAAGGUAAGCAUUUCGACUACUCUUCGGUGUGUCCAACUGUAGUUGGUUGUGGCCUAAGUUCUUUGCUUUGUAGAGCUCAAGAAGCAGGAAGCGGCUGCAAUGAGCCAAGUCAUCGACUGGAGAAACGCUCAUGACCGAGUGGCAGAUGAAGCCGAACAUCUUCGGACCGCGCUGAUGGAAGCACAGGCUGCUUGCGAGCAUCAGCGGGACCGAAAGAUGCAAAAUGGCAUGAUGCUUGCCAUGGCCAUGGUGGCAUGCAGAGACCAUGCCCAGACUCUGGGAAGGCUUCGGGACGAACUCCAAGAGCUAUCUGGAGCGGCCGAAGACUUGGUGAACGCCAUAGCUCCCGUGGAGGAAGGCGCAGGGCCGCAAUCGCUAGUUGAGCGACUAGAGCUGCCCCGAGUAAAGUGGCGGGACUUUGCAAGACUGUUUGCAAAUAGGUUCUUGCAGUUGUGAAGUCCUAUUACCCGAGGGCAGACUUGGCGGCAGCUGGAGAUGGCGUGGCUCGCAACUGCACAGAGGAAGCAUAUGUGCAGUACCUCGAGGAGGCGAAGCCUAUCGCAGCCAAGAUGUCAGAGUUUGUCUCCCUAGAGGAGCAUUGAGCUUUUGUGUGUACUCUUGUUCUUGUACCGAAUAGUUUGAUACUUUUGAAUAUCAAGCCUUUGAAUUUUGAAGCUCGUUGUCUUGCCAAAACCGGCACGACGCGCCUAGCAAAAGAGCAGCCUUGGUUCCCUCUAGGCGCGUCGUGCCGGUUUUGGCGUUGCCGCUGUCAAGGCAGUGGUGAUGCUGGAGUUCCUGGCAUUGCCUUGGGUAGGGUACCUGGGCAUGGCUGCGUUUUGCGCAGCUUCCUUGCGUGUGGGCCCUUCCUCUUGUGGUCGGCAGACCUGAGUGGCCUUGUGAUAUAGUAAAAGCCUGAUGCUUAAAUGCAGCCCGCCAGUAGGCAGUUGCUUGUAGUCUUCAUGUAUUCCAAGUACUUGUACUCGUAUGUAACCUGAUGUACCCUUGUUUCAGUAAAGAAAUAUUGAUAUGGAGAUUUUGAACCAGGGCAAUGAUCUUUGUUGAGCUGAAAGCUCCUGUCGGAGUUGAGAUAUCUUGAAGUCGGUAGUCGGGCAGUUGGCCCGAGUAGUUGUCAUGGGUUAUUGCCUUGAAGCGAUUACUCGUGUGCUGCUAUGGGUAAUAGCGACAGAGAUGUUCUAUAUUCCAGGAGUUUGGCACUUGUUCUCCUGAGAGCUCUUGGAGUCUGUAAGAUCCGAGUCCCCUAACCUUUGAUAUGAUGUAAGGAACCUUCCCACGGUGAAUUGAGUUUAUGCAAUCCUGACGUGUCUUGGAUACGCUUAAGGACCAUAUCGCCCGAACUGAAAGAUCUUUCCUUGACGUUGUGGUCGUGGUAACGCCUUAAACCAUCAAGGUAUCUGGCAGAUUGCACUAGUGCUGCGCAUCUUAUUUCUUCUAGACUGUCUAUAUCUGUUCGCCGUGUUUCGGUUGCAAGUUCUUUGUCGUAUUGUUCAACGGAUGGUGAUUGCCACAUGAUGUCAGCGGGUGGUAUGGCUUCCGAGCCAUAUACCAGAAAGUAGGGUGAUAGCCCCGUAGUCUUGCACGGUUGGGUGCGUAGGCCCCACAAGGCAUUGGGUAACUCUUUGAGCCAUCUGCCACCUUUGGUGUUGCCAACAUCGUGUAGUCGUUUCUUCAGAGUGUCGAGUAUCAUGCCAUUAGCACGCUCGACUUGUCCGUUGGCUCGCGGGUGAGCAACCGAGACAUAGCGGACGUCGAUACCGCUGUUCUCGCAAUAUUCCCAAAAGUCAUGAUUAUUGAAGUUUGACCCUAGGUCAGUGAUAAUCCUAUUGGGAAAACCGUAGCGGUGUACGAUUUUGUCCAAGAAGUUGAGGACCCGGUCUGCCUUGGUUCAAGUGACUGGUUUGACCUCGAUCCAUUUGGUGAAUUUGUCGAUUGCCACGAGUACUCUGUUGAAUCCUCCUGGCGCAGUUGGUAACGGACCUAUCAUGUCGAGCCCCCAGCAGGCAAAUGGCCAUGUUGGAGGUAUUGUGACUAGCUUGUAGGCCGGUACAUGUUGCUGUUUUGUGAAAAAUUGACAACCUUUGCAUUUCUGAACUAGUUGUUUAGCGUCGGCCAGAGCCAUUGGCCAGUAGAAGCCUACUCUGAAAGCCUUGCCAACUAGUGUCCUUGAAGAGGUGUGGUUGCCGCAGAUUCCUCUGUGAAUCUCUUCUAGUAUUUGUUGGCCAUCUUCUCUGGUGACGCACUUCAUGAGUACUCCAGAUGAUGCACCUUUCCUGUAGAGCUUGUCUCCGACUAGAACGUAAUUCUUUACUCGACGAGAGAUUUGCUCAGCUUUAUUCUUGUCGGAUGGUAACUGGUGAUCUUUGAUGUAGUCAAUGAAGGGUGUCCUCCAGUCGACUUCUAUCAUCAUGAUUUCUCGAGAGACGUCAGUAGCCGAGACUACUGGUGGUGUGACUUGUUCAGGUAUGGACAGCUUGUGCAGUUCAUGUACGAAAAUUCCUGCUGGAACCUCUGUGCGAGUUGAGCCCAUUUUGGAUAAAACGUCGGCGGCAACGUUAUUGUCGCGGACAAUGUGAUGAAACUCCAAGCCUGAGAAUUUGUUUUCCAGUUUACGGACUUCUUUGCAAUAAGCGUCCAUGUUGUCCUUGUUCCGGUCCAACUCAUCAUUGACCUGGUUUAUAACGACUAGAGAGUCACCGUACACCAUUAGUCGUUUGAUGCCGAGGGAGAUUGCGAGGCGAAGGCUGUGUAGGAGUGCUUCGUACUCGGCUUCAUUAUUAGAUGCUUUCCAGAAUAUUUGCAGAACGUACUUGAGUUGGUCUCCUUUGGGAGAGAUGAGUAAGACGCCUGCGCCGGCUCCUUCAAGUUCGACUGGUGUUGGAACUUGAUUUUCAGUCCACUCAGCUAUGAAGUUGACCAAAUCCUGAGACUUGAUGGCUGUCCUUGGCUUGAAGUUUAAAGUGAGAGCUCCGAGUUCAACUGCCCAUUUGGAGAUUCUACCAGUGGCAUCUCUGUUAUGGAGAAUUUCGCCGAGCGGGAAAUCGGAGAUAACUGUGAUGUUGUGCUCUUGGAAGUAAUGGUGCAGCUUCCGGGAGGUGAGCAGAAUAGCUUAUAAGAGCUUUUGUAUCGGUGAAUACCGAGUUUUGGAGUCCGAGAGUACUUCACUAACGAAGUAGACAGGUCGUUGGACCUUGUAAGCGUGGUCUGGUUCAGACCGUUCGACUACUAUUGCCGUGCUGACGACAUGAGUAGUAGCGAAGAUGUAUAGGAGCAAGUCUUCAUUCGGAGAGGGAGCGGUGAGUACAGGAGGCUUUGACAAAAAGUCUUUGAGUUGUGUUAAUGCCUCAUCUGCCUUUUCCGUCCAUUUGAACUUGUCUUGCCGUUUGAGAAGCUUGAAAAAGGGUAGUCCCCGUUCUCCAAGUCUCGAGAUGAACCGGUUGAGAGCGGCCAUGCAGCCUGUGAGUUUCUGCAUAUCCUUAAUGCUGGCUGGUGCCUGCAUGUUUGUGAUGGCAGAUAUUUUUUCCGGGUUGGCCUCAAUGCCGCGAUGGCUAAUGAUGAACCCGAGUAGUUUACCGGAAGGUACUCCAAAGACGCACUUAGUAGGAUUGAGUUUCCAUCGGAAAGCGCGGAGACUAGAGAAAGUUUCCUCCAAGUCAGCAAUGAGUUCCUCCCGGUUUCUUGUUUUGACGACGACGUCGUCGACGUAAGCUUCGAUAUUGCGGUGUAGUUGCCUUUCAAAGCACAUAUUAUGGCCCUUUGAUAAGUUGCUCCUGCAUUUUUUAGUCCGAUGGACAUUAUUUUGUAGCAGAAAGCUCCGAAGGGUGUAAUGAACGCUGUUUUGGCUUGAUCUUCUUCUUUGAGGCUUAUCUGGUGAUAGCCGGAGUAGCAGUCGAGAAAGCAUAGCAAAGCACAUCCAGCGGUGGAGUCAACCACUUGGUCGAUCCUGGGUAGCCCGAAAGGAUCUUUCGGGCAGUGUUUGUUGAGGUCGGUGUAGUCAACACACAUUCUCCAUUCGUUGUUUUUCUUACCAACAAGAACGGGAUUGGCGAGCCAGUCAGGAUGAAAGACUUCUUUGAUGAACCCUACCGUGAGUAGCUUGGCUAACUCUUUUUUGAUUGCUUCUCGUCUGUCUUGAGCGAACCGGCGUAGUCGUUGCCGUUUUGGAGUAGCUUUGGGAUCGACGUUGAGAGAAUGCUCGAUCAGUUCCUUGGGCACACCUGGCAUGUCGGCCGGCUUCCAAGCGAAGAUAUCAUGGUUAGCCCGAAGGAAACCGACGAGCGCAAAUUCCUAGUGGUAUAGCCGCGUUUCCGGGCACGAUGCCGUAGAAAGGUGAAUCCGUUGGGGUAAGCAUUUCAGUAACAUUGAGGCACAUCUUCCUUAAUGUCUUGGCGAAGAUAACGUUGAGGCCGCUUCCGCCGUCGAUGAGUACUUUGGUUAGCUUUGAUCCUACCACAACUGGAUCCAGGACUAGUGGGAAAUGGCCUGGUUCUGAAAAUUUUGUCCAUUGAUCUUUUCUAAUGAAAGAAAUUGGAACUUCUGACCAUUUUAACGGUGUGGGGUCUGUUGGCUCGAUGGCCAUGAUCUCCCUGAGUACGAGUUUGUUGGCUCGCUUGGAUGCAGUGCCUGGGAUACCGCCAAAAAUGACGUUGACGGUUUUUGAAGCUGUUUGGAAGUCGCCUUCCUCAUCUUCAUCGUUGCGGGCUUUAUUUUUGCCCUUAUCUCUGUUCUUGAUGUACUCUUUAGGGGGGGGUGCGGGUAAGUCCUGCAUAACUCGGCGCAUGCUGUAGCAGUCUAUCGCCGAGUGCUUGCUAGUCGGAUGCCAUGGGCACUGCUUUUUGAGUAGCUCUGUGAAGGUUGGCCCUUCGUUGUUCCUGCGGUGUCCCUUUUUUCCGGAGCUGGUCAUGGCAGCAACGGUAAUAUCGGGCUUCCUUUUGCGAUUGUGGUUACUCGGAUAGGAGUUCCGAGCAUUGUUAUGCCGAGUUCUAUCUGGUUCAUUGUUGUGAUUGUUGUCGCGUCCGCGGUUACAGUGGGAACCGAACCGCUCUCGCUCUUUGUCUUCUUCAUCAGCCCACUGUUGCACCAUGAUUUUGAGUUCUUUGACAUCAGCUAGUCGUCGGCGACCGAAGUCUUGGUAUGUUCAUCGAUCAUAAAGUCCAUUUUGGAAGCACUCAAUGACGUCUGUUUCGGAGAUGUCAACUAUGGUAGCCUUCUUUUCGAAGAACCGUCGCAGAUAGUCGCGUAAGGUCUCGCCUUUUUUUUGCUUAAUUUGUCUUAAGUAGAUCUUGUUGCCUGGUCUAGCCAUGGAGCCAGCGAAGUUGUUGGUGAAAGCCUUUGUCAAGUCUGCCCAAGAAUCAAUGGACUUGGGUUUGAGUGACUCAAGCCAGGUUAGUGGUGCGGGUUCCAUGCAUAUGGGGAAAUGGAUAACUUUGGUGUCGUUAUUGCCCCCGGCUGCUUGGACGGCUAGCGAGUAACAUCGUAGCCAUUGAAUUGGGUCUUGCUUGCCGUCGUACUUGGUGAUUCCGGUUGACUUGAACUUAUCGGGUAAUUUUGUUUUCAUUACCCGGUUUGUGAAAGUAGGAAAAUGGUUGUAACUGUCGACUUCUCGUUCGCGCCGACUGUUGAGAAUUUCUCGCAGAUCACUGAAGUUGGACACUUCGCGGAUCUUCCGAUUGGGGCGGAUGCUUUUAACCGAGUUGGUGCAGCUGACCUCACCAACAUCCUUAUGUCGAGUAGGAGCUUUAUGCUUGCUUGGACCUUGGCUGUGUUGCCGAAGUUGGUUGACUGCAUCAUCGUUUCGUGGGGCGGCAUUUUUGUCUGCAGCUCCCCUACUACCUUCUUGAUGGGAUGUGAUACGAGGGACAGACGGGAUUGGUGAUUCUUUGUCGAGUAGCUUGUAAGCUUGCUCCGCGAGUUGUGCGAUCAGUCCGUUGCCGCGCUGCACGAGUUGAGUUGUGGCUGCAUUGUCCCUAUCCUGAGGUAUCAACGUAGUUAAAAGGUUGAUUGAGGCGAUGGCCGCGAGUGGAUUAUUGUGCUCCUGAGCCUGAACUACGUUGAAAGCCCUUUCAAGAUUCGUAAUGGGGAUAUUUGUAGCCAUCAACUGUCGUCGCUCGGCUCGAGUAGCAUUGUGUCGUUGUCAAGAUCAGCGGAUCAAGACUUAGACUAGUAAAUUUCUUUUAUGCGCGUAAGCCUAAGGUGGUUGCGCGGGAGACACGGAUUUAGACUGGUUCGGGCAAAGGAAGCCCUACGUCCAGUAUCGAGGAUGCUCAUGUUGCCCACGCGGGGUUCUGUAGAAGGGGGUUACAGAUCGCCGAGAGAGGGACUGGUCCCAAGUCUCUUUGGUGCUCACGCUCUCAGGAAGAGUUGCUGUGUGCUAUGGCUUGUGGGAGAAGAAGCCGAUCCCCUCUCCAGCCUCGGGUUCCUCCUUUUAUAUUGCAAGGGGGUGGCCGGAGUUACAGUUGGGAUCGGGUAAAAAGGACUGUAAAGAAUCAGGCGUAGAAUGGUAAAAGGUACGGCAGGAAGGAGGAGCAAGAUCCUAGGCGUCCGAUGCCUCUGCCGGCCCUUGACGAGUGUUGGCGCGCAUGCCGGAGGAGGAGGUCGCCGUGUGCCAAGUGUUGUUGCUCCCUACAUAUAGCUACUUCGAUGCUCGUAGGUGCCAGAUCAUGAUGAGGGCGUUCCGUCGUUUCCCCGGCGUCUAUUAGGGAGGACGGUGGAUGCCGCUGCUCAGGCGAUGGCUGUUGAGAGGGAGAGCGUCACAUCCACGCUGCUGGGUGCGCGGGACCCGAGGGUGUGUGGGGCCCGAGGACAGGCCGCUCUCUCCUUUGCUCCGGUCGGCGCAGGCCAUGAGUACCCUGCGGCGAAUGGGAGCCGGCCGCUGGCACUGUAGCCUGCACAGGGCGGUCGUGCACGGGUACUUGCGCUGGGUUGCGUGAGGGGCGCGGUCGCCCUGCCCUCCGCCAGAUCUGCGGCGCAUUUAUGGCAAGGCCGACGGGGGGACCCACAGGAUUUUGUCUGUCUUGCCCAUGUGGACCGCAUCCGAGGGGAUCCCGGCCCCGGAGGCCCCAGCGCGCCCGACCCCUUCGCUUGGGGUCGGACGAGGCGGAACUCCGUGGCGAGGGGUCGGGCGUCCCCGACCGUGGGGUCGCGGUCGGGCGAGGCGGAAACCUUGCGGAGGGGGGUCGGGCGUUUCCUGAUCCUGGUGCCUUGGUCGGGCGAGGCGGAGCUUUGAUUACGCUGAGGUGGGCCCGGGCCUCCGUGUCUGCUUCUUUAAAUGGUGUCUUAGGGGAUCGUUAAUAUUUCUCCCCAACAGUAGCCCCCGAGCCUGUGGUGGAGCAGGAGUGCUCCUCCGGAGGCUUUUUUUCGCUGUUUUGCCGCGGGUUCUGUGCUUGCUUUGUUUCAGCCUGGCUGGGGGAAACUUGCAAUUUGUGACCACACGCGUGGUGGUUGGUUGCGAGACUAGCCCCCGAGGUCCUGCUCGUUGCAGGAAACCGAUCGGGGGGCUAGGUCGACUUUUUGAUCGCUGCCCCUCAAGCGUCCGUUCGCUAGGACGGAGGGGUUGAGCUGGGCCAUGUUAUCCGCGUUGGACGAACCGUGGUGCUCGUUUGAGCUGCAAACGGGCAAGUUCGAGUGGAGUCCCGGUCCCCGUUCGGGGGGGUCCGGCUCGGGCCAAGCUGGUGGCGUACUCCAAUUUCCCGCCGGCUAGUCCAUAUAGUUCCCGGACCCGUUCGACCGGAUCUGGGGGCUCGUCGCCUUUCCCCGUGGAAAAACCAUGAACUUUAUACCGGCCGGGACUCGAACGUGAGGUUGGGACGCCCUUAGCUUUCACUCGCCUGGGUAUUGGCCGCUAGCGGACCCGUCCCUUCUCACCCCUUGCUCGGGGGAUGUCCUGAGGCAGCUGUCGAACCCGUGUUGGGCCAGCUUUCAAACCUCUGGACCGUAAUGGGCCGUAGGGGCGUUUUCAGCCCCGUAUCCCUUUCUUACCUCCCUGUGGGCCUUGGGCCAGAGCGGAGCGGUUGUUGCGCCUGGGCCGAACGUGGGGGGCGUCGUGGGCGCGUUACCCGGGAAGCGGAGUUAUGGAAGCGCCGUCCCGCGAAUCGAGGAAGAUAGGAUGUUUUCGCGGCCGAUUGUGCGCACGGUUUUCGAAAAGGAAACGGGCGUGGCAGGGGCAUACCUGGCGCCGCAUUUAUGGUGGUCGGGGCGUCGAUUUGGCUUCCCCGGUAUCCUUCUUAUAAAAGCUGGAGCCUGCUGCGCCGGUUCCUCUCUCCUCUCGCAUUCGAGCCUUCUUGCCUCCUACUCAGUUCAUCCGCGCUCGCCUCGUUUCCUUCGCUCCAAGCCGCGCGCUCUUCUUCCACCUUCGUCGAUCUCCUCCUUCCUCCGGCGAUGGCUUCGUGCGGAAGGGGCUCCUCUGCGAGAGGACGGAGGCGGGCGAGUGGGAGCUGCCGGGGCCGGAGCAGGUCCCGUCGCCUCCCGCCGGCUACGUCGUCUCCUUCGCCCACUUCCACGAGCGGGGAUUCGCUUCUCCGCCAAGCCGCUUCUUCCGCGGGCUCCUCCACCACUACGGGCUCGAGCUCCAGCACCUCAACCCCAAUGGGAUCCAGCACAUCGCGGCGUUCGUCGCGCUGUGCGAGGGAUUCCUGGGCAUCGAGCCCCACUUCGCACUAUGGAAGUACUUCUUCACAGUGAGCCUGUACCAGAAGACAGGAAAGGCGGGGAGCCAGCAGCGGUCGCCUCCGGUGCCGAUCGGGUGUGCCGGGAUCCAUCUCCGUCACACUCGCUCCAAGGAGUACAUGACGGUGAAGACCUCGGUGUCCCACAAGGGGUGGCACAAUCAGUGGUUCUACGUGAAGAACUACCUGGACUCCCCCCUGCCGGUUUUCACCGGCCGCACCAUCGACGCGGCGCCCGAGGUAUGGGCGUACGGGCCGGUGGAGAAGGAGAAGAAGCGGUUCUCCGACUUCUUGCAGGCCAUCGAGCAGCUGAAGCGGAGUGGGCUCACCGGCGCUGGGGUCAUCGGCGCGUACCACGCCCGGCGGGUGGUGCCGCUGAUGCUCCGGGCCCGGCCGCUUGGCGCCAUGACCCCCGACGCGCCGCCCGAGGGCACCGUCCUGGCGACGGGUGCGCUUGCCGCCUCCGAGAUCCGGCAACGGCUUCGGGAGGCGCUGGAGGACAGGGACGUCGAGUACCCGAUCCCCGGGCAUCCGCCGAUGCGCCCGGAGCCGGGCUUCAUCGACCUGGUAAGGAUUUGGGACAUCGUUUUUCUUUCCUUGUGUCCCGCUGUUUGUUGUUCUGACGCGGAUCUGCUUUAUGUUUGCAGGGCUCGCUGACCCGGGUCGCGGACUCCCUUCCGCCGGUGCCGGAAGAUGCCGAGCGGAGGGCUCGCAACCGUCGCCAGGCCGAGGCGCAGAAGCGCCGCAAGGACAAGGAGACGGAGAGGAGGCGGAAGAAGGCCGCCAAGGAGCUCCAGCGGCGGCGGAGGGGGCGGUCGUGUCUGACGACGACGACGACGAUGAUGAAGAUGAAGAAGAUGAAGAUGAGGAAGAGGAAGAGGAGGAAGAGCUGGUUCCCCCCGAUCGGGGGCUUUGGUGAUUCGCGAUGCGCCCCCGCAGACGGCUGCGGGGGGUGAAGCGGCAGAAGCGUCCGCCCGGGCUUCGGCUCCCCCGGGCCCUGGGGCUGUGCCUCAGGGGCCAACACAGCGUGCGCCCCAGGAGCCGGCGCGGACUGCCCCUCAGGGGUCAGCGCAGGGCGUCCCCCGGGAGCAGGUGCGGGGCGCCACCCAGGGGUCGGCGCAGGGCGUCCCCCAGGAACGGGCGCGGGGCGCCCCCCCCCCCCCCGGGGUCGGCACAGGGCGUCCCCCAGGAGCGGGCGCGGGCCGCUCCCCCGGGGUCGGCACAGGGUGUCCCCCAGGAGCGGGCGUGGGGCGCUCCCCCGGGGUCGGCAAGGGAUGCCCCCCCGGCGUCGACACGGAGCGCCCCUGGGGGGUCUUCAGAGCCUGCCCCCGUCGCCGCCUCGGGUCCGGCGCGGGGCGCUCCCCAGGAGUCCGCUCGGGGCACUCCUCGGGGGUCCGUGGAGACUUCCUCCACCGCCGUGCCCGCUGGCGGAGAGCAGCGAGGCGGCGACAAGCGGCCGCUGCCAGAUGCCCCAGGGUCGGCGUCCGGCUCCGAGUCAAAGCGCGCGCGCCGCCCCUGCGCUUUGAGGGCGUGAGUUGGCUUUCUCUAUGUGCCAUUCUUCUCCUCUUUUUUCGUUUGUCUCUGCUGACGCCUGGCCAUCGAUGUGCAGCACUUCUCCCUGUGGCCUCACCCUGCAGCUGGCGCCCAAGAAGGCGCUGCGGACGUCGACCUCCUCCGGGGGACGGGCCGCGGCUCCGCCCGCGGCGAGCGGCGGGGUUCCUGGUGCGGCCGCGGAUCCCCCCGUGGAGGUGGCCCCUGCGGAGGCGGCUGGUGGAGCGGUGACGACGUCAGCCGCGGGAGGGGGAGCGGACUCCACUUCGCCUUCGGCCCCUCCGAUCGCCCCUUCAGCUCAGGGCAUGAUCCCCCCGGGCCCUCAGGCCGGGGAGGUGAUCGACCUCGACGCCGACGAGGCGGAGGAGGCGGCGGCGACGGGAGGCAGGGCGGAUGCCCCCGCUGUCGUGGCGGGACCAGAGGCGGAGGGGGCGCCUGCUCCCGGAGGCGCGGCGGCGGCAGAGGCAGCGGUGACGGAGGCAGGGGUCUUCGCCCCGGUCACUCCCGCGGGAGUGACUCUGGCGGCUGAGGCGGAGGUGCCCACAGGGGUACCGUUGGCGGCCUCGGCGGCGACGAGCGUGCAGGCGCCGGGGCCGUCGGCGGAUCCGGCGGCUUCUAGCGUCAUGGUGCCGUCCUCGACGGCGACGUCGGGGUCGGCCCCUGCCCCAACCUCGGCUUCCUCCGUCCCGAGGGCGUGGAGGGGGUCCGUCCUCCGCUGGUCAUCCCGUGAUGACCCGCCGAGGCACCUCUUCGCGCUGGACGCCACCGCCGAGUGGCAUAGGUGGCAGGCGAUGCAUGGCGGCGUCGCCCAGGUUCAGGCGGCUCUGACCUCGGCACUGGGCGUUCUGGCCAACACCGUGGUCCCCGGUGGCCAGGUAUGUUAUUCCUACCGCUUGGUGAUGAGCAUCUCCUCUUUGCUUUUUUGCUUUAACGGCAUGUUGCUUUGCAGGCUCUCCAAGAGGGCAGCCGGGGGAAAUCUGAUUUCCUCCGGCGGCAGCAGAGUCUCUGGGAGCACUACAACACCGAGAGGGAGCGCACCAGGGAUCUGUCCCUGCAGCUUGGCGCCACCCAGGGGGCCAUCCGCGACCUGCAGGGUCGUGAGCGGGCGGCGUUAGAGGAGGCGCGGCGUGCGGAGGCCAGGCUCCAGGCCGUCGCCGAGAAGGCCCGCCUCGACCUCGAGGAGUUCCAGGCCGUCGUGGAAAGGGCCCGCCGCGAUGCCGAGGGGCUUAAAGCCGCUGCUGCUGAGCGGGCCCGCCGCGACGCUGAGGAGCUGGCGCAGCUAAGGGGGGAGCGUGGAGCCCUCCGCACGGAGAACGAUCAACUCCGUUUGCAGGUGCAGGGGCUUCAGUCCGCUUUGUCCCGCAGCGCCGACCGGGAGCGUGAGUUGAAGGCCCAAGCCGACGGUGAGGCUCUUUCCGUUCCUGCGUUCUUGCGUCGUUCGUGUUCUGCUCUCUUGACUCGGUGGGGUUUUCUGGGUGGCUCCUGCAGGUGAGAUCGCCAAGUUGCGGGCUCUGCUCGACGAGGAGCGCAGCGAGCACGGCGCCCUGCGAGAUGCGGUCCGCGUCAUCUGCGAGGACUUCGGUGUAGCUUCGGAGGAGGGAUCGAGCUCCCUGCCGGCUCGUGUCCUCGAGGUGCGCCGUCGCCGUCGCGAGAUUGCCGUGGACACGCUUCGCCUUGGCGUGCGGCGAGCCUUCGGGGUCUUCGGCUCUCACUAUUCCGGCAUUAACUUUGUCGGUAUGAGUGAAGGGUACUGCGCCGGCUACACCGAAGCCGAGCUGGACGAGAUCGACGUCGGGGUGACCGCGUCGGCGGAGGCCCUCGCGAAGCUCCUGGAGGAUGAAGCCGCCCCUCCUACCGACCCUGAGGCCGCUCCUGCCGACCCUGAAGCCGCCGCUCCUGCCGACCCCGAAGCCGCCGCUCCUGCCGACCCCGAAGCCGCCGCUCCAGCCGACCCUUCUGCGAAUUAGCUGUACCGGGCUCGCGCCCAAAAAGUUUGUACUUAUGUUAGUCCUUUGAACUCGUUCCGCGUUUGGCCAUACGGGCCUGUUCUUAUGACUCUUUGUUUGCACAAAGGAACUCGAUUCCCUUUGUUAUUCCUUUGGGCUCGGAAGCUUUAGGAUGUGUUGCCGGGUGCGUCAGUAAGUUUUGAUGAGCGAAGGUGCCGUAGCCGCUGGGGCGUAGGUUUUUCCACGGUCCGAUCGCAACUUGCCUAAGCACCGUUUACACAUCCUUAUCUUUUUUGCAUCCAAAGGUUUUCGAAAGGGAGGUUCGGUUUGAAAAAGAAAAAACCGUUUUCUUUUUAGGUGAUGCCCAGCGGCUGGGGUCGGAACCCCUGAUAGCCCCCGAGGGGUAUGCGGUCCUGGAGCAAGGCCAGGGUCGGAUACCCCUGAGCUUAGAGGAAAAGAAAGAGCAAAACUGGUAGCCCCUGAGGGGUAUGCGGCCCUGGGACGAGGCCAGGGUCGGAUGCCCCUGAGCUUACAGGAAAAGGCCUGAGCCAAACUGGUAGCCCCCGAGGGGUAUGCGACCCUGGGACGAGGCCAGGGUCGGAUGCCCCUGAGCUUAAACGAAAGAACGGAAAAGACGGCAAGAUUAUGCAUAACUUGGAAGUAAAAGCUAUGGGUAAAAGCGCCUUAGCUGUUCUAUGUUCCAGGCGUUGCUGAAGAUUUGCCCGUCGGGAGUUGCCAGCUUGUAGGUGCCUGGCCGUAGCACUUGUGCGACGAUGAACGGGCCUUCCCAUGGAGGAGUCAACUUGUGCCGACCCCUGUUAUCUUGGACGAGGCGGAGCACUAAAUCACCGACGUUGAAGGCGCGGCCUUGUAUCCUGCGGCUGUGGCAACGCCGUAGGGCCUGCUGGUACUUAGCUGAGUGUAGUAGGGCUACAUCUCGCGCCUCAUCGAGUUGAUCUUGUGCGUCCUCGAGUGACGCCUGGUUUCCCUGUUCGUCGUAUGCUUUGACCCUCGGCGACCCAUACUUUAGGUCGGUGGGCAAGAUGGCCUCUGACCCGUAAACCAUGAAGAACGGGGUGAACCCUGUCGCCCGGCUGGGGGUCGUCCUCAAGCUCCAGAGGACUGCUGGGAGCUCCGCAACCCACCGUCCGCUGAACUUUUUAAGGCGGUCGAAGAUCCGUGGCUUGAGACCCUGAAGUAUCAUGCCGUUGGCUCGCUCGACUUGCCCGUUUGUGCAGGGGUGCGCCACUGCCGCCCAAUCCACUCGAAUGUGGUGGUCGUCGCAGAACUGGAGGAAUCUCUUCCCGGUGAACUGCGUGCCGUUGUCAGUGAUGAUGGAAUUUGGGAUCCCGAAGCGGUGGAUGAUGUCGGUGAAGAACUGUACCGCUUGCUCGGACCUGAUUUGCGCCACUGGCCUUGCUUCGAUCCAUUUGGAGAACUUGUCGACAGCGACGAGCAGAUGGGUAAAGCCCCCGGGCACCCUUUUGAAGGGUCCGACGAGAUCCAGCCCCCAGACCGCGAACGGCCACGUGAUGGGGAUGGUUUGUAACGCCUGCGCGGGCAGGUGAGUUUGGCGGGUAAAGAACUGGCAUCCUUCACAGGUGCGGACUACCUGGGUAGCAUCCGCGACCGCGGUUGGCCAGUAGAAACCUUGUCGGAAGGCGUUGCCAACAAGCGUCCUUGGCGCUGCGUGGUGACCACAAGCCCCGGCGUGGAUAUCCUGGAUCAGCGCCUUUCCCUGCUCGAUCGGGAUGCAGCGUUGGAGGAUCCCAGUGUGACUUCUCUUGUAGAGCUCCUGGUCGAUGAUGGUGAAGGAUUUCGCACGGCGCGCGAUCCUGCGGGCUUCGGUUUUGUCUGCCGGGAGCGCGUCGAGGACAAGGUAGUCGAGGUACGGGGCUCUCCAGUCGGUCGGGGGGUCGGCCCCCGCCGCGGGGCCCGCCUCGAUUUCCAUAACCACGGGGUCGGAUGGCUUGGCUUCCAGGGCCCGGUCAGGUAAGGCAGCGUUGAUUCCCUCGGGACCGGUGCUCGAGCCCGGGACAGGUGGCGCGCUGCCGACCUCCCCUGGCUCGGGUCCCGACCCCAGGGCUGGGCAUGCCUCGCCGACCCCUGCUGGCUCCAGAUAACGGAUUGAAGGCUUCAGCUGGUCGCUAACGAAAACGCCGUCGGGGACGGGCAUCCGGCCGGACGCUGCCUUCGCUAGCUCGUCAGCGUAUUCGUUGAAGCGCCUUGCGACGUGGUUGAGCUCCAACCCGUCGAACUUGUCCUCGAGCUUACGGACCUCGUUGCAGUAGGCAGCCAUUUUAGGAUCAUGGCAGCUCCAUUCCUUCAUGACUUGCUCGACGACCAACUGGGAAUCGCCUCGGACGUCUAGCCGACGGAUGCCAAGCUCGAUGGCGAUGCGGAGCCCGUUGAGUAGGGCCUCAUACUCAGCGACAUUGUUGGAUGCAGGAAAAUGGAGGCGGAUCAUGUACCUGAUGUGCACGCCCAAUGGAGAGACGAAGACGAGGCCUGCUCCGGUGCGGGCCCUCAUCAGUGACCCGUCGGAGUACAUCGUCCAGUACUCCUGCUCCUCUGUCGCCGACGGCGCUUGUACCUCCGUCCACUCGACCACGAAGUCGGCAAGUACCUGGGAUUUGAUGGCGGUGCGGGGGACGUAGGUGAUACCCUGGUCCAUAAGCUCAAGUGCCCACUUCGCGAUCCUUCCUGUUGCAUUUGGGUUCCGGAUUACUUCACCAAGCGGGAAUGAAGAGACGACCGUUACCGGGUGGGAGGUGAAGUAGUGACGCAGCUUCCUCUUCGUGAUGAGGACGGCGUAGACGAGCUUCUGGAUCUGCGGAUAUCGUGCCUUGGACUCGGACAAUACUUCGUUGAUGAAGUACACCGGGCGUUGUACCUUAAGAGUGUGCCCCUCCUCCUCCCGCUCCACUACUAGGGCCGCGCUGACCACCUGGGUGGUCGCCGCGACGUAGAGCAGAAGGGUCUCGCCGUCGGCGGGCGGGACUAGAAUCGGGGCCUUUGUCAGGAGGUCCUUGAGUCGGUCAAGUGCCUCCUGGGCCUCGCUGGUCCAUUCAAAGCGGUCGGAUUUCUUCAAGAGCCGAUAGAGAGGAAGACCCCGCUCGCCGAGGCGCGAGAUGAAGCGGCUUAGGGAUGCUAAGCAUCCCAUGACGCGUUGCACUCCCUUUAUGUUCCGGAUCGGCCCUAUGUCGCUGAUGGCCACUAUCUUUUCUGGGUUCGCCUCGAUGCCGCGCACAGAGACGAUGAAGCCUAACAGCAUGCCCCUUGGGACACCGAACACACACUUCUCGGGAUUAAGCUUAAUAUGCUUAUCCCUCAGCCUUUCGAAGGCUAGCUCCAGGUCGGGAACGAGCUGGUCGCCCUUCCUGGAUUUUACAACGAUGUCGUCGACGUAGGCCUCAACGGUCUGCCUGAUGAGAUCUCCGAAGCAUUUCAGCAUGCAUCGUUGGAAGGUAGCCCCCGCGUUUUUGAGGCCGAACGGCAUCUUAACGUAGCAGUAGGGACCAAAGGGGGUGAUGAAAGAGGUAGCGAGCUGGUCGGCCUCUUUCAUCGCGAUCUGGUGGUAGCCGGAAUAUGCGUCGAGGAAGCUGAGGGUUUCGCACCCGGCGGUUGAGUCGACUAUUUGAUCUAUGCGUGGCAAAGGAAACGGAUCCUUUGGACACGCUUUGUUGAGAUCGGUAUAAUCGACACACAUCCUCCAUUUUCCGUUCUUUUUUGGUACAAGGACAGGAUUGGCUAGCCACUCGGGGUGGCGCACUUCCUUGAUGAACCCGGCCGCCAGGAGCUUCUGGAGCUCUUCACCAAUGGCCCUGCGCCUUUCUUCGUCGAAACGGCGCAAGCCCUGCUUCACUGGUUUGGAGCCGGCUCUGAUGUUCAAGGAAUGCUCGGCGACUUCUCUCGGGAUGCCUGGCAUGUCCGAGGGCUUCCACGCGAAGACGUCGCUGUUCACGCGGAGGAAGCCGACGAGCGCGCUUUCCUAUUUGGGGGAUAGGGCCGCGCUGAUCCGCACAACCCCACCAUUGGAACAGCCGGGAUCGAGAGGGACUUCCUUGAUACCUUCGGUGGGCUCAAAGGAGGUACCUGACUGCUUGGCGUCGAGCUGGUCCUCGAUCGCCUCCGCAAGCUGGACCGCCACGUCGCUCGAGAGGGUGACGGCCGCGGCGUACUCGCAGCACUCCACGUCGCACUCGUAUGCCUUCUGGAAGGUUGUGCCGACGGUGAUGACCCCGUUGGGCCCUGGCAGCUUGAGCUUGAGGUAGGUUUAGUUGGGGAUUGCCAUGAACUUUGCGUAACACGGCCGCCCCAAGAUGGCAUGGUAGGUUCCGCGAAACCCUACCACCUCGAAGGUGAGGACCUCCUUCCUAUAGUUGGAAGGGGUCCCAAACGUGACGGGUAGGUCGAUCUGCCCGAGAGGCGUCGCCUGCUUCCCUGGCACGACGCCAUGGAAGGGUGCCUUGCUAGGACGGAGGCGGGAGCGAUCGAUCCCCAUGGCGUCGAGGGUCUCGGCGUAGAGGAGGUUGAGGCCGCUGCCCCCAUCCAUGAGUACCUUGGUGAGACGCGUUGUGCCGACGAUGGGGUCGACGACGAGAGGGUAGCGCCCUGGAUGCCGGACGCGUCCAGGGUGGUCGGACCUAUCAAAGGUGAUGGCCGGUCCGGACCAAUCGAGGAAGGCCGGAGUCGCAGGCUCGGCCGCGUAGACCUCCUGGCGCUCCAGCUUUUGCUGGCGCUUGGUGUCGUACGCUGCGGAGCCCGCGAAGAUCAUGAAGCAGCCGUCAACUUUAGGGAAGCCGUCUUCCUUCUCUUCGUCGCCCUUCUUUUCCUCAUCGGGCUUCCGCUUCCGGUCACCUUUCAUCGGAUUGCCCACAAAGAACCUCUUCAUGAGAUUGCUGUCUUUGUAGGCGUGCUUGACGGGGAACUCGUGAUUCGAGCACGGUCCCUCAAGCAGCUUGUCGAAGAAGCCGGGAGCGCCUUCGGGGGGCGGCUGCCCCCGCUUGCGUUCGACCGCGGCCACGAGGGGGGCCUCGCGCCGCUGCUUGCCCUUUUUCUUCUGCUGGCGGUUGGAGGUGCCUUCGUCGGCGUCCUCCUCCCGUUUCGCCUUGCCCUUGGAACGAUCGAAGAUCGCUCCGACAGCCUCUUCGCCAGAGGCGUAGCUAGUGGCGAUGUUGAGGAGCUCCUCCAUGGUUCGCGGGCCUCGGCGCCCUAGCUCGUGGACAAGGGGCCGGCAAGAAGUCCCCGCUAGGAAGGCUCCUAUGACGUCGGUGUCGGCGACGUUGGAGAGCUCGGUGCGCUUUCUGGAGAAGCGCCGGAUGUAAUCCCGGAGGGACUCGUCCGCCCCCUGGCGGCAGCUCCGGAGAUCCCAGGAGUUGCCGGGGCACGUGUACGUCCCUUGGAAGUUUCCUACGAAAACCUCUUUCAGGUCGUUCCAGUUGCGGAUGCGUCCUGAAGGGAUAUGUUCUAGCCAGGCUCGCGUGGAGUCUGCCAGAAAAAGGGGUAGGUUGCGGAUGAUAAACAGGUCAUCGUCCGCCCCGCCAGCUUGGCAUGCAAGCCGGUAAUCGCUGAGCCAUACUCCAGGGUUUGUCUCCCCCGAGUAUUUGGCUACACUCGUGGGUUGCCUGAAGCGCGGCGGAAAGGGCGCAUUUAGGAUGCGCGCGGAGAAGGCCCGAGGCCCAGCCGCUCCGGGGCUCGGGCUGCGGUCUUCCCCGCUGUCGUAGCGCCCGCCACGGUGAACGUGGUAGCCUCGAUCCGCCCCAUCUUCCCUGCCCGCGCGGGAGCGUCUCCGCGCGUUCAGGGUGUCGCGGGCGUCGCGGACGAGACCAACGCGCUGGUGGACGGAUCGAGCCUCGCCUACCGCGGGUGGCGGGGUUCGUCGGGCGGACGCGGCCUGAUUCGCCCCCGGAGGGGGUUGGUGGACACUCUCCCCCCGCCGUUCCGGGGGCGUGCCCUGGGUCGCCCGGCUGGCGUUCUGCCCGCGUCGCUGAGACGCUGAACUUUCCGCCUGCUGGACGGCAGCGCACUCGAGCAGGUUGCGCAUCUCUUGGCGUGCCCGUCGCUCCUCGGGCGUCGCUGGCUCGGGGAGCUGUCGGAGCAACACCGCCGCGGCGGCGACGUUUUGGCUAGCGCGGGCAAAGAGCGGCGGACGCUCUCCGUCCGCACAGAUGCGUUCCUGGACGUCGCGCGCCCGUUGUCGCGCUCCCCCCUCGUGGUGGGGGUGCUCUACCUCUUGGCGAGCACCCGCGCGCGCUUCUGGUUGCUGAGAGCACUCUGGGGCCCUGGGUAGGGCUCCAGUUGUUGCUGCGGCGCGCGAGGGGGGAACCCGUUGUCUCCCCUCGGCACCAUCGCCGUUGGACCCCUCGGAGUGUGCGUCGACCACAAGGCACUCGCGCGAGGGGUGGGGACUCCCGCUGCUGGAACCGGCGUCAGAGAUCGUCCUUGCCGCACCUACGGGCUCGUUGCUUGCAGGCGACGUGGUCAAGGUCCGCGCUAGGAGGCGUCCGAAAGCCCUCGUGGUGUUGCGCAGCCCGAAGGGCUGUUCCUCUGGCGAGGUCCUUCUGGUAGGCGACCGGCCGCUCGCCGCCGUCCUGGCCGCGGGGCCGAGGGCUGCAGGACGAGCGGGCAAGACGAGGACAGGGAUCAGCUCGAUCCCUUCCCCGGUGGCCAGGAAGUCCAGGCUCCCGAAACGGAUCAGAGAGCCCGGAGCAAAGCUGCUAUCGUGAUUGGCCAUCUGAGGCUGGAGAUGCACGCGCAAAGGUCCCCUACCUGGCGCGCCAACUAUCGUUGUCAAGAUCAGCGGAUCAAGACUUAGACUAGUAAAUUUCUUUUAUGCGCGUAAGCCUCAGGUGGUUGCGCGGGAGACACGGAUUUAGACUGGUUCGGGCAAAGGAAGCCCUACGUCCAGUAUCGAGGAUGCUCGUGUUGCCCACGCGGGGUUCUGUAGUAGGGGGUUACAGAUCACCGAGAGAGGGACUGAUCCCAAGUCUCUUUGGUGCUCACGCUCUCAGGAAGAGUUGUUGUGUGCUAUGGCUUGUGGGAGAAGAAGCCGAUCCCCUCUCCGGCCUCGGGUUCCUCCUUUUAUAUCGCAAGGGGGUGGCCGGAGUUACAGUUGGGAUCGGGUAAAAAGGACUGUAAAGAAUCAGGCGUAGAAUGGUAAAAGGUACGGCAGGAAGGAGGAGCAAGAUCCUAGGCGUCCGAUGCCUCUGCCAGCCCUUGACGAGUGUUGGCGCGCAUGCCGGAGGAGGAGGUCACCGUGCGCCAAGUGUUGUUGCUCCCUGCAUAUAGCUACUUCGAUGCUCGUAGGUGCCAGAUCAUGAUGAGGGCGUUCCGUCGUUUCCCCGGCGUCUGUUAGGGAGGACGGUGGAUGCCGCUGCUCAGGCGAUGGCUGUUGAGAGGGAGAGCGUCACAUCCGCGCUGCUGGGUGCGCGGGACCCGAGGGUGUGUGGGGCCCGAGGACAGGCCGCUCUCUCCUUUGCUCCGGUCGGCGCAGACCAUGAGUACCCUGCGACGAAUGGGAGCCGGCCGCUGGCACUGUAGCCUGCACAGGGCGGUCGUGCACGGGUACUUGCGCUGGGUUGCGUGAGGGGCGCGGUCGCCCUACCCUCCGCCAGAUCUGCGGCGCAUUUAUGGCGAGGCCGACGGGGGGACCCACAGGAUUUUGUCUGUCUUGCCCAUGUGGACCGCAUCCGAGGGGGAUCCCGGCCCCGGAGGCCCCAGCGCGCCCGACCCCUUCGCUUGGGGUCGGACGAGGCGGAACUCCGUGGUGAGGGGUCGGGCGUCCCCGACCCUGGGGUCGCGGUCGGGCGAGGCGGAAACCUUGCGGAGGGGGGUCGGGCGUUUCCUGAUCCUGGUGCCUUGGUCGGGCGAGGCGGAGCUUUGAUUACGCUGAGGUAGGCCCGGGCCUCCGUGUCUGCUUCUUUAAAUGGUGUUUUAGGGGAUCGUUAAUAUUUCUCCCCAACACAUUGCGCGCCCUUCGUUGGUUGCACUGCUCGGAGGUUUCACCGUGAGGGGCGUCAGCGGUAGAUUCAUCUUCAGAGAUGUUGUCGACUUGUGCUAAUCACCUGGGGGUUCUGUACUGGCUAGUACCCGGGUUGUUGUUCUGAGUAAUAACAAGUAUCUCUCUGUCCGGGUAGUAGCUUCCGGAGCCUGAUGUUGCGAUCUCUGUGUAACUUUCCUCGCGGUUGAGCGGAACGCCUUCUUGAUAUGGUAGGUUGUCUAUAUGAGCGACAAGGCGCGAGUCGUAGUCACGGUCAAGAAGAGACGGUCGCAAUCCCGGCCAGUGGACGAAUCUGCCUUGUGAUGUCGAAGUUAUUACCAACCCUUGGGUUGGACCAGAUAAUGGUAUCUCUGAGGACGAGUCAGAGUCGACGUCUUCGUCAUGCCCGAGUUCGACUCGGGUUCGAGCAGGAAAACCUUGGUGGACUUUGCUUGCGUUGCGGAGUCCGUGCGGGACCGCUUUCAAGUCGAAACCGACUUGGAUGCUGACUGGGAUCGACGAGUCCAAAACGAGUCUGACCCUGAGUUCUGGGGUCGGCUGAGCCCGACCCUUUGUGUGUGAAACUCCGCCUCGCCCGACCCUGAGUCCCGAGGUUGGAUGCGCCCGGCCCCUUGAGGGUGGAACUCUGCCUCGCCCGACCCUGAGUCCUGGGGUCGAGUGCGCCCGACCCCUGAGCGGAGGGUUGGAGUAGUCCGGGGCGAAGUUGAAUCCGACGCGUAGUUGAACUCGAACUCAUCGACUUUGAAAUCUUGGUUUUUUCUGGUCAGAUUUUCUAGUUUCUUCUCCUGAGCGUCGAUGAUCUGGCGCCGGAACGAUCCCGAGCCUUCGGCGACGCAAAGUCAGGAUCCAAAAAUGAAGGUGGCGCUGGCUUCGAUGAAGAAGACGGGCCUGAUGAUGACCUUUGCCAUUGAGUUCGCGCUGAGAAACUCGACGAGUCCCCCUACCUGGCGCGCCAGUUGUCGGUGUUUUAGAUCAGCAACCCGCCUAUAGGGUACCCUAGGUGGUCUUUUAUGCGGUAAGGGUUGUCGAGAAUCAAGGAAUCAAUGGUGACGCCAGGAACACGAUUUAGACAGGUUCGGGCCGCUAGAUCGCGUAAUACCCUACGUCCUGUAUGUUGGUUUGUAUUGAGAUGAUGUCUGUCUGUUCGGGUCUGUUUGAGGGGGGUCCCUGCUCGGCCUUAUAUAUAUGGGAGGGCAGGGUUACAAGUCUGAGUUCUAGUCGGGUACUAUUACAGAGUUCUACUCGGUAACAGCCCAAGUAGUUUUCCAUAAACAUACUUGACUAGUCCGAGAAGGAUACGCCUAUCCUUGUUCUGAUCUUGUCCGAGUACGUCCCUUGGUGGGCUGUCCAAGGCCUACUCAUGGACCUGGGGUGUAUGCCCGACAACCUACCUAUCUAAAUUCUACCUAACAAUCUAAUUCUAAUUUAUCUAUCUAACUAUUUUAUCUACCAAUUUUACCUUCUUUAUCUAUCUAGUUAACUAUAACUCUUCUUAGAGUUUUACCUCACUAGUGCACACCGGCGGCAAGGGGUGGGGGCGGGCACCGAGUGGGGGUCGGGCGACCUCCGGCCGUGGAGGGCGUGGGUGCCGGGCCGUGGGCCACCGGUGGGGGCGGCCGUGGGCGCCCAGGCUGGGGGCGGGCGGCCUCCGGACGGACGGGGCGGCUCCGGGCGCCGGGCGGGGGCGGGCGCCCUUCGGGCAGACGCGGGCGCGGGGCGGCCACGGGGGCCCGGGCGGGGGGCGCCGAGCCAGGCGGCUCCGGGCGCCGGCGGCCUUCGGCGGCGUGGGGCGGGUAGCCUUCGGCGUCGCGGGGCGGGCGGCCUCCGGACGGCCAUGCAAGGGGCGGCUCCAGGCGGGCGGGCACCGGACGGGGGCGGGCGCGGCCGCGGGGGCCCGCACGGGGGGCGCCGGGCAGGGCGGCUUCGGCCGCCGAGCGGCCUUUGGCCGGGCGCGGGCGCGGGGCGGCUCCGAGCGACCAGGCACGCAGCUUCGGGCGGGCGGGGGCGGCCGGCAGCGGCGGCGGUGGACUCCGAGGGCGGCGGCGGUCUCCAAGGGUGGCGGCGCGAUUUGAAAAGAUUGGGAAUGGAAACGGACACGCAAAAGGAAGGAGACCCGAUGAUGUGGUAAAAGGCUUGGCGCCAGCCUCCCUGGCGCCAAGCCUUGGCGCCAAGGUCCCGCCCGCCACGUGGGCACGCAUAGCGGGGACCUUGGCGCCAUGGAGGCUGGCGCCAAGAUGUUAUCGCUUGGCGCCAGCCAUCCUGGCGCCAAGCUAAGGGUCCAUUUUUAGAAUUGGUUUCGCCAAGAGCCUAUUUGUGAAAUUUUUUCGCGAAAAGGACCAAAAUAAAAAAAAGUCGGGUUCAAGCUACUAGAAAGCUGAUCCAACAACGUUUUAGUUCAGUUCGUGCGCCAUACAUCGUAGCUUCCAAGAAAUCCAACGCCGGUUCAGAGUUUUGGUAGUGCGACACCAUCGCGGUCUCCUUCGUCGGCCGGACAGCGGUACGCCGGCCGGACGUGCUCCGCCAUGAACGAUGAAUGAAAUGAGAACUUUCUUGGCCAAUGGCGUCGCAGAGCUCCGGCCGUCACUCGGACCGGCUCCACCGCGGGCGUCAUGCCCGGCCCAUGGGCCCGCUCAGCGACGCGCUCAGCAGCGACGCCAUGGGCACGCCGCGUCUGGGCGCCGAGCACGCAGAACGGAAACUUGAACUUGCGCUAGCUCCCGGGCGGGGACGGCCGCCUCCCUGAGCUGCGCACGCAAGGCCACCAUGAAGUUGAACCAUUGGGGACGAGCUGGGUGGUCCAGAAGCCGUCGAGGCGUUUGCUGAUGAUCCAGGUCUGACGCCGCCGUCCAGCGCGGCCUCAUGGCCGCCGUGCACGCCUGGAACACGAGGGGCUUCUGCCGCGCGCCUCGUUCGGCAGUGGGAACGCCGUCCGUCGAUAGAGCCGCCUCCGCCGAGCGCGCAUUGUGCAAGGGCUAAAGGAACUCGCGCUCGGAGGUGCCGUGGACGCGUACCUGCUUGUAGCAGCUGCGGAGGUGCCCCGGGGGUUCCCUUCAACGAUCCCGGCGGCGACGUCCCAGUCCUGGGGGGUGGACGGUAAAUGAAAUACCGUCCACCCCCUUAGACUCUCCUGGUCGUCGGAUCUGCCUCGUGCGGCAUAGAUCGGCCUGGUUAGUUGUAGCAGGCGGCGACUAAGUCUCCACGGUACCUCCUCGCGCGCUGCGCUGCCGUCCGCCUCGUCCAUCCAGUGAGGCGUGGCGCCGCCCGGAGGAACAUGGAGGAAGCACCGCCGGCUCCAGAGCUUCUCGUCGGCAACGUACGGCUCCUACGCGGUUCGUCGCCAUGCCCAUGAGCAGGCGCUCGAUCGUUGCCCGAAUGCCCGUGCGCGGCCGUCGAACCAGUCCAUAUGCGCGAGCGGCGGCGACGGAGCGCGAGCUGCCCCUAGCGCGUUCUGCGCCGGCGCCGGAGUCCAACCGUGCGGCGGCGCCGGCGUCGAGCCGGAACACGCCCGCCGUGCACCACCCUGCCGGGCCCCUCGCCGAGGAUCCAGGUCGUUGUUUUGGGGCGCAGACAAUGUCACUGUCAGUGUCAUGCCUUAGGGAAGGACAUGGAUCAUGGAUGGAUAGAGACGUCAUGUCAUGCAAUGCAACCUAGGACGGCGAGGGAAGAAGUGGGGUUGCUUCACGGGGAGAAAGCAGCCGCUGGGACCUGGUACUCGUUUCGGUUGGGCUGCUGGCAGAUGAGCAGCAAUGGCCACAAGCCAGCUCCCUCAAUUGUCCUUUCCGGAGAUCGAUCGAUCCAUCAUUCCCAAUCAAGUCCAAACCUAGAACGCUGAUCGAAGAAUGAUUUUUGCUCAGUUGGUGUGCCACCACCAUGCAUCCACCGUGCAUCGUACUCCUUCCGUUUCAAAUUAUGGCACCGAAUGGAUAUACUAUGAAAAUAUAUUUAAUGAAGAAACUAAUGGUACUUAUUUGGUAUCAUGAAUAUUAAGUAUUUUAUUGUAUAAAUUUGGUCAAAUAUGAGAUGCUUUGACUUUCCAUAAAAAUUAGAACGACUUGUAAUUUGGAACGGAGGGAGUAGCUUCCAAGAAACCCAAAUGCGCCUACUGUGCUCUGCUCGCAACCAAGUACCCAAACCAUGCUUUUGACAAUGACGGCACAAACAGAGUAGUGAUACCUGCAGGCAGGACUCGAAAAUUCAGUCAGGCGUCAAUGUUUUCAGGAAAAAAAAAAGGAUCAAUCGAUCGAGGAGGCGUAAACUGAGCAGAAAGGAAGCAAGAUGUUGGUGCGACGGGGGCAACAGCCAACAUUUAAAAGGAUCACAAAAGACCGAUGUGAUGCCUCAUCUAAUAUAUGAUUAGGUGCCGACCAAGACCAACACUAACCAUCCACCCUAUAAUUUCUUGCAAACAAGCAUUAUACUUGAGAUAUGUGUUACUAUUACCACACAAAGCAAAACUGCUUGUUGGUAGGUUCACACGUGAAAAUUUGCAAACUUUUGAACUCACCCAAGCAAGACUUGUUGGCAUGUUCACUGUCUUCUAACACAUCAGAAAAGUAAAAAAAUUCAAAAAAUCGAUGAUGCUCAUGUAUAUACGUGCUUCUCAAAAAACUCUCCCACGACCAUAAAAAAACUGUCACGUAUGCAUGUAAAAUUCAUACGUAUGCUUCUCUAUCCAAAGUUGUGCUAAUCCAUCCCUCGCUUAGUGGCCCGGGUAAAGGACGAGGUAAUCACGUGGGUAGCGGCAGGUGCUAAGUACCUGGAGCGGUUUCUUGACUCCGCAAGGCGUAGUUGAGUGUAUAUAGGGGUGUCUGUUCCUUUUAUUUCUUCAGACCGCUAGCUAAGCUUGCAGUGUACAGCAUGUAAAGUUUCCUAUCUUGUUUCGCCUCUCGGCAUUCUUCUUUAUUAAUAAAGCAGCAGAUCUCCUGCCGGCUCGUUUCAAAAAAAAAAAGCUGUGCUAAGUGCUAACUGUACAAGUUUUGUACUGAAGAAUAUCUCAAGUAUGCAUGUAUUAUGUAUAUGCCACUACCCCAAUUGCUUCAGCUUUUCUCUGAUUGCCCCCUGGUUUUUUAUCCUGUCAAACUACCUCUGGCUAACACUAAGAGGGGGCAAGAGAGACGGUCCCAACUCUCCUAUGGACUCAAGGUUGGUUAGUCCUGUCACCGUCCGACAACAGACUACGCCGAGCCGCCGGAGGUAGUCGCCUUCGCCGCCGGUGUCCGAGCUCUGAGCCUGAUCUGGCAAAUCUCGGCGGGGCUUGGCGCGUCCUAGCGCUCGAUCCGCACCCUGAACGCCUCCAUCUCUGCGACGCACUCCCUGGCUCCCAUCCUCGCCACCCUCCUCCUCUCCUUGGCGGCGCCGGCGGCCGCGUCGAAGACCGCCUCCCACCCGUCCUCCCACGGGCCGGAGGCGUCGCAGAGCUCCACGUCCAUCCCGUUCCGGUGCUCGGUCCAGCUCCACCCGUACUCCAGCGCGUCGACGCUCCUCGCCGCGCACCCAGAGCGGCACGCUGGGCCGGCAGUGGCGCCGCUGAGCGGGCCGGGGCUCGCCAGCGACGCCACGGGGACGCCGUACCCGGCCACGGGCGGGAACACGUAGACGCGGUCGCUGAGGACGCAGAACGGGAGGAGGCGCUCGCGGCCCGCGACGCCAGCCACGUCGAGCUGCGCGCGGAAGGCCGCCUCGGAGUUGAGGCCGCGGUACCCCCAUACAGAACACACGACGAACUUGUUUUUGACGACCAUACAGAGCACACGAUAGACUUGAUACAACUAACUUAUCCGUUCAUAGAGCAUGAAAGUAAAGACCAUAAGAUAUAUAGAUGCUUCCUAGGCCACAACACAAAAUAGCUCCUUCAGUUUUGUUGACGAGAGAUCAGGACAGAAGCCUUUCUUCAGUUUUGACCAUUUAGAAGAAAGCACGACAAGUAGGAUGAAGUACUAUUGGCAGCCGUGACUCAUUAUUCCAUAUCCUUCCUCUUCCUGCAAUAAAUAAAUAAAUAAAAAUGAACUAGAUGGAAGAUGUUCAAAUUAAACUUGCUUCUGUACUGCGACCAAGAGAAGGAUUAGCAAUGCACAGCCGAAGUAAGUUGUUUACUUAGGAAAGAAUUGCAAACAAACAGACAACAUUGAAGGUUAAAUGGUAGUAUACUUGACUUCCAAUUAACUGCUAGUAAUUUCCAACAGCAUAUAAAAGAAGGCAUAUAUAUAUUGGCAGGCAGCUCUUAUGUUCCAAUCAUAAGCUUCAAGGCUCAAAUGUUUAGUAGGCUGCAGGCUACGCUAGUAUUCUGCAGGUUGGAGAAAGAGGCUACACUACAACAUAUGAGAUGCCAACAAUGCAAGAUUGAAGCCAUGGACACAAACUUUUGCAGCAAUAUUCAAAUAUGGAACCGGCCGGCAGAAUCAAAAUCUAUUGAGUUAUUUAUAAAAGGGCAUGCAGCAGCAAUAUCACAUACCUUGAUAAAUAGCAGAACCUGGGGAACUCACAAGCAGGGAAGGGCAAUGGAGAGGGAGCCAAGCACUUUGAUAUGACGAAGUCAAUGUCGACGUCGGGUUGACAGCACUUAUCGCCGCGGCGAAGGAUCUCAUUCCCAUUCAUAUACAGAUAACAUGACACCACGGUCUUGGUGCUCAUGUCAAUGGAGAGCACCGACAUCUUCUCGUAGGCUAAACCAAAAAACUCAAUGAAAAGGAAGUGCACCACAUGCGGCCUGUCAAUGUCAACUUGAGGGUGCAUGGGGAUGCCGCGUUGGUAGCAGUCAGGGAGGUCACCGGAGGUGACAGUGUAGUCCUCCUUCCACGCCAUGCUGCCGCCUGCUAACACGAGGGUGUGGCAGGUGAUGGUGAAGCCAGUGCCGGGUUUGAGCGCUUCAUAGUAAAGGCCAUCAUCGCGGGCGACCUUGACAAACUUGAGCAAACGGCCGUGGUCGACGACGGACAUGCCAGCGAUGGUGCCGCACAUGGUUAUUUUCCGGGUUCUGGUAAGAGAGGGCUUGUCCUCAGGGAACCAGAGGAAGGAGACGGUAGGGGCGAGCACUUUAUCGGACACGUCGCAGAAGAGGAUGCCUCGUUUGUAGUCGAUCCAGCACAGCCAUCGUUGGAAGGGGAUGAUGGCGGUGUUCUGCCACUGGGAGAGUUUCCAGAGAUCAUCAGCAGAGGGGUUGAGGAUUGGCACACGCAUGGACUCCCAAUUGCCGCCAAGCUGAUCGGAGGAGCGCAGCAAGCAGAUGUCAGCGAAGGCCUUGAUGCGGCUGCGGCCAAUGGUGGGUACGCAAAGAUUGAGCUGUGCCACCACGAACUCCUCUUUGUCUCCGCACCAUAGGCCCAAGGAAUGCAUAUUCAGCAGGCGGGGAGUAGCACUGGAAGAUCGACGACGAGGUAGGCGGUGAUCGCGGCGGGAAUAAUCAAACUUGGUGUCGGUACAAUGGGGGAGCAAUCUAAGCGAGGAUGAUGAGGAAGGGUUGUUCUCGUCGGCUCUGAAGAUGAAGAAGUUGUGAAUUGCAGGUUGAUCAGACAUCGGGGAGAUGACGACGAGCAGGGCAAGAUGGCGGUGGGUCUUCAGCAUGGUUAAGGGCCUCGCCUUGCGGGGACCCGGGACGCCCGGCAGCUGCGCGUAGAGGCGGGAGAUGAGCGGGGGCUCGGCGAGGGAGAAGGCGAUGCGGAAGUCGGCGCCCCAGGAGGUGGUGCCGGACGCCCUGAUGGGCGCAUGGGUCUCGUCCGGGAAGGACUCGUCGUCGUCCCUGCGGAAGACGUAGGGCUCCAGAAGCACCCAGUUGGGGAACCCCCCGGCGGCGGCGGCGGCGGACAUGGCGACCUUGAGACAGCAGCAGAUCGGGAAAUUAAAUUAGAUGAUCGGCGGACAUGGCGACCUCUGUGAGGAUAGAUCGGGGGAUUUGUAAGGUGAUGAGGUGCCUUACCGACGAAGACGCUGGAGACCCGCGACCGGCAAGGAGAGGCGGCGGCGGAGGCGGCGAGAGGUCAGGUGUGCGGGAGCGGCGAAGCGGCGGCUUCCUCCUAUGUAUCUAUCGGUCGGUUACCCACCUAUCGAAAGAAAUCGAAUGGGCCAAAUUCGUUUACUGGUGGCCCAAAUUGUUGACCCAUGCACAACAUGUCGCAUGCCGCUGAUGAUGGGCUACUUAUUUGUGUACGAGGUUGUAUGCAGUUUGGGCCAUUGGACUAGGAGUGGGCCACCCACCGAGCCAGCAUCCCGUGUGGCUUGUGAGCCGAGGCGCUGGUACCCUGCUGAUAGCCACGGUCAUUUACUGAACCCGUCCAUAUGCGCGAGCUAGCGGCGCGACGGAGCACGAGCUGCGCGGUCGCCUGUCACCGUCCGUAUGGACUCAAGGUUGGUUAGUCCUGUCACCGUGCGACAACAGACUACGCCGAGCCGCCGGAGGUAGUCGCCUUCGCCGCCGGUGUCCGGGCUCUGAGCCCGAUCCGGCAAAUCUCGGCGGGGCUUGGCGCGUCCCAGCGCUCGGUCCGCGCCCUGAACGCCUCCAUCUCCGCGACGCACUCCCUGGCUCCCAUCCUCGCCACCCUCCUCCUCUCCUUGGCGGCGCCGGCGCCGGCGGUCGCGUCGAAGACCGCCUCCCACCCGUCCUCCCACGGGCCGGAGGCGUCGCAGAUCUCCACGUCCGUCCCGUUCCGGUGCUUGAUCCAGCUCCACCCGCUCUCCAGCGCGUCGACGCUCCUCGCCGCGCACCCGGCGCGGCACGCCGGGCGGCACGGCCGGCACUUGGCGCCGCUGAGUGGGCCGGGGCUCGCCAGCGACGCCACGGGGACGCCGUACCCGGCCACGGGCGGGAACGCGUAGACACGGUCGCUGAGCACGCAGAACGGGAGGCGGCGCUCGCGCCCCACGACGCCGGCCACAACGAGCUGCGCGCGGAAGGCCGCCUCGGAGUUGAGGUUGCGGUACCCCGCGGCGGCGAGGCGGGGGAGCAUGGAGAGGCGGGAGAGCGCGGCCUCCGUGGCAUGCCGGCCGCCGAAGCCCAAGCGGUCGUUGAGGCCGCCGAAGCGGGAGCCCUCCGGGACGGCGUAGUAGUGGGCGUCGUCGUUUGCGGUGGUGGCGUUGGCGGCGGGGAGGAGGUCGGCGAGGUGGAGCGGCGCGGACCAGAAGCCGUCGACGCGGGUGCGGAGGACGGCGGCGUAGGUGAAGUUGCCGCGGGACUCGCGGUCGCGGAUGAGGUCCAGGCAGCCCUCCACCAGCCGGAAGUACUGCAGCAAGCCCUGCACCAUUUUUGCAGCGACUCAUCAGCUGAUGAACCGAAUGCUUGUUUGUGUAAAAGCAGGAGCAGUAAUAAUCCAGAUGCAUGCAUGGUUCAGGCAAGUGAAAAAAGAAAUGCAAAGUAAUCACGGUUAAACAGCGAGAGAAGUGGCGGGUCUAGGAUUUGUAAUCUGGCCUUAAAAGAUUCAUGAAUUGAUCAUCGAAAUUCAUGUGUGUAACCAACUAAAUAUGUAUAGUUUUCUUUUUUAAAAAAACAAAAAGAAGAAGAAGAAGUGAGAUGUACUCAACAGUAGUCCACUUUGUUUUGCAGAAUUUUGUUUGGAAUUGGAUUGGAUGCUUUGUGUUUGCUUCCUUUUUAUUCAUUGAGCUUUUCCCUUGAGCAUGAAGACGCACUGCUCGAAUUUAGCAACUACUUUAAUCUGGAGAGACGGACUAAAAAAGCAUCUAUUCUGAGUGGUAGUACUACGUUGUAUCGGCUUUCUUGCACUGGGGACACUGCAAGCAGAGAAGCAUCUUCUGUAGGAUUGUCAGCUUUCACGUGCGGAUCGUACCGGGGCAGGAAUCUGAUCAUAAAGCAGGCAAAUUCCACAAAAUCCUAUCGGGACCUGACUGAUUCCUACGAAAUUUUAACAAAAAGAAGAAAAGGACGUUGAAAGGAGUACCGUGUAGCUGCUGCCUCUGCACCUGCAAUGCCGUGUGCUCGUUGUUCUGCACGUAGCAUUUUGACACGGACCGUCUUGACUGGGAAUGGGCGGCUGGCGUGUACACCGUAGCAGGCCGGGCAGGACAGGACACGGCGACAUUUUCGGAUUUUGACGUCUCACCACAUAGAGUAGAGCUAGCUAGGUCUUGUUUAGUUCUAAAAUUGGAAGUGCCAAAAUUACUGUGCCAGCACUGUAGCAUACUGCAGCGUUUCGUUUGUAUUUGUGAAUUAUUGUCCAAAUAUUGACUAAUUAGGUUCAAAAGAUUCGUCUCGCAAAGUACAACAAAACUGUGCAAUUAGUUUUUAAUUUCAUCUACAUUUAGUACUCCAUGCAUGUACCGCAAGUUUGAUGUGAUGGGAAAUCUUCUUUUUGCAUAGUGUUAAAGUUGGGAAUUGGGGGUGAAGUAAAAAGGGCCUAUUUAGGUCAGGUCGACCGACCUAAGUACUUGCGUAGUCGCAUCCAAGAACGAUCGAAAUCGAAAUGGCGCCGUCGUCGUCGUCGGCUCCGAUCCUCGUCAGCAGCCAUCAUCUUCUUCUUCAGUUCCCGGCGAGGGACGACGUCACCUACCUGGCCUGCCGCUUUCAAGCUCCAACCUAGCUAGAUUGCUCGAGAAGCUGUGUGCGUGCGUGUGUUAAUCUUCAAUCUCUUGUACCAAAAGGGCAACUAAGCUUUCAUCUGAUGAGACUAUGAGAGGUAGUUUUCCCUUUUGAGCAGGCACAGCCUAGUCGGCACCUCCUUUUUAAUCGAUCCCUUUUGUGAUCUUUAGCAGCUGCCGUAAAUAAAGCACGCGCCAACCGUGAUGCAUCUACCCAUACUGCCGCGGCGGUUGAUGGUAGGGCGAUGGCAAACUGACCUGGAUGCCGUUGGGCGAGUUGGCGGCGGUGAGCACCUGCGCGCGGUCCGGCGUCUCCUCGACGUGCUCGGGGCGGAACACGCGCACGGUGGCGAGGUUGACCGUGGCGGGGGCGGCGCGCGCGAGGAGGGAGAGCUUGUAGGCGUCGGCGUCCAGCGGGCUGUGCAGGAACACGUCCACCGCGGCGGCGGAGGCGCCCGAUUGGUUCUGGUGGAGUACGUGGCGCGCGAUGGAGGGGCCGGUGAGCUCGAACCGGCGCGCGCCGCCGACGAGGCACACGGCGACCCGGGGAGCGGGCGGGGAUGAGGGGGGUCUGGAGGCGACGACGGUGGUGCGGGGGCGAGGCAGGGUUGAAGCAGGCACGGCGGCGAGGAGGAGCUGGAGGCGGAGCGUGGAGGGGAAGGAGAGCGCGGCGGCGAGGAAGAGGAGGAGCGGCGCCAGCACGGCGGCCAGGCGGCGGCCGCGGCGGGAGGGGAGGAGGCCGGGCGACGGCGGCGCGUCCGCGGCGGCCUUGCCCGGCUGCUUCAUGGCCGACACGACACGACACGCUAAGCAGGACGUACGUGGUCGGCGGGCACGCUGCUUGCUAGCGCGCGGCUAGGCUACUACGCCACACGGUGAUCACCGAGCAGUUGCCGCGCGCUCUCAUGGCGUGCGUGCGUGGUGGCGAGGGAGGAAGGAGAGGUAGGGGAGAGGUUACGAUGGAUGGGGACGCCGACGUGGGGGGUGGUGGACUGGGCCGGCGGGUGGUGCCGCGCGCGUUGUCCCGGCUGCUGCCGUUGCCGUGGCGGUUGCGAGCGAGGGAGGUCUCGUUUCACUCUUGGAGGGAAGAGGGGGAUGGUGCCUUGAUGAGGGGGGUCGAGGGGAUGGAUGACUUGGCCCAAUCCCAUAUUCCCAUCCCCAGCCGGGCUUUGCCACGACUCGUAACCAUCCUCGGUCGCUAAACCUGUUCUCUCCCAUGGUCAUGGACGUCCCAACAAGUAUACGUGUGCGUCUCGUACUGCUUUGAUCUCACGAGCAUCACGCCUUGGUAAAACUCUGCGAUUUUUAGCAUGCUUGCUUUUACGGAGUAUGUCUAUUUCUGUUUCAGGCAACUUUGUUCUUUUCUUUUUUUAAGAAAAAAAAGACAUUUACUCGGCACCAGCGGUGAAGCUUUGGUCUGACCAUGACCGAGGCGCAAGCUUUGAGGUCGUGUUGUGCACUCCAUCUACCAAACUCUAAACGGAACAUGGUUUUUUUUUUCGUCGGUAGCUGUGAAGCGUUUAGUCAGACGUCAGAGCUCCACGCCUCCACCAAGAUAAUGUUUCACAACUACAAGAAAUAAAAAAAAAUGUUGGUCUCAUCUCCCCUGCUCGGCUGCCGCAAACCCAACCCAAGUAGGAUACGAAUUCCAUUAGUCAAUAGUAAUUGGUUGCAUGGAAAGUUCCAAGAUUACCACUGGUUUCGGAGACAGCCCAUGAAUGCAAAGCAUGCAUGCUCUGAACAAGUCAGCCAUGCAACAUCUUGGACGCCCACGUAGCUGUUAAUUCUUUUCUUUUAAGCACCGGCGAACAGUUGGUUGAAGGGAUCUUUGGGAUAACGUAAUGAACACAUUGCAUAGUACAGUAUACAGUAGUAUACAUGCAAUGUAUAGGGGGAGGAGUAUGUACGCGCGUCGUGCGUUGUUCAUGCUCGUGCACGAAACAAAGAUCAACUCCAGGCUCCAUAUCGCUUGUUAAUUGGUUGAUUCCAGCGAGGUGAUCUGCAACUACUUGCAGAUGAUUUGUACAGUAAUGUAAUGGACCGGUGCAUGAUCGACUUCACAUCGCUUUGUUAUUUUUUCCGACCUCUUAUUUGUUUCUUCUGAACUUUUUACACAACCCAACUUGUUAAUUUCUUCCACGGCGAUGACGAUCCCUCUUCUUAAUAUUUCUGGAAGCUGGUCUAUCUGUCAUCAUGAUAUAAUCUUUUUUUUAUGAUCGAUGACGGACCACCUCGUGGCCCAAAUCACAAGGACCGGCUAGCUCCCGGGCGGGGGACGGUCGCCUCCCUGAGCUGCGCACGGAAGGCCACCACGAAGUUGAACCAUUGGGGACGAGCUGGGUGGUCCAGUAGCCGUCGAGGCAUGUGCUGAUGAUCCAGGUCCGCGCCGCCGUCCAGCGCGGCCUCAUGGCCGCCGUGCAGGCCCGGAACACGAGCGGCUCCUGCCGCGCGCCCGUCCGGCAACGGGAACGCCGUCCGUUGAUAGCGCCGCCGCCGCCGAGCGCGUAUUGUGCAAGGGCUCCAGGAACUCGCGCUCGGAAGUUCCCGUCGACGAUCCCAGCAGCGCUUAGACUCUCCUGGUCGUUGGAUCUGCCUCGUGCGGUCUAGAUCGGCCUGAGUAGUUGCAGCAGGCGGCGACUAAGUCUCCACGGUACGUCUUCGCGCGCUGUGCCGCCGUCCGCCUUGUGCCCUUGUCGAUGCGCUGCGCCGGGCUCCAUCUCCAUCCAGAUCCAGCGAGGCGUCGCGCCGCCCGGCCAGGAACACGAAGGCAUCGCCGUGCCGGCUGCAGAGCUUCUCGUUGCCAGCAUACGGCUCCUACGCGUUCGCCGCCAUGGAACGCUUAGAUCGAUCCAUCAUCCCCAAUCCAAUCUAGUCCAACCUAGAACGCUGAUCGAAGAAUGGUUUUUUGUUCAGUUGGUGUGCCACCAUGCGUCGUAGCUUCCAAGAAACCCAGCGCCUGCUGUGCUCACUACCAAGUACCCAAACCAUGCUUUUGACAGUGACGGCACAAAAGAGAGUAGUACUACCUGCAGGCAGGGCUCGCAAAAUCAGUCAGGCGUCAAUGUUUUCAGGAAAAAAAGAAGAAGAAGAAAGGAUCGACCAAUCGAGGAGGCGUAAACUGAGCAGAAAGGAAGCUAGAUGGGGACGCAUGUCAGAUCGAACGAGAUGAGAUCAAUGUUGGUGUGAUGGGGCAACAGCCAGCAGCUGAACUGCCGCCCUUUUCUUCCCUCCAUCCAUGUCCAAAAGAAUGUGCAUCCAUUGGCAGCAACCUAGGUACAGCAAAGACCGAUGUGAUGCCUCAUCUGAUAUAUGAUUAUGUGCCGACCAAGACCAACACUGACCACCCACCCUUUAAUUUCUUGCAAACAGGCAUGAUAAAUUGACAUGUUACUGCCAGUCUAUCACACAAAAGCAAAACUGCUUGUUGGUAGGUUCACACGUGAAUUUUUGCAAACUUUUGAACUCGCCAAAGCAAGACUUGUUGGCAUGUUCACUGUGUUCCAACUCAGAAAAUAUAAAAAAUUCAACACAUGAUGAUGGUCACGUAUGCAUGUGCCACUGCAUUCUCUAUCCAUAUCAGAUACAAACUCUAGUGCUAACUGUACAAAUUUUGUACAGAAGAAUAUCUCAAGUAUGCAUGUAUUAUGUAUAUGUAUAUAUAUAUGCCUCUAUCCCAAUUGAUCCAGCUUUUCUCUGAUUGCCCCCUGGUUUUUUAUCCUGUCAAACUACCUCUGGCUAACACUAAGAGGGGGCAAACUGAAAAGAGAGCCAACUGUCACGGUCCCAACUCUCCUAUGGACUCAAGGUUGGUUAGUCCUGUCACCGUCCGACAACAGACUACGCCGAGCCGCCGGAGGUAGUCGCCUUCGCCGCCGGUGUCCGGGCUCUGAGCCCGAUCCGGCAAAUCUCGGCGGGGCUUGGCGCGUCCCAGCGCUCGGUCCGUGCCCUGAACGCCUCCAUCUCCGCGACGCACUCCCUGGCUCCCAUCCUCGCCACCCUCCUCCUCUCCUUGGCGGCACCGGUGCCGGCGGCCGCGUCGAAGACCGCCUCCCACCCAUCCUCCCACGGGCCAGAGGCGUCGCAGAGCUCCACGUCCGUCCCGUUCCGGUGCUCGGUCCAGCUCCACCCGCUAUCCAGCGCGUCGAUGCUCCGCGCGACGCACUCGCCGCGGCACGCCGGGCGGCACGGCCUGCACUUUGCACCGCUGAGCGGCCCCGGGCUCGCCAGCGACGCCACGGGGACGCCGUACCCGGCCACGGGCGGGAAUGCGUAGACGCGGUCGCUGAGCACGCAGAACGGGAGGCGGCGCUCGCGGCCCGAGACGCCGGCGACGUCGAGCUGCGCGCGGAACGCGGCCUCGGAGUUGAGGCCAUGGUACCCCGCAGCGGCAAGGCGGGGGAGCAUGGAGAGGCGGGAGAGCGCGGCCUCCGUGGCGCGCCGCCCGCCGAAGCCCAGCCGGUCGUUGAGGCCGCCGAAGCGGGAGCCCUCCGGGACGGCGUAGUGGGAAUCGUCGUUUGCGGUGGUGUUGGCGGCGGCGGGGAGGAGGUCGGCGAGGCGGAGCGGCGCGGACCAGAAGCCGUCGACGCGGGUGCGGAGGACGGCGGCGUAGGUGAAGUUGCCGCGGGACUCGCGGUCGCGGAUGAGGUCCAGGCAGCCCUCCACCAGCCGGAAGUACUGCAGCAAGCCCUGCACCGAAAAAAUGCAUCAGCUGAUGUACUGAAUGCUUUGUGUAGAACAGUUAACAGGAGCAGUAAUAAUCCAGAUGCAAUGCAUGCAUGGCUCAGCCAAGUCAAAGCACGCUCAAAGUUCAUCCCGGUUGAACAACGACAAGUGUCGAAUCUAGCUAGGACUUGUAAGAUUCAUGAAUUGAUCAUCGAAAAUUCAUGUAUACAACUAAAUAUAGAGUUUUCUAAAAAAAGAAGAAGAAGUGAGUUGUUGAGCUUUCCCUUGAGCAUAAAGACACUCGAAUCAAGGCCUAAUUUAGCAACUUGUUUGGACUUUGGAGAGACAGACUAAAGCAUCUAUUCUGAGUGGUAGUACUACGUCGUAUCGGCUUUGUUGCAGUGCAGGGGCAGGGAAUUGGAUAGCCAGGUGCUGCUGCUUUAGUUCUCCAUGACUCGGACUUUGCAAGCAGAAGCAUCUUCUCUAGGUAUUCCUGAAUUAUUUUCAGCUUUCACGUGCUCAUAUGCUUUAAUUUGUUCCCCAAGGACGUACCCGGGCAGAAAUCUGAUCACAAAGCAGGUAAAAAUUCCACAAAAUCGUAUUGGGACCUGAUUGACUCCUACGAACUCUUAAGAAAAAGAAGAAAAGGACACGGCGACAUUUUUGAACUUUGACGUCGUCAGCCGUAGACCUAGUAGAGCUAGCUAUAUUUGGCUCAGAUCGACCGACCUAUCGCCCGCCGGUGAUGACACUUGGUCAGACACGUCGCCGUUCGAUCGAUUUAGAGUGAUUAGCUAGGCUUCCUACAAUGCUUGCGUAGUCGCAUCCAAGAAGCUAUUACUACAUUAAUUACACGGACUAAAACCAAACAAGUAAAGCAGCAGACAAACGAUCGAAAUGGCGCCCAUCGUCGUCGGCUCCCAUCCUCGUCUGCAGCCCAGCCAUCUCUUUCUCCUUCAAUUUAAUUCCUGACCUGCCGCUUUCGGGUUACCAAGCUCGAAUCUACUCCCUUCGUCCCAAAUUGAUUUUUCUAGGUACGUUACUUUUCGCUACGUAUCCAGACAUACCAUAUAACUAGGUGGAUAUCUGAAAAAUCCAAAACGAAUAAUAAUUCGAGAUGGAGGGAGUAGAUUGCUGCGCGCGAUGCGUGCGUGUGGUUAAUUUCUGUACCAAACGGGCACGGCUAGCUCGCUCGAUCCAUCCACCAAUCAGCAGCUAAGCUUUCAUCUGAGCGGUAGUUUUCCCCUUUUUAAGCAGGCAGAGCCUAGUCGAUCGGCCUCUCCUUUUUAAUCGAUCUCUUUGCGAUCUUUAGCAACUAGUAUCGUAAAUAAAGCACGCGCCAACCGUGAGGCAUCUACCGAUUAUUUUCUGUGGGUGGUGGUUGUUGAUGAUAGGCAGGCAGGCAGGCAGGCUCCAUGGACAUGACCACAACUCAGGGCCACCCCUCCCUCUCUUCCUAUUCGAUUCCAACAGCGACGGCGGCACCACCCUCUAACACGCCACGUUGACUUCAGUUUUUAUUUUUUUUUAUAAAAAAAUAGUAUAUACUAUUGUAAAAAAAGCAAAGAAAAUUAUGUUAAUUUUGACUCUUACUAGUAUUGUGUAAGAAAAGAAAACUACGCUGCCAGCCAGAGGGAGAGGACGACGACAGGGCCCACGUCAGGUCGGUCAGCGGUUAUUACUAGAUUAAUCUUGGGGUUCCAUGCUUAAUUACCCAAAUCAAAGCAUGCUGCAGCGGUUUACUGUAGCUUAUUAUCUACAUGAGGAAGAACAGUUGAGAACCGACCCGGAUCCACGGAUUAGAGAUAAGAAACUGUAGGCCUCGCGAGAUUCAUCGUCGUCUAUCCCAAGCAACCAAUGGAUCGGCUAACCAAUUAACAUCGCCAUCUGCUAUCUAAUUAAGGGGUGAGUUAAAUACCCCCAAAGUAGCAGCACAAAACGAAAACGAUCAAUGCCAAAUUCCCAAGGGAAUCUAAAUCUAGCUACUAGCUAUCGUGAAACCGGAACAGAUUUUUUUUUAAAAUAAAGAUCAUUAACCAAGGAAGAAGAAAAGCAUGCACCACCUGACCAGCAAGAUCGCAGCAGGACGAAAAGCAUAAUGAUCUUUCAGAUGCACGAGCAUGUCGAAGAAGCAAGCAAUGGCACGAUGUAGUAAUCUAAUCUAAUCUGAUCUCAGCGUUCAUGGUGAUGCACGCAAUCAGCAGGCACGGCAAGGCAUGCGAGCGAGGCGAGGGACAAGGAGCUUAUACUGACCUGGAUGCCGUUGGGCGAGUUGGCGGCGGUGAGCACCUGCGCGCGGUCGGCCGUCUCCUCGACGUGCUCCGGGCGGAACACGCGCACGGCGGCGAGGUUGACCGUGGCGGCGGCGGCGCGCGCGAGGAGGGAGAGCUUGUAGGCGUCGCCGUCCAGCGGGCUGUGCAGGAACACGUCGACUGCGGCGGCGCCGGGUCGGGUGAGGUUGCCGCCGAGGACGUGGCGCGCGAUGGAGGGGCCGGUGAGCUCGAACCGGCGCGCGCCGCCGACGAGGCACACGGCGACCCGGGGCGCGGGCGGGGAGGAAAGAGUGCUCUGGCGAGGCAGGGUCGGCGGCAGGGCGGCGAGGAGGAGCGGGAGGCGGAGCGUGGAGGGGAAGGAGAGCGCGGCGGCGAGGAAGAGGAGGAGCGGCGCCAGCACGGCGGCCAGGCGGCGGCGGCGCGAGGGGAGGAGGCCCGACGGCGGCGGCGGCGGCGCGUCCGCGGUGGCCUUGCCCGGCUGCUUCAUGGCCGCGCGCUAACUCCUGGACGAAGUUUGGUGCCGGUUGCGCGGGAGGGAGGGAGGGAGGGAGGUUUCUUGGACGGAGGGAGGGAUGCGUUGGUGGAGGGAAGACUUGGCGUGAGCCAUGCCAUGUGCUGCGAUGCAAUGCAAUGUUUGGUGCAUGCCUUGCCUUGUCACGACUCGUAAAAAUUUUACCUAGUAGAAAGUGGCGUCUUGUUUGGAAGCAGGCAACAAUUUGUUGAAAGCUGACCAAGGCGCAAGUUUUGAGGACGAUCGUGCUGUGCACUCCAUCUACCUAGCUCGAAUAUAAUGGAACUUUUUUUGUUUCGCUCAGUAGUUGUGAAGCGUAUGGGUCAGGCGUCAGAACCCCCACCAAGAAAAUGUUUCGAAACUAGAAGGAAAAAAAAAUGUUCCAUUAAGGGCUGUGGGUCAUCGAUCUCCCCAGCUCGGCUGCCGCGUUGUGCAUGUGAAAUGCAUGUGCAGGUUUCAGCUCAUCUGGGAUGAGUAACCAUACUAUAAUCUGAUGGAAGCGAAGUCUUUUGACUCAACCCCAAGUAGGAUAGGAGUUGUUUAUCAGUAAUCAAAUUGCAUGCUUCCAUGGAAACUUCUGGCCGGUUAUUCGCAGCCGCGCGCCACUGGUUUCGGUCUUUCGGUUCAGACAGCCCAUGAAUGCAAGCAAGCUCUGAACAAGUCAGCCAUACAUAUGCUCCAUGUAGCUGUUACUCAGCUAGGAUUUUUAGUCUGGACUAAAAUUCAUAUCACAUUAAAUAUUCGAAGGCUAAUUAGGAAGACUAAAGAUGAGCUAAUUAUAAAACUAUUUACACAGAUGGAGGCUAAUUCACGAGAUGAAUCUAUUAAGCCUAAUUAAUCCAUCAUUACACAUUAUCAAAUCAUGGACUAAUUAGGCUUAAUAGAUUCGUCUCGCAAAUUAGUCUCCAUCUGUGCAAUUGGUUUUGUAAUUAGUCUAUUCGUCUCGCAAAUUAGUCUCCAUCUGUGCAAUUGGUUUUGUAAUUAGUCUAUGUUUAAUACUCCUAAUUAAUAUCUAAAUAUUUGAUGUGAUAGGAAUUUUAGGAGGGAUUAAAGAAACAAACACCCGCUCAACGAAGGCAUCUUUGGGAUAACGUAAAAUACACAGAGUGUUUGUAGACUAUUGUUAGGGGUAGGAGAUUGACACUGGCUUCCUACGUACUCAGUAAUGUAAUGGAGCGGUGCAUGAUCGACGACUCACAUGUGCCAGCUAAGUACGUACCCUAAUCACAUUCUCUCCGGUGUCAUGAUUAUAAAAUUUUUUUUGAUCUUUCUCCUUUUGGAAGCUGAUCUCUGCCUUUUUUCUGUUUUUUUACGGGAGCAACAUUUUUGUUUAUGAUGGUAAUAAAAUGUUGCUCAGGUAAAAAGAAAAACAGAAAAAGCAUGGCACAAAUCACAGGGGCCGGCCCAUUCUGUCUAGCUACACCCGGUCGGUGGUUUGCACUGAGGAAAGCAUGGCCCAAUAAAAGGAGCCCAAGUUCCAAAAUUACUCUUUCUAGCGCACGCACAGUAGCUCUGAUUUGAUCCGUCCCCUAAUAAUUAAUUCCCUUUGCCUCCCGGGCGCAACCCCGCCGCCGGCGCGUCGCAUCAUCCUCUUCCGCCGCUCUUCGGCAGCCCAACCAUGGCAGGCGGAAGCAGCCACGGGCUCCAUCCAUCCAUCCAUUCGCUGGGCGGUUGAUGCCGUUGUCUGAUGGAGCUAUUAGCAUCGCCAACUACGACAUCCCUGGCCUCGUUGGCAUGUUGUCUCCCUUUCGUCAUCUCUCGGUUAAGGAACAGAUGGAAAUCGUAAGAAAGGUUCGUUCCUUCGUUCGAUUGCUUCUCUUUUCCUGUCUAGAUUGUUAUGUAUGGUCCUUUCGGAUUAUAAGCUUUGGUUUAUCCGAUCUGAUUUCGAACCAGUACUUGCUGCAAACUAGGUAAAUAUGUUUCACGAGGAUGAAACUCCUCUCAUUUCGUGAAGCUCCAGCCCUCUCUUCUCGUAAAGAUCAUGCCACGUCAGCAAAAUUGCUGAUGUGACAUAAAAAUUAAUUGCUGUACUCAUUUUUCCUUGCAAUAAAAUACACUAACAUACACUCCUGCAAUAUGUAUUCAGAAUCCGGAAUCAUUCAGGAAGUUCCCAAGCAAGAAGAGGGCGAGGAGGAAGAGGAUGAAGAGUAUGACGAUGAGGUCGACGAGGUUGGUGAGGAUGAAGAUGAGGAUGAUGAGGUGGAUGAAGUUGAGGAGGAAGACAAGGGGGAAGAUGAGGAGACACUGAAGGUAAAAGCAGAAAAAUACUAGAGCUAGUGCUGACAGAAGUUAUUUGGUCGCAUUUGAUUUGCUCCGUGAUUUUAACUAGUUCUUCUGACCAAGCUUUAAAACUCCAAUUGUUGUUCAGAUGAUGGUCGAUGACAAUAAACUGGCAACUGAUGUACAGCGUCAAGUCCCUAAUGAAGGCGAACGAGAGUGCAAGAAGCCAGCAGGAUUAGAUGUUACGGCAGGCGUGCAGUAUGCAGGUCGUGGCAAGGUCUGCAGGUUCAGGCAUGACAGGAUGGUAUCUAGUUUGUUACAAGUUUGUUUAGAGUUUGGCAAUGGGAAGACUAGUUAGUUCGGAUAGUUGUUUGGUUUACCAGAGGGCUUGUUCGUGGACUUAUUACAUGAUGAAGGGCAAAGGCAUUGGCCUACAUGUGUAAAGGCUAUUGUAACUGGAACGGCAAGCAAUAGAUUGAAUCUUUCUUCCCAAUCUUCUGCUGGAGCCAUGGAAGCUUUUCUUUAAGAUCCUACCCCUGACCAUCAGAACACAUUGAUAUGAAUUUGAUUCUGUAAUUUUUUUUUCAAGAAUUGCAGAUCUCUGCUCAUUUAGCACGCAUAAAAAGAGGCUUGCAACUCUGAACAAGCGCACCAAAGGUCCAGACCCUGCUUGAUGUCCUGUCAAUUCCCAAUCCAUCUCUGCUCAUCUGAGUCAAACUUUGCCUGCCUGCAAUUCUUAUACUACAAAAUUUUGCGACGUUCCGAUAAAAAAAAAUUAUACAAGCGAACAUCCCGUCAUCUCAUAUUUGUGGAGCUUAAAAUCCAAAUUUGAUGGUUUUUAUGACUGUCACUCUGUAAUUUACGCCAUCACAGUUUCACACCCGACUCAUCACAAAUCACUCAAGCAGUGAGAUACUAAUCAAUUCAUGGCACAAAAUUUAGCCUUCAAAUCCAGUGUUGGGUGCACUGACUUUCAGAAAUGUAAGAAAACCUAUGCAUUGCGAAAGCUGAUAUGGACAAUUUUACAACUUACAGGUACAAUCUGUUAAUGAUUAACCAAACCAUCUGGCGUCUACUGUAACCUAAACAGGAACUGCCUGAUACCAUUCUGAUCCUAGCAGCCUUGUCUCCAACUCCAAAUGGCAGGGCGCAGAAUUGCAUUCCAACGUUGCAUUGCAACGUUGAAUGUUUCACGCGCUUUGUUCAUCUGAGGCAACAGAUGGCUAUCACUCUUGGAACUGAAACUCAUUUGGGCAGCGAGCUCCAAUCAUCAGUUUCUUGGUAUUCAAGGAUCAAAGGCGUUACCUGAGUCUCUGUUUCUGUUCUUUGAUAUCCUUGUGCAGAACAUGAACAUCAACAAGAAUGUUGAUACCAUAAAUAGCCGAAAGUACGUUCUUAGCUCCUGCAUUCCAAGGUCAAGCCCUUCCAGCUUCCUCCUCUCACGGGAACUCUUCCGCUCCACAUUUCUCUCAACGUCUCCUCCGAUUGGGACCCAGUUGUCCAGUGCGCCUUGUGAUACUAUCUGGGAAUCUUGCAGGUUUCGCAAGCCUUCCUCAAAAAGUAUGAGAAAUGCCAUGCACCACUUGUUGAUGACUCUCUGUUGACAGAAAUGAUGGUUAUCAAACAGAAAUAACACCACUAAGAAUAUUGUAGGAACAGGGAUGCUAGAUUUCCCUACAUCAAAUGUUGUCUUGUCAACAGGAUUGAACAUCUUGAAGCAAUCGUCAGUGGAUGCUUUCUCAUCUCCAUAUAUCUGAAUAUCCGCAAAAAUGAGCUUAGUGCUAUUGUGUCCAUACAGUUCUGUGCUACUCCAAACAGAGAUAAUAGAUUGACCAACCUCAAAGGUGAACGGCAUUGGCACCUUUGCAAUAUCAUGCAUGUAAUCAGUCGUGGUCCCAUGUGCAAGAUAUCUGGUAAGGGAAAGGGUAAAAAAACAAAUAGUUUAAUGUCAAUACAAUUUCUCAGAGUAAGCGAUAUAGUCAACGAGCUUCACAGGGUGACAAACAACAAAAGAAUAUAAUUGAAAAAUAUGAAAACAUGAAACGUGUGAUAUGUACAUACCCAACAGAUCCACCACCUGACCCAACUAGGCAGCUAUCUUGGAAAUGGCGAUGGUUCAAAUUCUCCAAAACUGACCACAUCAAAUGAGCAGAUGCUCCAUUUGGUGUGGUAUUCUUGUGAUCAUAUGGCAUAAAUAAGGCCUGCGGUUGAAGAAGAGAAUGAUAAGAUGAGACAGACAUGAAUUAGCAGAAUCAAGAACUACAGCAGUAGGGCUAUGUGCAACUGCAAGUCUCUUUCUAUGCUGGCUUUCCUUGGUUAUUAUGUUUAAAUUUUAAGAUCAUUGUUGAAAUGUGAUUUUUGCUAAAGCACGCUCCUAGUCCCAUCACCUAUCUUCAGAACUCCACAAAUUAAUCUUGGUGGUAGUUGCACUCCAUAAAUAAUAUGAACUAACCACACACCAUAGCAUUUCAUGCUAGCUGUAUAUCAUGAGACAGAACCUGAUAUAUAACCAUAUGCAUAUUGUUUGCUACAUUUAUAAAGGGAAAUGGUAUCUGUAAUACUCAUACAUAUCAUUUUUUUAUUCUAUCUUUGAGUGUAGUUAAUGACAAACUAGCAUAUGACCACAUGAUGAUUAAAAACAGAAUAUUUUGUACGUUGCAGUCUGAGUAAAAAAUAGUAAUCAAAAUUUAUAAGUGCCUAGAUGGCAACCAUGCUUGGAAGUAUCUUCUUUCCUGAAGGGUCAAAAUGCCAUCCUUUUGUGGCUUAGGUGCAUAAAUACUCUGAUCUAACUUGUUAUUAUGUGUCGCACACAGGAUAGCAACAGAACAAAAGAAUAGCAUUACCUCCAUUCCAGAAUGCACAUUCACCCAAACAUGAGGUUUAAAUGACCUGGAUAGUUCCCUCAUGAUCUGGGUCUCAGGUUCACUAAAAGGAGCUAUGCCAGGAUUUUCCUCAUAUGGGUCAUAGUCCUAUAAUAUAAGAAAACACACAAAAAAAUCAAUAUGUUAAUAGUAUGCAUAUUUGUAAAACUCUGACGGGACACAACAACAAAGGAUCAUGUAGACAAAACAAUAACGAACCUAUCACCAACGAAUAUACAUGGUAAAGCAUGCCAAAUGCAUAAGUACAAUUUUAUAUAGAUAUAAUCUCCAGUUUAAAAUUAGUGAUCAUACAUGUCAAUCAGCCAAAUUUUCUGGGGCAAUCCUAUAGUACAUGUAUGAUCACAAAAACAUUCAUAAAAGAUCCGCAAAAUUCUGAUCAUCCAACCAUAAAUUGAACAUACAAGGCUGUGCAUGAUCAAAGUUCAUCCAGUCCAAGUCUGCAUAGAUAUAGCUUUAUACUAAAAAUAACUAUUCCUGGAUGAGCUUACAAGGGCAAUGCUCUAAUAUGUUUGACAAUAAGUACAGAAGCUUGUCAAGUAAUUACACAGAACUAACUGGUAAACAUGGAAAUUCACAAAUGAACUAGUGGUAGUCAAGAUUCAGUUUAAGAUAUACUUUAAAAGAAUCAGCAUACAACAAACGCCAAGAGGAAUUAGAUUUUUCACCCAGUGCACAGUGAGAAACUACCAAGAUACUGACCUUUUCUUUCUUUCCCCAGUCAACACUCCAAUUCCUAUUAAGAUCAACUCCUCUUCCUGCCAAAGGGAAAAUAUAUAUUUAAAAAAAAUUGGCACAAAAACUGCUUUUAGUGAAUGGAUUUGUAAAUAAAAGACCAAUCACCAUUUCUCCUAUCACAAAGCUCCCCUUCUUCAACGCGUCUACGACCAUUCAAAUUUUCCAUUGGCACCACCUUAAAGAGAAAGAUACAUGUAAAAACAUUAGUCCUGUAAUGAAAUAAUGAUUUAGAACAGAAGUAACAUAAACAAAAUAGUGGGAGCGGAAACAAGUGUAAGAACAUGAUACAGUAGUAAAGGUGACAAUACUAAUGAUGCCAUGCAAUGGAAGUGUUUCUACUAUCCAGGACAAAUCCAUCCCGUUAAAACUAGAACAACAUCAUAAUCAUCCUGAUUAUCCAUCAAGAGCCUUAAUUAGUAUAUAUUGGGUGUACCCAGUGCUGGAAGCUCCCACACAAGGAAAUUUCUAGACAGCCCCCACCUUGCAAAAUUUGGAAAAAAAAAUCUGGUUUGAACCCAGGACCUCCAGGACACAAGUGGAGAGACUCUACCACUGCGCCAAGCAUGCCCUUUCAAUAGCACUUAACAAUAGUGCACUAAAUUUUUUUACAACGCGGGUACAACAAAAUGUAGAUCAAGAUCAUAAUGCCAGCAUAAGGGCAACACCCCUCAAGAAAAAAAUGUAUUUGUCCCUAGGUUCCAUAUCAUAGAAAAUAAAUUAUGCUAGUCCAAUGCAGAGCAUAGCAGAACAAAGGGCACAUUUGCAAAAUGUGUUCCAUAAAUUUUUUAACAAUUAGUCAAGACUGAAUGUAAAAUAAGUUCAAAGGACUUACUUUGAUCACAAGGUUGUCUAGCACUUUCUCAAAGGAUGAAAGAUCCACACCGGCAAUCUUAUGCUUCUCCGUUAAAAUAUAGAGAAGGCGUAAUGCAACUUCAGAGGUAAUAAGUUCUCUGCCGUGCUGCCCAAAGCUCUGGAAGACAAUAACCUUUCUGUCAAAACCGCAAGAUAUCAAUAAUUUAAUUUACAAAUCAACACAAAGGUAUUAAGCCAAAAUGAAUGCUUUAUUAGUCUCAUUUUAUUUUAUGCUGUGUGCCCUCUCAACUGAGGUGGGAUGGCGGAGAAUAUUUGGGUGGAAUGCUCAUAUUUGAUCUUGAGAUAUUGGAUCAAUUGUGCGGUGCAACUGAUUGAGGGAAGCAUAAUGAUGCAUACGAUUAGGGAAGAAAAUGAGUGAAGAUAUAUUAGAUGGAAACUUACCAGAAGGAUAUGAACCUUUGAUCCAUUAUCCACACUCUCUUUCACGGGAUUAAAAGUAACUACAAACAGCUCCGCAGAAUAGCCUUUGUUACUUGUUCUUAUAGUGUCCAUCUGCAACACAUUGUUCAGAAUUGAAUAUAGGGGACUACUGAAAACAAAGCAAAGUGAACGAAUAAUUGGACAGGAAUAGGCACAGCACUCACACUCAGUUUAUUGGAAUGCCGAGCAACCAAAUCCUUGAUUUCACGAAGAAGGGAGUCACUAGCAAGGAAAGAAGGAAGAAUCGAGUUACUAGAUUUCAGGAUUACUGGGAGCAGCUUUCAGGAUUCAAUUUCAACUAGAUUUAUCGAACAAAACAGAUGGGUGAAGGAUUCUCAAGUCCUAAUCGCUAAACUAUGGGUAGCCAAUCCGUUAGCAACUGGCAAGCCAAUAAAUGCAUGUAGCAUGGCAUUUCUACACAACCCUAGCUUGUACUUAUUAACAAACUAAGAAGAAAUGGGGUUGGAUACGCUCAGUCCAGCCAAGCCAGGGUUGAAACUUGAAGCCCGCGUCAGGCGGUACAAACAAGACGAAUUUACGGUGGCCAGGCCCAAAUUAUGGCGCGCGAGCGGGAGUACAUCUCAGUAAAAACAAUCACGCGUGAGCUGUGACGAAUCCACCCAUCAUUUUGUUGAGUGGGCAGCUACUACUGGCGGGCCGGGCGAAUUGGCGUCGGAAAGGACGGAACCGACGAGCUCGAGAUGGCAAUUCAGGUGACCAGAGAGGGCGCGAGGACGCCGGGCGGGCGGAGCGGAGCGGGUCAGCGGGCUCACCUGGAGUGGUAGAUGUCGCGCGAGAUCGGGGUGCGGUCGGCCGAGAUCUUGCCUGCGGCGGCCACGGUGAGAGCCAGGGCUAGGGUUAGGAGGAGGUGGAGAGGAGGACGAGGAGGCGAGGCAGCCAUCGCCGCUGGCGGCCUUGGUUGCUCCCGUUCCCCCUCUCUGUGAGUUGGACGGGGAGGCUCGUCGGCGGCGAGCCCCUGUGUACCUGUCGCUCUCUUGCUCUUGGAGGUGGGUGAAGUGGAUUUGUUGUCAAAUUUAGCAAACCGAUCGGGAUCGUUUACCGCAGCGGGGAAGUUUUUGAUUGGGUUUGGGGCAGUUUCACAAUCCAUCCAGUUUAAAAUUAUUACCAAGUCUAUUUUGAGGAUUAUAAGAAUCCUAAAAGCUGCUCAAGAUUAGCUUCCACCAGCUUAUGCACGUGUAUUUUACCUUUUUGCCCAUCAUCCUUCUGGAUAAUCACUUGAUUUGCCAUUCUCCGCUCUUCUUAGAUAGCAAGGGCAUAAAAGGAAUCUAUCCUACAAACAACUAUAAAAGCGGAUUCUAGCAUCUAGGGUCCAAGCAACACCAUUUUGAAGAAAAAUUUUAGAGGGAUCGAAGCACAGGAAGUGUGAUGAAAGUGCGAGCAUUCGUUGGCUGUGUCCAUGCCAAGCUGCCAACCCCUUUUCGUUGUUUCUCUUUGCAGUCUUGUGCGCCGCAAUGCAGGCCUUAGUUGCCCAACUUUGGGCAACCCAAAUUCCUGUAGCAACACUGUAGCGUUUCGUUUGUAUUUGUGAAUUAUUGUCCAAACAUUGACUAAUUAGGCUCAAAAGAUUCGUCUCGCAAAAUACAACAAAACUGUGCAAUUAAUUUUUGAUUUCAUCUACAUUUAGUACUUCAUGCAUGUACCGCAAGUUUGAUGUGAUGGGAAAUCUUCUUUUUGCAUAAUGCCAAAGUUGGGAUUUUGGAGGGAAGUAAACAAGGCCUCAAUACGAGAUCGAUAGGUAGCUCGAGUGCAGGUCAGAAUGCACUGACAAAAAAAAAGGGGGGGACAGUUGUCCCUGAUGCCAACAAGGUCCGCUUCCAUUGCUUUCAGAUGCACCUCCAUUUAAGCACUCAGAGAAGGCUUCGGAUGAGGUUGGGGGUGGUGGAUUAGCACGUGCUGUAAAUUUGUUUUUAUUACUGCCAUGAAUCAAUGCAGGUCGCUAGAUGAUAGUUUAUCACAGUUCAGAGCUUACUGCCACGAACUGAUUUUACAUCACGCGCACGGGUAUAGGUGGAGUGAGAUGACAGCCGAGUACAUUGGUCAGAGCUUGCUCCUCGUCCCUGAUCCUCCUCCCUUCUUGGAGCUGGAGCUGGAUCGGGGGAUGCUGCCCAUGGCCUUGGCCUGCUCCCGGAGCGUGAACUUCUGCACCUUCCCCGUCGCCGUCUUGGGCAGCUCCGCCACGAACACCACAGUCCGCGGCGCCAUGUAUCGCGGCAGCCGCGCCCGGCAGAAGGCCAUCACCUCCUCGGCUCCCACGCCGGCGGCGGCGGCGCCGUCCUUGAGCGUCACGAACGCGCACGGCGUCUCGCCCCAGUACUCGUCGGGCCGCCCCACCACCGCCGCCUCUGCCACCGCCGGGUGCGCGAACAGCGCCGCCUCCACCUCGAUGGUGCUGAUGUUCUCCCCGCCGGAGAUGAUGAUGUCCUUGGACCGGUCCCGGAUCUUCACGUACCCGUCGGCGUGCCGCACCGCCAGAUCCCCCGACCGCAGCCACCCGCCGGCCAUCGCCUCCGCCGUCGCCGCGGCGUCCUUGUAGUAGCCGCUCAUCACCGUGUUGCCCCGGAACAUGACCUCCCCCAUGGUGCGCCCGUCGGCGGGCACGCUCCGCAUCGUCGCCGGGUCCUUCACGUCCACCUCCAGCCCCAGGUGGUGGAGCCCCUGCCGGGACUUGAUCGCCGCCCGCUCCGCCGCCGGCAGCGCGUCCCACUCCGGCUUCCACGUGCACACCGUCGCGGGGCCGUACGUCUCCGUCAACCCGUACGAGUGGAUCACCAGGAACCCGAGCUCCUCCAUCCGGAACAGCACCUGCGGCGGCGGCGGCGCGCCGCCGGUCAUCACGGUCACCGGCCGACCCCCGGGGAGCGGCCGCCGCUCCUCCGCCGUCGCGUUCACCACCAUGCUCAGCACCGUCGGCGCGCCGCCCAUGUGCGUCACCCCGUGCCGCGCUACCGCGUCGAAGAUGCCCGCCGACGACACCUUGCGCAGGCACACGUUGGUGCCGCCCUGCGCCGCCACGCCCCACACCAGGCACCACCCGUUGCAGUGGAACAUGGGCACCGUCCACAGGUACACCGGCAUCGCCGCCAUAUCGUUGAGGAGCACCGACGCCAGGGUGUUGAGGUACGCGCCGCGGUGGCUGUACACCACGCCCUUGGGACGCGACGUCGUCCCCGACGUGUAGUUGAGCGCGAUCGGCUCGUUCUCGUCGGCAGGCCACCGGAUAACGAACUCCGGCGAGCCGCCGCCGCCGCCGCUGCUCAGGAGGGCCUCGUACUCGUGAUACUGAUGAUGGUCAGCUGGGACGGCUGGCUCGUCGAGGACCUCCUUGAUCAGGACCACGGUGGGGGACCUUGCUCCGGCUUUGGACAUGAGACGGAGAGCUUCUUGGGCGGUGUCAAGCAGCGCGGCGUCGACGAACAACACCUUGGCCUCGGAAUGCUGGAGGAGGACGGACACCAUGCCGGCGUCAAGGCGCGAGUUGAGCGCGCAGAUCACGGCGCCGGCCAUGGGAAUGCCGAAGUGGAGCUCGCAGAACGCGGGGAUGUUCUGCGCGAACACGGCGACCUGCACAGCAACAACAACGACAAUUGCUGUAGCUUUCUGAAUUAUUCCUAGGCAGGGAAGCAGACACAAAUUUAUAAGAAUAACAAAUUGAUUUUGGCAAGAACAUGUACUCUCAAUCCACUGCACACUAGCUAAACGGUGAAAAGAUUGAACUUUUGAGAGGCAGUAAAAGUCACUGCUGCUCGGAGGAGGCAGAGGAAGGGGUAAGAAAUGGCUGCUGCUGAAUCUACUGCUCCAUAGUAAUAACAGAAGAAAACAGAGGGGGGUGAAAACGGAAGGCAAUUGAAGCGAUGAGGCUCGAGAUUUUACCACAUCAUGGCGCGCGACGCCGAGGCCGGCGAGUGCGGCGGCGAGUCGGAGGCAGCGCGCCCGGGUCUCCCUCCAGGUGCGCGACGGCGCGGCGGCGGGGCCGGAGGCGUCGACGGCGGCGGGGCGGUCCGGGUAGACGAGCGCGGUGCGCUCGAGGAAGCUGAUGGGCGUGAGCGGCGCGUGGUUGGCGGCGCACAGCACGGUGCCUUCCAUCGCCCCCCUUCGCCUCCGGCCAGCGCCUGGGGUCCCGAGUCAGAAGAGAACGGGGGCGCGCGGCGACGACGGAUGGAGGAGGGAUAGAAGAGCCAACGUUGAACAAGGCAUAUAUGGAGGAGAGAUUUCCUUUUCCUUUCCCAGGGGAAUAUAUCGAGUGAGUGGAGCAGAGAGGGAGACGACGACGCGUAAUUGCCGAGCACUCUAGCUGAACACGAUGCUGACGACAGGCGUCGCCAUCCAUCACCAGCCGUCGUCGUCAUCCUGCAGCAGUGCAGGACUAGUGAUUACUGUAUGUUAUGGGACAAAUAUGUUGUUCAACAGAAAGCAGUUCUCCUCGCUCCCAUCUCUUAGUGACGUGGCGCCGCUAAAAGCCACUUGUAGUCUUGUAGAAAUGCAAUUUUAUCAUGCACUACGCCGUCGUGUUUCUCGUCUUCCGUGGUUGUGUUGGUAUCGUUGUCUAGGCUGUCUUCAUCCUACGAAAUGGCCUUUCUUCUCUUGCCUCCAGUGUCUUUUCGUUAGUUAGGCAGUGACGGAUCAAAAAUCCUUUUCAAAAGCUAAUGGAAAAAUACAAAGUGUCUUUAUACAGAUAUGUUCUGUCAUCCUAUCGUUCAACCACUAAAAUCUAGGCUAGUGGAUAGUUUAUAAUUGCAUUUUUUUUUGAAACCAUGAAUGCUAUUGUGUUUCUUUUGUCUCUCAUGAUGUUACCGGUUUGCAGCUAUCUUAACCCAUGAAAUACUUAUGCUUCCCUUUCUUCCACACAAUCACUAAAGACGACUCGAAGGAUUCAUAAUUUUGCAUCCACGAUGAAUUCUACCAGCCUAGCAUUAUGCCUCUAGUAUCUUUUCGUCCAGUCAGGCAGCGAUGGAUCUAGAAUUUAUUCAAAUGUAUUUUUAAAAAACCUAAUGAAAAGACGCAAAGUGUUUUAUACAAAUAAGUGUUCCAUAUCGCCCCCAAUAUGCAAGUACUAGGUUUUGUUGGGGAAGGCUUAUUUCGACUUUGACUUAAUCUAUUUUGCGCAAAACGAGAUACUGUAGCGUGAAACUGUUUCGUAAGUUGAUGCUAAAAUGACCUAGAAGUCGGGUGAAGCUACUAUUUUUGGCCUUCAUAAUUGCUAGUGGAGGGGGCUUUGGCUUCACUGGUGAAGCCAUUUUAGGAAAAUCCCUCCCAAACAACCCCUAAAUGUUAGGCUAGUGGAGAUUCCAUAAUUGCAUCUUUUAAAAAAGAAAAAAACCACGAUAGCCAUUUCUUUAUCUCUCACAGUGCCACCAUUUUGUGGAUAUCCUAACCGCUAAAGAUCACUUGUAAAAUUCAUAAUUACACCUAUGCUAAAGUCCAUUAUAUUCUCAAGGCAGGUCCAUUUCGGAUAUCAGAUCACUUGUAAAAUUCAUAAUUACACCUAUGCUAAAGUCCAUUAUAUUCUCAAGACAGGUCCAUUUCAGAUAUCGUUCCCUAGGAUAUAUUAAGUUCUUGACUUGUAAACUCAAGUUUGAUGGCUCGGCAUCACUUUCACAUCCAUUUAUAUUGAAAUAAUAUAAGCAUAUAGCAUAAAUUCCAGCUUCCUCUAUUUUUCGAUGAAACAUGAAGGGUUAACCUAUUAAAAAAGUAAGGAAAGAGUACAAAAUGAGAUAUUUACGAGAGGAGAGAUUACAUGAAGCUAUCUAGCCAUUGUUUUAUAAGAGGAAAAUGUAAACUCUUUGCCUGAUCGACAUCAAAGCAAACAAAUUCUUGAAGAUCACCUUGCUUCUUUCAGGACUAGGAUCAAUGUGCUUCCUUUGUUGCCAUCGACUGAGAGGUGAUUGGUCAUGUUUUCCUUUGAUGCAAUGAGAGGUAAAACGUGUCUUAGCAUUCCUCAUCUCACACCACACGAGCGCCGUCUUCAAGUUCAAGUUUCUCGGGAUGAACGAAACUGCCGGCCGCGAUCUCACCCGUCUAUUUCCCGAUCCAACGGCCACCAACCACCCCUGAUCUCACAAGCCCCACCUCUCCAACCGGAUUCAAACGCUAACCUUGCAACCAACUCGCCGCGACCCUCGCCGGCGCAAUGUCGAAGGCCGCCGCCGCAGCGUCCCUCCCGCCGCCGCCGCCGGAGGUGGCGCACCUGGUGGAGCAGCUCCAGCGGCACCACCUCGCCCCCGACGCGUCCCUCCUCUCCAACUCCGCGCACUCCGACCUCCUCCAGGUACGCCGAACCCACGCCGCUCCCCCCGCCUACCGCACUUUCCGCUGCUUAUCUGAACCUGUUGCCGCUUCAGGCGCGCGAGGAGGUCGCUGCGGAGCGCGCGCUCUACCUCGAGGCGCUGGUGAGUCACCCCUGUCCGCUUGUCGGAUCUGCAUUUUAGGGUUGGGCGUGUUCUGACCAGAUCUGGCGCGAUGCGGCAGGCGGUGUACGCGGAGGCGGUGGCCAUGGUGGAGGAGUACCAUGCCGCAGGCGGUGCCGGCGCCGGCAAGAAGCUCAACUGCUCCCCACAGGUUCUGCAUUCUCCCAUGCUAGUCCCGACAAGUCCCCAUUUUUCAUUGACUGGUGCAAAUAGAGCUUGAAAUGUGAGCAAUUUCAUUGACUGAUUAAUUGAUGGUGGACAUUCCUCAUUGUUGAUUCCAUUUAUUUGGCAUAGUAAUCAACAAAUUAUCUGACAAAAAUGAUAUUUAGUCACCGAGCUUACUAUGUCAGUUCUGAAUCCAGGUUUAUGAGUCUUUGGAGCACCGCUUGGCUGUGGCAGAGGCAGCACAGAGGUUGAGGCUCCCACUGCUCUCGCAGGACGGGGAGGUCCAUGAGGAGGAGAUUGAAAAACUGAGCACCUUGUCAAGGAGUUCAUUUGAUAGUACUUUGACGAGUGCCACACCCAGCUCAAGUUCAAUCUCGACAAGUUACAAUAAUUAUAGCAGCACUGCUAGUGCGGUGACUGUUGGUGCUGCCUAUGGGAGUGGUAAUUCGGAGGCAGUUGAACCUGGAGUUGGUGUUCCUGAUCGUUUUCUCGGAAUCACAUCUGAUUAUCUCUACCAGGUGCAACAAGAGCAGCCAGCGAUGUCUGUGGUAAGAACAGUUCAAAUUUUCUAAGUCGGCCUUGUUUGAUUUGGUGAACGUAAUUCCAAUACGUACCUUGCAAAAUAUGAAUUAUCUUUUUUGGUCAAAGAGUGAAAAAUCAAAAUAAAAAAUGGCCAUCUCACCUUUGAAGCAUCUGCUUUGGUAUGGAUUGCAGGACAUGGUUGAUUAUCAGAGAACUUUGGCUAGGGAGAUUGAAGCCCGGUUAGAAGCCAAGUGUGAUGCUUUAGCUGAUCUAUUUGCUAUGGAUGAAAGGGGUCAGUUACUAAAAGGGAUGAAUAGAUAUUAUAUUUGCAUAUAAAUUGUCACCCUCUCUUCCUCCUUAUUUAUACAAAAUAUCCUUGGUAGCUCGAUUUAAGAAAGAUCAAAACACUCAGAAUUCUUGUUUUGGCUAUUGUGUUAUCUCAUCUUAACAUCUUUGCUGCAGAUUCAUCAUCCAUCAGUCAAAUCUCAAGUGCCAGGCUUCCAGAAAGGUGAACUCUCUUGUCGUACAUUUCCGUCAGAUUGUUUUGAGCACAUUUUUUUUGUAUCAAUACCAUCUUACCAUCCAUUCUCUGGGGCAAGCCCAUUAACAUUGCUAACUUAUCCUGGUGUCAGCUCCCAAUUUUCCAUCUUGUUUGGAAUUGAAACUUAUGUGGAGUUAGGCUGAACAGGUGUCUGGGAAAAGUAUUUACCAUUAUUUUUUCUUCCCAUUUGACAGGGUGAAAUUAAUCAUCGAAGAGAUAGAGAAGGAAGAGGCACAUUUACUGGAGGAUCUUGCUUCAAUGGAUAGAAAAUUUGCAGAACACUAUAAUGUAUGUGUGUAUGUUUUUCCUAAUUCAUUAAAUUUGAUCUGUUCACCCACUUUAUCUUAGCUCGAAUUCUUUCUCAGUUUUAGCAAAUUACUUAUGGCUCUCAAAAUUCAAAAGGUACUGGAGCAAAUUCUUGCUGUGCUUAUACAGUUUGUUAAAGACAAGAAAUUAGAGCAUCAGCACCAAUAUGUAAGCCUUCUCAUGUACCUUUCUGUGAUUAAACUUCUUUGUAGAAAAAAUGGAAUCUUUUCAUAUUGUUAGUAUUGCUUUUUAGUGCUCAACCUCUUAUAUUGGCUAACAGGAUGAUCUGAAGAAGACCUGGCUUAUUAAAAGGUGUCGGACAAUGAAUGCUAAAUUAAGGUUCGCAUCUACUGAUCUACAUCAUUGACCGUAGUAUAACAUAUGUUGUGCUAUACUCAUGUAGCUGAUUCUCCCUUGUACAACUGUUUUUUUUAUUAUUCAAGUGCUAAAGGUUUAAAUGAUCAAGUUACCAUUUUUUUAAUUUGGUUCUAGCUAUCUAGAGCAUCAUCUGUUGCGUGACACCUACACCAAGGAUACAGUACCAGCACUUCACAGGAUCAGGUAAAGUAAAGGCACUUGAUCUUUAAGUUGAUGUAACAGUUAAGUCACACCUGUUAUUCUCUUGAUGGAUUUGAUUUGUUUAGCACAUCAAUGAAGAACCGUCUUAACAUAUCAACUGCCUUUGCAGGAAGUAUCUUGUAGAGGCCACAAAAGAAGCAUCCAACUCCUAUAAUGAAGCGGUAAGAUACAAGAUUCCUCUAUUUCUCGUAAUUUUUCUAUGUUUAGUCCUAAAUAGCCAAAAGUUCUCAAAAUUUUGGCUUCCGCUCACAAAGAGGACUGUAAAGACCACAAGUUCACUAGAGCCAAUACUAGCUGCUGCUUUUGAGUAAAAAACAAACACAUGAGGAAUUCAGUGAUACCUUGAGAUUGCAUGGAGAAGCAAACAUCAGAGGCACCAGUUAUAUAUUAAUCAUGCAUGAUUGAACAAAGUUCAGCUUAGGAGAAUUGGUGUACAUUUUACUUCUUUCAGGAGGUAUGCAGUCUCAUAACAAGAAUCAGGCAUGUGGUAGUCUGUAGUUACCACUUGUAACUGCAUGUUGAAGAAAGAACAGUUGCCAUCUUUUAGCAUCCAUUCUGUCUGAAAAGAAAUAAUCAAAUCCAGUAUUCUGUCUGCAUGUUGGAGAAAGAACGGAUGCCAUCUUUUAGCAUCCAUUCUGUCUGAAAAAAAAUAAUCAAAUCCAGUAUUCACUGCCUAUUUAUGAUUGAUGGAGAAAGAAGGGAUGCCAUCUUUUAGCAUCCAUUCAUCCAUUGUGUGAAAGAAUCAUUGAAUCCAGUAUUCGCUACGCAUCAUUUAACUGUUUGGUAUAAUAAUAUUUUGUCUUGUGUCAGAUUUCACGAUUACGUGAGUAUCAGGGUGUAGAUCCACAUUUUGAUGUGAUUGCAAGGCAGUACCACGAGAUUGUAAAGGUAAUCUGGCUCAAAUUAUUUCUUUCCAUUAAUUAACAUGUGGCUGAUGGGUCAUUGCUAAACUGGCCGAGUUGCAGAAACUGGAGGGUAUGCAGUGGACAAUUCACCAGGUGGAAAUGGAUCUGAAACCUCACCAUGAUCACGCAGCUGUCUAAAAUCCAUUUUUCUUGGAAGCCAUGUUUGUUACCUGAAUGCUGUGGACGUAAGUAAGUGGUUGUGGUCAUAGUGAUUUGACUUGACGAUGUGUUGUUUUGUUGCUGCAGACCGAUCAGGCUGGAUCGCUCUUAUGUAAAGUUUAUUCUGAACACGCGAUGUAUAUGGAGAAUGUUACGUUUUGUUUGUUCUACGCAUCAUUUUUUUAAAAAAAUUAUCUUCUAGAUUGAAAAAUAGCACUGCCAAUGAUUGUAUCAUCCAGAUGAUGAUCAGUUGCAGAUAAUUGUGAUUCCUAAAUGUCUUGUCUUGAAUGCAAGAAAGAGAGGUUGCUAGCCUUUAGUCACACCUUAUUCUAGCUUGUGCUAGCAUGCACGACUAUGGUAAAAUGAUAUUCACUUGAGCUUUGAGUCUGACUUUUGCCCAGAAUAAGUCUAUUUUGUGCUUUUAUAUAUCCUAUAAACCAGUAUGUCCGUUGAAAGCGUAUUGUCUAAAGAGUAAUGUUAUGUCCUUUGACAUAUUGAUGAUGCAUUCACCCUGCGGAAAAUAUACAGAACAGAGUAGUUAAGAGUAUUACGCCAUAAAAGGUGCACAGUAGAACAUCAGACUGAAUGAGAAAUACAGUAUGGCAUACUCCUAUAUUAUCACUGAUCACUGAUAUCGUUAGUUCAUGGCUAUACAAUACACGAGGGAUCACUACUCAUCACAUCUCAAGUGUGUUUGUUCUUGCAAUGGCUCCUGUUGUUUGUGCAGUCAUGAAGUCGAGGCAGAUCUUGAGCAGUCGCCCGCACCGACCACGGCAUCACCUUUCUUGAUUGCGAAGAAUCUGGUCAGUUGCAGAGACGGGAUGCUCACUAAGGAUUUGUUUCUUGAGAAACUGCAACUUGAGGUGUUCUGUCUGCUGCUCACUUUGUAUGGUGCGUGGAGGCAUUCAGGUCACCGUGGUCCCUUGUAGAUGGCACUGGAGUGAAGGGUUGGAAACUUGGAAUCUUCUUCUGGUACAUUGUUGAAGAAGCUUUGCAAAGAUCAUUAUGCUGCCUGAAAGAGAAAUGCUAUCUUCAUGAAGAACCACUUGUUUCUGUUUCAGUGAACAAGAUCAGUAGCACACAAAGUAUGCCAUAUUCAAGCAGUUUCAGUUUAUGGAGCAAAAAAAUAUAAACUACUACUUAGUAAUACAUUUUGGUACAGCUGCGAUCACAGAAGAAUACUGUUGAUACAUGAGAACAACAUGCUGGAUGUCUCGAAGAAAUUGCUUCAAGGAAAUAGCAGGAUUCAGAACACAAGGCAGGUUUGUCAAAGUUUGAUAUGGUGGAGGCAAUGCCGUUGUAACUUAUGCAUGGUGAUAGGAUUGGAUACAAAGAGGGCUGAACCUGCAUAACAUGACGCAAAAUGUAUAUAUAAGAAAAAAUAACAAACUGCAGGUGCACAGUGCUAGAGUUGACAGCGCUCGAUCAAAACUGAUGCUUGAGAAAUGCCAUAUGUUUCGUCAGAAACGACCAACACAAGCGGGCGUGAGCAGAGAAAUUUACUCAUGGACAAGGAUCAGCAUCUUCAUAGACGUGCUGUUGCAUAACAUCAAAGGAUAGGGAGAAGGUGCGGUAUCGACCAACCGGCCAUGGCUCGCCGCGCGAACUCAAGCGCGCGCGCCGCUGCUCGGCGUGCUCGCUCGGCUCAGAUGUCCGCCAUGUCCGGGACUUGCUGCCGGAGGGAUGGGAUCCUGGGGGCUUCAAUGCUUCGGAUCGAUACGGGUCUUGGCGCUCCCGGCUGGCACUGAAGGUGGGGAGGGCAGCGGCGGCACCGGUCGUCCGCGGACGGGCCUAAGGAGGAGCGGAGGGACAGAGCCGAACUGAAGUUCCGAACGAGGGGUCAAACUGCAAAUAUUUGUAUCGUGAUCCAAAAUAGGGGGUAAUAUGUAAAACAUAAGGGGGUAAUUGUAAAAACUCAGAUCGCGACUAUUUAUCGCGAUCCAAACCAGGGAGCAAUAUGUAAAAUUAAAGGGGGGGGGGUAUUUGCAAUAUCUCGAGCCGGGGGACAUGGCAGCUGGCGAGAUCCUCUACCGGCGGCGAGCACCGUCCGCCCCUUGGCGCUGCAUUCCGCGGAAGCCCAUGGAAAGCGGAUGAGCACCGUCUGCCCCUUGGCGCUGCAUUCCGCGGAAGCCCAUGGAAAGCGGCGGCGGCCGCCAUGGACGAUGAGGGUUCAGAUUCAGACAAGCUGCAUGGCGCCAACGACUGAUGAGGCGAGCACCGGCGAUGGGCUACACCAUCCCGCACAACAAGCGCUGACACACUGUCGCCGGCAAAGGCCUCUGCGCCAUCAUGUGGUACGCACGCCCCCCCGAUUGUUCCCUUUCCUCUCCACACACCUCCCCACGGAUCCAUCCGUUUCCUUUGAAUGGUGACUUCAAGUCUGCAUGAUGUUGCAGUGGAGGAUACACAUUCCUAAAAGAAAAUCAAUGGAUAGGCCCCCGCGUCGCCCUCCUUGGGGCAGCUCGGGCGGAAUCGAGAGCCAGCGCCGCCGCUCCUUCCAGCGCUGCCUCCCUCCUUGCCGUCGCCUAAGCGACCGCCGGAAGCCCGCACGACCGCAAGGAAGGCGACGGCGGGGCUCCACCUCCCUCCUCCUCUCCUUUCCUCCCCCUCGCGCUCUCCUUGGUGGCGGCCAUGGCGGAGGCGCCGGUCGCCGGCCGGCCGUGGCCGGAUCCGCACCCUAGGCCACUGGAUCUGCUUCCCCAAGGCCUCAGCGUGUCGGAGAUUGCGGCGGCGGUGGCGGGCCUGGCUACGGCGGCCUUCCACGCCGACGGAGCUUUGCCUAGUCGCCGGCGGCGCUGUGGCUGCGGCUCGGGCAGCAUGGCUCGGCUAGGACGGCGUCGACGACCGGUGCGGGCGUGGCUCGGAUGUGGCGCUCGCGGUAGGCAUGUGGCGGCUGCCUUCCAGGCAGCAGCGGAUGUUUCCAGCCGCGGCGACGUGUAUGGCCGGCAUGUAGGGACGGGCUACGGCGGUGCCCGUAGUGGCAUCACGGCCUGCCCCUACGGCGGGCGGGCUCCAAGGUGCUGUGCAGCGGUGUGUCGGUGGCGCCGUGGUGGUGUGGCUGACAAUGGUGUGCUUGGGCGCAUUCCAGCGUCGCCGUGGUGGUGUCGUUGACUGCGACCGUGCGAGGCUCACCAACAGUGCUAUGGUGGUGGGGCUGGUGGUGCUGGCCGUCUCUUUACGCCAUGGUGACGAUGCGGAUGAAAACCCAUCCCUCCUUGGGACAACGUCGAUGGCACCAUUGGCGUCAUGUCCUUCCUAAAGGUGACGUCGGGCAUCUCUUGCACGGGCCUUGGCUCCUGUCUGGCUUCCUUGUCGAACGAGGCAGGUGAAAACCCAACCCACUUUGGGCUGGCAUCGACAAGAUCUUCGACGUCUCGACCUUCUUGAAGGUGAUGUUAGGCACUCCCGGCAAGGCAGCUUGCUUUGGUGAUGGUGGCUCCUGAGGGGGUGCUUUCUUUCUUUUCCUUUCUUUCCAUUUCCUUAUUAAAAAAAUUCCCGUAUGUGGCGCUGGUGGUGUGGUGGCCUGUGUCGACGUCCCAAUUCGACCGAGCAGAGUUCGUGGAGGCUUGGGUCGAUGUUCCAAUCCGACCAGGCGGAGUCUUCGUUGAGGCUCUUGUCGAUGUCCCAAUCCGAUCAGGUAGAGUUGAGAGAGACCCGGUUGAUGUCCCAAUCCAAUCGGUAGAUGUUGUGUGCUUGAGUUGAGUUUGAGUUGUGCGUUAGUGUGGUACGGUGCGGGUUGAUGCCCCUAUCUAACCGACUGGUGUUGUUUCUUUGUUGUUUAUCCAGUCUGAGUUUAUUCUUCUUUUUAAUAUAAUCGGCAGCUCUUCUGGUUCGUUUCGAAAAAACAUGUUGCAGGUGAGGAGUGUGACUCUUUAUUUACUGUUUUUCUCGCAUCAGGCAUGUUUGAGAAUUUAUACUUUCUAGCAGUGAUGCAUACAGUGGGUCUACUAUGAUGUUGCUGUUCUUUGAGAUCAGUACUUGUUACCUAUAAGAAAACACCAUCAGCUUCAUCUUUUUUUUUCCCAUAACAUGUACUUUGUGGGCUUAAUAGCAGCUGAAUCGACAAGAGGAAUGGCAAGUCACGGCGUUUCUUUUUGUUUCUUUUCUGGUUGAUGCUGGGCGACAUUCCGUCACGUGAAAUUUGGAUUUUCGCCAUCACAAACAAUAGGCUUCGCAAAAUUACCAUAGCAAACAUGAGUUUUGCAAAAUCACCACUUGAAACGUUGGUAGGUCAGUGUCUGUAUUCUUUUGGUUCAAGCUACGGGGCUUUUAGGCGUUCAGAUGAUCAGAUCCGUUGCUUCACAGGACGAUGGCACGAAAUGGGCUAGCCGAGAUCCAGUUUAACGUGUGACAUGGCAAUUUCAUCAGUUGCUAGAUCAUAGUUUGUUUUUACUUAAAAUUCAGAUAUCCAUGAUGGUACGCUGCAUACUUGCAUUGACGCAGUAUACCGACGAUCUCCAUCUCUGAAUCCGACACCAACCUCUGCCUGCCAAGCUCAGUCUUUGAGCUUCUUUUUGAUACGGUGAGGUGAAGUAAGCAGGGGAGACUGACCAAGUCCGGCGUCCUAGAGGCCUCUGCUGCGGAAGAGGCAAGAUGAGCCCUGGCCACGCGCCCACGCCCAAGAGCAGCCAUGACGUCGAGGUCCCCUGCACCGACCGCCGCCACUACCCGAGGAAUGGAGCACUCCGCUUGAGUCAUCUGCCGGCGGCCCAACCCGGACCCCGACCACCGCCUCGCUUCCCUUCACAUUGGGAGGAAGAGGCCGCGUACGGAGGCGCAGCGGGUGACGAGGCCCGGAAGCGGAUGUAGAAGGAGGAGAUCAGGCUCAAACGCCGCGAAUGUUGGCCGCCGCCGGGAGGGAAGGAGAAGGAUUAGGAGGCCGCAGGCUACGAGGGGAUCUCUGCAGAAACUCAGGGACCAAAGCUUAUAUAAAACCUCCUAAAAUGGAUCGCGAUCAAUAAUCACGAUCCAAAUAUUUACAUAAACACACCUGAUUUGAAUCGUGAUUAUUUGCCGCGAUCCAAACUGGAGGUUUUGUGUAAAAGUUUGGAUCGCGAUUAUUAAUCGCGAUUCAAAUAAGGGGAUUUCUGCAAAACGUGUUGGCGGCGGCCAUGGACACCCAGGCGAGCGCGCAGCGCAACGAACGGCGUCCGCGCCGACGUGCCCACCGAUUCCGCCCCGCCGCGCGACGGCGAUUUCCGCGCCGGGUUGAGGUUAUCUCAUCCGGAGGGAGGUGAGGCGUCAGGGAAGGCGGUGGCGGUGAACUGAUGCUGCGACGCGACGGCAUGGCGGCGGCGGAGGCCGUUAGCUAUCCGAUGAGGUCCCCCCCGGCCAUCAAGCACGUCCGUGAAGGACCAAAAAAGGGGAAGACCUCAGAUGUGAGGAUAAUCAUAAUCAGAAGGCCUAUAGACUCUCUUGUCCUCUGCUGUUACAAAAAUUCACACUUCAACUCUUUAUGUUAAAAAGUUGGAGAUCGCUGUUGCUUGACUCCUAUGCUUGAUAACAAUAUUCUGUCAUCUUUAACCAUUGUUUUGCGUAGUUGUGAUUCCGAGGGUGUGAGAUCAAAUGUUGGAAUAUUACUGAAAUUUUGUUGCGGCAUAUCUCAGCACCUUUUGGCUGGCAUUCACAAUAACACCUAUGCCACAUGAACUGCUGCAUAACCAUCUCUAUCUAGUGCUUAAUUUGCGAGGGCGUCGGUUCCCAUACUGUUUGAUUCACUAAGAGGUAUUAGCUAAUUUACAACCAACUUCCUUUUCUGAAGAACUGCCUGAUCACUUCCGGUUCUGUCAAAUGCAUCAGCAUUGUUAUGGCUGCUCAUUUUCCCUUCACAAAAUGUACUGUAAUGCAGGCAUGCAGAUGCAGCUAUGAUAUGACAUGCGGAAUUGUGAAAAUGUCCAGAUAUCCGCAGCUGCCUCUGUUUUUCUAGUAUUUGCUUAUACCUCUCCUGUUUGAUUAUUUGUAGCAAUUUGAAGCUAAUGUGUAAAAACAGAGUCCUUGUCUUUCAGCAGGUCAAUUGCUCUGGCAGCAAAAAGAAAAGUUAAAAAAAAAACAGAGAAGUUCUUUGCCUCACUGGGAACAUCAGUCAUGUUGUGCAGGCAUCACUGUUGUGGUCUCAUUAAGCUGAAUGCCCUAGCACUGAUCUUUUCUUUGCUUGAAGCCAAGGGCCUCUAGCGAUUCAGCUCCAUUGGUUGGAAGGAUGCGCUGUACAUAUGGCAGCGAAUCAAUAGUUGGGCUCGCAUGAUUUGUAAAUUGUGAUCGCAGCGCAUAACUGAUUCUCUUAAUCUGCAUCUAACCCACUUUGCAGGCACUCAGAUGGGGCACACGUCUCCAGCAGCUAUAGCGGGCUAUUUGCGACAUUGCUCAAAACAUUACCAGAAGAUGUUUAAGGGAGAAGACAACAUUGUGUGUACCUCCUUAAUACUGGGUUUCAUAAGCCUCUUCGAGUACGUUCCUGUCAUAGUUAAAUUGUACGUAAAGUACAAGAGUCAGUACAUUGUCACCGCAACACAGUGAUAGAAACAUUUAUUGAUUAUAGAGUCUAUAAAAUAUGCUAUGCUAUAAGAAGAAAUCAUGUUGGAAAUCUCAUUGAAUUGGGAAUAAAAGGAUUAACUACUAUAUGAGACUCCAUGGUAGGGCACAUCAACUUCACUAAAAUCUAAAACAAGAAAGAGCAGGAGGCAAAUGAAGGCAUGAGUUUACAUUCAUAAAACUAAUUCAAAGUAAGAUUUUUGCAAAAUUGUAUUCCCAGUCUGCAAAAUUGGUAUUUCUAAAAAUAUUUCACUAUACUUCUUUCAGUUAUAAUUGGUCUUUUUUCAGAAAGGAAUAAGAGGAUCCCAUAGCUACAUCAAAGUAAUCACGAUCUUCACAUAACAGGAAUCCUUACUUCUUGUACUACCAGAGCAAUAAAAUUAAAUUUCUAAGCAAAAUGGGGAGCUCUGCAACUACAAAUCUAGGAUUUAAAAUAACCCUUUUGCAUCUUCAAACCAGGAACAAUGUUUUCAAGUUACAUGGUUUGCCAGCUGCUUUAAUCUCUGAUAGAGAUAAAAUAUUCACUAGUACUGUUUGGCAAGAGUUAUUUAAGUUGGUUGGCACAGAUCUAAACCUGAGCAGUGCCUAUCACCCAAAAACAGAUGGGCAAACAGAAAAAGUAAAUCAGUACUUGGAAACUUAUUUAAGAUGCUUUGUUCAUGCUUGCCCUACAAAAUGGUCUUAGUGGCUAUCUCUGGCAGAAUUUUGGUAUAAUACUUCAUAUCAUUCUACACUGGACAGUUCUCCUUUUGUGGUUCUGUAUGGACAUGAGCCAAGGCAGUUGGGCAUAGAUGGUGUGGAACAUUGACAGAUACCUGAUUUGCAACAAUGGUUAAAAGACAAGGCACUGAUGCAGCAACUCUUACACCAGCAUCUCCUCAGAGCUCAAAAACAUAUGAAGGAGCAAGCUGACAAGAACAGAACAGAUAGAACAUUUGAACUGGGAGAAUAUGUCUAUCUCAAGGUCAAGCCAUAUGUCCAGACUUCUUUGGCAGCUCGGUCAUCUAACAAUCUAUCUUUCAGAUACUUUGGGCCAUACCAGAUUAUAGACAAAAUUGGUGAAGUGGCAUAUAAACUGAAACUACCUGAUGGAUGCACUGUUCACCCAGUGUUUCAUGUCUUACUAUUGAAGAAGGCUGUCCAUCACUCCACGCUGGUAUGUUCUGAAAUACCUGACUUAUCCCAUGAGCUGCAGGUCCCUCAAUUUAUACUGGAUCGUCGCCUCCAUCAACAACAAGAUAAGAUGAUCCCCCAAGUACUCAUACAGUGGUCACAUUGGCCGUUGGAUACAACAAAGGGUCGGUUGGCAUGAACCGCCUUUUCUUCAAUGAACGCUUCUAGAUUCAAUUUAUUUCCUUCAAUCUUGUCUCUAUAUUGCUACAUAUGGAACAAGCGUAUGGCAAUACAAAAUAAGUGUGUGCAAGCAUCAAGAGAAACAGAGCCUAUAUCAUUUGUCCAUGCCAUAUGCUGGUCAUCGGAAAAAUUAUGCCACAACCAAGAAAAAUUGAUAAUGCCUGAUGAAUUCCAUAACCCCGAGCUGUCCAGCUGUGAAACUGCUACAAAGAAAAAAAGUCACUUAAUAGAUGAUUAGAACAUGAACAACACAGAAGUGCGAUAUUCUCACCUGCUGUGUUGAAAGUGGUUGAGAAAUGGGGCAAGUGCCAACUCAAUUAAUUCAAAUUCCUAUGGCAAAUGAAAGAAAAAAAUACACAGAAUGAUCAAAAGGAAUACCUUAUGCCUGAAAUAAAAUAAAAUAAAAAUACACAGAAUGAUCAAAUUCCUUCUCUCCUCCUCAUGCCUGCAGUAGAGCCACAGAAUGAUCAAAAGGAAUACCUUAUGGAAAAUAAUGGAGGUUGAAUCAAAUUCAUGGACAGUUGCUGAAACGAGAUGGUCACCAAGGAUUUGAUUCUUCAGAAACUGGAACUUGAGGUGUUCCAGCAGCUCACUUUGGGUGGUGAGUGGAGACAUUCAGAUCACCGUCGUCCCUUGUAUAUAGCACCAGAGUGAAGGGUAGAAAUCUUCUUCCGGUACAUUAUUGCAGAAGCUUUCCAAUGAUCGUUAUGCGGCCUGAAAGAGAAAUGAAUGUUCACAGGCACGUGAAGAAGCAUUUGUCAACAUUCUAAUUGGAAGGCGAUAUACUAACCUGCCUAGGCAAUAUCUCAAACACCUGGCGUGCUACCGCCAGCGUGUGACGGCCAGCAAGAAGCUGCGCCGCCUCCGCACCUGCAAUCGGGCAGGCGCCCGUCGCCGUUGUCCCACCGAGCCGGAUGGCGUGCUGCUCGUCGCCGUUGGACCACAGCGCCGCCGCUUCACCCACCGCCUUUGCCAGGCCAUCGGCAAAGGAGCCGGGUGGAUCCUGCGCGCUGCGCGCGCCCCGCGAGCAUGGUGGUCGGCGCGGUGCUCCACCGUGGGAGGGAGCACCGACACUGCAGCGCGCCGGAAGCCGGGAAGGGCUGGCGCCGGAAUCCGACCGGCUAAGCAGAAUAGCAGGUACUGAAGAAUUGGAUCCAAAAACGAAAUGGCACAAUUGUAGCCUCAAAUCGAACAACACCGACGGGUUCAACUACUAAAUUUGCCCAAUUGGGGAAAAAAUUGACCCAGUUAUGGCCCUAUACUCCUAUGGACACCCGAUUGGGGGACAAACUGCACAUCAUAACUGUGAGUAACCAAAAACAAAGGGGGAAAUAAAGCUGCUUCUGCAGAAUCUUCUAAUCUUCCUCGUCGUCCGAAUCCUGCGGAGGAGAUUGGGGCUCCUCGUCUUCAUCUUCUCAUCUUCGUUGCCAAAAAGCUAGACCCCGAACAAACACUCCACGCAGCAGAUGUCGCCUGCCUGGUCGACUGACUCGUUGCAUGAGAGGUUCGCGCAGCUGUUGGCGCCCUGGGUAUCUGGCACGUCGCGCCUGCAGACGGCCACCAUCUGAACACCGUUUGCUGUGAUCCUCUGCAUUGCAAUAGAUUGAUCAGGAUGGUCCUCUGAAACCCCAACAUGUAGAUUAAUCAGGGUGUAAGCGAACCAUGAUCACGUACCUUGAGUCGUUCCAAGUGUACGGGCUGCCCGAUGACGUCCUCGGCGAUGAGCUUCCACCCGUCCUGCUCCACGAUCUCUACCAGGACGGGGGCGUGGUUGGGGGCGGCGCCGCCUUCUGCAUCCGCACCAUGGACGUGAAGAGUGUGGUUUGCGCAGUGCGCAGAAGCAAAUGCACGUAAGCAGCCUAGGCAGAAUACAUCUCGAACGGGUUCUUCAUCAAAUUCCACGUUGACUAGAUCCCGAACCAAGUUUGCAUUCUUCCCAUUGGGCUUACGCACAAUCUGCACGAGAACAAAACGAACAUUACAAAAUCUGCGGGAAAUCGAUAUUGCAACUGCAAAACAAGGAAUCAGCUUGCCUUGCAUGCGGGGCUGCAGUAGUCACUCUUCGCCCGAAUACGGUCCUCGCAAUUGUGGCAUCUGCCCUUUAGCCGCAUAUCAGCCGGCUGCCGGUGGAUGAAAAUUCUGUUCUGCCCUGCGUCCUUCUUCCUCUGAAUCCCUCGCCAAUCAAACCCGAGAUUGGAGACCUUUACCUGCCUAGCCAGAAUCGCGGGCAUGUCCUUGUACAUGUGGAUCUGCAAUGCAAUAAAACGAAAGCAAAGAUCAAAUCAUUAACCAAAAGGGGAGCAAGAAAAACGAAAAAGAAAACGAAAGCAGGAUCAAAUGUUUAAACCGAGUAGAGAGGAAGUUGUCGCAAUAAAACGAAAGCAAAAUGGAAGCAGCAAGAACAAUCGCGUACAAUCGCGUGCCGAAGAACAAGCGCGUCAGAGUUUCGCCUAAGCCCAAGAACGCCCAACGCCCAAGAACGCCCAACGCCCAAGAACCAAGAACGCCCAACGCCCAAGAACAACAAGAAUCCCGCCCAAGAAAGAAGCGUACCCCGAGGAGGUCGGCGCCGGCAUCACCAUGGUGGCGAGCGGCGUGAUCAGGACAGCAGAUCACGCAGGUCCUCCCGCGGCAGGCCGAACAGAACCAUCUGCAGACGCACGGCUUGCCGAAACCCCAGACCGUCAUAGCGUCCGCGAUAUCCAUCUCCAUGGAGCUGAGAGCCAGACGGAGCAGGACGUGGCAAGAAGGGCAAGGGUUGGAGCCUUGGAGGGGGAAGAAGAAGAAGAAGAAGCAGGAGGGGGAAGCGUGCGAGGGGGAAGAAGAAGAAGUAGGGCGGGGUGGAUAUAUAGGCGGGGAAUGAAAGGAGGAUGGAGCCGGGAGGGAACCGACUCGAACUCGAAUUGAGUUCAACGGCUAUGUACGUAGUACUAGCUAGUAGGCUAGCAAGAAGGGCUGGGUUCUUUUCUUCUUUGGUGAACCUUGAUGGCUCUCGCGCCCUGAGAGCGGCCACGACGCCGCCGCCGGCAGCCCCUCAAUUAUAUUCCUGAGCGAUCGGCCAUGCACAACCCCUCUCUCCCUCCGCUCAGCCGUUCAAGAACUGAAUUGCUCCGACCGGUCGGCGGUCGCCCGGCCCACCCCAGGGUACGUUCGGCCAUCUUGCACGGUGGGUACAACCCUUCGCCAGCCUCCGACGGACGGCGAUCGCCAUGAAUGGGACGGCCCUUGCCGUCGUCAUGAUCGACGAAGGUAACCGCGGCGUGUUCGAGGACGUACGCUGUCGUCAUCGUCGCCGGCGGCCAUGGCGGCGAUGGAUGUGCGAUCUUUGCGAUGGGUUUUAGUUCGGCCGGGCGGGGUGCUUCGUUCUGUCACCUAUAGAUUUCCAUUUGGCCCGCGGCCCGUGGGCCAACCCACGGCACGACAUUUUGGCCCGGUACAGGCACGGCCCAGCACGACGGCCUUGCAGGCCGGGCCGGCCCGGCCUACAUCACGGGCCGGGCCUGGGCCGCUACCUCAGCACGUGGGCUGGCACGGCACGGUCUGGCCCAUUUGGCCCGUGGGCCAGCAACGGUCGGCACGGCCUGUUAAGGCCUGCCUCGGCCCGGCCAACGGCCGUAUAUAAGCCGGCGCGCGACCGCCCCCGGCUGAAACCCUACUCCUCUCGCCCCCGGCCCCCCGCAUCGAGCCGCUUCGCGCCCUCGCCUCUAUCUCUCUCUCGCUCUCUCCCGGUCCCGGCUCCUCGCCUCCUCCCCGCUCCCUCCCGGCUAGAUCCUCCGCCGUCCUUGCCCGCCGCCGGCUCGCCGGUGGCCCCUCCGCCUCCCUCCCCCCCCCCGUAACUGCUCCUCCACUCUCAGAUCCGGCGUCCUCGCCCACCGCCGGCUUGCUGGUGGCCCCUCCGCCGGCUCCGCCUCCCUACCCCUGUAACUGCUCCUCCCCUAGUCCCCUCUCAGAUCCGGCGUCCUCGCCCGCCGCCGGCUCGCCGGUAACCCAUCCGCCUCCCUCCCCGUAACCCCGCUUCUCCCUUAGCCCCUCCGGCCCUCCGCCUCCCUCGGUUCCUCACCUAGUCGCCUCCUCCCCCCGACCCUCGCAGAUCCGCCUCACUCCCUGGUUCCCCACCGUUGCGGUUCGUCUUCUCCGGCUCCGGGCUCCGGCUGCGCAGGUAAACACCAUCCUCAGUUCCUCACUCCUCUCGUUCCUCUUCUUCUUCCGUUCUUCGACACCUCACAGAUCCGCCUCCCUCACUUUCUUCUCUUUUAUCGUGUAGGUCUCCUACAGGGGCCGAGAGUCGUUGAGGAACGGAGCCGCCGAGGCGACGACGUCAACGGUGGAGGGCUCGAGGGUGUGUUCCGGUUCCGGGUGUGCUCGAGGAUGGACGACGACUAUCCAACCUGCCUCAAUGAUGAGUUGCGGUUGAUGGGGGAGACCGGAGAUGAUGAUUCUGAUUUGGAGGCGGAUCGGCGGGCGCUGCUCGGUGGUGCCGUCCCCGAUGCUCAGCCAGGUCCUGGAGAUUCUCCAGCACCUGCUGCUGCUGGCUCUGGUGAUGGUCCGGGCUCGGAGAGUACGGGCAGCAAGAGGACUCGUUCUUGCACCUCUAAGGUGUGGGAUGACUUUGAGCCUCUGUACGAGGUAAAGAAUAACAAGAGGGUAAGAACUGGUGCUAAGUGCCUACAUUGCAAGAAAAUUUAUUCUGGUAAGUCUGCUAGUGGUACUGGACACUUGCAUAGACACCUUCCAAAGUGCCCAGUCUUGCUAGGUGCUUCACGUAUGGCUCAGUCCCAACUCAAGUACAAUCCUGAUGGCUCUCUCCAUAUGUGGGAGUACAAUCCUGAUGUUGCUCGUAUCCAGUUGUGCAGAUUGAUUGCUAGACUAGACCUUCCUUUAUGCUUUGGUGAGUCUGAUGCAUUUGAGGAGUAUAUUAAUAUUGCUCAUAAUCCUAGAUUCAGUUGUGUGUCUAGGCAAACUACCACCAGAGAUUUUGUUAAGUAUUUUGAUGAGUGUCGUACUAAACUCCUGACUUCUUUGCAAUCUGUUUCCUCUGUUGCUCUUACAUCUGACAUAUGGUCUGGUAAUGCUAAGGAAGAUUACCUUAGUGUGGUUGCUCAUUAUGUGAAUGCUGAUUGGCAACUAGAGAAUAGGAUCUUAGGCCUUCGCUUAAUUGAUGUUUCUCAUAAUGCUGAUAAUAUUGCUGAGCGCAUUACAGCUGUUGCUACUGAUUAUGGUUUAAAUGAUAAGAUAUUUUCUAUCACACUGGAUAAUGCAUCGGCAAACACUGCCGCCAUUGGUAAGCUUCAUCCUUCACUGACUGGUUACAUGGGUAGACUUUUUUUUCAUCAGCGUUGUGCUUGUCACAUCAUUAAUCUUAUUGUUAAGGCUGGCCUUGAUGUUUUCCUAUGCUUAGUUCAUUUAGAACUGCAAUUUCAUUCCUGAAUUGUUCUAACCAACGUAUUGCGGCAUACAAGUCAUAUUGCAUUGCUGUUGGUGUCCGUCCUCGUAAGUUUGCUUUGGACAUGGAUGUUAGAUGGAAUUCAACUUAUCUCAUGUUGAAGUAUCUAUUGCCCCAUAAGACCACAUUCCAUCAGUUCAUAACCACUCAAUAUGGUUUGGUUGAAGGUCAAACAAUUCUGACAGAAUUACACUGGUAUAUUGCUGAAAAGAUUCUGAUAUUUCUUGAACAAUUCUAUGAUUCUACUGUUAUUCUGUCUGGUGUUUACUAUCCUACUGCUCCAUUAAUCUUGCAUCAUAUUCUUGAGAUAGCUGGGCACCUUAAUUUCUAUGCUGAUGAUGCUGAUCUGAAACAUGUUGUUGCACCCAUGAAGUCUAAGUUCUUAUCUUAUUGGGCUGAUAUACCUAUGCUUUAUGCCUUUGCUUUUAUAUUGGAUCCUAGAGCUAAGAUUACUGGUUUUAGCAAUGUGCUUCAGCUGAUGUCUCAGCUAACUGGUAAGGAUUAUUCUAGUUACUUAACUGAUGUAAGAGCUGAAUUGUCUACAAUCUUUGGCAAAUAUGAAGCUAAGUAUGGUUCUGUGAGGAUGCAGAGGGCCACUCAGCCAGGCCCUGCAGGUAAGAAGAAGACUGCUUGGGGUAAGAUCUUUGGUUCCCAGGCUGCUUCAUCUACUUAUUCUACUGCUAGCCUUGGUGCUGGCCUGGGUUCUACUUCUGUUUCCUCCUCCCUGUCUAGGAGACAAUCUGCUAGUGCUUUGUUGCAAGCUGCUCAAACUGGUGCCUCUCUUGCUGCUGCUUCUGAACUGUCUGCUUACCUAGACAGUGACACUAUCAAUCAAUAUGAUGAUGACUUCAACAUAUUGACCUGGUGGCAUGAGCAUAAGUUAUCAUAUCCUGUUCUAUCUAUCUUAGCUAGGGAUGUUAUGACUGUGCCUGUCUCUACUAUAUCUUCAGAAUCUGCAUUUAGUACCACUGGCAGGAUCAUUGAGGAGCGGCGAUGUCGUUUGACCCUUGAGAUGGUGGAGAUCUUGGCUUUGAUCAAGGAUUGGGAGCAAGGAGAUGCAAGACUGCAGCAUACCGUCGAUGAUACCGAACUUGAAGAGUCAUUUGAGGAUUUGUAUCUUGAUGAGUAAGUUUUCUACUCUCAUUUACUUCUAAUCAGUAUACUUGUGUUAGUUGUUACUUCAGUAUACUUGUGUUAGUUGUUACUUGAAGAUCUCUAAUCCUCCUAUCAUUUUUUACAGAAGCUAGAUGCCUGCUGCCCUGUUGGUGCUCUGUCAGUGUUCAGGAGCAAGAUAGAACUCAGAAGUGAGAAGCCUUGUGCUGUUGUGCUUGUGUAGAUCUUGUGACUUGUGAGUUGUGAGUUGUCAGUUGAGUUGUGAACUUGUGUGAUUGUGUAUAGUGUAUCUGAACAAUGAACUUAUGAGCUGGCUGUACUCUUUUUUCCUUUGUAGGGUUUUCUCACGAGGUGUGAGUUUUUACCUACAAAGGUUUUUAAUGAGGCAGCAAUACAAACAGCUCAAAAUAAUAUUCAUAUUUGUUUGUGUUAUUGUGAUUGUGAAUCUGUGUGAAUCUUGGUGAAUUUGUGAAUCAGUUGAAUCUAUGAAUAUAUUGAAUCAGUUGAAUUUGUGAGUUUUUACCUAUUCAAAAUGUCUUCCUUUGAAUAUAUUAGAUUCUGGUGAGGGGUUUUUAUUAAAACGUUACACGGGCUGGCAUGGGCACGGUGAGGCUGUUAAGGCCCGCCGGGCCAGCGGGCCGGCACGGCCUGCGUAAGAAGUUAGCAGGCCGGACCUGGGCCGCUCUUUCGGCACGCGGGCCGGCCCGGCCUGGCACGACACAUAGGCGGUCCUAAACAGGCCGGGCCUAUUCGUGCCCGUGCCCGGCCGGGCCGGGCCGCCCGUUUAGCUAUCUAUACUGUCACCCUCCUGUACAGGCAGCACCAGCAGAGAAGCCGCCUCCAGCGAAGGGAAGGCGGGAAGGAGAAAGGCGCCAAGGGAAGGUAAACGCCAUGCUGUUUGGGCCGGACUGGGUUAACUAAGAUUAGGCCCAUGUAAGCGAGAAGCCCAGUAGAGAUAGUCGUUAAGCUGGCUCCUUGCGUGGAGAAGAAGUUGAACUUCGUUGUACCUGACGAAUCGAACCGAGUGCUUCGUCACCGGCGUUGGUAGGGACGGUCGCCGCCGUUGCCUGAGGGAACCCGGUUCCACCAAAUUAUCGUGCUAUCUGCAACUCGAUUAGAAGUACGGUAACAACUGGUAUCACAAACAAGAUCCUAGCGCCACACGAAUAUCAGACUCGCCUCCAAAUCACGAUGAAGAUGAAGACCGAUGAGCAGUUCGACAAGAUCCUCGCCAUGCUCGGCAAGAGCAACAAAGGGAUCGACAAAUUGAAGAUGGCGAUGUGAGAGUUGACCGCCGCAAAAGAGGAAUUCGAGACAUGGAAGCCUGAAGUUGAGCAGAAUGUCUUUGAUCUGAAGCAAGCCCUCUCCAAUCUCGGAGAGCAUGUUGAGCAGCUCACCGCCGACUUCUUCUCCACCACCAAGAGGUCUAGCUCGCUCAUCGACCACCCGGAGUCGCCGCUAUCUCUGGCGAAGGUGCUUCAACAGGUGUCGGCCACCGCCCACCUGGUGGCUACCUCCAAGGAGGCGACAUCAACGUCAGGGACUGACGAACACCACGUCGACAACUCACACCGGGGGUUUGGAUUUGGGAUGGUUUACACCGUCCCACCUCCAUCUCCGGUCACAGGUGCAAAAAUUACCCGCAAUUGUUCUCCAAUCUCAUUCAAUUUGGGUGAUGUUGCACACAGUGAUCAGAGUUCUGCUUCCCAAUUACAUGCUACUUUUCCUCAGCUCAAUUUCCCAUAGUUUGACGGAUCCAAUCCAGAAUUAUGGGUUAGUUUUGAAACCCUGUUCAGUAUCUAUUCCUUAGCCAAACACCAGUGGGUUAGUUUUGCUACGAUGCACUUCAUAGGAUCUGCAGUCUUUUGGUUACAGUCUAUCCAAUCUAGACUAGAUUCCUUAUCUUGGGAAGAACUCUGUGCUGCUAUAUGUGCUAGGUUUGAUAGAGAUGAACAUAAUCAGUUGAUUAGGCAAUUCUUUCGUAUUCAUCAAACAACAUCAGUUAUGGAGUACAUUGAAACCUUUGGAGAUUUAGUUCACCAGCUCCUAGCACAUGAUCCCACCCUUGCACCUUCCAUGAUUACCAAUUCCUUGAUGGUUUAAAAGAUGAAAUUAGAUUAGUAGUUAUUGUUCAUCGUCCCCAUGAUUUGGAUACUUCGAGCUCUCUAGCAUUAUUGCACGAAGAAGUUGCUGUUGAACAUCCAAAAAGAGAAUAUAAAAGAUCUGAAACCAAUACUUAUGCUAGAAGAUUUCAACCUGAUGCAAGCAAGUAUCCAAGCCUACCUAUGACUCCUACUACCAGCAAAGCCCAUUCAGUGUUCUCUCCUGAAGACAAAAAAGGGCUUUGACUCUGUCAACUCAAAACUUGUGGAAGACAAGCUAAUUGCCUUGAAAGCAUAUAGAAGAGCUAAAGGCCUAUGCUACAAGUGUGGUGAAAAAUGGAAUCCCUCUCACAAAUGUCCACCAGCAGUAUCCCUGAAUGCUAUUGAAGGAGUCUGGAAAUUAUGUGCCGACAAUAUCUUGCAAGAUUAUGAAGAUUCAGAUUCAGCCGAUGACUUAUGUGUCUUUACAAGCUAUCAACGGGACUGAAGGGGUCAAGACCAUGAGAUUGAGGUGCUUUAUCAACAAUAUGGAAGCAUUUAUGUUGAUGGAUUCUGGAAGUACACAUUGCUUUAUCAAUGAAGGGAUGGCAGCAACAGUUCUAGGAUGCCAAUCCUUAGAUCAACCUAUUUAGGUUAAAGUAGUAAUAGAAAUAUCUUAUGGUGCACUCAUAAACUCCCACACUUGAUCUGGGAAUUUAGGGCCAAACAUUUCACACUACUUUCAAGAUUCUUCCCAUGGGUAGUUCUGAUAUGAUACUAGGAAUGGAUUGGCUAGAAUGUCACAGCCUAAUGCAAGUUCACUGGAAACACAAGUGGAUGAUGUUCACUCAUGAAGACACUAUUGUUAGACUCCAAGGUAUAUAGACCAGUGCUACUCUUGGUCCCACUAUCACUAAUACACAGCUCAGAGCGUUACAGAAAAAUGAUUCUAUUCUGUAUGCUAUUCAACUUGGUGCAGUUGAUAUUGACCAGGCAGUUGUUGACGGCAGUUAGCAUGCUCAUUUGUGAACUGCAAGUGCACGGAUCAGUUGUAGCUUUUCCCUUAGAGUAUUCCUCCAAGGUUGUCAAUCCGUGGAACAAGUGGGAUGCUGACUCUCACUUUAUACUAAUCUUACUAAUAGAAUUAGGCAAUAUAAGUUGUGUAGAGAGACAAACUAAUCUAAACUAAUAAAGUGCAAAGGGUGAUACAAGAUAGAAAAUAAAGAUACAUAUGCUUUCCCUCCCUAGGAUCUAGGUUCACAUGAAUAUGCAUCUAUUACACAAAAGGGGUGUUGCCUUCACUAGCUUCACACCGGUUAUGUGCUUGCUCUGCUCUUUCCCUCCUGCAUACCGUCACUACAUAGGGGUACUCAACAACCUCGCUCACACAUCUGUACCAAAGCGUCCGUAGAGUUAAGCUAAUCACCACGAUUAACACAAACUUUACUAAGAACAUGGGUUAAUCAAAACACAUAUGAAUGAAGUAUUGCAAUGACAUAGACCAUGAAGAAUUAAUAAGCAUAAAGUACAUGUAGCAGUUACAUAUCAGGAUCCAAACAAUCCUAGGGAUGAACAGAGACUUUAUCCUAUCAUCUUACAGAGACUGACGCAAAAUGGGGUGAAGGAGACUUUGGUGAACGUCGUCACUGAAGAUGGCGGUGAGGGGGUGCAGGAACACCCUAGGUUGAUCAGCCUAGGGCUCCUCAAGCCGAUCGGCCUGAGGACUUCCUCUUACCUCCUAACUCCUACUGGCAUUGGUCAUCACGGGGAUCUGAUCUAAUCUCUAUUUUUCAUCUUGUGGUGAUGACGGCUAGGUCUAAACUUGUCGGGAUCUCCCUUCUUGUUGGAUGUCUUGGGUAUUUAUAGUCGGUGGCAUUGGUUGGGAUGCCUUCAAGGCCAAGUAUCUGGAAAAUAACCCUAGGAACAUCGUAGGCAACCUCCUGGUGAAAGGGCAUGAUGAUCAGGGCUAGAAAUGGGCCAGGCCGAUCGGCCUGGACCCCUCUGGGCCGAUCAGCCUGCCCUGUUUUGGCCUCCAAUGCUCAAGUGAUUCAUACGAAAGUUGUAGAUUUCAUCGAGCUAUGAAAUUUUAUCUAGUAAUUCGCCCCAAUCAGAGUUUGGAUGAGGAAGAUAUAGCCCGUGCAAGUUUCAGCUCUUCCUGCGGGCCUACAGUUCAAUAUUGAUGUUUGGGUCUUCCAAUAUCCAAAGUAGAAAAACCCUUCAAUUAUGUCGUAUUUCCUAUGAUUUUACAAUAUGCUCCAAAAUACAACACAUAUGCAAUAAUGGGGUUAUUUCAAGUGCCAAGUAGCGGGUUAGUAUAAGAAUAUGUAUGAAAACGCCACUUAAAUAGCACUAAAAGUGUGUCAAUAAUGAGCUUCAACAAUCCCCCCAUGCUUAAACCUUGCUCGUCCUCGAGUAAGUGAAUUCUUGCAUAGAAGGAAAUCAGCGUUGCCUUCCGAUGUAAUCCCUGCACUCAGUUAUACAUAACAAGACAUAUUACUCUCUCUCAAAUGGUGUUAGAGUUCAAGUUGUGACCAGCUUCUUUUUCAUUAUGGAAGAUAGACUAACAAUAAAGAGCAAGCCACAAUAAAAUAAAUGCAAUGCGCUUCAAACUUAAGUGAACCUCAGACCCUUACCUUGUUUCAUCGUGAAGAGUUUUUCAAAAAGAUGUAUAUCCAACAUAAGUGAGAUUCUGUUGCAAAAACUCAUGGAAACACUUAUCUCAUCAAGUCACUCAAGCCUAUAUUAGAUUAAUUCCACUCUAUUCUACUCAUGUAUGAAAGUAGAAGGCUUAUGUGGAGCUUGGUAGGUAAAAAAUAAUCCUAGCAAAACAUUCUAUCUGAAAUAUUGUCAAACUAAGAGAGAGAUCUAUUGGAUUCACUGAGAUUUAUCAAAAAGGCCAUGGAAAAUAAAUGUUGGAGAGGGAGAGAGAUGAAACAUACACAUUUAGAUAUGUGGACAUGUGCAAGUGGCAAAUAAAUAAUCCUGAGGCACAAAUGAAGUCCUCGUUAUCAGAUUGCACAUGGUUGGAAAAUGAGUAUGGAUCAAUCCUUAAUCUUGAAAGCACUGGGAACUUUUAAUGAAGCUUAGAGAACUGAGGAGCACAAUAUUCUUUUUCUCCUUUAUUUAUUUAUUUCACUCCUUUUUCUUUCAUCUUUACUUCUUUUUCCUUCUUUCUUUUUCCACAUUUUUUUUCUUUUUACUCCUUAGAACUUCUUGCAACAUAGUAGUUUUCUUAGCAGUAGUUAGUGAUAAUGCGAUGACUCCUCCCCCAUGCUUAGGCGAUGCUCAUCCUCGAGCAUGAAAGAGGAAGAAAGAUAAACUGCUGAGGUAAGUACUAAAAUCUUCAAUCUUCACCAAAAAAUUAUUCUAUUCCUUUGGAAGGUCAUCCACGCCAAAAUUCAGAGCGUCCAGGGGUGAAAACCACCCAGGCCGAUCCGCCUAGCCCUUCUUGCCUCCGUUUCCUCCAAUUUUUAUUCCACGCACUGGUAGAUGCCUCUAAAUAUUAUUUUUCUUGAAAACGUAUUGAUAUAUCUUCUGGAUCUUUGUCGAAGUAUUUUUUUCAUACUCAAUAAUAGGUUGUGGUCAAGGAGGUAGUCACAAAAAUGAUAAUUUGGGUUUAGGUUGGAUGCCCAGCGAGGUUUGCGAGAUUCCCGAUGUGGAAAUUCAUAAUGCAUGGACACAAAGGCUAGCAAUAAAAGGUUACACAAAGGAAUGGUCAGCUUCUAAGUCUCAUACCACAGAAAUUAAUUUUAAUCCAACUCAUCAGAACAUAAGUUUGCAAUCUAAAGGUUUCAUCAUGGAAGAUCAUGCAUGUAUAAAGACUCUAGUAGGUAGAACUUUGCAAGAGAUUCACAAAUAUAGAUAGAAUAAGAAUUAAGUUUCAAUAAAAGCAAGACAAGUUAUCAGGUCAUCAGUAAACUUAAAUCAGAGAGCAACUGAAUGAAUGUGGGUCUAGAAUAUAGUCAUUUAGCCUCCACAAUUAAAAGAGCUGUUAUUUAAAUCAAUUUAAGAUCAUUUGUUAGAGAGCAAUUAGUCAAAGCAUAUAUAACAUCAUGUAGGUAAAACAAAGCGACAACUUUCAUAAUUUUUCCAUAAGCAAAGGCAAUAUAAAACAUCAAGGUGAGCACAUGAUCAUGCCUUUUAUUGAAAAUAAAAAUAAAUCUAGGUUGUCCUCCUAGUAGCCAUGUUAUUAUCACACCAAGUUGAAGGUUGAAGGAUUAUAUAUAUAUAGGCAUUUAGAAAGGGAUGGAAAUAGAAUGUGCAAGAAAAAUUUACCAUCUUGUUGAUGCUUGUGAUGAAGUGUAGUGGAGCCUCCCCCAUGCUUAAGCAUUGUGCCAAGCAUAACAUCUUUUGGUGCAUAAUCCUUGUACAUCACGUGUCAUUUUAGUCCAGCAAGUCCUCCCCCAUGCUUAGCAUUUUGCUAGGUAUGAAGAAGAAGACAGAGCAUCUUGUGAUCUUCAGCUUGAUGCUGUCUUUUAUAGUCCAUCGUGGUUCCCCUCUAACAUCUCUGUGUUUCCAUGUGAAAAUACUCUCGAGGGUGUGAUUCCAUCCUAAGCUUUAGAAUUUCAUCGUGUAUGCUCAAUGGAAGCAUCACUUAAGCUUCUCCUCAUUGUCGUCAUCUUCAUCUCCUUUGUUCAGCUACCAUCAACUUGCAACCACCUUUCUUCAUGGAUUUUCCCUACAUCCAGAAUAGAAAAUAUACCAAAGUAUAGAUCUAUUGAAAUGUGUAUGGAAUUACCUUUCCAAUGAGUGGUCAUUCAUCAAAAACGGAGUUCAUAUGAGAGAGUUAUGCCCAUUUUAUUUCAGCACAGUGUGCUGUUCAGAACUGAUUUCAGGACGUGCGACGUUCGAUGAUUUGGCCAUAACCGCUUGUAGGAAUCUCCAAAUGCCUUGCCGCUUGAUUCAUUGGAAAGAAAACUUCAUAGGGAUUAUGAAUAUCUAAAAAUUUUCUAUUGUUUGCCUCUGAGGUGAUGCAAAAUUUUAAUGACAAUAGCAGCUUCGAGCACGUCUCUCUGGAGAUGUUGAUGAUCUUGAUCUUGUGGUCUUUAGGGCACCAUGUCACGCAUCCUUCGGCUUCAAGGUCAUCAUCGUUGCUGCACCAACAAUUAACAUGGUGGCAAUUGGUGCUUCUUAUCCAUAAUUCUUGCUUUUACCGAGGUGAUGGCAUCAUAGUAGGCUCUCAUGUUGAUGAUUUGGAUGGCCUUCUUCCUAGGUCGCACCUCACAAUCACCGUAGAACUUUAUGAACAUCUCGCGGGAGAAUAUUGGUGGUGCCAAAAUGGUUCAAAUUUUAUUGCCUCCAAAUCUGAUUACAUCGAAUCAUAUCCCUCUUAUUUAUCAUCUUUUUAUCGUGAGAGCCUCUUCAUCAUGCCUGCAAAACAAUUCAAGCGCACAUACUACUCCUAGGGUGACGAUUGGGAGUAGAAACAAUUGCCAACAAGUAACAACACAUCCUAGGAUUCUUAACUUGUGGUAUAAUUAGUCUAGUGAAAACAAAGAUAAAAAACCUAAUGGGUGUACAUGAGUGCAAGGUGCAAAUGCAUAUGAGAGGAAAGUAUACAAGCAAAGACAAUGUUUACGCCUAGUUUUGAACACCAUGUUUACAACUAGGUUGCUGAAUUUCUCCAUAACCAUAGAUAUUAAAUAACCAAAGUCAAAACACCAUGUUUAUCCCAAGAUUAGUAAUUCUUUAUAGCACAAUAAAAACAAAGCGCAUUGCAAAGCUUAUAAAUUAACUAAUGUAACAUGAAAACAUAAUGGAAAGCUAGCAAGGUUUAUAUAACCGAAUGAUGAUGGUCUGCAAUCAAGUUUAAACACCACACUUACACAAGAAUGCUAAAGGAAAAAUACCCUGGGGCACUGACAUGGAUAUGAAAGCAUUCAUCAUAAAGCAUGGAAUAACCACGCCAACUAUAUGCAAAUCAUGAAUGGAAUGCAAUAAAAUACACACAUUAUGAUGAUGGCAAAAUGCAAUGCAUGUAGAAAAAUAAAUAUGAACAUGAUGAUGGUCUAAAGAUAAAACAAAACCUAUAUUUAUUAGACACAAGCUAAUCAUCAUGAGAUGGUGAUGUGCUCUUUUUUUCAUUUUCUAAAAGAAACAAAACUCAAAGAACGGGUUGCCUCCCGAAAAGCGUUUCUUUUAUAGUCAUAGAGCUCAACUUUCUCACAUACCUUCUCAUUGUUGCAAAGCCAUUGUUCUUUAUGUAAGAACUAAAGGUGUCCAUGCAGCUUUCAUUCACUACCCAUACUGUACAUGAUUACUUAGGCUCAAUGGAAGACUUGCCCAAGCUAUUUUCUCUCAUAUCGUCAUCUCCUUCUUCGUCAUUCUUUGCUGCUGCCUCUUCUCCACUGAAUUCCUCUACGUCUAGUUCAUAAGAUGUACUAAAAUUCUACUCCAUUGCAAAUUGCAUCAAAUUCCCUUUCCGAUAAGUGGUCAUUCACCCAAAACGAACUCCGGAUGAAAGAGUUACGUCUGUUUUACUCCGGCACUGCGUUCUAUCCCGAGCUGAUUUCAAAACGCGCAGUGUUGAAAUAUUUAAUCAUAAUUGUUUAUACGGAUCUCCAAAAUUAGCAAUUCUUAGUACGUUGGAAUGAAGGCUUGAUGAAGCUUCUGAAUAUCUAAUUCUCCUCUGUUGUACAUCUCUGAUCAUGGGCAGAAAAGUGAUUGCAACAACAACGUUCAUCCCGAAAUGUUGAUGAUCCAACUUGCAACUUCUUUGGGCAUGAUUUCACCACAUCAUUUGGAUCUCAUGAUCCUGCAUGGUUAGUGAAAUUCGAGCAAUCUCCCAACAAGUGCUCAUUUAAGGUCAUUAGCUUGACCAAGCGCAAAGCAAGAUUGAGAUUUGCAAAAACUUAUUGUAAACAUAAGCAUCCAUAAUCACAACCAUAAUUGAUUUGCAAAAGAAUAUCAUGGUGCAAUUAAAUAUAGCAUAUGUUUCUUGCAUAGCACUAGCAUCUCCACAAGACAAAGGUUCCGAAGGCAUAAAAACAAUAGGUUCAAACACAAUCAUUGCCUCUUUAUCAUUCUCAAGAAAUUCUAGCCUAUCAACAUGAUAAAUAUAGGUGCAAGGCAUAGAAUUUAAUUUAUCAUCCAUACUAUUGAUUAAACAUAUGCAUUUCAAGAUACCAUCAUAAAAACCAAUAGUACCUUGAGAGUUUAAUGUGUACCUUAACCUUGGAGCUUUUUCAUCAAGAGUGAUUUUUGGUUCGUCUACUGGAGUUGUAAAUAGAUUGAUCUCAACAAUUGGAGGUGGUUCUUCAUCAUUAUCUUGCAAUUCCUCCAACUCUCCAUCAUAUGGAUCAUGCAGUUCAUUAGCAAUAUUAACAGUCACCUCUCCUUUGAAGUCUUCAUUAUUUGGGAUCGCACCUGCAUCUGCAUCUUCAAAGUAUUUUGUAUUACCUUCAUUAUCUCCCAUGUGCCACAUGUCAUCAAGAUUGUUUGUUGUAGACUCACUCUUUUCUUCAUGUUUGAGCACUACCAUGUCCUGAUUCUUUGGUGUUCCAGCUUCAAUAGCAUACAAGCUAUAAACCUGUGUAGAGGGGGCUUCCAUGUGUGCAAAAUGUAUGCUAGCCGAUUGGCAUGAAUAUGCCGGGUUCUUCACAUUUUGUGCUCUUGUUUUCUAAAAUUUAUCCUCUGAAACUUCAACUAUAUCACUAGAAUUAUUAGAGAAGAGAUCUUGAAAUUUUUCUGCAGUUGUCUUCACAUCGGGAGUGAUUCCCAUCUCAUUAGCUCUUCUCUUUAUUGUCUUUCUUUCUUCGUCAGGCAACAACCAAUCAAGUUCUUCUAAUGAGUCUAAUUCUUCUUCUCCAACUAGUGUGCAUGAUGCUAUAUAGAGGGAUCUUUUAGGCUCAUCAUGGUUCAGUUCUUAUCGGGCCUCAUUAUUUAUUUCUCAAAUAUAAUUUUGAUUGAUCCAUCUAUCCUCCUCUUCUUCAAAUAUUUUCUGGAUCGACUCCCCACUCAUCUCUUGAUGAAAUAUAUCAUCAAUUCUUCUAGCUUCGCUUUGAUGUUUCCUAUGUCGUAUGUGGCUGUUUAGAUGGCCAAAAUCAAUUGGAAUCCAGCCAAGUUGUUUGAAUUCCGCCAAUGGUCUAGCAUUCUCGAAAGUUCGGCCUGCAUUCAUGUUAGUUUCAUGAGUUUUAAUAUGUGUAAUGACUUCUCUUACCUCAGGAAGUGGUUCUUUGAUUUGUAGUGAGGCCGGCUCAUCUUCCUUGAGCUCUGGUUCAUCUUUUUCAAAAAUUUCAGCAAGCAUCUCAAGCUUGCUUUUGUCAUUUUGCUCCUUCUGGCAGAGUUUUGGCAGAGUUUCUACCAUUCUCAUUCCACUCUUUUUGCAUUGCUUAUCCUUUGUAAGAUCUGUGUGGCUUCUCUAAUCGUCUUUUCCAUGAAAUCACCUCCUGCACACAUUCUUACAUAUUGGGAAGAGUAAGGGGUUAGUGAAAAAUAAAAUGAAUGCAACAUCAUGUCACCAGAAAUUUCCAAGUUUGGGCCUUACUCGAAUAGUCCAUUAAAUCGGUUCCAAGCUUCAUCGAUCCCUUCAUCUUCUCCUUGCUUGAAAUUAAUCAUCGCUUCCUUAAAUCUUAGACUUCGCUUAAGGAAAAAUAUUGUACGCAUGCAGAAUUUCUUCACGAACUCAUCCCAACUUCCCUUCACUUCAACAGAUGCAAGUGUGUACCAUCUUCGUGCUUCAUCUUCAAGAGAGAAUGGAAAAAGAUUCAUCUUGAACCAAGCAGCCGGAACUCCUUGUUGCACCAUGUUGCAUAUCAUCGUGAAUUGCUCCAAAUCUACCCGGGCUUCAUGGGACGCGUAUUGUAAUCCGACUUAGAUUACCAUCCAUGUAACUACCAAGUAGAUUAAGUUCAAACCGACUUGUAGCUCUUGGUCAUCAGCCUAUAUAAGGCGGCCAAGGGAUGCCCUAGGGGCAAAGGAAACCCAAUCAAACCAGUGAGGAAUACAAUCCACCAACACAAAGGACAUAGGGUAUUACUCUUUCGAGGCCCGAACCUGUCUAAAACCCUUGUGUCCCUUUCAUGUUCUCAUGACCACCCUCGCCUACAAAUCAACCAUUUGGGUAACCCCCAGGUGGACUGCCGGGCUCAUAACUCCGACAUUAACCUUUUCUCUAUUUUGUCCUCUAUUUCCUUCCGGUCUUUGUUUCCUAGCUUUCUAUAAUGCAUUGGGAUCCCUAAAUAGCGAAAGGCGUAAGAGCCUUAUUUGCACCCGAAAAGCUGUGAAUAUUGAGAUUCAUAGGCUUUUGCUUGCCCAAAGCAGAAGAUUUCGCUUUUCUGAAAGUUAAUUUUAAGACCGUAUAAUUGUUCAAAAGCACAUAAUAGAAGCUUCAUGUUUUUUGCCUGUUCAAUAUCAUGGUCCAUAAAAAGAACUAUGUCAUCUACAUAUUGGAGGAUAGACAAGCCAUCUUUGAUUAGAUGAGGUACUACCCCUUUCACCUGACCAUCCUCUUUAGCUCUAGCCACGAUUAUUGCCAACAUAUCCACAACAAUAUUAAAAAGUAUGGGGGAUAGUGGAUCACUUUGCCUAAGCCUCUUUUUGGUUUGGAAGUAUUGUCCUAAUUGUUGAUUCACUUUUAUCCCCACAUUACCCCCCUUGAACACAUGCUUUAACCCAAUCACACCACAUUGGGUUAAAACCCUUCAUUCUAAGUGUUUGUUGUAGGAAAUCCCACUUAACUUUGUUAUACGCUGUUUCAAAGUCUAUCUUAAAUACUAAUCCAUUUUGUCUUUUUGUAUGCAGCUCAUGAAUUGUUUUGUGAAGUACCACUGCACCCUCCAUAAUAUUCCUUCCAGGCAGAAAAGUUGUUUGUGAUGGUUUAAUAGUUCUUUGGGCAACCUUCACAAUCCUAUUAGUAGCUACCUUAGUGAAUAUUUUGAAGCUAACAUUUAGCAAAUAGAUAGGUCUAUAUUGCUGAAUCUGCUUUGAGUCACUUCGUUUAGGUAGUAGUAUUAUUGUUCCAAAGUUGAGGCUGUGAAGAGGCAGCAUGCCCUUAUGGAAUUCCUCAAAUAGAGCCAUAAGUCCCCCUUUAUCACACUCCAAAAAACUUGAUAAAACUCUGGCGGGAAUCCAUCAAGGUCAGGAGCAGUAUUGUUUUCAUUUGGAAAAUAGCCUCUUUUACCUCAAUCUUCGAAAGUGGUGUGACUAGGAAUUCAUUUUCUUCAGCUGAAACUUAUGGAAUAUCAUCACGGAUUGCCUCGUCCAUAGACACAAAGUUGUUAUAUGAAGGACCAAACAACUUUUUAUAAUACUUGGUAAUAUAUUUCUUAAGUUCAAUAUCACCACAUAUUAAACCUUCCUCUUGUUCCAGCUGAAAGAUACGAGUUUUCCUGUGCUUUCCAUUAGCCACUAACUAGAAGUAUUUUGUAUUCGCAUCUCCUUCAAGCAAAUCCUUAGCUUUCGCUGGCUGGUACCACUUUAAUUCUUCCUCUCGUAGCAAUUCUACUAGUCUAUUAUUAAGAGCGUGUUUAAGAUUAAGCUCAUUGGUGUCUAAAGGUGUAGUUUCUGCCUUUUUAUCUAAUUCAUCCAGUUUAUUCAAGAGCCUCUUUUUUUCUUUUUUAUAAGAACCACUAAUAUUUUUGGCCCACCCCUCAAAUAUUAUCGUAAGCAUUUGAUUUUUGUUUACCAGGUCUCUAAGGGAGUAUUGCCUUUAGCCACUCCUUGCCAGACAUCUCUAACCGUAUCAAAAAACCCUUCAAGUAACAACCAUCCCAGCUCAAACUUGAACAACGGAGUGUUGUUAACUGAAGUUGUUUCACCUGUAUUUAAGAACAAUGGAGUGUGAUCAGAAAUUUCUCUAGUUAGUGCUUGUACUGUGGUAUGCGGAAAUUCCAGCUCCCAUUCCGUGCAAGAUAGGAGUCUAUCUAACUUUUCGAAAGUUGGAACCUUUAGGCUAUUGGUCCAAGUAAACGGGCGCCCUGAAAGUUCUAAUUCUCUUGGAAGAGAAUUAAAGGCAUCUAUUAUUGUGUUAAUCCGGAACGGCCACCUAUCAUUAUAGUUGGCAUUAUUCUUUUCGUGCGGUCCACGUAUAAUAUUGAAGUCACCACCUACUAGAAUGGCCCCGUUUUCUUCCACUGACUUAUUUUUAGCACCCAUCACAUCGAAUGUUUAGAUACUAAUUAGAAGUAUUAAACGUAGACUAUUUACAAAACCCAUUACAUAAGACGAAUCUAAACGGCGAGACGAAUCUAUCAAGCCUAAUUAGUCCAUGAUUUGACAAUAUGUUGCUACAGUAAACAUUUGCUAAUGAUGGAUUAAUUAGGCGUAAUUAGGCUUAAUAGAUUCGUCUCACCGUUUAGAUUCGUCUUAUGUAAUGGGUUUUGUAAAUAGUCUACGUUUAAUACUCCUAAUUAGUAUCUAAACAUUCGAUGUGACACGUGCUAAAAAUAAGUCAGUGGAAGAAAACACCCCUAGGUAAAGUUUCUUUAGUACAUAACUGGACCAGCUCUGUUAGAAAUGCCUCUUUGUACUGUUGUUGUGCUGCCCCAUACACACACAACAACACCCAACGAAAGCCAUCCUGUUUAUUUAUCACUUUAAAUUUAAUAAAAUAAUCACUUUCCUCAAUUUCACCAAUAUCAAACGUUAGUAGAUUAACUCCAACUAACAUGCCACCAGAUCUUCCGUGAGGAGCUUUGCCAUGCCAAAAAAACUCCUUCCCACCACAAAGGUUUUUGAGGAAAUUUUGUGAGUAAUUAUUCCUCCCAAUUUCUGAUAAGGCCACGAAAUCUAAACUUUUCUCACGAACAAGGUCUGAAAUAAAUUUGUAUUUUUUUCUCCAAACCCAUUGCAAUUCCAAAAUAUUCCUUUCAUCGGUUAUUCUUGUUGUUUUUUGAUCCACUCUUACUUUCUUUCUUUUUCUUUUUUGAACUAGAUUUUUUCUUUCUAGGAACGGCUUGUAGAUCAAAAAGAUCACUGCCCUCCCCAUCACUCAAACCCUCCACCACCUCACCACAAAACUGGUUUAGUGCAAGGAUAUUAAGCUCAUCAUCUAUAUCAAUUUCAUUUUCUAGAGUGAAGACUAAAUUAUUUCUAUUUAACUCUGUUACUUGAGGUGCAACCCGAAGCCUACUGCAUUCAAUAUUCUUAAGGUUGCUAACUGACUUACAAGUUCUAGCAUCUAUUGAGCCUAAAGAAAUUCCCACCUUACUAAUUUUCUUAACAACCAAAUCAUCAUAAAAAGAAAGGAAUGAAUUAAAAGACUCGUUACCUUGUUUGUCGGGCUCCUCUAAGUUUUUUCGAGCUUUGAGUUUUGCAGCCUUCUCAACCAUCUCUUGGUCUGCUGUCAUUGCACUCCUCCACUCUUGCAGGUGGGAGUAGCUGUAGCAACGGGUGUAGGUGUGGGAGAGACAGCAUGUGAAGAGAGUUCAACAACAGAUGGCUUGCUAGAUGAUUUCUUCCCUGUAGAAUUUUCCGGCCUGUUCGCUUCAGCUUAUUCAGCCGGCUUAUCAGCCACCAAAUAGUAUUUUCCACUCACAACAAAUCAACCGUUUCAGCUUUUCAGCCGGCUUAUAAGCUGAAGCGAACAGCCCCUUCAAUGGCCGGCUGCCAAUAAAAUGCUUCAGCUACCCAAGCUCUGGUGCUCUCAGCUAUACCUGUAGGCUUCAAAGCCACAGUGUGUCGAGCCUUGCUUGGGUUUGCUCGACCUGUCGGCUAUGCACCCCCGGCCUACCAGAAGACUUGUACGGACCUACUCAAGGGAACAUAUCUGAAACCUACUCGGGCAUGAAGACUACUCUGCAGGGCGCGUAGGCUUCAUGGACUCCCAGAAGGCUAGUCGGGACAAAAGGAAACUACUCUACCGAGUUAGAGUAGGACUCUAUAACGUACUUGACUAGGACUCAUAUACAAUCCGCCCUCUAACCCUGCUCCUCUGACUAUAUAAGGGCGGGCAGGGACCCCCCUCCAAAGUACAACAACAGACACAAGUUCAAUACAACCAACACACAGGACGUAGGGUAUUACGUGAUCUAGUGGCCGAACCUGUCUAAAUCGUGUUCCUUGUGUCACUAUCGACUCCUUGAUUCUUGACGACACCCACUGCACAAAAGACCACCUGGGGUACAUCCUAGGCAGGUUGCCAGUCUAAAACACCGACAGCUGGCGCGCCAGGUAGGGGGAGUCGUCGAGUUUCUCUGCGCGAGAUCAAUGGCACCGGUCAUCAUCAAGCCUGCGUUCGCCUUCGAGGCGGGCACAACUUUUGUCUUUGGUUCCUGGCUUUGCAUCGCUGACGGUGUUGGAUCCUUUCAAUACUACAUCGUCGGCAACCAGGAAAAGGAGCAUCUCGAUGAAAAUUUUCUUCAUCAAGAAAUAGAGAAUCUCGUCGAGGAAAUCCAAAAUUUCAACGUCAACAACACUAAGUUCGACUACAGCUCGGACUCGACUUUGACUCGGACUAGCCUACACAGGCUGAUGACCAAGUCACCCCGCAAGUCGAUUUCAACUCGAAGUUGAUUCCCGCACGAACUCCGCAACGCAGCCAUGAUCCACCAAGAAUUCCUUACUCGAGUCCAAUCCGGACUGGAGACAGCUAAGAAUUGCGACUACGAUUCAGACUCUAUCCAAGAGAUCCCUUUGUCAGGCCCAACUCAAGGCUUGGUAAUUACUUCGACUCCGCAAGGUAGAUUUGUUUAUUGACCCGGGAUGAAGCCAUCGUUCCUUGCCCAAAAUUACGAGUCGCACCUUGUCGCUCACAUAGACAACCUCCGUAUCAAGAAGGUAUCCCGCUUACUUCAACCCGUGAAGAGGGAAGCACUACGGAGAUUGCAACAUCAAGCUCUGGAAGCUACUACCUGGACAGAGAAAUUAUCGUCAUUACGUCACCAAACAACGACGCGGGUGCCAGCCACCAGAAAACUCCUCGAUGGGUUGGACAACUCGAUGACGUUUCACAAGAUGAAUCGUCAGCUAAUGCCUCGCAAGAUGAAACCUCUUAAUAGAGAAAUCAAAGAAGGGCACGCAGUGCUGCCCAAGCAGAUCAUCGCCGACUACUAGCCACGAACAUUCCUAUUGUGAACCUCGAAAGAGUGUUCGACGCAGUACAAGCUCGAGAGCACAACACCCCACUUGCAGAAAUUGCCUCGAUCAAUCUCAUAUCAACUCUCAUACCUCGUGAUAGAGACAAUGAGUUAACAGCACAACUUGCGGAAAGGGGCAACGAGUUAAUAGCACAACUCACAGCACAAGCUUGCAAACUACUUGACAAGGAGUCAAUGGUGGUAACUCGAAAGAGCAAAUCGUCUCAGUCUACGGUGGCAAUCACGAGGCUCCAAGAAACAGUAGUGAAGUAGUCAACCAGCCAAGGCAACAUAGCCAAAGGCAAAAUAGAGUUGAACGUGAGGCCCCAAGGCAAAACAGAGACGUAGGAGAGGCUAGCUGCACCAAUUCUGCAAAGAGCCCUCAAACCGAUCGCGAAGCCUCAAUUUUCAGUGACCUAAGAGCAGUAAUCAAUAACAACUGUCGCCGCGAACGCGAAUGCAAAGCCGAUGACUUUGAUCGCUUCCCCGCCUUCACCACACGGGUAAUGAAGACUAAACUACCUGAGAAGUUCAAACCGACGGGGAUUAUCAAGUAUGAUGGCAAGCAAGAUCCAGUCCAAUGGCUACGAUGCUACUCACUAGCCGUUCAAGCAGCUAGGGGUAACGAUGAUACAAAGGUCAUUCACUUCCCCAUUUGCAUGGAAUCUGCGCUGUUAACAUGGCUCGAGUCACUCAAGCCCAAGUCGAUUGAUUCCUGGGAAGACUUGACGAAGGCUUUCACUGAUAAUUACGCAGGCUCCAUGUCUCGCCCAGGCAACAAAAUUGACCUAAGCCAAGUCAAACAGAAAGAAAGCAAAACACUUCGCAACUACCUACGCUGUUUCUUUGAAAAGAAGGCUACAAUAGUUGACAUCUCAGAAGCAGACAUCAUCGAGUGCUUUCAAAAUGGACUUUAUGAUCGUCGAACAUACCAAGACUUUGGCAAACAUCGUCCAGCCACCGUCAAAGAUCUCAAAAUCAUGGUGCAACAAUGGGCAGAUGAAGAAGACAAAAAAGCGCAAACCCAACAACACUGUCGCGGCUAUGACCAACUCAGGCAAAAAAGGGCCACACAAACGCAAUGACGGGCCCUCCUUCACCGAGUUACUCAAGAAACAAUACCCAUGGCACCCAAACAGCAAACACUCGGCGAUUGAUUGCUACAACAUGCGUCUAGUAAUGCAAGAAUUACCCGCACCACCCCCUCCCGAAGGCAUUGGUCAGAAGAAGGACAAGGGUAAAGGAAAGGUCAACGAAGCUAAUGAAGGUGAAGGUGAGUUCCAAACUGCCUCUAAGACGAUAACAUCAUUUUUUGUGGAAUCCUGGGUACCGCGUCCAAGCGGUCCAAUAAGCUAGUACUUCGAGAGAUUAUGGCUAUCGAGCCAGCAACUCCUACACUACUCAAAUGGUUUGAGGUACCCAUAACUUUCAGCAGAAAGGACCGAUGGACAAUUUCUCAGAACCAGGCCGAAUCCCUCUGGUACUCGAUCCUGUCGUCGCAGGCUCAAGACUUACCAAAGUACUCAUCGAUGGCGAAAGCGGACUGAACGUCAUUUUUUCCAAGACACUAAGGAAAAUGUGCCUCGACAUCACAGACAUGCUUACUCCAAUAGAUUCACCUUUCUACGGAAUUGUCCCAGGCAAUGCUGCCAUACCCUUAGGACAAGUUGUCCUACCAGUCACUUUUGGCACCAAGGAACAUUACCGAACUGAGUAUAUCAGGUUUGAGGUCGCCGACUUUGAAACUUCUUACCACACCAUACUCGGACGACCAGCCCUGGCCAAGUUUAUGGCCAUACCACACUACGUGUACCUAGUACUCAAGAUGCUAGGACCUAUGGGUGAGUUAACACUACGUGGAGACUUAAGGCGAUCAUACGAGUGUGACACGGAAGCUGUCGAGAUCGUAGCGACUUCUCAAGCACCCAAUCCCAUACAACAAGUCUUCAUAGCUUUAAAAAAAACUCAGCCCCACAGAACUCGAGAUCCCAGAAAACAAGUCGGGAUCGACUAAGGUGAAACCAGCAAGUGAGGACUUCAAAACCAUCGUUCUCCAGACUGGUGACUAAUCCAAGACAGCCCUGAUUGGAAUAGGGCUAGACCCUAAAUAGGAAAAUGCACUCAUCAGUUUUCUUCGGGCUAACCACGACAUCUUUGCUUGGAAGCCAACUGACAUGCCCGGUGUGCCCAAGGACCUAAUUGAGCAUUCAUUAAACGUCGACCCUAAAGCCACCCCAAAAAGAUAACGACUACGAAGGUUCGCCCAGGACAGAAGAGAUGCAAUCAAAAAAGAGCUAGCAAAACUACUCGCGGUAGGGUUUAUCAAAGAGGUUUUCCAUCCUGAUUGGCUAGCCAACCCUAUACUCGUUCGCAAGAAGAACAAUGAGUGGAGGAUGUGCGUCGACUACACAGACCUCAACAAGCAUUGCCCGAACGACCCCUUUGGACUACCCAGGAUCGACCAAGUAGUCGACUCCACAGCUGGGUGUGCUUUGCUCUGCUUUCUAGACUGGUACUCAGGCUAUCAUCAAACAACCCUCAAAGAACAAGAUCAAGCCAAAACAGCUUUCAUCACCCAGUUUGGAGCAUUUUACUACAAAACAAUGUCUUUUGGGCUAAAAAAUGCUGGUGUGACCUAUCAACGAGCCAUCCAGAUGUGUUUCGAGAAGCAACUACACCGCAACGUAGAAGCUUACGUAGACAACGUAGUCGUCAAAACAAGAAAUCCGGAUGAUCUAGUCGCAGACUUAGAAGAAACUUUUGCAAGCCUACGAGCAUUCUGGUGGAAGCUCAACCCUACUAAAUGCAUUUUCGGUGUACCCUCGGGAAAACUAAUCGGAUUCAUCAUUAGCCACGUGGAAUUGAGGCAAACCUAGAGAAAAUCUCUGCCAUCACAAAUAUGCAAGCUCCAACUAGCAUCAAGGACGUGCAGAAGCUUACAGGCUGCAUGGCAGCCCUCAAUCGAUUCAUCUCAAGACUUGGAGAACGUGGAUUACCCUUCUUCAAGCUACUCAAAUGACAAGACAAGUUUCAAUGGACAGAGAAGGCAAACAAAGCCAUGACACAGCUCAAGGACUUUCUGUCAAAACCACCAAUCCUCACGUCUCCAUCUCCAAACGAGGACUUGCUCCUAUACAUAGUUGCUACUACUCAUGUUGUCAGCACAGUAGUACAAAGUCCAGAGACCCAUCUACUUCAUCAGUGAAGUACUCUCAGACUCCAAAACUCAGUACCCACAGGUGCAGAAGCUGCUCCACGCAAUCUUUCUUACCUCACGGAAGCUGCGACACUACUUUCAAGAACAUAGCGUUUCCGUCAUCACCGACUUUCCGCUUGGUAAAAUCCUUCAUGAUAGGGAUGCAAUGGGUAUAAUCUCCAAGUGGGCAGUAGAACUCGGAGCUCUAUCUAUAGACUUCAAACCCAGAAUAGCUAUCAAAUCCCAAGCUCUGAUCAACUUCAUGGCAGAGUGGAGGGAAAACCAAGUACCAACACCAGUUGAAAGGCCAGAACAUUGGGUUAUGUACUUCGACAGUUCCCUCAAGCUUGAAGGUGCCGGCGCAGGAGCACUCUUGAUUUCUCCAAAACGUGAACAGCUAAAAUACGUUCUCCAGAUCUUUUGGGAAGUCUCAAACAGUGAAGCCGAGUACGAAGCACUUUUACAUGGCCUUCGUCUUGCAAUACCACUCGGUAUCAAAUAACUACUGGUAUAUGGUGACUUGCUAGUCAUCAUUAACCAAGUCAAUGAUGAGUGGGAUCGCAACAAGGAAAAUAUGGACGUUUACUGCAAGGAAGUCCGCAAGCUAGAGAACAAGUUCUCGGGCCUUGAGUUUCACCAUGUCAUCCGUGACAACAACGUAGCUGCUGAUGUGUUAUCAAAAAUGGGCUCAACUCGUGCAGAAGUUCUAGCAGGUAUUUUUGCACACGAGCUUCGCAAGCCUUCUAUACCAGAACAAGCUACUCCAGCAACUACCAACACCAAACCUCAAGAACCCAACCGAGAGAUCAGGAUGAUCGAAGUUGACUGGAGAUCACCGUUCAUCGACUACAUCAAAGAACAAAACCUACCAUCUGACAAGAACCAAGCUGAACAAAUCUCACGACGAGGAAAGAUCUAUGUUCUAGUCAGAGACAAGCUCUACAGAAGGAGCGCAUCUUUAGGGAUACUCAUGAAAUGUGUCACCCAAAAAGAAGGUCAAGAGAUCUUGGAAGAAAUACACAAAGGAAUAUGCGGGAACCAUGCCUCUUCACAAACAAUCGUAGGAAAAGCAUUUAGAGCAGGCUUCUACUAGCCCAUGGCACUGGCCGAUGCAAAAUAGCUAGACCGCAGAUGCCAAGGUUGCCAAUUAUUUGUCAAGCAACAGCAUGUUCCCGCCUACAAGCUCAUCACAAUACCUCUAACAUGGCCCUUUGCAUGCUGGGGGCUUGACAUGAUUGGACAACUCCCAACUGCGCCAGGAGGGUUCAAUCGAGUACUCGUAGCCAUUGACAAGUUCACCAAGUGGAUCGAAGUCAAACCUGUCACUUGCCCCAAGGCCGACCGAGUCCUUGACUUCCUGGAUGAAAUCGUACAUUGCUACGGCUUCCCCAACAGGAUUAUCACUGAUUUGGGAUCCAACUUCAACAAUCACGACUUCUAGGAAUACUGUGAGAACAGCGGAAUUGACGUACGAUACAUCUCCGUCGCUCACCCAAGGGCCAAUGGCCAAGUCGAGCGUGCCAAUGGCAUGUUACUCGAAGCUUUGAAGAAAAAGUUGCAUGACAUCGGCAACACGAAAGGAGGCAAAUGGCUCAAAGAAUUACCUAAUAUUCUUUGGGGACUACACACUCAACCAUGCAAGCCUACUGGGCACUCUCCCUACUUCCUCGUAUAUGGGUCAGAGGCCAUCUUCCCUGCAGACAUCAUGUGGCAAUCUCCCGCAGUUGAGCAGUAUGAUGAAGGAGUAUCAGAGGAAACAAGGCACCUAUACCUAGACAGUCUGGAAGAAACAAGAUGUGCAGCACUGGUUCAGUUAGCCGGAUAUCUCGAUGGACUAUGACGCUAUCAUGACCGUAAUGUCAAAGAACGUUCCUUCAACGUGGGUGACAUGGUCCUCAAAUGCAUUUAAGACACAACAGGGCUGCACAAACUCAACUCGCCAUGGGAAGGUCCCUACAUCAUAUCCAAGGUCAUAGGGUCUGGGUCGUACCGACUACAGGAACUCUCAGGCGAAGAAGUACCAAACUCUUGGAAUAUAGAGCAUCCGUGUCGCUACUACCUGUAGCAGACUGUUACUCGGGUCUUCACCCACAGUCUAAUAAACAACAAAGUUCUUUGGCAAAUAAUAUCUUUGCCUCCGCUCGGCUAUUCACAGCCACUCGAGCUCUCCAGCUCUGCGAGCCUCAGCGCUCCGCUUUCGACUUGAUUCCUUCAAGUCUCUUUGAGUUAUCACAACUUGUCGGGUAUUCACAGCCACUUGAGCUCUCCAGCUCUGCGAGCUCCAGCACUCCAUUUUUUACUUGAUUCCUUCAAGUCUCUUCAAGUUAUCACAACUCGUCGGCUAUUCACAGCCACUUGAGCUCUCCAGCUCUGCGAGCCCCAGCGCUCCGAUUCCAUCAAGUCUCUUCGAGUUAUCACAACUUGUCGGCUAUUCACAGUCACUCAAUGAAGCGUCCCCACAUAAGUAGAGACUAAAUGUGAUACAAAUAUCAGUCCAGGAGGCUGAUAACACAAUUAUUCAACAGAUGGUUCAAAAACCGUACAACUCCCGAAGGAGCGGGCGGGCAAGCCACACCCAAAGAAGAACUAAACCAACAACGAUACAAAUCCAAGUUGCAGUCCAGUCGGACUCCAGGCUUGUGGCGGAACCACCUCGAAUUAGCUUGAUUAAGCAGGGUUAAGCCGCCUAACAUGCGACACCACUGCCUAAACCGAGUUAACACGAAGUGCCGUCGGAUUUCGUCCGAUUUAACCACUUAAAACAGGAUCGAGUUCAGCAAACCCACGUGAAGGUGAGAGGUUACAGAGAAUACAACAAGUCCACUGAGUUUAAGCAAUCUUACUCAAUUAGUUCGGUCAUGAAGAAAAUUUAACACCAGAGUUUUAUAACAAAAGAACAACAGAGAAAACACUAGCGGAAGACUUCGUCGGGGUCGGACGUCCGGGCGAGGCCAGCCAGAACAUCACUGAAUCCUCUCCUCACCGUCCGAGGAGGGGUCCCACUCGACCGUCCAGCCUGGCGGGAGCUGGGGCGGCCAAGCACCAACAAGGGAGGGGUCGGGAACUGCAACUUCACCUGAAAAGCAGGAGCCACAACAAGGCUGAGCUACUAAGCUCAACAAGACUUAACCGGGGAGGAGCCAACUACUCUUCCAACUAGACAUGCAAGGAUUCUUGGCUGAGGGGUUUGAUUUGCCAAAAGCACUAAGCAACCUGUUUUCCAGUUUUAGCUCCGGUUCUAUAUUUACUUACCAGUCUAGGUUGUGCAACCUAUUCUAAGCAAACAUCGAGCCAAACAAGUGUAUAGAUAGAAACAACAACAUUGCCAUCAUCAGAUUCCUCAUUUACUCAGGGUGACAUGGCGAUCAAGUAAUCUCAAACUGUGAGAGGCAGACGAAUCGAUUCGAGUUCUUUAACCAUGCAUGGUGAACCUAGCCCCACGACAUCCGCGCACCCGGAGGUCGCUUCCUGUGUCGACCUUCCCCAUCGAUCCCCUAACCCGUGUCGGGCCCAUUUCCUUUGGUGCAAGGCUCCACAGACCCGGCCUCUGCCGUCCUGUGACCACUCUUUGCCACCACGUGCGACAACCAGCAGGGGAAACUCCGUUCCAAGAACAAUGGGGCGACCGUUCACGUCUAGGUUCAAUCAGGUAUUAGGCUUCCUCAUCCCAUACUAAGUAUGAGGCUAGUACUUUCAAACACUUGAUCACGAACACCACCACUGUCGGGCCUUAGCAAGUUUUCAUAGACAGACGGGGCAACCAUCCAACCACCAAAGAGUUACCAAACCCUGCCCCGUCCACCGUCCUUACAGUUGUAACAGGAGAGUAAAACAUGCAACUCCUACAACUCGCGAGUGACAGGAGAUCACUCGGCUUUUACCGUCUCCUAAUUAAGCAAUGCAGCUAAUCGGUCCAACAGCUAGUGCUCAUAUCAAGGGUUACUAAGUCAUGCAUCUAGGGUUUCACACAACUCCUAAACGUAAAUGCACAAACGUGCUAUUCGGAAGGCAUGUGCAAGUUUGACAAGAACACAUAGGAUCUUCAUGCAACCGGGGCUUGCCUGCAAACAAGGAAGGUGGAAACUGCUCGACUUCGGGGGCGGCUUCGACUUCAGCGGGCAGGAACUCGGCUACUGCUUCUUCUUCGGGCGUCGGGUGCAGCUCGUAGAAGCCGUCAGCGAGGUGCAGCUCUACACGAAUGCAAUGCAAGGGUUAGCUUAAACGUUUUGAUUUGACAGCAACACUGGCUCUCCUGAUCCCAGAAACUUGCGACAAAGAGCAGGAGGUGGAGACUGUUUGAGGGAGCUGAUGAUGAUCAACAGGUAAGGGUAGGAAGGAACUAGUGGUCUGAUCCUUGAACUAGAGGAUGUGAUAACAGGGAUCCUCAGACGUAGGCGCUGAGGGGUUCCCACGUUUUACACUUACACCCUCAAGUUGAAGAAAAAGAUCAUAGCCAGACCCUCGGGUGAGGCGGACAAGGGUCGGCAAACAGACAGGGUCGGACGAGACGGAACUGGGGUCGGGCGGGUAGAAGGGGUCGGGCGAAGCAGACUUAGGGUCGGCACUCACCUUCUUCCUGAAAGGAAAGCUUGGGGUCGGGAAGAGGCAGACUUGGGUACGGAACUAAAGCUUUGGAACAGGGACUAAGGCCGGCGAUGCUCCGGCGGCGGUGCUUCUUGCGGAUCACAAGAGAGCUCUUGCGCAGCACAAGGGAGCAGGCUGCGGGGUGAUUUGGAUGAACUGAGAAGGAACUGGGAGAAGAACUUCUCAAGACUGGGCGGAUGGCACUAGGAGCUUGAGCAGGGAGCUAGAGGGAACUAAGGGCAACAAAGGCGGAGGGAACUCCGGCGAUGGGGGCAUUCCUUUUAUAGCUGCGGGAGCAGAGGAACGGAAGCGUCGCGGAGAGAGAGAAGGGAAGUGACACGAAGGCCAGGGAGAAGCAAUGGAGUGCUCUGCCGUGGCGGCGAUUGAGCAAACCGGGCGGUGCAACAGAACUCCGGGGGUGACGCCAGCGAUCAUUGCGCUACUCCGUCAGGGCGGCGUAGGCGCGGGUAGACCGGUAGUUGAGAUUUGGCGGAAAGCGGGCGUCGCCGUGCGGAAGAGGUGAUAGAAGUGACCAGUUAAACGGCGCUAGGAUCGAGGGCGCACAGGUGGGAGAACAAGCGGACGCGGCGCGGGGGAGAGCGCGGAACAACAGAUUGUCGGGCAGCGUCUGACAGGGCGGGGGAAAGGAACUGUCGCGGCCGCGGUCGUGGUUGGCGGUGGGGGAAUCGUCGUGUAGCGACGACCGGGCGGCGCAACUGUUGCUGGAAAGGACGGAAAAGACGGGCGACAUCGGUCUCCGGGGCUGAGAUCUGGUAUCGUGAUGAUGGGCGCGGGGAGCGAGGCUCUGCAGAAAGGGGUGCAGAGGGCUUCCGCUGCUAUUGGGGAAAAGGGCGCGGGAACCCACUCGGUCGCUUGCCAGAGACAAAACUGAGCGGUGGCGUCGGAGAAGACGAGCCACGUGGCAGGAAAGCUCUGAGGCGGCCAUGCAACUCGAGUGCGGCUGAUGCGGGGGAUCUGGAAAAGAUCUCGCGGGUCCACCGGGGAAAAGAUCGGACGGGUGAGGAAGAUUAGCAGGAUCCGACGGAUGGCUGGACUCGCCAGGGUCGGGAACAGGAACGAAGCGGUAGGGGUCGGAUCUCAGGGGUCGGAACUGGCGGAAGACUGAGCACUUGGGUGCGGUCAACAGCACAACUGACUGAGGUGAAGGGCUGAGAUCAAAACCUAACUGGGAGAGAUUAGGGGUCGGUCGUUACAGGGCUGCAAUCGGAACUAAGCAUCAGCAGAAGCAUCCUGCAAAGGCCAACACCACAGGCAGCGUUGGGUGCGGGCACGACCUUCUACUCGAGAUCCUCGGCGAUGUAGUCCGGGUCUUCCUCUAAAGCAACAAAACAAGGGUGAGUACGAAAGUAUUCAACAAGUUCAACCCCAUCCACGGAAGGGGAUACAAGCAAGAAUAUGCACAGGAUAUAACAAGGAUGAGGUUAAGGUUCAUUUGCAAUAAAGCUAGAUUUUCAACACAUGCAAGGGUUCAUUUUCAAAAGAGUUUUCGCAAAGCAUUUCCUUUAGUAACCGGAACAUUAAGUGGGGUUGAUCCUACACAAAGGAUCCAAAUUUUAUUGCUAUCGGACUCCCCGUCCGCCAUAGCUCAUGGCACAACUGCCGGACACUUCCAAAAUCCAACACACGCCAUAAAAACCAUCCAUCUCCAAGUGCUAGUUAUGUGACCAAGCCGUAACUCGUCCAAUAUCGUGGACACGGCUACCCGAAUAGGUUUUAGCUCUGCAGAGGUCGUACACUUUUCCCACAAGUAGGGUACCGCAGCACGAUCACCUUAGUGCCGGUGCGGAUCCUAACAAAGCCAUUACCCACCUUAGCUAAGACUGACUAGUCCACACGGAAGCAACCAAGGGGUUAACGACCUACCAACGAGGUCGUAACCGGGACCUAAGUCACAAAGAUCUUACUCCUUUUCCAUGGGCUCCCGUUGCUCACCAGCUCACCUGAAGACUAACAGUUUUUAGCUAGUGGGAUUUAUGCUAAGCCUUUGCCGCAUACAAUGGUUGAGUGGUUGCACGAAGGUUGGGUUAGGCAAGAUGACACAUCAACUCGGUCCUUAACCAUGACAACAUGGAUAUCUCCCAACCUUGCUCAACCACCAAGGUACGAGCCCAACAUAAUGGCAUUUCACACAUGAAACACCCAUCCAUCUCAUCUAAGCAUCUCUUUCCUUUACCUCCAAAGAACCCAAUUUCCCUUUUUAAAACACUCACACAUUUAUUCUUUAACAAAACACAUUGUGGUCAUGAUUGAAUUGAGCAUUCUAGCAGUAAUUAUCAUCCAAACAGAGCAAGUCAUAUUUAGAGAUAAUUAUAGGACAAGCAAGGAAUAAUCAUAACAAUCAACGGGUGGCUAUCCAACCAUGUUUCAGCGGUAAAAUAAUAUGCACUUUAUAAAAAUAGGAUAAUAGGUUGUGUUUGAAAAACUAGGAUAAAUAUGCAUCAAAGGGUGAGACUAGACUUGUCGUUCUCAAAGCCUUCCGGGAGUUCCUGGUCGCGGUACUGGUCCUCGAGCUCGGGCUCGCGGUGAAACUCCUCCUCGUGCUCCUCCUCGGGUACUCCGCGAUCUACGGCACACAAAAUCGAGCACACAAUAAAUAAAAGAGAAUUAAAAUUUUUCCCAUUGAGCUACGAAUAGAAAAUGCGAACGGAAAAUUGAAGGAGUGAGUAUUUUCAUGAAAUUGCCUCGGUGUAAGUAUAUGGUAGGAGGCCAUGGUCGAAUUUGGGAUCAAUUGGAGGAAGUUUGACGCAUGAAAUGACGAGUUAAAGGAGUGUUAGGGGCUUAAAACAAGGUUUAGGACUGAACUGCGAGAAGUAGGGACCUAUUUGUAAUUAUUUAUAAAAGGUAGGAGGGCGUAUCUGCGAGACUUCUUUGAGGGAGUUGGAAGGGCCGGUUUGCAAAUAAGGGAACUGGCGGGUUAGAUCCAAAUUGAAGGGAGAUUUUCCCUUUCUUCUUCCUUGGUCCGGUACAGGAGGUGGGAAGGGAGGAAACAGGGGGGGGGGGGGUCGGCCGGGCCACGCUGCCGGUGGCCGAGUGGUGGAGGGGGUAGAGGAGGUCGAGGGGACUCCAUUUGAGGCCUCACCUCGGGUGGAUGGUGUUGGAGGAGGGGGGGUGCCGGCACAGUCAAGGAGCAGGGGCCACGGGGGUGUGGGCGGUAGGCAAGGGGGCAGCGCCGGUGGUGGUGUGGAGGCGGCAGGGGCUCGGCCCCCUUUUUAUAGGUGCCGGGAGGAGCUCGACAACCGGCGGCCUUCAAUGGAGGCCGAGAAUCCCGGCUGAUGGCGUGCCAAAGUGGAGUUUCGCGUGAAUGGCGUGGUGGGGCCCGGCUCGGUCGAUGAGGAGCAUAGGGGCGACGACCGACGGCCGACGAUGGGACGCGGGUGGCCAGCCGAGUAGCUCGGCGCGGGCGGCGGCACGCGGCAUGACACGUGCGGGGCCGAGCGCGAGAGCGGCCAGGCACGGCGCGGGGCCAGGCGUGGGGUUGGGCGCAGGCGCGGGCGGCCGGGCGAGCGGCUAGCGCCAGGCGCUAGGCGCUAGCGCCAGGCGCCAGGAAGGGUGCGCCAGGAAUGAAGGGAAGGAGAGAAGGAAAACGAAGGAAGAAGGAAGAGAGAAGAAAGAGAAGCAAGGAAGGGAGAAAAAGAAAAGAGGAAAAGGGGAGGGAAAAAAAGGAAAAGGAAAAAGGAAGGGGAAAAAUCAGCGAAAAUUACGGAAUCGGUCGGGCACGCGCGACGGAUUUGAUGGGCACGCGGUGAAAUUUGCGGGGAACGGAAAAGAUGACUGUCGACGUUGGGUGCCAGGACGGCAGGGUCGCCGGGAUGGAAAAGAUUUUCGGGAGCUCAACGGUCGGAAGAUUUUGAAACAAAUUUUUAGCGGGUGAUUUGAGUUAGUAAAUUCUACGGGUGUUACAAACCUACCCCACUUACAUUAAAUCUCAUCCUCGAGAUUCAACUGAGUCCUGAAAAGAUAGGGAAACUCCUUCUUUAACGCAUCCUUGCGUUCCCAAGUAGCUUCCUCUUCACUAUGCCUACUCCAUUGGACUCUGCAAUUCCGUACCACCAAAUUCCUCGUUCUUCUGGUGGCAGUGUCUAGAAUCUUAACAGGUACCUCCUGAUACUGGAGAUCUUUUUGCAAGUCUAUCGUUUCCACCGGUACUUGCUCUUCAGGUACUCUCAAGCAUUUUCUUAGUUGGGAGACAUGAAAUACUGGAUGUAUAUCUGACAUUUCUUCGGGCAGUUGGAUACGGUAUGCUACAACUCCAACUCUCUUUAGCACCUGGUACGGUCCUAUAUAUCGAGGGGCUAAUUUUCCUUGUACUUGAAAUCUUCGGGUACCUCAAAUCGGGGAGACCUUGAGGUAGACGAAGUCUCCUUCAUUGAAACUCAAUUCCCAUCUCCUUUUAUCUGAGUAGCUCUUCUGUCUAGACUGCGCUGCCUUCAGCUUCUCUCGGAUUUCAGCCACUCGGUCUUCUACCUCUUUGAUAAAGGCAGGUCCCACUAGAGUGCGCUCUCCUAGUUCUGACCACAUCAACGGGGUCCUGCACUUCCUUCCGUAGAGGGCCUCAAAUGGCGACAUGCCUAAACUGGCUUGGUAACUGUUGUUGUAUGAGAACUCUGCAUAGGGUAAACUCUGUUCCCAGUCUUUGCCAUAGGUAAGGACACAUGCUCUCAACAUAUCUUCCAUAAUUUGAUUUACUCUCUCUAUUUGGCCAUCGGUCUAGGGGUGAUAGGCUGAACUGAAAUCCAAUUUGGUGCCCAUGACUUAAUGCAGACUUUUCCAGAACCUAGAGGUAAAUUGGGUUCCUCUAUCCGAAACAAUUCUGCUAGGCACACCAUGUAGCUUUACUAUGUUGUCCACAUAGAGCCGAGCUAGUCUUUCUCCACCGUAAGUGGUCCGUACAGGUAAGUAGUGAGCAACUUUAGUGAGUCGGUCCACUAUUAACCAUAUGGAGUCAUUUCCUUUUUGAGUCUUGGGUAAACCUACUACAAAAUCCAUACCAAUUUCAUCCCAUCUCCAAACCGGGAUGGGUAGUGGUUGCAGCAAACCUGCUAGCUUCUGGUGUUCGGCCUUGACCCUUUGGCAAAUAUCACAAUGAGCAACGAACUAGGCUAUGUCCGCUUUCAUCUCAUUCCACCAGUACUUCUUCUUUAAGUCCAUAUACAUCUUGGUGGAUCCUGGAUGGAUGGAGUAUGCUGACUUAUGGGCCUCAUCCAUGAUGGUCUGUCGGAAAUCACCUUCCUUGGAUACACAAAUCCUAUCCUUGUACCACAAGGUUCCUUUGUUAUCCACUCUAAAUCCUGGGGCUUUAUUCUCUCCGGUUUGCUUGCGAAUCCUUACUAAGUCCUGAUCUGAACCUUGGGCUUCUCGGAUUCUAUCCUUCAAAGUGGGCUGAACACUUAGCUUGCAGCUGGUAUUCUGAGGAAUAAUGUGCACAUUUAGCCAAGCCAUUUCCUCUUGCAAACAGGUAUCCUUGGGUCUGAUCUGUCCAUAGGAUUUUCUGCUUAAGGCAUCAGCUACCACUUAUCCUUGCCGGGGUGGUACUGGAUUUCCAGAUUAUAAUACUUGACCAGCUCUAACCACCUUCUUUGCCUCAAAUUCAAAUCUGGUUGGGUGAAAAUAUAUUUUAGACUCUUGUGGUCCAUGUAAAUCUCACAUUUAUUCCCAAUUAAAUAGUACCUCCAGAUCUUGAGGGCGUGCACUACGGCUGCAAAUUCUAAAUCAUGGGUUGGGUAAUUCUGUUCAUGAGGCUUAAGCUAGCAAGAAGCAUAUGCCACUACUUUCCCAUCCUGCAUAAGGACGCACCCUUACCCUUGUCAGGACGCAUCACAAUAGAUGACGAAGUCCCGCUGAAUAUCCGGUAGGGUUAAUACUGGGGCGGUCGUCAAUCUUUUCUUCAGUUCUUGAAAACUCCUCUCACAUGACCCUGUCCAAGUGAGUUUCUUAUCCUUCCUAAGUAGUCCCGUCAUGGGCUGGGCUAUCUUGGAAAAUCCUUCAAUAAACCUCCGAUAGUACCCAGCUAAACCAAGAAAGCGUCUGAUUUCACUAACAUUGGUGGGCUACUGCCAGUUGGAAACAGCUUCAACUUUCUCAGGAUCAACUGCUACUCCUUUUGUGGUCAAAAUAUGACCCAGAAAUGCCACUUUCUUGAGCCAAAAUUCACACUUGCUGAAUUUAGCAUAGAGUCGGUGGGCUCUCAAUUUCUCUAACACCACCCGUAGAUGUUGUUCAUGCUCUUGGACACUCUUGGAGUAAAUAAGUAUGUCGUUGAUAAAGACUACGACAAACUUAUCUAACUCCUCCAUAAACACCUUGUUCAUGAGAUUCAUGAAGUAAGCAGGAGCAUUGGUCAGUCCAAAAGACAUCACUGUGAACUCAAAUUGUCCAUAGCGGGUGACAAAGGCUGUCUUUGGGAUGUCGCUUUCCUUGAUCUUGAGCUGAUGGUAUCCUGACCUCAAACCUAUUUUGGAGAAAUACUUGGCUCCUUUCAGCUGAUCAAACAGAUCAUCUAUUCUGGGGAGAGGAUAUUUAUUCUUGAUAGUGACCUCAUUCAGUGCACGAUAAUCCACGCACAUCCUCAUGCUCCCAUCUUUCUUUGACAAAGAGCACUGGGGCUCUCCAUGGGGAUGAGCUAGGUCUGAUAAAGCCACUCUGUUGCAGUUCCCCUAACUGUUUCUUCAGCUCUGCCAACUCAGAUGCUGCCAUUCUAUAGGGUCUCUUGGCUAUAGGGGAGGUUCCAGGAAUAAGGUCGAUUACAAACUCUAUAUCCCUGUCUGGGGGCAUUCCAGGUAGUUCUUUAGGAAAGACAUCAGGGUAUUCACUUACUACCUAGACUCCUUCUAUGGCCUUGGCCUCCAUACUAAAAACCAUCAGGUCGGGUCCACUCCCCCGAGUGUGACAAGUUACUUGCAUACCGUCCUGAUUGACCAGAUGUACUAUCUUAUCUGCACACCCUAUGUGACCAUCAUGUAGACUUAACCAAUCCAUUUCAAGGAUCACAUCUAUCCCCUUAGACUCAAGUACUAUUAAGUCUGCUAAGAAUUCUACCCCACUUAAAUUGAUCAUUACCCGGGAACAACCUAGUCGACACUGGAUGUCGGCUCCAAGCGUUUGGGUUAAUAGGGGUAACUUUAGUAGUACUAUAGGUAUGUGGUGCUUAUCCACAAAGCUUGAUGAUAUAAAAGAAUGUGAUGCUCCAGAAUCGAAGAGUAUUGUUGCCAAGACUGAGCUGACUAGAAACUCACCGAGUACCACGCCCUGAGCCUCUCGAGCCUCUUGCGCGCUGAUGUGCUUGACACGUGCUUGUCCAAAUGACUACUGGGGCGGCCUUAUCUACUGGCUAGUGUUGUUGCUGGGGUUGUUGUUGCUACGGAUUGGGACACGGUUGGCUCCUGACACUGCUGCCCUCGGUCCCGUUACUGCGUUGGAGAAGGCCGACGUUGCUGGCUUGGUGGCGUAUGGGCAGUUGGCGAUGAAAUGCCCUAGCUCACGGCAGUUCAAGCAUGCCCUGCUAUUGUUGGUGACUUGGCUGGCAUUGUUCUGUGGGGUCUUGACAGGAAUCUGGCUUCUGAAUGGGACAUUAGGCUGAUGAGAACUGGAGGCUUUGGGACUGGGUUCGGUACUGCAUAGAAGCUUGGGAUCUGGGCAAUGGGUGACCAAAGCUCCUCGGCUUCUGGAACCAGUCCUGCUGGUGAGCCUUGCUUUCCAGGAACCGACGCUUGUUGUCCCUUCGUUCGUCUGCUUUGGCUCUCUCAGUCAGGAUGGCCAUGUUCAUCAGAGUGUUGAAGUCGGGGUAGAUCUGAGGAGUAAGCAGGGUCCUCAGUUCUGCAUUCAAACCCUUCUUGAACAUAUCCUACUUCUUCUCGUCCUUGUCCACUUUCUCUGGAGCGUAACAGGCCAGCUCCAUGAACUAAUAGGUGUACUCCUCCACAGACUUGUUGCCUUGGCGCAGUUCACGGAACUCAUCCGCCUUGCGCUUCAUGGUGGCCGCGGGAAUGUGAUAGCGGUGGAAUUUUGUCAUGAACUCAUCCCAGGUGAUAGUGGAGGCAUCCUGGGUGGCGAUGUAGUAGUUCUCCCACCAAGCUAGAGUAGUCCCAUUGAGCUGGUAGGCAGCCAAGAGAACCUUAUCCCUGCUCUCACAACCAAAUGGCUCUAGCUUCCUUUGAAUGACCCGCAGCCAGUCAUCUGCGUCCAGAGGGUUGACAGACCCGCCAAAAGUGGGUGGCUUGGUCCGGAGGAAGUCCGUCAACUUUUUGUUCAUGCUCUGACCGCGGGGUCUCUAGCGAGUAAUGGCACUGGCCAAGGCUUCCAGCAGAAGGGUCUGGUUGUUCAUCACUUGCAGUAGAUCAAUGACCAGUGGGGGCGGUGGCUGCUGUGCUCCCAUUUGGCUUUCUCCCCUACCCUCAGGCUGAUUCACCUCCUGCUCCUCAUGGUGCACUACUGGUAGUGGUCCGUGCCCUUCUGGCUGUCUUUCUGCACUAGGGGUGGCACGAGCUUGACUUGGGGAGGUCCUGGUGGCACGCAUGGGAGGCAUCUGCAGAUUGAGAGAACUUUCAUGAGACUUGGAUUUGGACUUAAAGUGAUGUUUAGUUAAUUAGCUCAUGUUUUAGAAAAGACAGAAUCCACCUCCUGUUGACAAGCACACAGACUAACAAAUAACCAGCACAAAUGAUUUUAUUAUUUUACCGGGGCGGUUACAAAACUUGGGGUGAAGCCAAAACACGCAGUACACGACCGGUACAACAACAAAACUGGGGUACAACUCUAUACUCAGGAUGACUUCUCGGCUAGGGGUACAACUCUAGGUGGGGCAUUCUACUCGUGGGGCGAUUCCUCAUCCUGAGCGGAGUGGUUUUCAGGCAGGAUGAGGAGUGCCAGCACAUCAUCCUCCACCGAGGGCAGGACGACGACUUCAGAGUCUCUCCUGGAAGUCUCCGUAGGUGGUGGCGCUGGCAGAGCAUCAGGGCUCUUCCGUUUGCCGGACCCUUGGGCAAUGGGAAUCCCAUCCAAGAUCGGGGCCUCGUCGUCCUCAACAACCCGCAUCUUCCUUCUCGCGCGGUUCGCGAGAUGGGCAUCCUUCAAUUCCUGAGAGUGCCGAUCCUCGGCCCCCUUAAGGGCCUCAAUGGCGACGGCCUCGUUACUUUGGGCGGCCGCUGCUCGUGCCUCAGCUGCUGCCAACCUCACCUAGAGCCUCCUCACCAUAACCUUUGCGUCCUUGGCUCUACGAAUCUGUUGCUUCAGUUGUGCGAUCUGCUCAUCAUAGAGCUCAUCCAAGGUGAGAAGGUAGGCAGCCAUGUGGAGCACGGUGGGGUCAUCCUCGCGUUGUCCACGUCCUUCCAAAGUCCUAACCCGGGCCAGCCAAACCGGGUGGUUCUUCUUGACAGGCGGGUAAAAUCUCAUCUGUGUGCGGCCGAUGUGCCUCUCAUAAAUCUGGCACAGGUAGCGCAGAGCCUUACGGGCUGCCACCUGGUAAGUGUCUUUCCACCGAAAACCAGUGGCAGACACAUUCUAUGGUUGAAUGUCGGGGUAGCGAUUGCUCCUGCCGACGUAGAUGGUCAUCUCACACCGGAGUGUCCCACGGUCUUCAUACUCCCUGCUGGUGUACUCCGGGCGCUCAUAAAUCUCGAGGCGGUCCAUGCAGGCGAAUAACAACCUGGGAAAACCGGGCUCCUCCAGGCAGUGGCUGUUGACCCAUCCUUCUUCUUCCAUCUGGAAAGAAUCGAGGUGUAAAUCAGUUUUGCAAAUGAGCAAGGGAAGCAAGAAAUUUUCUAAAUCAUUUAUUUUAGUCAAAAAGGUUUUUUCAAUCCUAAUGGUCGCGUCCUACAGCCAAUGACGGCUCUGAUACCACCUGAAGCAUCCUCACAUAAGUAGAGACUAAAUGUGAUACAAAUAUCAGUCCAGGAGGCUGAUAACACAUUUAUUCAAUAGAUGGUUCAAAAACCGUACAACUUCUGAAGGAGCGGGCGGGCAAGCAACACCCAAAAAAGAACUAAACCAACAACGAUACAAAUCCAAGUUGCAGUCCAGUCAAACUCUGGGCUGCAAUCGGAACUAAGCGUCAGCGGAGGCCGAGAAUCCCGGCCGGUGGCGUGCCGGAGCGGAGUUCCACGUGAAUGGCGUGGUGGGGGCCGGCUCGGUCGACGAGGAGCACAGGGGCGACGACCGGCGGCCGGCGAUGGGACGCGGGCGGCCAGGUGAGCAGCUCGGCGCGGGCGGCGGCGCGUGGCACGGCACGCGCGGGGCCGGGCGCGAGGGCGGCCAGGCGUGGCGCGGGGACGGGCAAGCAGCACCAGGUGCUAGCGCCAGGCGCCAGGAAGGAAGGGAAGGAGAGAAGGAAAAAGAAGGAAGAAGCUAGAGAGAAGAAAGUGAAGGAAGGAAGGGAAAAAAGAAAAGAGGAAAAAAGGGGAGGGAAAAAAGGGAAAAGGAAAAAGGGAGGGGAAAAUCAGUGAAAAUUGUGGAAUCGGUCGGGACGCGCAACGGAUUUGAUGGGCACGCGGUGAAAUUUGCAGGGAACGGAAAAGAUGACUGUCGACGUUGGGUGCCGGGACGGCGGGGUCGUCGGGAAUGAAAAGAUUUUUCGGGAGCUCAACGGUCGAAAGAUUUUGAAACAAAUUUUUAGCAGGUGAUUAGAGUUAGUAAAUUCUACGGGUGUUACACUCGAGGUCUCCAGCUCUGAGAGCCCAACGCUCCGCUCUCGACUUGAUUGCAUCAAGUCUCUUCGAGUUAUCACAACUCGUCGGCUAUUCACAGCCACUUGAGCUCUCCAGCUCUGCGAGCCCCAGCACUCCGCUCUCGACUUUAUUCCAUCAAGUCUCUUUGAGUUAUCAUAACUCGUUGGCUAUUCAUAGCCACCCGAGCUCUUCGGCUCUGCGAGCCCUAGUGCUCUGCUCUCAACUUGAUUCCAUCAAGUCUCUUUGAGUUAUCACAACUCGUCAGCUAUCCACAGCCACUCAAGCUUUUCAGCUCUACAGAGCUUCAACACUCUCGCCAACUCAUCUCUACAAGACUAAGAGGCUUCACAAAGUAGUCUGGUUCGUCAGGGCCGCCUGGGGUCACCUGGAAGCAUUCUGUGAUGAAGGAACCAGCGGUUCAGGCGUUGGUUGAUGCGACACUGCUCCAACUAAGGGUGGAGUUUAAGUGGAGGCCCACAUAUGGGAAUGUGUGGCAAUUCGAAGAGCACCCCAAGGAGUCGUGGCCUCCCCCUGGAUCUUCUCAGGUUUCUAGCCCAUCUUGGUACGCAUCAACUAAUCUUGCGGAAAAAAGGGGAUGAAGAAGGACGCAUCGAUUUCUCUUCAAAAGAUCAGGUGAGGGUAACAAUGGCAGCGGCGGUGCAAACAGGAGCAGCAGCGCUAGGGUUGCAAAAAAUGCGCAAAUUACAGAUCUGUUGAAACAGGCAGGCCAAUACUUAGCUGGCCCCCCUAUUAUAUCGGCAAAAUUACCGGAUUCCACCCGUUGAUUGAGCAACGAUCAGAUAUGACUCAGAUUUACCACCAUAAAGUGUCCAACGGCUAAUCUGACCAAGGCAUUGAUCCCUUCACCGACUACAAGUACUCGCCCAAGUGCUCGGGGGCUGCAUAUACCGUACCCAUUGGAUGAAAGUUUUCUUUUUCUGAAGACUAAGAUAAGUCGAAGCGAAAUUACAAGUUUGACCCUCAGCCUGAUUCUUCGAUUCAACCUAAGGCUCGGGGGCUUACUUCAUAUAAAAAAAGUUUCAAGACCAAGACUCCUCGAAGUAAACAUCGGGAACUGCUAAGAGUACCUUCCAGUCACGCAACAGUUCCGGUACUCGAAGAUUGGCCGCAUCGAGCAGUACUCGAGGAGCAUCAGGAGAAACUCCGGCAACAUCUUCAAGUACUCGGAACUAUUCCACUCGACUACAAAGUACUCGGGGGCUUGUUGGCUAGGCACCCCUAGGCCCACCAGAAGACUUGUACGGAUCCACUCAAGGGAACGUACCCAAAAUCUAGUCGGGCAUGAAGACUACUCUGCAGGGCGCGUAGGUUUCAUGGACUCCCAGAAGACUAGUCAGGACAAAAGGAAACUACUCUACCGAGUUAGAGUAGGACUCUGUAACGUACUCAACUCGGACUCAUACACAAUCCGCCCUGUAACCCUGCUCCCCCGACUAUAUAAGGGUGGGUAGGGACCCCCCUCCAAAGUACAACAACAGACACAAGUUCAAUACAACCAACACACAGGACGUAGGGUCUUACGCGAUCUAGCCCGAACCUGUCUAAAUCAUGUUCCUUGCGUCACCAUCGACUCUUUUGAUUCUCGACGAUACCCACCGCACAAAAGACCACAUGGGGUACUCCCUAGGCAGGUUGCCGAUCUAAAAUACCAACACGACCUGCAGGUGUAAUGGCUGAAGUGGUCAAUGUGGCACUCGGAGCACUGCUCCCACCAGUGACAUUUCCUCCUUUUCCUUGAUUCCUUCUCAUCUUGACUUGUGUCAUUUUCCUUUGCAGGAUCUUCCUUGUUAGCCUCCUCCAGAUCCUUGGCUCCGGAAUGAAGUCUGGGUUCAGUACAGGUACUUUCAUCCUUGACUCCUUGCUCUCCAUGGCUGGAGAAGACGAUUGCACUUGCACCACAAGGUUGCUGGUCUGGUACAGGGAUGGCGAACAUGGCUGAAGCGUGGAGAGGACGCAUAGUGGGAUGGUGCAAAAGAAGAGACCAUGGAUGAGCUACAUAAUCUAAUCAAUCACUUUAUUGGAUCGAAAUUACCUUUGCAUUUUUCUAUCUAGAUUUGUGCAUUCCCUUUCUGAUCAAUUAAGCAGUUCCCAAUUUCAGAAAAACAAACUUAUGAAACAUUGCCAAUUUGGUGCAUAACUUCAAGUAGUCGUUGUCAAUAAGUAUCAGCGCAAAAAGAAAAAGAAGUAGAUUAUUUCAUUUUUCCUACCGAAGGCAAUAACCCAGCAGGUCUCAAAAUAGUUUAUCUUUAAUAAAGAACAGCUAAAAUAAAUCACUAGCACUGUAGUAAUCAUAUACUUCCUUCAUACUCACAAAGGAAGUCGUUUUGGACAGCGACACGGUCUCCAAAGUAUUACUUUGACUCUUUGUUUUUAUAAAAAUAUUUAUCAAAAAGUGAUAUAUGUAUAUUUUUAUGAAAGUAUUUUUCAAGACAAAUCUAUUUAUAUAGCUUUCACAUUUCCAAACUCAACAACUUAAAAGUUAUUCGUGAUUUAUAUUCCCAAUGUUUGACCCAAGUCUUGUCCAAAAUGACUUUCAUUGCGAGUACGGAGGUAUUUAGUAGUACACUUAUAAAACACUUCCAAAUUAAAACACCAUUUGUUUGUUUUAAUGAAGGGAGUAGCUAGCUAGCCAGCCGUACGUUUGUCAGGAGAAUUAAUUAGUUGAAGCGAGCUGCGAUGGACGCAAGGAGUGCGGUGGGGUCCAUCUCGUACCCAUACAGGCUCCUCCAGGAGUUGCACUCGACGCCGUCGGCCAGCUUGUCGACCGACCCUGUCGCGAGGUUCACCGCGAAGGCGCCGCUGGUGCUGCAGCCUUCCCCGAUCGUGAAGAAGAGCGUGCCGCUCUUCUCGCCGAGCCACCGCAUCUUGAGCUCGAACUUCGACAACAUCGGCACCGUAAGCUGGGUCAGGACGCUGGUUUCGCCCCGCUCCCACUCGGCACCCGCCGCCGCGCUCACGUCCAAGGUCUCGACGCCGAAGCUGAGGAGCUCGCCCCCCAUCAAGCCGGCGCUGACGUAGCUCAGCCUCCCGUCCGGCGUCGUGCCGAGCAGCCUCCAGUCCGGUAAAGUGUCCCGUAUCGUGUAGGGCACGACAUGCACGUCCAUGACCGCCGCGGCGGCGCCGCCGUCUAGCCGCACGGCCAGAGCUGCGGCGACCAUGAUGGGCCAGUACACCACUCCACGGAGCACGACGGCGGGGCCUAGUCGCUGAAGCACGUGGCCGCUAAUCUGGGUGCCGGGCUUCCUGAAUUCCGGGCCCCAGCCGCCGCCGCCGCCAGCGUCGUCGGAGGUGUAGCACCGAAGAGCCGUGAAGCUGCGGCGGUUGUAGACUAGGACAAGGCUGAAGAAGGACGAUCCCUGUUGUGCGUCGUUGUCGAGGUCGUCAGCGGUGAGUACCGCGCACAUGUAGUCGUGCCCGGGGAAGUCGUCGCCGGCGAGGGGCGGGACGAGGGCCACGUCCCCCGUCAUCGGGUUGCACACGCUGAGGGCGACGCCAUCGGCACGGGUCUUCCUCCGGAGCUCAAAGACGACGCGGCCGCCGCGGGACGCCACCGGGCGCGCGUAGUGGAAGAGGCCGCCGCCGUCACCGCCCUCAGGAAGGCCCGGGAACGGCGAGCCUAGGAGGACGGAGGCGGACGGCGUCGGGACGAAGCACGGGUCCGUCUGCGCCUGGGCAGCCAGCUGCCUCCGCCUGGUGCUGCUGAGGUCAUGCUGCCCCCCGUGGAAGAAGCCGAGGGCGAGGUGGGGGAGGAACCGAUCGGGUGGCGGCAGAGCGCGGAGGAUGGCGGCCUCGCGCGCGGCCACGAUGCGUCCCCAGCGCCUGCACACGGCGGCGCAGCGGGCGACGUCGCCGGCGUCCGAGAACACCAGGGAGAAGAUUGCGUCGAAGAGCAGGUCGUCGGGCAUGGUGGCCAGAGGAUCAACGGCGCGCCUGCUGCUGCCUUUUCGGUUUCUUGGUGGGCGGCGACAACGGGACAGCCACCCUUUCGUGCUGUGCGGCGGCGCGGCGGCGCGGCGCGGUGGAGCCAUCGAUGGAUCGGAUCUCCCGGCGCCCCCGGAUCGAGGUAUACGAAGCUAGGAAAAAGGAACAGAUGCAAUGCACGAAAGGUGGGCGGCAUCGCGAGUUUAUAGGCCAGCAUACGCGGUUGGUGCGUUCCGAUCGGAUUUGGACACCGUCUCGAAAUCGGUCGAAAAAGAAACUUUCCAUCUUCUUCUUCUAUCUAUACAGUAUCUACCUACAUCUACAUCUAUCCAUACACUAUAAAGAAUAUUCUGUUGUUAGAGUUAUCAUAUCACUUCGAUCUCUGAAAAAGUGAGUGGGCAGUUAACUAGGCCUUUUUUAGUUCCCAAUUUGGAAGUGGCAAAAUUGGCAUUUUACCAUAAAUGCGCAACUGUAGCGUUUCGUUUGUAUUUGUGAAUUAUUGUCCAAAUAUUGACUAAUUAGGCUCAAAAGAUUCGUCUCGUAAAGUACAACAAAACUGUGCAAUUAGUUUUUGAUUUCGUCUAAAUUUAGUACUCCAUGCAUGUACCGCAAGUUUGAUGUGAUGGGGAAUCUUCUUUUUGCAUAGUGUCAAAGUUGGGAGUUUGGAUGUAACUAAACAUGGCCCUGGUUUCUAUCAUUUCCCAUGUAUAUCAUGCAUGCGUCGUCGUCAGCAGGACACUGUUUUCGGCUUCAGAACAGCAAUUCUGAUCCUAUAAGGGAAAAUAACCAAUUUUUUUUUACCAGUGAAUGAAAGUGCAAUUCUCCACAAGUGAGAGUUUCAGACUGAAUCCACAACGAAGAUCGCCGCGGUGUCAGACGGACCGACGACGACACAGCUGGCCCGGACCUGAAUGGGAAGCUUCGUUCGGCGGUGCAGCAAUGACGUCUCGUCAGAUAGAUAUAUGUACGUGCCAUGUAUGUAUACGAUACGGUAUUACCCUAGCCUGUCAUAAGCAUCGAAUGUAAACCACCUGAUGGGCCUGACGAAAUGCCAGCCGCUAAACUGGAAGUGAAUCAUUUUUGCAAUACUUCUGUACCUAUUUUUGUGAAUUUGAUCUUUGGACAGUUCACUCGGUACACUGUAUAGUACACUGUCCAAUUGUCCAAAGUAGUGUUCAGCUUCAUAAAAAUAUCCUUUUUUAUGACAAUCCGAAUGGGACUGCACAUUUAUGCAAAUAAAUAAAUUUAUAAGUUAAAAUAUAAAUUGAGAAAUUUUAGAGUGCUUGAUAAAAAUAAGAGCCGUUCAUAAGACGAAAUCGAUAAGAGAAACAUUUUACUUUAUAUUUAACUAAUUUAUUAAAUAAAUAUUAUUGGUUAGCAAUAUGGCGACGUGGAAAUCAACAACCUGGAGCUGACCCAGCGAUGAGCUGCAAAGACAUCCCAAUGCAACGCAAGAGCAGGCGCAUGAACUUAUACAUGGGAGACGUGAAUGAACAUGCAUGCACGCAUUGUGUUAUCAUCAUCAUCAUCAUCAUCAUGUCCCCGUGUAAACAUGCAGCUCGGCUCAGUUCGGCCUGGCUCGUUAGGCUAACGAGCCGGCUUGGCUCAGCUCGUAAACAAAACGAGCAAAAAGGCCGGCUCAGCUCGACUUGUUAGCAACUCGAGCCAGCUUGUUAGGCUCGCGAGCAAGAUGUAAAUUUAAUAUUACCAUCUCAGUAUAUAUAAAAAAUAAAAAAAUAGUAAUUAUAAAAUCAUAAACUUCAAAAUCCACCAUGCAUGGCUUGUGUCGGCUCCCUAUAUUAGGACUUUAGCCUUCUAGCUCGUUUGGCUCAUGAGCAGCUCGUUAACUAAACGAGCAAAAUUAGCCGCUCGGCUCAUUAAAAAAUUCACCGAGCCGAGCCACCGACAACUCGAGCCAACUCGCGAGUUCUUGGCUUGGCAUCCAGCCCUACCCGUGUACGUCCAUGAAGGCCCAAGCAACUGUUAGCUGGCUUCUUUUUUACUUCUCUUCAAUACUUUCACCUUUGAGAAUAUAUGAUCAACUCAUAUGGUCAUAUAUAUUCAUAUAUGAUUGUGUUGUUGUAAAAGUUAAAACAUGAACAAAUAAUAUUAUCAAGCACUUUUACAAGAAAUUUCACCACUCUUCUCAUGAAGAGGUGGUACAGAUAAUUAGUGUGGAUUGUUAAAAGUGUGCAUUUUAAUAGUGACGUAAAUGCUUUUGAUUUGGCAAUGUUAAAGCUCGGAGUGUGUUACGUAGAUGCUUUUACGUGGUCAAACUUGUCUUUGCACCAGCACUAUGGAAUAUUAUUGUUGCAAUGUUGCUACCAAAAUUCAUAUUUUCCCGUGGCUGGUGUCCCAUGCAUAUAUAAUAGGAUUAUAUGACAAUCUGGCUAAAGGAGGCAUAAUAAAACCCUUAGAUUGCUAUUUUACUUAGAGCACACAUAUUUGUUCUUUGAGUGUGUAGUUGCUAAGCACAUUUAGUCGUAUGCUUCUCGUUUUACUGGUGGUCACGAAGAAGCUCAAGAUUGACAACCUGAACACCUGAAGAGGUCUUGUCACUAAUAAGCAAACGUUCGACUCCUAGAGGGAUACCAUUCGGGGCACAUGCCCCACCUUAGAUGCUCCUGCAUAAUUUUUUGGGUUGAAUGCACCUCCCUAUGAAGUCACGUGCAUUUUCAGAUAGUGUAUUCGGAAUUUCUGGUGGUAUUUCGCUCCCAAAUUUGUAUAGGGCCUGUACCUACAAAUUAAUUAAGAAAAACUACUGCAUCGUAGACAGCUAUAAAUGAUGUAGAUACAGAGAAACCAGAUGUCGUGCAUACCCUUUCUAAAUCAGUGUACGGAACUUUGCCUGUCAGCAUCUCCAAGACCAUGCAACCCAGACUCCAUAUAUUCGCUGGAAGGCCAUAUUGCUUUGCCUUAACAACCUGGUGCAAUUAGGAUGUUACCAAAAUAUUUGGUUGAGGCUUAACAUACACAUCAUUUUCAGUUACAAACUUAUGGCUAGUACUAGUUUGAUUUCUUAAAGACUGAUUGAUAAAUUAAAAAGCUGUUGAUACCAACACAAUCGUAAUACAAAAUAUGAUUAAAAAUUCUAAUCCUUUUGGAAAAUAAAUAGCUAAGCAUAACAUUAUUGUUUUUACUUUAAUAAUAAGAACAAUAGCACCACAACACAAACAACAAAAUCUAACCUCCGGGACCAUCCAAUACACAGUUCCCUGGGCAGAUAUUUGUCUGACUCAAACUUGACACCUUCAAAGUUAAGAUUAGAAAGGGUUAGCAUAACGCGAGGGCAAUAUAAAUUCACUGGGGUGGUGCCAUUUAUAGAAAAAGAUUGAUACCUCCUUUGCAACCCCAAAGUCAGCUAACUUGACGGUGUCAUUUCUAUCAACCAGUAUGUUGGCACAUUUUAUAGCUCCGGUGCAUAUUUUUUUGGUGCAUAACAUUUAUCCCUACAGCUUACUAACCAUAUAUACAAUAGCAUGUUAUAUUCUUACUAUUAAAAGUAAAAAGAUAUAAUGUUAUGCUUAGUUAAGGGUGGACCUACCUUAAAGCAGCGAGGGCCAAUGCCCCUCCCCCUCCUACUGCGCAGCUGCAGUUCUUAAUUUUUUCACCAUGAUAUAUGCUUGCCUACUUUUUAUAGUCACGAAUAGAAUGCCCUCACUCACAAUGGAUCCGCCCUUUUCUCUGGAGCGUAACGGGCUAGCUCCAUGAACUAAUAGGUGUACUCCUCCACAGACUUGUUGCCUUGGCGCAGUUCACGGAACUCAUCCGCCUUGCGCUUCAUGGUGGCCGCGGGAAUGUGAUAGCGGUGGAAUUCCGUCAUGAACUCAUCCCAGGUGAUAGUGGAGGCAUCCUGGGUGGCGAUGCAGUAGUUCUCCCACCAAGCUAGAGUAGUCCCAUUGAGCUGGUGGGCAGCCAAGAGAACCUUAUCCCUGCUCUCACAACCAAAUGGCUCUAGCUUCCUUUGAAUGACCCGCAGCCAGUCAUCUGCGUUCAGAGGGUUGAUAGACCCGCCAAAAGUGGGUGGCUUGGUCCGGAGGAAGUCCGUCAACUUUUCGUUCAUGCUCUGACCGCGGGGCCUCUAGCGAGUAAUGGCAUUGGCCAAGGCUUCCAGCAGAAGGGUCUGGUUGUUCAUCACUUGCACUAGAUCAAUGACCGGUGGGGGCGGUGGCUGCUGUGCUCCCAUUUGGCUUUCUCCCCUACCCUCAGGCUGAUUCACCUCCUGCUCCUCAUGGUGCACUACUGGUGGUGGUCCGUGCCCUUCCGGCUGUCUUUCUGCACUAGGGGUGGCACGGGCUUGACUCGGGGAGGUCCUGGUGGCACGCAUGGGAGGCAUCUGCAGAUUGAGAGAACUUUCAUGAGACUUGGAUUUGGACUUAAAGUGAUGUUUAGUUAAUUAGCUCAUGUUUUAGAAAAGACAGAAUCCACCUCCUGUUGACAAGCACACAGACUAACAAAUAACCAGCACAAACGAUUUUAUUAUUUUACCGGGGCGGUUACAAAACUUGGGGUGAAGCCAAAACACGCAGUACUCAGGAUGACUUCUCGGCUAGGGGUACAACUCUAGGUGGGGCAUUCUACUCGUGGGGCGAUUCCUCAUCCUGAGCGGAGUGGUUUUCAGGCAGGAUGAGGAGUGCCAGCACAUCAUCCUCCACCGAGGGCGGGACGAUGACUUCGGAGUCUCUCCUGGAAGUCUCCGUAGGUGGUGGCGCUGGCGGAGCAUCAGGGCUCUUCCGUUUGCCGGACCCUUGGGCAAUGGGAAUCCCAUCCAAGAUCGGGGCCUCGUCGUCCUCAACAACCCGCAUCUUCCUUCUCGCGCGGUUCGCGAGAUGGGCAUCCUUCAAUUCCUGAGAGUGCCGAUCCUCGGCCCCCUUAAGGGCCUCAAUGGCGACGGCCUCGUUACUUUGGGCAGCCGCUGCUCGUGCCUCAGCUGCUGCCAACCUCACCUAGAGCCUCCUCACCAUAACCUUUGCGUCCUUGGCUCUACGAAUCUGCUGCUUCAGCUGUGCGGUCUGCUCAUCAUAGAGCACAUCCAAGGUGAGAAGGUAGGCAGCCAUGUGGAGCACGGUGGGGUCAUCCUCGCGCUGUCCACGUCCUUCCAAAGUCCUAACCCGGGCCAGCCAAACCGGGUGGUUCUUCUUGACAGGCGGGUAAAAUCUCAUCUGUGUGCGGCCGAUGUGCCUCUCAUAAAUCUGGCACAGGUAGCGCAGAGCCUUACGGGCUGCCACCUGGUAAGUGUCUUUCCACCGAAAACCAGUGGCAGACACAUUCUAUGGUUGAGUGUCGGGGUAGCGACUGCUCCUGCCGACGUAGAUGGUCAUCUCACACCGGAGUGUCCCACGGUCUUCAUACUCCCUGCUGGUGUACUCCGGGCGCUCAUAAAUCUCGAGGCGGUCCAUGCAGGCGAAUAACAACCUGGGAAAACCGGGCUCCUCCAGGCAGUGGCUGUUGACCCAUCCUUCUUCUUCCAUCUGGAAAGAAUCGAGGUGUAAAUCAGUUUUGCAAAUGAGCAAGGGAAGCAAGAAAUUUUCUAAAUCAUUUAUUUUAGUCAAAAAGGUUUUUCCAAUCCUAAUGGUCACGUCCUACAGCCAAUGACGGCUCUGAUAUCACCUGAAGCAUCCUCACAUAAGUAGAGACUAAAUGUGAUACAAAUAUCAGUCCAGGAGGCUGAUAACACAUUUAUUCAAUAGAUGGUUCAAAAACCGUACAACUUCCGAAGGAGCGGGCGGGCAAGCAACACCCAAAAAAGAACUAAACCAACAACGAUACAAAUCCAAGUUGUAGUCCAGUCAAACUCUGGGCUGCAAUCGGAACUAAGCGUCAGCGGAGGCCGAGAAUCCCGGCCGGUGGCGUGCCGGAGCGGAGUUCCACGUGAAUGGCGUGGUGGGGGCCGGCUCGGUCGACGAGGAGCACAGGGGCGACGACCGGCGGCCGGCGAUGGGACGCGGGCGGCCAGGUGAGCAGCUCGGCGCGAGCGGCGGCGCGCGGCACGGCACGCGCGGGGCUGGGCGCGAGGGCGGCCAGGCGUGGCGCGGGGACGGGCAAGCAGCACCAGGUGCUAGCGCCAGGCGCUAGGAAGGAAGGGAAGGAGAGAAGGAAAAAGAAGGAAGAAGCUAGAGAGAAGAAAGAGAAGGAAGGAAGGGAAAAAAGAAAAGAGGAAAAAGGGGAGGGAAAAAAGGGAAAAGGAAAAAGGGAGGGGAAAAAUCAGUGAAAAUUGCGGAAUCGGUCGGGACGCGCAACGGAUUUGAUGGGCACGCGGUGAAAUUUGUAGGGAACGGAAAAGAUGACUGUCGACGUUGGGUGCCGGGACGGCGGGGUCGCCGGGAAUGAAAAGAUUUUCGGGAGCUCAACGGUCGGAAGAUUUUGAAACAAAUUUUUAGCGGGUGAUUCGAGUUAGUAAAUUCUACGGGUGUUACACUCGAGGUCUCCAGCUCUACGAGCCCAACGCUCCGCUCUCGACUUGAUUGCAUCAAGUCUCUUCGAGUUAUAGCAACUCGUCGGCUAUUCACAGCCACUUGAGCUCUCCAGCUCUGCGAGCCCCAGCACUCCGCUCUCGACUUUAUUCCAUCAAGUCUCUUUGAGUUAUCAUAACUCGUUGGCUAUUCAUAGCCACCCGAGCUCUUCGGCUCUGCGAGCCCUAGUGCUCCGCUCUCAACUUGAUUCCAUCAAGUCUCUUUGAGUUAUCACAACUCGUCAGCUAUCCACAGCCACUCAAGCUUUUCAGCUCUACAGAGCUUCAACACUCUCGCCAACUCAUCUCUACAAGACUAAGAGGCUUCACAAAGUAGUCUGGUUCGUCAGGGCCGCUUGGGGUCACCUGGAAGCAUUCUGUGAUGAAGGAACCAGCGGUUCAGGCGUUGGUUGAUGCGACGCUGCUCCAACUAAGGGUGGAGCUUAAGUGGAGGCCCACAUAUGGGAAUGCGUGGCAAUUCGAAGAGCACCCCAAGGAGUCGUGGCCUCCCCCUGGAUCUUCUCAGGUUUCUAGCCCAUCUUGGUACGCAUCAACUAAUCUUGCGGAAAAAAGGGGAUGAAGAAGGACGCAUCGAUUUCUCUUCAAAAGAUCGGGUGAGGGUAACAAUGGCAGCGGCGGUGCAAACAGGAGCAGCAGCGCUAGGGUUGCAAAAAAUGUGCAAAUUACAGAUCUGUUGAAACAGGCAUGCCAAUACUUAGCUGGCCCCCCUAUUAUAUUGGCAAAAUUACCGGAUUCCACCCGUUGAUUGAGCAACGAUCAGAUAUGACUCAGAUUUACCACCAUAAAGUGUCCAACGGCUAAUCUGACCAAGGCAUUGAUCCCUUCACCGACUACAAGUACUCGCCCAAGUGCUCGGGGGCUGCAUAUACCGUACCCAUUGGAUGAAAGUUUUCUUUUUCUGAAGACUAAGAUAAGUCGAAGCGAAAUUACAAGUUUGACCCUCAGCUGAUUCUAUGAUUCAACCUAAGGCUCGGGGGCUUACUUCAUAUAAAAAAGUUUCAAGACAAAGACUACUCGAAGCAAACAUCGGGAACUGCUAAGAGUACCUUCCAGUCACGCAACAGUUCCGGUACUCGAAGAUUGGCCGCAUCGAGCAGUACUCGAGGAGCAUCAGGAGGAACUCGGGCAACAUCUUCAAGUACUCGGAACUAUUCCACUCGACUACAAAGUACUCGGGGGCUUGUUGACUAGGCACCCCCAGGCCCACCAGAAGACUUGUACGGAUCCACUCAAGGGAACGUACCCGAAAUCUAGUCGGGCAUGAAGACUACUCUGCAGGGCGCGUAGGUUUCAUGGACUCCCAGAAGACUAGUCAGGAUAAAAGGAAACUACUCUACCGAGUUAGAGUAGGACUCUGUAACGUACUCAACUCGGACUCAUACACAAUCCACCCUGUAACCCUGCUCCCCCGACUAUAUAAGGGCGGGUAGGGACCCCCCCCUCCCAAGUACAACAACAGACACAAGUUCAAUACAACCAACACACAUGACGUAGGGUCUUACGCUGUCUAAAUCAUGUUCCUUGCGUCACCAUCGACUCUUUUGAUUCUUGACGAUACCCACCGCACAAAAGACCACAUGGGGUACUCCCUAGGCAGGUUGCCGAUCUAAAAUACCAACACGACCUGCAGGUGUAAUGGCCGAAGUGGUCAAUGAGGCACUCGGAGCACUGCUCCCACUAGUGACAUUUCCUCCUUUUCCUUGAUUCCUUCUCAUCUUGACCUGUGUCAUUUUCCUUUGCAGGAUCUUCCUUGUUAGCCUCCUCCAGAUCCUUGGCUCCAGAAUGAAGUCUGGGUUCAGUACAGGUACUUUCAUCCUUGACUCCUUGCUCUCCAUGGCUGGAGAAGAUGAUUGCACUUGCACCACAAGGUUGCUGGUCUGGUACAGGGAUGGCGAACAUGGCUGAAGCGUGGAGAGGACGCAUAGUGGGAUGGUGCAAAAGAAGAGACCAUGGAUGAGCUACAUAAUCUAAUCAAUCACUUUAUUGGAUCGAAAUUACCUUUGCUAAGAGUACCUUCCAGUCACGCAACAGUUCCGGUACUCGAAGAUUGGCCGCAUCGAGCAGUACUCGAGGAGCAUCAGGAGGAACUCGGGCAACAUCUUCAAGUACUCGGAACUGUUCCACUCGACUACAAAGUACUCGGGGGCUUGUUGGCUAGGCACCCUCGGGCCCACCAAAAGACUUGUAUGGAUCCACUCAAGGGAACGUACCCGAAACCUAGUCGGGCAUGAAGACUACUCUGCAGGGCGCGUAGGUGUGGCGGAUCCACUUCGGAUUAGCUUGAUUAGAUAGGGUUAAGCCGCCUAACAUGCGACACCCAUGCCUAAGCCAAGUUAACACGAAGUGCCGUCGGAUUACAUCCGAUUAACCACUUGAACAGGAUCGAGUUUAGCAAACUCACACGAAAGUGAGUGGUUCCAGAGAAUACAACGAGUCCACUGAGUUAAACGAUUUAACCCUUUAGUUCGGCCACAAAAACCAACAUCAGAGUUUUUACAAGGUUCAAAGGAAAACAACAAAAGGUAAAACCACUAGCGGAAGCAAUCGUCGGGGUCGGACGUCCCUGGUGAGGCCAACCGGGACAUCACUGAUUCCUCUCCUCACCGUCCGAGGAAGGAUCCCACUCGACCGUCCAGCCGGCGGAAGCUAGGGCGGCCAAGCACCAGCAAAAGAGGGGUCGGGAGCAGCAGCUUCACCUGAAAAACAGGAGCCACAACAAGGCUGAGCUACUAAGCUCAACAAGACUUAUCCGAUAGGAGUAAGCUACUCCACACUUCUAGACAUGUAGGGCUUUUUGGCUGAGGGGUUUGUUUGCCAAAACCACUAAGUAAAACCCUAUUUUCAAGUUUUAGCUCCGGUUUUAAGUUCCUUAGCCAGUCUAGGUUUUGCUUCCUAUUGUAAGCAAUCAUAGAACCAAACAAGAGGUAUAGAUAUAUCAACAAACAUGUCAUCAUCAGAUUCCUCAUUUACUCAGGGUGACAAAGCGAUCAGGCAAUCUCAAACUGUGAGAGGCAGACGAAUCGAUUCGAGUUCUUUAACCAUGCAUGGUUAACCUAGCCUCCCGACAUCCGCGCACCCGGAGGUCGCUUCCUGUGUCGGCCUUCCCCAUCAAUCCCCUAACCCGUGUCGGGCCCAUUUCCUUUGGUGUAAGGUUCCACGGACCCGGCCUCUGCCGUCCUGUGACCACGCUUACCACCACGUGCGACAACCAGCAGGGGAACUCCGUUCCAAGAACAAUGGGGCGACCGCUCACGUCUAGGUUCAAUCCGGUACUAGGCUUCCUCAUCCCAUACUAAGUAUGAGGCUAGUACUUUCAAACACUUGAUCACGAACACCACCACUGUCGGGCCUUAGCAAGUUUUCAUAGACAGACGGGGCGACCAUCCGUCCACCAAAGAGUUACCAAAACCCUGCCCCGUCCAUCGUCCUUAUAGUUGUAACAGAAAGGUAGAUAUCCAACUCCUACAACUCGCGAGUGACAGGGAAUCACUCGGCUUUUACCGUCUCCUAGUUAAGCAAGCGGCUACUCGGUCCAACAGCUAGUGCUCAGAUCAUGGGGAUAACUAAGUCAUGCAUCUAGGGUUUCAAACAACUCCUAUACGUAAAUGCACAAUCAUGUUACAGAAGGCAUGCGCAAGUCUGGUAAAACACACAGGGUUUUCAUGCAACCGGGGCUUGCCUUCGAGCAAAGAGGAAGGGAACUGCUCGACUUCGGGGGCGACUUCGGCUUCAGCGGGCAGGAGCUCAGCUACAGCUUCGUCUUCUGGCGCCGGGUGUAGCUCGUAGAAGCCGUCGGCGAGGUGCAGCUCUACACGAAUGCAAUGCAAAAGUUAGCAUAGACGGUUAUUUCAACAGCAACACUGGCUCGCCUGAGCCCAGAAACUUGCGACAAGGAGCAGGAGGGUAGGGAGGUUCAAGAGAGCUGGUGGUGAUCAAGAGGCAAGGGUCGGAAAGGAACUUAUGACCUGAUCCUUGAACUAGAGGAUGUGGUAUACUCGGGAUCCUCAGACGCAAGCGCUGAAGGGUUCCUAAAUUUUACACAUACACCCUCGGGUUGAAGAAAAGAUCACAGCCGGACCCUCGAGCGAGGCGGAUAAGGGUCGGCGGAACAGAUAGGGUCGGGCGAGACGGAACCGGGGUCGGGCGGAUAGGAGGGGUCGGGCGAAGCGGACUGGGGUCGGCAGCUUACCUUCUUCCUAAAAGGAAGGCUUGGGGUCGGGAAGAAGCAGACUUGGGCGGAGGGAUUAAAGCUUUGAACAACGGCUAAGACCGGAAACGCUACGGCGGCGGCGGUGCUUCUUGCAGAUAACAAGAGAGCUUUUACGCAGCACGGAGGAGCAAGCGGCUGGGUGACUUGGAGAAAACUGAGGGAGAAUCUGAGAGCAGAGUUCCCCAAGAACUUGGUGUGUGGCGCUAGGAGCUUGAGCAGGUAGCGAGAGAAUGGCUGAAGGCAACAAUGGUGGAGGGAACUCCGGUGGCUGGUGCAUUCCUUUUAUAGCUGCUGGAACGGAGGAAGGAAGCGGCGCGGGAGAGAGAGAAGGGGAGCGGCGCGAAGGCCGGGGAGAAGCAAUGGAGUGCUCUGCCGGGGCGGCGAUUGAGCGAAGAGGGCGAUGGUGCACGACUCGGGGAUGACGCCAGCGGUCAUUGGGUUCUGGCGUCAGGGCGGCGCAGGAGCGGGUAUGCCGGUGGUUGAGAUUUGGUGGAGGCGGGCGUCGCCGUGCGGAAGAUUUGAUAGAAGCGACCGGUUUAACGGCCCUAGAAUCGAGGGCGCACAGGUGAGAAGACAGGCAGCCGCGGGCGCGCGGGCGAGCGCGGAGCAACAGAUUGUCGGGCGGCUUCUGACAGGGCGGGGAAAGGAGCUGUCGCUGCCGUGGUCGGGGUUGGCGAUGGAGGAAUUGUCGUGUAGCGGAGACCAGGCGGCGCGACUGUGGUUGAAGUGACGGAAAAGACGGGCGACAUCGGGCUCUGGGGCCGGGAUCUGGCGGCGUGAUGAUGGGCGCGGGAGGCGAGGCUCUGCAGAAAGGUUGCAGAGGGGCUUCCGCUGCCAUUGGGGAAGGGGGCGCGAGAAUCCACUCGGUCGCUAGCCAGAGACAAAACUGAGCGGCGGCGUCAGAGAAAACGAGCCACGCGGCAGGGAGGCUCUGAAGCGGGCAUGCAACUCGAAUGCGCCUGUCGCGGAGGAUCUGGGGAAAAGAUCUCGCGGGUCCACCGGGCGGAUAGAACGGACGUUUGAGAAAGAUUUAGAAGGAUCCGACGGUGGGCUGAGCUUGCCAGGGUCGGGAUCGGAGCGAAACGGGGAGGGGUCGGGUCUCCGGGGUCGGAACCGGGUGGAAGGUUGAGCACUCAGGCGCGGUAAAACAAGACAGAUGACUAUGAUCAGGGGCUCCGAUUAAGAUUAACUCGAAAGAUUAGGGGUCGGUCGUCACAGCCUACCCCUCUUAAAAAGAAUCUCGUCCCGAGAUUCAGGCAUCAAAAGCGGGGUGCCGUUUUUACCUCCUUGAUGAGAUAGAAAACCGGGGAAGCGCUUGUUCAGAUACUCGUCCGUUUCCCAUGUUGCUUCAUCUUCGGUGUGGUUUCUCCAGAGGAUCUUAUACAUCUUUACCACUUGGCGUCGGGUGUGCCUUUCCUUCUGGUCAAGAAUUCGAUCUGGGUACUCGGCGUAGGUCAGGUCGGGCUCUACCUGAAGCUGUUCUUGCUCUAAGAUUUCUGCUGGAACUCGGACACAUUUCUUCAGUUGAGACACAUGGAAGACAUCGUGUAUGGCCGAUAGUUGUUCUGGAAGUUGGAUCCGGUAAGCAACGGGUCCACAUAUCUCCACAGUCUCAUAAGGGCCAAUAUAACGGGGAGCUAACUUGCCUUUUACUCCAAACCGUUGUACUCCUUUGGUCGGGGAGACUCGAAGGUACACAUGAUCACCAAGGUCGAACUGCAGGGGUCUUCUCCGCCGGUCGGAGUAACUCUUCUGUCGAGAUUGGGCAGCCUUGAGAUUAGCUUGAAUUACCUUUACUUGCUCUUCGGCUUCUGCCACCAAGUCAGGGCCAUAGACCUGUCUUUCUCCUGGUUGGGACCAGUUCAAGGGUGUCCGGCAUCUCUGGCCAUACAGGGCUUCGAACGGUGCCAUCUUCAAACUGGCCUGGUAGCUGUUAUUGUAGGAGAAUUCUGCUAAGGGCAGACAUUUGUCCCAAUUCUUAUCAUAGUGGAUAACACAAGCUCUUAACAUGUCUUCGAGGAUCUGAUUGAUUCUCUCGGUUUGGACGUCGGUUUGAGGAUGAUAUGUUGAGCUUCGGAUGAGCUUGGUGCCCAUGGAUGCUUGUAGUUGCUCCCAAAAACGUGCCACAAACUGAACUCCUUGAUCGGAGACGAUGGUCUUGGGUACACCGUGUAGGGAAACUAUGCGGUCGAGGUACAACUCUGCAUACUGCUUGACUGUGUAGGUGGUGCGAACAGGAAGGAAGUGUGCGGUCUUGGUCAAACGGUCCACUACCACCCAGAUGGAAUCGUGUCGUUGCGAUGUAAGGGGCAAUCCAACUAUGAAAUCCAUGCUGAUGUCUUCCCAUUUCCAAGAGGGAAUAGGUAGCGGUUGCAGGGUACCUGCUACCUUUAAAUGACUGGCCUUGACGCGUUGACAGGUGUCACAUUCUGAAACAUACCGGGCAAUUUCCCGCUUCAUUCCACUCCACCAAAAGGCUUGACGGAGAUCAUGGUACAUCUUAGUGCUGCCAGGAUGGAUUGAGAACUUGGAGAGAUGAGCUUCAUCUAGGAUUUGCUUCCUAAGGUUGGGGUCGGCGGGUACAACUAGUCGGUUUCCAUAAUGCACACCUCCCGUUUUGUCCUGCCGGAAUUGCUUAUAUCCCUCAUCCUUUACUGAGAUCUUACUGAUGAUCCGUUGUAUUUCCUUAUCUCUUACUUGUGCUGACCGGAUUUGGUCUUCCAAAACUGAGUUAAGGAUGAUGUGACCAAGGGUUCCCUGAGAAAUAAUCUCCAAACUGAGUUUUUCCAUCUCGUGACACAGAGUCUUGGUGAAGGCUGUUGACAACAAGCAGUUGCAAUGGUGUUUGCGACUAAGGGCAUCAGCUACCACAUUGGCUUUGCCGGGAUGAUAGUGAACUUCCAAAUCAUAGUCCUUUAUCAACUCCAACCAUCUUCUCUGGCGCAUGUUGAGGUCGGCUUGAGUGAAGAUGUACUUGAGACUCUUGUGGUCGGUGUAGAUGUUGCAGUGAGUGCCCAUCAGAUAGUGUCUCCAUAUUUUUAAGGCAUGUAUCACUGCCGCUAGCUCAAGGUCAUGGGUUGGGUAGCUCAGCUCAUGAGGUCGUAACGCCCGUGAGGCAUAGGCAAUGACUCGAUUGUCUUGCAUAAGAACACACCCAAGUCCAGUGCCAGAGGCAUCACAGUAUACGUCAUACGGCCUAGAGGGGUCGGGCUGAGCCAAAACUGGGGCUGUGGUCAGCAAGUGCAUCAGGGUCUUGAAGGCUUCUUCACACUUGUUGUCCCACACAAAUUUGACCUCUUUCUUCAACAACUCGGUCAUCGGCUUAGCUAUCUUAGAUAAAUCCGGUAUGAAACGCCGAUAGUAGCCGGCCAGUCCAAGGAAACUUCUGAUCUGGUGCACUGAGGCAGGAGGCUUCCAUUCCAUGACUUCCUGCACCUUACUGGGGUCAACGGCGAUACCAUCCUUGGAGAUAGUGUGUCCCAAAACCUUGACACUAUUUAACCAGAACUCACACUUGGAGAACUUGGCAUAGAGUUGGUGAUCUCUUAGCCAUCGGAGAACUAAAUGAAGAUGGUCGGCAUGUUCCUCUUCGUUCUUCGAGUACACUAGGAUAUCAUCAAUGAACACCACUACAAACUUGUCCAGCUCGGGCAUGAAUACCGAGUUCAUGAGGUACAUGAAAUAGGCGGGUGCAUUGGUGAGUCCAAAGGACAUGACUAGUUACUCGUACAGUCCAUAUCUGGUAGAGAAAGCUGUCUUGGGUAUGUCGCAGGGUCGGAUCUUGAUUUGGUGAUAACCAGAACGAAGAUCGACCUUGGAGAACACUUUUGCUCCGGCUAACUGAUCAAACAAGACAUCAAUGCGUGGCAGUGGGUACUUGUUCUUGACGGUCACGGCAUUGAGGGGUCGGUAAUCCACACACAUACGUAGACUGCCAUCCUUCUUCUUCACAAACAGGGCAGGGCAACCCCAAGAUGAUGUACUGGGUCGGAUGAAGCCUUUUUCCAACAGAUCAUGCAACUGGGUCUUCAACUCGGCUAACUCAGCGGGUGGCAUCCGAUAGGGUCUCUUAGAUAUUGGGGUUGUGCCAGGGAUCAACUCUAUGGAAAACUUCACUUCUCUAUCAGGUGGCAUACCCGGCAAGUCUUCCGGAAACACGUCAGGAUACUCACAGAUAACAGGGAGGCCUUCUAGACGGGCUCCCGAUAGGGGGUAGGCACAAGGAAGUGCAGACUCAGGACGGGUCAAGGAUAUGGUAGAACUGCCAUGGAGGGGUGAGCUGAGGUAGAGGGAUCGGGCUACUGUAUCUAGAACCACAUGAUGUCGGGCCAUCCAAUCCAUACCAAGGAUGACAUCUAUGCCUUCUAGGUCAAGGAUGAUAAGGUUUUCCUUGAAGAGGGUGGGGCCUAGCUGGAGGGGUACAAGAGUAACAAUCUGAUCCGACGUUAUCCUUCCUCCAGGAGUGGCGAUCACAUAAGGUUCCUUAGUGUGACCGACAUUCAGCUCACAUCUUUCCCUAGCCUUACUCCCGAUAAAGCUAUGAGAGGCUCCCGAAUCAAACAACACAACAACAACUUGAUUUAAAACAAGGAAAGUACCCGUCAUUACUGGCGCACCUUCGGGGAGCUCGGUCAAGCUGGUGUAGUUGAGUCGGCCUUGUCGGACUUGCACCUUGGGCCUUCUUCCUCUGGCUGCCAUAGGGUUCGGACCUUGCUGUUGAUUCUUGUUCCUGGGGCAGUCCUUUGCAAAAUGCCCUUCGUUGCCGCAGGUAAAACAACGGCUACUAGCUGCCGGGCGGGGUGGCGUUGGUAGGGUCGGCCGGGGCACCUGCGGUUGGAAGCCUGAAAAACGAGGCGCUGUUACUGGUGAGGGUCGGGCGAUCCACCUUCCUGACUGCUGGGGUCGGCCAGGGGCUUGUGGAGGAACCAUCCGGAACCUUCGAGUCGGCGGACUCGGAAAUGCCACAGAGGCUUUCCUCUUCUGGUCGGCCUUGAGAGCUUGCAUGCAAUCCUCUUGAGAGAUGGCCAGAUUGACCAACUCAUUGUAGGUGUCCACCUUGAUGGGGUUCAACCUUUCCCUGAGCUCCAAGCUCAGUCCUCGGCGGAAUCUGUCCUGCUUCUUCUCAUCUGUAUCCGCAUGGUAGCCGGCAUAGCGGCACAGGUCGUUGAAAGCUUGAGCGUAGUGCAGCACAUCUCGGGUUCCUUGGGUAAGGGCCAGAAACUCGUUGAGCUUGCGCUCCAAGAGACCUUCUGGAAUGUGAUGCGCCUUGAACGCCGUCUUGAACUCAUUCCAACUGACCACAUGGCCAGCCGGCAGCAUGGCAUGGUAGUGAUCCCACCAAAGCCGUGCGGAGCCACGCAGCUGUUGAGCUGCAAACCGAGCCUUGUUGUUGUCGGGGCAUGGGGCGGUGAGAAGCUCAAACUUGGAUUCGAUCGUACGAACCCAGGCGUCAGCAUCGAGCGGUUCUUGUGUCUUUUGGAACAAAGGGGGCUGUGUCCCCAGAAAGUCCUCAUACCGAGCGAUAUGCGGCUGCUGCUGAGCUCUUCCACCAUGUGGCUGUUGCUGUUGCCCUUGUACCAGAUGCCUUAGCAGCUCAUUUUGAGUGCUAGGAUUGCCUCCAGUGGCGAUGAGGGCGGGGGCGGGGGAAGAUCCUGUCGCGGUUCGCUACUGCCGGGCACAGAACCAGACCUGGUGCGAUGCGCCAUCUGCAAGAGUUAACGCUCCAUUAAUUUCAUAACCUUAGAUGUACUCCAACAAAUGGAUCGCAUAAUUUAAUUUCUCCAGUGCAACUCUUGCCAAUGGUGCAACACACGUCCUCAUAGGGAAAACACACUUUUCUUAUCCUCAGUGUAGAUAACAUUUAUCUUGACCUGGUACUCAACUUCAGGCGAAACAUGUCAUAUACAGACCCCUAUGAUCCAACUCAAGCCAAGGGGUCGGGCAACGAUCCGUACUUAAAAAAAAGGUCGGACGAGGCGGAAACUGCCUCAAGGGUCGGCGCACUCGGUCUCACAAACUGGGGUCAGCCAACUGAACAGGCUCCCAGAACACAGCAUAUGGUCAUGGCGCAACUCCCUUAGCCUAGCAUCCACACCGUGCAAGGACUAAGGCCAGACACCAGAAUUAACUUUAUAUACAACGGUGUUCCAAUCACAGGGAGUACUCGACUCUAGGCUAACCUAUUACAACCUUUCCAAAAUUUAGGCUGCCGAGGAGUACAACAAAAGAAUGAUUCCCUGAGAACCCUCAAUCUACCAAUGGACACUAUGAGUAGGAGAAGGGACGCCAUCUUCCUCGAUAUCCAUGCUGGACGCUCCUUCGUCUUCCUCAGGGUCCUCUUGAGCUUCGAGCUGCAUGUGGAGGGCAUGCAUAUCAUCGAGCUCAGCUUGAUGCUCCUCCAAAUGGGCAUUGGCAACUGCCAACUCCAUUUCUAUCUCCAUCUUCUCCUCCGAUAGCUCUAUUAUGCCGUCCACUAGGUCGGCGACUUCUCCCUCAAGCUCGGAGAUCCGGUCUUGCAUGUCUGGAUCUGGAUACCCCGUUGAAUAAGCUGGUAGGUUUGGCCUACCAUAUCUCUCCGUGCCGAUUGGAGGUACCCGUGAGCAUCCGCUGUUGUCCGGGCGAAGAGGGUCAUGGCUCUCCCUUAUAGCUCUAUCAGCCGGUAAAGAGCUGCCAUGCACCUGAUAUUGGUGGAGAUGGUGACCAUGGCGCAUGUGGUGGCUAGCACCUCAAUAUUCCCGACGCGGUCGAGCCAUGCCGGGUCCAGCCGGUUCCUGACGGGGAAAAGGCCGAUCGGGUCGAGCGUGAUCUCCAAGGGAUGCAGCUGGCAGAACUGGGUGAGAAGCUGGAGGGCGGCAGACUCCCAUGUAUCCUCAGGAGCAAGGCCAUAGGCUAUUAUGCCGAAAGAGGGCCAGUCGGGCCGCACAGGGGGAGGAGGUACCACCGCCUGCACUUGGCACGUCUGGAUACCCUGCUCCAGAUAUAACCAUCCGGUGUACAAGGGUGGGGACUGGUAUCCAAACCACUUAAACGUGUCCCACAGAAUCGCGGGGAAACCCUUGAAAUGCAGACAUGUCGACUGGAAAGUACCGUCCGCUCCAAAUAGAACAUGCCCGGGAAUAGCCAUCUAGAACCAAGAAACCGAAACCACGUGAUAUAGACUCCAAGGGUCAGGGGUCGGGCAGAGAUGCAUUCGGCUUUAACCGACAGCAACGGAAGAACUAGAAAUCCUUAGAUCCAAAAAGAACUCUUCCGAACAAGGUUGCUGUUGAGAAGGAAACCUUACAGCUUUUUAGUUAUGACGCAUGCACGGCCUACCUUACACUUAACCAAAAACAACUGCCCGAAACUUUAGGUCUUACGUGGUCAGUGCCGGUGACAAGGCAUCAAUUACGUCUCUCCCUAUAAUAACUAGUCGGUUCUAACAACGUCUCCUAAACGAACGCGGUUAGCGUACCUGCAGAAAACACCAACACACGAACCUUUCGUGCCAGCACCCACGAAAGCGUUCCCAAACAUUACCGCUCACUAUAGGAACGGCACCCAUGCGUUUAAGGCUGCAUGGACAGCACUCAACCGUGGAAAUAGGUUCCCUUUGAAUGGAACCAUAUAACCCUUCGCAUACUCGUGAUGCGGAAUCAGCACACGUAUGACAAACGUGGCGAACCAACCGUGCUGAUAGGUUCGUUGGAAUCGAACCGUACCAACCUUCGUAUGGAGUACAUACGGAACCUGCGCACGUGUGAUAGACGUAGGCGAAAACAACCACGAGGAUAGGGUCCUUUGAAUAGAACUCCCUAUCAACCUUCGCAUGCUCGUGAUGCGGAACUCGGCACACGUAUGAUAGACGUGGCGAAGUGCUGGAAGGGUUAGCAAAAUAACCAAGUAAUUAUUAGUCACCUAAAACAACCCCAAAAUCCCCUAGGGCCUCUCGCACUAAAGCCAUCCUUAACGAUCGUACAAGAUUUUUCAAAAGUUUCUUGCAACUUUUAUCUUUUCAAAGAAGUGUUAGGGCUUGUUGUGUUCUCUGUACUGCUAAACCUGCUCUGGUACCAGCUGUGGUGGAUCCACUUCGGAUUAGCUUGAAUAGACAGGGUUAAGCCGCCUAACAUGCGACACCCAUGCCUAAGCCAAGUUAACACGAAGUGCCGUCGGAUUACAUCCGAUUAACCACUUGAACAGGAUCGAGUUUAGCAAACUCACACGAAAGUGAGUAGUUCCAGAGAAUACAACGAGUCCACUGAGUUAAACAAUUUAACCCUUUAGUUCGGCCACAAAAACCAACAUCAGAGUUUUUACAAGGUUCAAAGGAAAACAACAAAAGGUAAAACCAGUAGCGGAAGCAAUCGUCGGGGUCGGACGUCCCUGGUGAGGCCAACCGGGACAUCACUGAUUCCUCUCCUCGCCGUCCGAGGAAGGAUCCCACUCGACCGUCCAGCCCGGCGGAAGCUGGGGCAGCCAAGCGCCAGCAAAAGAGGGGUCGGAAGCAGCAGCUUCACCUGAAAAACAGGAGCCACAACAAGGCUGAGCUACUAAGCUCAACAAGACUUAUCCGAUAGGAGUAAGCUACUCCACACUUCUAGAUAUGCAGGGCUUUUUGGCUGAGGGGUUUGUUUGCCAAAAGCACUAAGUAAAACCCUAUUUUCAAGUUUUAGCUCCGGUUUUAAGUUCCUUAGCCAGUCUAGGUUUUGCUUCCUAUUCUAAGCAAUCAUAGAACCAAACAAGAGGUAUAGAUAUAUCAACAAACAUGUCAUCAUCAGAUUCCUCAUUUACUCAGGGUGACAAAGCGAUCAGGCAAUCUCAAACUGUGAGAGGCGGACGAAUCGAUUCGAGUUCUUUAACCAUGCAUGGUGAACCUAGCCUCACGACAUCCGCGCACCCGGAGGUCGCUUCCUGUGUCGGCCUUCCCCAUCAAUCCACUAACCCGUGUCGGGCCCAUUUCCUUUGGUGUAAGGUUCCACGGACCCGGCCUCUGCCGUCCUGUGACCACGCUUACCACCACGUGCGACAACCAGCAGGGGAACUCCGUUCCAAGAACAAUGGGGCGACCGCUCACGUCUAGGUUCAAUCCGGUCCUAGGCUUCCUCAUCCCAUACUAAGUAUGAGGCUAGUACUUUCAAACACUUGAUCACGAACACCACCACUGUCGGGCCUUAGCAAGUUUUCAUAGACAGACGGGGCGACCAUCCGUCCACCAAAGAGUUACCAAAACCCUGCCCCGUCCAUCGUCCUUAUAGUUGUAACAGAAAGGUAGAUAUCCAACUCCUACAACUCGCGAGUGACAGGGAAUCACUCGGCUUUUACCGUCUCCUAGUUAAGCAAGCGGCUACUCGGUCCAACAGCUAGUGCUCAGAUCAUGGGGAUAACUAAGUCAUGCAUCUAGGGUUUCAAACAACUCCUAUACGUAAAUGCACAAUCAUGUUACAGAAGGCAUGCGCAAGUCUGGUAAAACACACAGGGUUUUCAUGCAACCGGGGCUUGCCUUCGAGCAAAGAGGAAGGGAACUGCUCGACUUCGGGGGCGACUUCGGCUUCAACGGGCAGGAGCUCAGCUACAGCUUCGUCUUCUGGCGCCGGGUGUAGCUCGUAGAAGCCGUCGGCGAGGUGCAGCUCUACACGAAUGCAAUGCAAAAGUUAGCAUAUACGGUUAUUUCAACAGCAACACUUGCUCGCCUGAGCCCAGAAACUUGCGACAAGGAGCAGGAGGGUAGGUGUUGGAGGUAUGCCCUAGAGGCAAUCAUAGAGAUGAUGAUAUUCCAUUUGUAUCCAUGAUUUGUAUAUUGUGUUCAUUGAAUAUCCAUUAAAGGAUACUUGAAUUGAUUUGCAAUUAUGUGAAUUGUAUGUGAAACUCUUUACUUGUAUGGUUAUUCUAAAGUUGUCCCUAGUCGGAGUUCAUGUGAGGACACACAUGAAUAUUAGACUAGCACAUGUAUUAGUUGAUGACUAUGUUUCACAAGUCAUGGACAUGGAGAUGUUGAACUAAUAAUGUGGACACAUGUGGAGACAUGUGUUAGGACUGACCCAACACGAGAAGUAGUUCUCUCUUUAAACAACAUAUACGCUUUGUCCUUAGACCUGAGAUUGUCGCAUGUAUUCUAGAUGUGGAUCGACCUACUUAGGGGCUAUCAAACGCUACGCCGUAACAGGGUAGUUAUAAAGGUAGCUUUCGGGUUUGUCAAGAAGCAUGCUAUGAGACAUGGUCAAUCAAGAAGGGAUUUGCCCCUCUCUGAUUGAGAGUGAUAUCUCUGGGCCCCUCGAGUGAUCGGAUCCGAAAAUGCAUGGCCAUGCUACGUAUGGUUAAGAGUUAACCUACAAAGGGAUUCCGAAUCACAGGAUCGAGAAAGAGCGGUCGGCUUGAAGCUAGACCAAAUAUCGUGAGGCAAAGGGAAUAGCAUGUAUAUUAUGUUGUGAUGGUUCGUCUGAUAUGAUCUUCGUGUGCGUAUAGGAGUUGGCACGUCUUGCUAGAGGCCGCUACCGACUAUUGGGCCGAGUAGGAGUACUCGGGCCAUGUCUAUACGUAUCCGAACCCAUAGGGUCACACACUUAAGGGGCUGGAAGCCCAAUUCGGAUCUGAUCUGAGUUGGAUUAGGUUUAGGAGUACUAAUGGGCCUCGGAUCCAGAGGCCCGUCAGGAACCCCUAUAAAUAGAGGGGUGGGGGCGCCCUAGGGUUUACACCUUUUGGCGAAACAUACCUGCCGCGCCUCCCACGCCCUCGCCUGUUGCAACUCGCGGAUCUAGCAGUCCGGCUUGCGACGCUUCCUCCCUGCACGUGUGGAUACCUUGGAGGUGUUGCGCCUGCAGCACUUGGACGAGCCAUCGACGAGCCGCCGACGAGCCACGACGAGCCGACGACGAGCCGCGGCACCGGAGGCGAUCUUGCUGUGCACGUGGACGAGCUGCUGAGGAGCUGCUGGACGUGAUCGACUACGUACGACUACGUUGAUCGACUACGUACGACUACGUGAUCGUCUUCACUGCACCGACGCAUAUCUACAUCUUCCGCACCAGUAGUGCGUCGAGUGGUAAUCCCGUGAUCCUUAUACGGCAGUUCUUCCUGGUUAUACGCGGUAGAAAUUUUGAUUUGCGCUAGCGUAGCCUACCUCGUAUCCCAACAGUGGUAUCAGAGCCGUAGCUGCUUAGUUUUGGAUUCGGGAUGUGUGCAUAUGGAGAUAUGCGAGUUCUCUGUUUGAUCUAUGUCCUGAUUUCGUGCCCUUGCUGCAAUGGUAGUGUAACGACAUACUCCUACCGGUCGGUUUCCGCCAUCGGAGUUAAGUGAUACACGUAAACCCAGUUGCAGUGAGGGAAGAUCAAUAUGAUUGGUCAAAUCGAGAUCCAGGGUCAUACGCCAGGUGCAUUAGAUGUGCAAUAGUAGAUAGGAUCUACUGCCGGGGUCGGGAUUUUGCCGUAUGCGUAUGCUUCGGUAAAUCAGCCGUAACUUUUCGGUACGAUCUCGGAUUGGGGCGAUUUCUAUACGAAAAUUGAUCUACAGAAAAAGUUACACAUGAAAUUCAACCGCUUCGCCGUUUUCGGCGAAAUUAGAUUUCCCAAAUUCGGCUUGGAAGAUGGAGUUUCGGGCCUCCGAAGUUUGGAACGUUAGGACGCCUAACUCUCUUUUGCAGGAUGUAUGUAUCUUGUGAUCAGUAUGGCCCCUUGUGUAUGUGAUGCAUGUGUGUAACUCAUUCGUGACCUGCGUGUCGCGCGUACGGCAACACGGCAGGAGCCAUAUGUGUUGUCACUUUAUUGUAUUUAAUGGUCUGCGUACCAAUCUGUGAUGAUCCAAGGAACUAUGUAAUCUUCAUUACUAGAUUCUUUACUAGCUAUUAGGCGUAAUAGCAUGCUCUAGUUCUUGGAGGACUCAUCACCAGGAGGAUGGCGCACAUGGAACAUGGAGAUGGAGAUCACCAUGGUGAACAGGUUCUAUGGAGAUGGAGAUCACCAUAUGAAAAACGGGCCAUACUGUGUCACAACUGUGUGAAUGCUAUUCUGUUUAUGUUUUACUUUCUGCAUGCUGUGAUGUUAGAAGUAGAACGAUCCCUCGCAAAGUUUAAGUUAGUAUGCCCUCCCAACUAAAACUUGCACCGUCCCAUGUCUUGUACAAUUAGUGGUGGGUCUAUGAAAUUAGGGUGCCACUAGUUUUCCUUGACUAGACGGGUUUGUGUCGGACACUUACACGCAUAAGGGUUGGUUAGCUUAACGAGGUCAUCUUAACGGUUAAGGACCUUGGGGCAUAAAGGUUGGGCGCCGAGACAUAGAGAUGUCACCCAACAACAGGAGUCAUAUGUGAUAUGAUUAGCAAAAGUUGCUUACCGAUCUACCUCGUUUGCUAGCGAUGAUGCUAAAGCUCACUAGUAGACUUGUUAGUUGUGGAUCCUAAAUCACUAAGUUUCAAUAGAGGGAUAUUGAUUUUAGUGGGAGUAGAUUCUGUUAAAAUAGUUUAAUGUAAUUUGCUCUAUCAUGGAUACGUUUGUCUUAGUGUAUUUUGCAUUACUUUUGUUGUAGAUUAAAUGGCACCUAGCAACACCACCACAUCGUUUGCUUUGCGUUCGGUCCUUGAGAAGGACAAGUUGAAUGGAACAAACUACUCGGAUUGGAUCCGCAACCUGAGAAUUGUUCUCAGGGCUGAGAAAAAGGAAGAUGUUCUAGACAACCCACUACCAGAAGAACCUGCUGAGGAUGCACCCGCUGCUGCUAAGAAUGCUUACAAGAAAGCAUGUGAUGCUAACCUCGAAGUAAGCUGCCUUAUGCUUGCUUGCAUGGAACCCGAGCUGCAGAUGCAGUUCGAAACAAACCAUGAGGCGCACGAUAUGAUCGUGGCGCUUAGAGACAUGUUCCAAACACAGGCCAGGACUGAAAGGUUCAAUGUGUCUAAGGCCUUUGUUGAGAGCAAGCUAGCAGAAGGCGCAGCAGUAGGACCACACGUAAUCAAGAUGGUUGGUUACACUCAACGGUUGGAGAAGCUAGGCUUCCCACUGGGCCAAGAGUUGGCCACUGAUUUCAUUCUUUCGUCUCUUCCGCCUAGCUAUGGGAACUUCAUCUCGAACUACCAUAUGCAUGGGACGGAGAAGGGUCUGAAUGAGCUGUGUGGUAUGCUCAAGACAGCAGAGGCUGACAUUAAGAAAAGCGCUAGUACCAGCCAUGUGAUGGCGAUACAGAACAAGCCCAGCUUUAAGAAGAAGGGCAAUUCUUGGAAGAAGAAGGGCAAGGCUGGAACGUCCAAGCCAAACCCACCGCCGAAGGCUAAAGCUGGACCUGCUCCAGAUAAAGAGUGCUUUUACUGUCAUGAACUUGGUCACUGGAAGAGAAACUGCAAGCAGUACCUAGCUUCGUUGAAGAACGGCGGAAGUAAGAGUACUUCUACCUCAGGUACGCUUGUUGUUUAUGUUAUAGACAACAUAUUUCUCGCUGAUACAGUUAUUAAUUCUUGGGUAUUUGAUACCGGAUCGGUUGCUCAUAUUUGCAAUUCGAUGCAAGGAAUGAUAAGAAGUAGAAGCGUGGAAAGAGGAGAAGUUGAUUUCCGCGUGGGCAAUAAUGCAAGAGUUGCUGCUUUGACCGUCGGGACGAUGCAACUCCACCUCCCGUCAGGAUUUAUUAUGGAGUUGAAUAAUUGUUAUUUUGUUCCUAGUUUAAGUCGAAACAUUUUGUCUCCUUCAUGCUUGAUGAAGGAUGGUUAUUCAUUUGCGAGUGAAAACAAUGGUUGUGUGAUCUCUAAGAAUAAUAUGUUUAUGGCUUUUGCACCCAUUGUGAAUGGAUUAUUUGUUUUAAAUCUUGAUGGUUCACCUGUCUGUAAUGUAAGUGCUAAAAGGCCUCGGCCUAAUGAUUUGAGUCCUACCUACUUGUGGCAUUGUCGUUUGGGUCAUAUAAGUGAUAAGCGCAUGAAGAAGCUCCAUUCUGAUGGACUUCUAACUUCAUUUGAUUUUGAAUCAUACGAGACAUGUGAGGCUUGCUUGCUAGGCAAGAUGACCAAAACGCCUUUCACAGGAUUUCCUGAGAGAGCAGUAGACUUGUUGGAACUCGUACAUAGUGAUGUAUGCGGACCAAUGAGCACGACGGCUAGAGGAGGAUUCCAAUACUUCAUAACUUUCACUGAUGAUUUUAGUAGAUAUGGCUAUGUCUACUUGAUGAGGCACAAGUCUGAGACCUUUGAAAAGUUCAAGGAAUUUCAGAAUGAAGUUGAAAAUCAGCGUGGCAAGAAAAUUAAGGCCUUACGAUCUGAUCGUGGAGGCGAGUAUUUGAGCCACGAGUUUAGCAAUCAUCUAAAGAGUUGCGGAAUUGUUCCACAACUUACGCCGCCUGGAACACCUCAGAGAAACGGUGUGUCCGAGCGACGUAAUCGAACUUUGUUAGACAUGGUUCGAUCAAUGAUGAGCCAGUCGGACCUACCGUUGUCAUUUUGGGGAUACGCUCUAGAAACAGCAGCUUUCACACUUAAUAGGGUACCAUCUAAAUCCGUAGUUAAGACACCAUAUGAGAUGUGGACUGGAAAGGUUCCUAGUUUGUCUUUUCUAAAGAUUUGGGGAUGUGAAGUGUUUGUCAAGCGACUUCAGUCAGACAAGAUCACACCCAAGUCGGAUAAGUGCAUUUUCGUGGGAUAUCCAAAGGAAACUUUGGGAUAUUAUUUCUACAACCGAUCAGAAGGCAAAGUGUUUGUCGCUCGGAACGGGGUUUUCCUAGAGAAAGAGUUUCUCAAAGGAGAAAAGAGUGGAAAGACAGUGCAUCUUGAAGAAGUUCAAGAUGAGCCAAUCGGGCAAGAAUCAAUGAGUGAUGCUAACGUAGCAGAACAAGUUGAGAUACCCAUGGCAAGAGAAGCACCGCCACAACCACGAAGGUCGGCAAGGCUCCGCGAAAUGCAGGAAAUAUUAUUGUUGGACAAUGAUGAGCCAGCGACAUAUGCAGAAGCAAUGAUGGACCCAGACUCCGAAAAAUGGCAGAGUGCCAUGCAAUCCGAAAUAGAGUCCAUGGGAGACAAUCAAGUUUGGAACUUGGUUGACCCGCCUGAUGGUGUUAAAGCCAUAGAGUGCAAGUGGAUCUAUAAGAAGAAAAAGGACAUGGAUGGAAAUGUUCACAUCUAUAAAGCACGACUUGUCGCAAAAGGUUUUCGACAAGUUCAAGGAGUUGACUACGACGAGACCUUCUCGCCCGUAGUGAUGCUUAAGUCCAUUCGGAUUAUUCUAGCUAUAGCUGCAUAUUUCGAUUAUGAGAUAUGGCAGAUGGAUGUCAAGACAGCUUUCCUGAAUGGAAACCUAGCUGAGGACGUGUAUAUGAUACAGCCCGAGGGUUUUGUCGAUCCGAAAAAUGCUGGAAAGGUAUGCAAGCUUCAGAGAUCCAUUUAUGGAUUGAAGCAAGCAUCUAGGAGUUGGAACAUUCGUUUUGAUGAAGUAGUCAAAGGGUUUGACUUCACCAAGAACGAAGAAGAGUCUUGUGUUUACAAGAAGGUUAGUGGGAGCUCUGUAGUAUUUCUAAUCUUAUAUGUGGAUGACAUAUUACUGAUUGGAAAUAACAUUCCUAUGCUUGAGUCCGUAAAGACUUCACUGAAAAAUAGUUUUUCGAUGAAGGACUUAGGGGAAGCGGCAUAUAUUCUGGGUAUUAAGAUCUAUAGAGAUAGAUCGAGAAGGCUUAUAGGUUUAAGCCAAGAUACUUACAUUGACAAAGUGUUGAAGCGGUUCAGCAUGGAAGAGGCAAAGAAAGGGUUCUUGCCUAUGUCACAUGGCAUACAUCUCAGCAAGACUCAGUGUCCUUCGACUGCUGAUGAGCGGGAUCGCAUGAGUAGAGUUCCAUAUGCCUCGGCUAUUGGAUCUAUCAUGUAUGCAAUGAUAAGUACUCGCCCAGAUGUUUCAUAUGCGCUAAGUAUGACAAGUAGACACCAAUCUGAUCCAGGUGAGAGUCACUGGACAGCGGUGAAAAACAUUCUUAAGUACUUGAGAAGGACUAAAGAUAUGUUCCUCGUCUAUGGAGGUCAGGAGGAGCUCGUUGUAACAGGUUACACCGAUGCUAGUUUCCAAACCGACAGAGACGAUUCAAAGUCACAAUCAGGAUUUGUGUUCACGCUAAAUGGUGGUGCUGUUAGUUGGAAGAGUUCCAAGCAGGAGACGGUGGCCGAUUCUACGACAGAAGCCGAGUACAUCGCGGCUUCGGAAGCCGCGAAGGAAGGUGUUUGGAUAAGGAAUUUCCUCAUUGAGCUUGGUGUGUUCCCGAAUGCGUCCAGCCCAUUGAAUCUCUACUGUGAUAAUAAUGGGGCAAUUGUGCAAGCAAAGGAGUCAAGGAACCACCAGAAGAACAAACACGUAAUGCGGCGAUUUCAUCUCAUUCGAGACUUCGUUAACCGGGGUGAGAUCAAGAUAUGCAAAAUACACACGGAUCUGAACAUUUCUGAUCCGUUGACAAAACCACUCCCGCAGGCUAAGCAUGAUGCGCAUGUAAGAGCUAUGGGUAUUAGGUACCUUCUAGAUUGACUCUAGUGCAAGUGGGAGACUGUUGGAGGUAUGCCCUAGAGGCAAUCAUAGAGAUGAUGAUAUUCCAUUUGUAUCCAUGAUUUGUAUAUUGUGUUCAUUGAAUAUCCAUUAAAGGAUACUUGAAUUGAUUUGCAAUUAUGUGAAUUGUAUGUGAAACUCUUUACUUGUAUGGUUAUUCUAAAGUUGUCCCUAGUCGGAGUUCAUGUGAGGACACACAUGAAUAUUAGACUAGCACAUGUAUUAGUUGAUGACUAUGUUUCACAAGUCAUGGACAUGGAGAUGUUGAACUAAUAAUGUGGACACAUGUGGAGACAUGUGUUAGGACUGACCCAACACGAGAAGUAGUUCUCUCUUUAAACAACAUAUACGCUUUGUCCUUAGACCUGAGAUUGUCGCAUGUAUUCUAGAUGUGGAUCGACCUACUUAGGGGCUAUCAAACGCUACGCCGUAACAGGGUAGUUAUAAAGGUAGCUUUCGGGUUUGUCAAGAAGCAUGCUAUGAGACAUGGUCAAUCAAGAAGGGAUUUGCCCCUCUCUGAUUGAGAGUGAUAUCUCUGGGCCCCUCGAGUGAUCGGAUCCGAAAAUGCAUGGCCAUGCUACGUAUGGUUAAGAGUUAACCUACAAAGGGAUUCCGAAUCACAGGAUCGAGAAAGAGCGGUCGGCUUGAAGCUAGACCAAAUAUCGUGAGGCAAAGGGAAUAGCAUGUAUAUUAUGUUGUGAUGGUUCGUCUGAUAUGAUCUUCGUGUGCGUAUAGGAGUUGGCACGUCUUGCUAGAGGCCGCUACCGACUAUUGGGCCGAGUAGGAGUACUCGGGCCAUGUCUAUACGUAUCCGAACCCAUAGGGUCACACACUUAAGGGGCUGGAAGCCCAAUUCGGAUCUGAUCUGAGUUGGAUUAGGUUUAGGAGUACUAAUGGGCCUCGGAUCCAGAGGCCCGUCAGGAACCCCUAUAAAUAGAGGGGUGGGGGCGCCCUAGGGUUUACACCUUUUGGCGAAACAUACCUGCCGCGCCUCCCACGCCCUCGCCUGUUGCAACUCGCGGAUCUAGCAGUCCGGCUUGCGACGCUUCCUCCCUGCACGUGUGGAUACCUUGGAGGUGUUGCGCCUGCAGCACUUGGACGAGCCAUUGACGAGCCGCCGACGAGCCACGACGAGCCGACGACGAGCCGCGGCACCGGAGGCGAUCUUGCUGUGCACGUGGACGAGCUGCUGAGGAGCUGCUGGACGUGAUCGACUACGUACGACUACGUUGAUCGACUACGUACAACUACGUGAUCGUCUUCACUGCACCGACGCAUAUCUACAUCUUCCGCACCAGUAGUGCGUCGAGUGGUAAUCCCGUGAUCCUUAUACGGCAGUUCUUCCUGGUUAUACGCGGUAGAAAUUUUGAUUUGCGCUAGCGUAGCCUACCUCGUAUCCCAACAGUAGGGAGGUUCAAGAGAGCUGGUGGUGAUCAAGAGGCAAGGGUUGGAAAGGAACUUAUGACCUGAUCCUUGAACUAGAGGAUGUGGUAUACUCGGGAUCCUCAGACGCAAGCGCUGAAGGGUUCCUAAAUUUUACACAUACACCCUCGGGUUGAAGAAAAGAUCACAGUCGGACCCUCGGGCGAGGCGGAUAAGGGUUGGCGGAACAGAUAGGGUCGGGCGAGACGGAACCGGGGUCGGGCGGAUAGGAGGGGUCGGGCGAAGCGGACUGGAGUUGGCAGCUUACCUUCUUCCUAAAAGGAAGGCUUGGGGUCGGGAAGAAGCAGACUUGGGUGGAGGGACUAAAGCUUUGAACAACGGCUAAGACCGGAAACGCUACGGCGGCAGCGGUGCUUCUUGCAGAUCACAAGAGAGCUUUUACGCAGCACGGAGGAGCAAGCGGCUGGGUGACUUGGAGAAAACUGAGGGAGAAUCUGAGAGCCGAGUGUGGCGGAACCACCUCGGAUUAGCUUGAUUAACCAGGGUUAAGCCGCCUAACAUGCGACACCACUGCCUAAACUGAGUUAAUACGAAGUGCCGUCGGAUUUCGCCCGAUUUAACCACUUAAACACGAUCGAGUUCAGCAACCCACACGAAGGUGAGCGGUUACAGAGAAUACAACGAGUCCACGGAUUUUUGAACAAGUUUUACUCAUUUGGUUCCACCAUAAAAUCCAACAUUAGGGUUUUACAAGUUUUCAAGAAACAACAGAGAAAACACUAGCGGAAGACUUCGUCGGGGUCGGACGUCCGGGCGAGGCCAGCCAGAACAUCACUGAAUCCUCUCCUCGCCGUCCGAGGAGGGGUCCCACUCGACCGUCCAGCCUGGCGGGAGCUGGGGCGGCCAAGCGCCAACAAGGGAGGGGUCGGGAACUGCAACUUCACCUGAAAAACAUGAGCCACAACAAGGCUGAGCUACUAAGCUCAACAAGACUUAACCGAGGAGGAGCCAACUACUCUUCCAACUAGACAUGCAAGGCUUCUUGGCUGAGGGGUUUGAUUUGCCAAAAGCACUAAGUAACCUAUUUUCAAGUUUUAGCUUCGGUUCUAUAUUUACUUACCAGUCUAGGUUGUGCAACCUAUUCUAAGCAAACAUCGAGCCAAACAGGUGUGUAGGUAAAAACAACAACAUUGCCAUUAUCAGAUUCCUCAUUUACUCAGGGUGACAUAGCGAUCAAGAAAUCUCAAACUGUGAGAGGCAGACGAAUCGAUUCGAGUUCUUUAACCAUGCAUGGUGAACCUAGCCCCACGACAUCCGCGCACCCGGAGGUCGCUUCCUGUGUCGGCCUUCCCCAUCAAUCCCCUAACCCGUGUCGGGCCCAUUUCCUUUGGUGCAAGGUUCCACAGACCCGGCCUCUGCCGUUCUGUGACCACGCUUUGCCAUCACGUGCGACAACCAGCAGGGGAAACUCCGUUCCAAGAACAAUGGGGCGACCGCUCACGUCUAGGUUCAAUCAGGUACUAGGUUUCCUCAUCCCAUACUAAGUAUGAGGCUAGUACUUUCAAACACUUGAUCACGAACACCACCACUGUCGGGCCUUAGCAAGUUUUCAUAGAUAGACGGGGCAACCAUCCGACCACCAAAGUGUUACCCAACCCUGCCCCGUCCACCGUCCUUAUAGUUGUAGCAGAUAGUAAACAUGCAACUCCUACAACUCGCGAGUGACGGGAGAUCACUCGGCUUUUACCGUCUCCUAUUUAAGCAAUGCAGUUACUCGGUCCAACAGCUAGUGCUCAUAUCAAGGGUUACUAAGUCAUGUAUCUAGGGUUUCACACAACUCCUAAACGUAAAUGCACAAUCAUGCUAUUCGGAAGGCAUGUGCAAGUUUGGCAAAAACACGUAGGAUUUUCAUGCAACCGGGGCUUGCCUGCAAACAAGGAAGGCUGGAACUGCUCGACUUCAGGGGCGGCUUCGACUUCCGCGGGCAGGAUCUCGGCUACAGCUUCUUCUUCGGGCAUCGGGUGCAGCUCGUAGAAGCCGUCAGCAAGAUGCAGCUCUACACGAAUGCAAUGCAAGGGUUAGUUUAAACGUUUUGAUUUGACAGCAACACUGGCUCUCCUGAGUCCAGAAACUUGCGACAAAGAGCAGGAGGUGGAGGCUGUUUGAGAGAGGUGAUGAUGAUCAACAGGUAAGGGUAGGAAGAGAACUAGUGGUCUGAUCCUUGAACUAGAGGAUGUGAUAACUGGGAUCCUCAGUCGUAGGCGCUGAAGGGUUCCCACGUUUUACACAUACACCCUCGAGUUAAAGAAAAAGAUCACAGCCAAACCCUCGGGCGAGGCGGACAAGGGUCGGCGAACAGACAGGGUCGGACGAGACGGAACUGGGGUCGGGCGGAUAGGAGGGGUCGGGCGAGGCGGACUUAGGGUCGGCACUCACCUUCUUCCUGGAAGGAAAGGUUGGGGUCGGGAAGAGGCAGACUUGGGCGCGGAACUAAAGCUUUGAGCAGGGACUAAGACCUGCGAUGCUCCGGCGGCGGUGCUUCUUGCGGAUCACAAGAGAGCUCUACGCACCACAGGGGAGCAAGCUGCGGGGUGACUUGGAGGAACUGAGAAGGAACUGGGAGAAGAACUUUUCAAGAACUGGGUGGGUGGCGCUAGGAGCUUGAGCAGGGACCUAGAGGAAACUAAGGGUAACAAAGGCGGAGAGAACUCCGGCGACGGGGGCAUUCCUUUUAUAGCUGCUGGAGCAGAGGAACGGAAACGUCGCGAAGAGAGAGGAGGGGGUGGCGUGAAGGCCGGGGAGAAGCAAUGGAGUGCUCUGCCGUGGCGGCGAUUGAGCAAACCGGGCGAUGCUGCAGAACUCCGGGGGUGACGCCAGCGAUCAUUGCGCUACUCCGUCAGGGCGGCGUAGGCGCGGGUAGACCGGUGGUUGGGAUUUGGCGGAGAGCGGGCGUCGUCGUGCGGGAGAGGUGAUAGAAGCGACCGGUUAAACGGCGCUAGGAUCGAGGGCGCACAGGUGAGAGAACAAGCGGACGCAGCGCAGGGGAGAGCGCGGAACAACAGAUUGUCGGGCGGCUUCUGACAGAGCGGGGAAAAGGAACUGUCGCGGCCGCGGUCGGGGUUGGCGGUGGGGGAAUCGUCGUAUAGCGACGACCGGGCGGCGCAACUGUUGCUGGAAAGGACGGAAAAGACGGGCGACAUCGGUCUCCGGGGCCGGGAUCUGGUAUCGUGAUGAUGGGCGCGGGGAACGAGGGUCUGCAGAAAGGGGUGCAGAGGGCUUCCGCUGCCAUUGGGGAAAAGGGCGCGGGAACCCACUUGGUCGCUUGCCAGAGACAAAACUGAGCGGUGGCGUCGGAGAAGACGAGCCACGCGGCAGGAAGGCUCUGAGGCGGCCAUGCAACUCGAGUGCGGCUGACGCGGGGGAUCUGGAAAAAGAUCUCACGGGUCCACCGGGGGAAAGAUCGGACGGGUGAGGAAGAUCAGCAGGAUCCGACGGAGGGUUGAACUCGCCAGGGUCGGGAAGGAACGAAGAGAUAGGGGUCGGAUCUCAGGGGUUGGGACUGGCGGAAGACUGAGCACCUAGGUGCGGUCAACAGAACAACCAACUGAGGUUAAGGGCUGAGAUCAAACCUAACCGGGAAAAGUUAGGGGUCGGUUGUUACAGCCUACCCCUCUUAAAAAGAAUCUCGUCCCGAGAUUCAAGAUCAAGGGUGUGUUGUUCUUACCUCCUUGAUGGGAUAGAAAACCUGGAAAACGCUUGUUCAGAUAUUCUUCCGUCUCCCAUGUUGCGUCAUAUUCGGUGUGGUUUCUCCAGAGGAUCUUGUACAUCUUUACCAUUUGGCGUCGGGUGUGCCUUUCCUUCUGGUCAAGAACUCGAUCUGGGUACUCGGUGUAGGUCAGGUCGGGUUCUACUUGAAGCUGUUCUUGUUCUAGGAUCUCUGCUGGAACUCGGACACAUUUCUUCAGCUGAGACACAUGGAAAACGUCAUGUAUGGCUGAUAGCUGUUCUGGGAGUUGGAUCCGGUAAGCAACAGGCCCACAUUUCUCCACAAUCUCGUAAGGGCCAACAUAGCGGGGAGCUAACUUGCCCUUUAUUCCAAACCGUUGCACUCCUUUGGUUGGGGAGACUCGAAGGUACACAUGAUCACCAAGUUUGAACUGCAGGGGUCUCCUCCGCUGGUCAGAGUAACUCUUCUGUCGAGAUUGGGCAGCCUUGAGAUUAGCUUGAAUUACCUUUACUUGCUCUUCGGCUUCUGCCACUAAGUCAGGGCCAUACACCUGUCUUUCUCCUGGUUGGGACCAGUUCAAGGGUGUUCGGCAUCUUCGGCCGUACAGGGCUUCAAACGGUGCCAUCUUCAAACUGGCCUGGUAGCUAUUAUUGUAGGAGAACUCUGCUAAGGGCAGGCACUUGUCCCAGUUUUUGUCAUAGUGAAUAACACAGGCUCUUAACAUGUCUUCAAGGAUCUGGUUGACUCUCUCGGUUUGGCCAUCGGUUUGGGGAUGAUAUGUUGAGCUUCGGAUGAGCCGGGUGCCCAUGGAUGUUUGUAAUUGCUCCCAAAAACGUGCCACAAACUGAACUCCUCUGUCUAAGACUAUAGUCUUGGGGACGCCAUGUAGGGAAACGAUACGGUCGAGGUACAACUCUGCAUAUUGCUUGACCGUGUAGGUGGUACGAACAGGAAAGAAAUGUGCUGUCUUGGUCAGACGGUCCACUAUAACCCAGAUAGAAUCAUACCGUUGAGUUGUAAGGGGUAACCCAACUAUGAAGUCCAUGCUGAUGUCUUCCCAUUUCCAAGAGGGAAUAGGUAGCGGCUGCAAGGUCCCUGCUACCUUCAAGUGACUAGCCUUGACACGUUGACAAGUGUCGCAUUCUGAAACAUAACGAGCUAUCUCCGGUUUCAUCCCACUCCACCAAAAGGUCUGACGGAGAUCGUGGUACAUCUUGUUACUGCCAGGGUGGAUUGAGAACUUGGAAAGAUGAGCUUCAUCUAGGAUCUGCCUCCUCAGCUCAGGGUCGGCGGGCACUACUAGUCGGUUUCCAUAGUACACACCUCCCUUUUGGUCCUGCCGGAAAAGUUUAUAUCCUUCGUCCUUUACCGAGACCUUACUGAUGAUCCGUUUCACUUCUUCAUCCUUAGCUUGUGCUGACCGAAUCCGGUCCUCCAAAACUGAGUCAAGGAUGAUGUGACCAAGGGUUCCAUGAGGAACAAUCUCCAGACUUAGUUUUCCCAUCUCGUGACACAGAGUGUUGGUGAAGGUGGUUGACAACAAGCAAUUGCAACGGGGUUUGCGACUGAGGGCAUCGGCCACCACAUUGGCCUUGCCAGGAUGAUAGUGCACUUCCAAGUCAUAAUCCUUUAUCAACUCCAGCCAUCUUCUCUGACGCAUGUUGAGAUCGGCUUGCGUGAAGAUGUACUUGAGGCUCUUGUGGUCGGUAUAGAUGUUGCAGUGAGCUCCCAUUAAGUAGUGCCUCCAUAUCUUCAAGGCAUGUAUCACUGCUGCCAACUCAAGGUCAUGGGUCGGGUAGUUCAGCUCAUGAGGUCGCAACGCACGUGAGGCAUAGGCAAUGACUCGGCUGUCUUGCAUAAGAACACAUCCGAGCCCAGUGCCAGAGGCGUCACAGUAUACGUCAUACGGCCUAGAGGGGUCGGGUUGGGCCAAAACUGGGGCGGUGGUUAACAAGUGCUUCAGGGUUUUGAAAGCUUCUUCGCACUUGGUGUCCCACACAAACUUGAACUCUUUCUUUAACAACUCGGUCAUCGGCUUAGCUAUCUUGGAGAAAUCCGGUAUAAAACACCGAUAGUAACCUGCCAGUCCGAGGAAACUCCGGAUCUGGUGUACCGAGACAGGAGACUUCCAUUUCAUGACCUCUUGCACCUUACUGGGAUCCACGGCAAUACCGUCCUUGGAGAUAGUGUGUCCCAAAAACAUGACACUAUCCAACCAAAACUCACACUUGGAGAACUUUGCAUAAAGCUGGUGAUCUCUCAGUCGCUGGAGAACUAUAUGAAGAUGGUUGGCAUGCUCUUCCUUGUCCUUUGAGUACACUAGGAUAUCAUCAAUGAACACCACUACAAACUUGUUCAGCUCAGGCAUAAACACCGAGUUCAUGAGGUACAUGAAGUAAGCGGGUGCAUUGGUGAGUCCAAAGGACAUGACUAGGUACUCAUACAGUCCAUAUCUGGUAGAGAAAGCUGUCUUGGGUACGUCGCAAGGUCGAAUCUUGAUUUGGUGAUAACCAGAACGAAGAUCGAUCUUGGAGAACACUUUUGCUCCGGCUAACUGGUCGAACAAGACAUCAAUGCGGGGCAGUGGGUACUUAUUCUUGACUGUUACCGCAUUGAGGGAUCGGUAAUCCACACACAUCCGUAAACUGCCGUCUUUCUUCUUCACAAACAGGGUGGGGCAACCCCAAGAUGACGUACUGGGUCGAAUGAAGCCCUUUUCCAACAGAUCAUGCAACUGGGUCUUCAACACUGCUAACUCAGCGGGUGGCAUCCGAUAGGGUCUCUUAGAUAUCGGGGCUGUGCCAGGAACCAACUCUAUAGAAAACUCCACCUCUCUGUCAGGUGGCAUGCCUGGCAAGUCUUCUGGAAACACAUCUGGAUACUCACAGAUGACAGGGAGGUCUUCUAAACGGGUUCCCGAGAGAGAAAAGGCACAAGGAGUCAAAGACUCAGGAUGGGUCAAGGAUAGGGUAGCACUGCCAUGAGAGGGCGAGCGGAGGAAAAGAGAUCGGGCCGAGGUAUCUAAAACAACACGAUGUCGGGCCAUCCAAUCCAUGCCAAGGAUGACGUCUAGGCCUUCAAGGUCAAGGAUGAUAAGGUUUUCCUUGAAGAGGGUGGGGCCUAGCUGGAGAGGUACAAGAAUAACGACCUGAUCCGACGUUAUCCUUCCUCCAGGAGUGGCGAUCACAUAGGGUUCCUUAGUGUGACCCACACUUAGCCCACACCUUUCCCUUGCCUUACUCCCGAUAAAGCUAUGAGAGGCUCCCGAAUCAAACAACACCACAACAGCUUGAUUUAAAACAAGAAAAGUACCCGUCAUCACUGACGCACCUUCGGGAAGUUCGGUCAAGCUGGUGUAGUUGAGUCGGCCUUGUCGGACUUGCACCUUGGGCCUUCUUCCUCUGGCUGCCAUGGGGUUCUGGCCUUGUUGCUGAGUCUUGCUCCUGGGGCAGUCCCUUGCAAAAUGUCCCUCAUUGCCGCAGGUAAAACAUCUGUUACUGGUUGCCGGACGAGGUGGCGUUGGCAAGGUCGGUCGGGGUACUUGCGGUUGGGGACCUGGGAAACUGGGCAUUGUUGCCGGCGGGGGUCGGGCGAUCCAUUUCCCUGACUGUUGGGGUCGGCCAGGGGCUUGUGGAGGGAUCAUCCGAAACCUUCGGGCUGGCGGGCUCGGAAGAGCCACAGAGGCUUUCCUCUUCUGGUCGGCCUUGAGAGCUUGCAUGCAAUCCUCCUGGGAGAUGGCCAGAUUGACCAACUCGUUAUAGGUGUCCACCCGGAUGGGGUUCAGCCUUUCCCUGAGCUCCAAGCUCAGUCCUCGGCGGAAUCAGUCCCGCUUCUUCUCAUCGGUGUCCGCGUGAUAUCCCGCAUAACGGCAUAGGUCAUUGAACGCCUGGGCGUAGUGCAGCACAUCCCGAGUUCCCUGGGUGAGGGCCAGAAACUCGUUGAGCUUCCGCUCCAGGAGACCUUCAGGAAUGUGAUGCGCCUUGAACGCCGUCUUAAACUCGUUCCAACUGACCACGUGGCCAGCAGGUAGCAUGGCAUGGUAGUGGUCCCACCAAAGCCGUGCGGAACCACGCAGCUGCUGAGCUGCGAACCGCGCCUUGUUGUUGUCAGGGCAUGGAGCGGUAAGGAGCUCGAACUUGGAUUCGAUCGUACGAACCCAUGCAUCAGCGUCGAGCGGUUCUUGGGUCUUUUGGAACAGCGGGGGCUGCGUCCCCCGAAAGUCCUCAUAUCUUGCGAUAUGCUGCUGCGGCUGUGCUCUACCACCAUGUGGCUGCUGUUGUCCUUGCACCAGAUGCCUGAGCAGCUCGGUUUGAGUUGCUAGGAUUGCCUCCAAUGGCGAUGGUGGCGGGGGCGGGGGAAGAUCCUGGCGCUGGUCACUGCCGCUGGGCAUAGUUCCAGACCUCGUGCGGUGCGCCAUCUGCAAGAGUUAACGCCCCAUCAAUCUCAUAACCUUAGGUGUACUCCAACGAAUGGGAACGUAUGAAUUAAGUCCUUUAAUGCGACUCUUGCCAAAGGUGCAUCACACGUCCUCAUAGAGGAAGCGCAUUCCUCCCUUUUUCAUCAUAGAUAGCCCUUACUUGCCCUCGUACUCCACCUUAGGCACUCACACCACAUACAGACUCCUAGGGUCUCAUCCACUCGAACCAAGGGGUCGGAUACGGUCCGUACUCAAAGAGGGUCGGACAAGGCGGUAACUGCCUUAAGGGUCGACGCACUCUAGCUCGCAAACUAGGGUCGGCCAACUGAACAGGCUCCCCAAAAACAACACAGGUUCCGGCACUACUCACUCAACCUUAGCAUCCACACCAUACGAAAAGGAUAAAACUAUGCACUGGGUUGACUUUAUACACAGCGACGUUUCAACACAGGGAGUACUCAACUCAAGGCUAACCUAUUACAACUUUCCAAAACUAGGCUGCCGAGGAGUACAACAAAAGAAAGAAGGUUCCCUGAGAACCCUUAAGCUACCACUGGACACUAUGAGUCGGAGAAGGGGCGCCAUCUUCUUCUAUGUCCAUGUUGGACGCUCCCUCGUCUUCCUCAGGGUCCUCCUGAGCUUCAAGCUGCAUGUUGAGGGCAUGCAUAUCUUCAAGCUCAGCUUGGUGCUCCUCUAGGUGGGCAUUAGCAACGGCCAACUCCAUUUCCACCUCCAUUUUCUCCUCCGAGAGCUCGAUCAUGCCGUCCACGAGGUCGGCAACUUCUCCUUCCAGCUCGGAGAUCCGGUCUUGCAUGUCGUGGAUCUGGAUUCCACGUUGGAUCAGCUGGUAGGUUUGGCCUACCAGGUCUCUUCUAGCUGCCUGGAGGUACCCGUGGGUGUCUGCAGCCGUCCGGGCAAAGAGAGUCAUGGCUCUUCCUUGGAGCUCUAUCAGCCGGUAGAAGGCAGCCAUGCAACGGACGUUGGUGGAGAUGGUGAUCGUAGCACAGGUAGCGGCCAACACCUCGAGGUUUCCGAUGCGGUCCAGCCAGGCCGGGUCCAACCGACUCCUGACGGGAAAAAGACCGAUCGGGUCCAGGGUGAUCUCCACAGGGUGGAACUGACAGAACUGCGUGAGCAACUGGAGAGCGGCGGAUUCCCACGUAUCUUCCGGAGAAAGACCGUAGGCUAUGAUGCCCAGAGAGGGCCAGUCGGGCCGCGAGAAAGGGCGUGGCACCAGUGCUUGCACCUGGCACGUCUGGAUGCCCUGCUCCACAUACAGCCGCCCCGAAUACAGGGGUGGGGACUGAUACCCAAACCAUCUCAACGUAUCCCACAAGAUCGCGGGAAACCCCUCGAAAUGUAGGCAUGUUGAUUGGAAGGUACCGUCCGCUCCAAACACCACAUGCCCGGGAGCAGCCAUCUGGAACCAAGAAAACCGAAGCCACGUGAGAUAACUCCGAGGAUCAGGGAUCGGAUAGAGAAGCAGAAGGGCUUAACCGAGAGCAACUAAGAGGAGCUAGAAAUCCCUAGAUCCAAAAGAACUCUGUCGGACAGGGUUGCUGUUGAGAAGAGAACAUUACAGAUUUUUGUAUGACGCAUGCACGGCCUACCGUACUCUUAACCAAAAACAACUGCCCGAACCUUGGGUCUUACGCGGUCAGCGCCGGUGACGAGGCAACAAUACGUCUCUCCCUAUAUUAACUAGUCGGUUCUAGCAACGUCUUAACGAACGCGGUUAGCAACCUGCAGAAAACACACACACGAACCUUUCGUGCCAGCACCCACGAAAGCGCUCCCAAACAUUACCGUUCACUAUAGGAACGGCACCCAUGCGUUUAAGGCUGCAUGGACAGCACUCAACCGUGGAAAUAGGUUCCUUCCGAAUAGAACCACAUAACCCUUCGCAUACUCGUGAUGCGGCAUCGGCACACGUAUGAUAGACGUGGCGAAACAACCGUGCCAAUAGGUUCGUUGGAAUCGAACCAUAUCAACCUUCGUAUGGAUCACAUACGGAACCUGCGCACGUAUAAUAGAUGUGGACGAAAACAACCGCGAAGAUAGGGUCCCUUGAAUGGAACUCCCUAUCAACCCUCGCAUGCUCGUGAUGCGGAACUCGGCACACGUAUGACAGACGUGGCGAAGUGCUGGAGGAGUUAGCAACAUAACCAGAUACUUAUUUAGUCACCUAAAACAACCCCAAAAUCCCCUAGGGCCUCUCGCACUAAAUCAUCCUUAACGUUUGUACGAGAUUUUCGAAAGGUUCUUGCAACUUUUAUAUUUUCAAAGAAGUGUUUAGGGCUCAUUGGGUUCUCUGAUAUGCUGAACUCGGCUCUGAUACCAGCUGUGGCGGAACCACCUCGGAUUAGCUUGAUUAAGCAGGGUUAAGCCGCCUAACAUGCGACACCACUGCCUAAACCGAGUUAAUACGAAGUGCCGUCAAAUUUUGCCCGAUUUAACCACUUAAAUAGGAUCGAGUUCAGCAACCCACAUGAAGGUGAGCGGUUACAGAGAAUACAACGAGUCCACGGAUUUUUGAACAAGUUUUACUCAUUUGGUUCCACCAUAAAAUCCAACAUUAGGGUUUUACAAGUUUUCAAGAAACAAUAGAGAAAACACUAGCGGAAGACUUCGUCGGGGUCGGACGUCCGGGCGAGGCCAGCUAGAACAUCACUGAAUCCUCUCCUCGCCGUCCGAGGAGGGGUCCCACUCGACCGUCCAGCCUGGCGGGAGCUGGGGCGGCCAAGCGCCAACAAGGGAGGGGUCGGGAACUGCAACUUCACCUGAAAAACAGGAGCCACAACAAGGCUGAGCUACUAAGCUCAACAAGACUUAACCGAGGAGGAGCCAACUACUCUUCCAACUAGACAUGCAAGGCUUCUUGGCUGAGGGGUUUGAUUUGCCAAAAGCACUAAGUAACCUGUUUUCAAGUUUUAGCUCCGGUUCUAUAUUUACUUACCAGUCUAGGUUGUGCAACCUAUUCUAAGCAAACAUCGAGCCAAACAGGUGUGUAGGUAAAAACAACAACAUUGCCAUUAUCAGAUUCCUCAUUUACUCAGGGUGACAUAGCGAUCAAGAAAUCUCAAACUGUGAGAGGCAGACGAAUCGAUUCGAGUUCUUUAACCAUGCAUGGUGAACCUAGCCCCACGACAUCCGCGCACCCGGAGGUCGCUUCCUGUGUCGGCCUUCCCCAUCAAUCCCCUAACCCGUGUCGGGCCCAUUUCCUUUGGUGCAAGGUUCCACAGACCCGGCCUCUGCCGUUCUGUGACCACGCUUUGCCACCACGUGCGACAACCAGCAGGAGAAACUCCGUUCCAAGAACAAUGGGGCGACCGCUCACGUCUAGGUUCAAUCAGGUACUAGGCUUCCUCAUCCCAUACUAAGUAUGAGGCUAGUACUUUCAAACACUUGAUCACGAACACCACCACUGUCGGGCCUUAGCAAGUUUUCAUAGACAGACGGGGCAACCAUCCGACCACCAAAGUGUUACCCAACCCUGCCCCGUCCACCGUCCUUAUAGUUGUAGCAGAUAGUAAACAUGCAACUCCUACAACUCGCGAGUGACGGGAGAUCACUCGGCUUUUACCGUCUCCUAUUUAAGCAAUGCAGUUACUCGGUCCAACAGCUAGUGCUCAUAUCAAGGGUUACUAAGUCAUGUAUCUAGGGUUUCACACAACUCCUAAACGUAAAUGCACAAUCAUGCUAUUCGGAAGGCAUGUGCAAGUUUGGUAAAAACACGUAGGAUUUUCAUGCAACCGGGGCUUGCCUGCAAACAAGGAAGGCUGGAACUGCUCGACUUCAGGGGCGGCUUCGACUUCCGCGGGUAGGAUCUUGGCUACAGCUUCUUCUUCGGGCGUCGGGUGCAGCUCGUAGAAGCCGUCAGCAAGAUGCAGCUCUACACGAAUGCAAUGCAAGGGUUAGUUUAAACGUUUUGAUUUGACAGCAACACUGGCUCUCCUGAGUCCGGAAACUUGCGACAAAGAGCAGGAGGUGGAGGCUGUUUGAGAGAGGUGAUGAUGAUCAACAGGUAAGGGUAGGAAGAGAACUAGUGGUCUGAUCCUUGAACUAGAGGAUGUGAUAACUGGGAUCCUCAGUCGUAGGCGCUGAAGGGUUCCCACGUUUUACACAUACACCCUCGAGUUAAAGAAAAAGAUCACAGCCAAACCCUCGGGCGAGGCGGACAAGGGUCGGCGAACAGACAGGGUCGGACGAGACGGAACUGGGGUCGGGCGGAUAGGAGGGGUCGGGCGAGGCGGACUUAGGGUCGGCACUCACCUUCUUCCUGGAAGGAAAGGUUGGGGUCGGGAAGAGGCAGACUUGGGCGCGGAACUAAAGCUUUGAGCAGGGACUAAGACCUGCGAUGCUCCGGCGGCGGUGCUUCUUGCGGAUCACAAGAGAGCUCUACGCAGCACAGGGGAGCAAGCUGCGGGGUGACUUGGAGGAACUGAGAAGGAACUGGGAGAAGAACUUUUCAAGAACUGGGUGGGUGGCGCUAGGAGCUUGAGCAGGGAGCUAGAGGAAACUAAGGGUAACAAAGGCGGAGAGAACUCCGGCGACGGGGGAAUUCCUUUUAUAGCUGCUGGAGCAGAGGAACGGAAACGUCGCGGAGAGAGAGGAGGGGGUGGCGUGAAGGCCGGGGAGAAGCAAUGGAGUGCUCUACCGUGGCGGCGAUUGAGCAAACCGGGCGGUGCUGCAGAACUCCGGGGGUGACGCCAGCGAUCAUUGCGCUACUCCGUCAGGGCGGCGUAGGCGCGGGUAGACCGGUGGUUGGGAUUUGGCGGAGAGCAGGCGUCGUCGUGCGGGAGAGGUGAUAGAAGCGACCGGUUAAACGGCGCUAGGAUCGAGGGCGCACAGGUGAGAGAACAAGCGGACGCGGCGCGGGGGAGAGCGCGGAACAACAGAUUGUCGGGCGGCUUCUGACAGAGCGGGGAAAAGGAACUGUCGCGGCUGCGGUCAGGGUUGGCGGUGGGGGAAUCGUCGUAUAGCGACGACCGGGCGGCGCAACUGUUGCUGGAAAGGACGGAAAAGACGGGCGACAUCGGUCUCCGGGGCCGGGAUCUGGUAUCGUGAUGAUGGGCGCGGGGAACGAGGGUCUGCAGAAAGGGGUGCAGAGGGCUUCUGCUGCCAUUGGGGAAAAGGGCGCGGGAACCCACUUGGUCGCUUGCCAGAGACAAAACUGAGCGGUGGCGUCGGAGAAGACGAGCCACGCGGCAGGAAGGCUCUGAGGCGGCCAUGCAACUCGAGUGCGGCUGACGCGGGGGAUCUGGAAAAAGAUCUCACGGGUCCACCGGGGGAAAGAUCGGACGGGUGAGGAAGAUCAGCAGGAUCCGACGGAGGGCUGAACUCGCCAGGGUCGGGAAGGAACGAAGAGAUAGGGGUCGGAUCUCAGGGGUCGGGACUGGCGGAAGACUGAGCACUUAGGUGCGGUCAACAGAACAACCGACUGAGGUUAAGGGCUGAGAUCAAACCUAACCGGGAAAAGUUAGGGGUCGGUUGUUACACCGAGUUCCCCAAGAACAUGGUGUGUGGCGCUAGGAGCUUGAGCAGGGAGCGAGAGAAUGGCUGAAGGCAACAAUGGCGGAGGGAACUCCAGCGGCUGGUGCAUUCCUUUUAUAGCUGCUGGAACGGAGGAAGGAAGCGGCGCGGGAGAGAGAGAAGGGGAGCGGCGCGAAGGCCGGGGAGAAGCAAUGGAGUGCUCUGCCGGGGCGGCGAUUGAGCGAAGAGGGCGGUGGUGCAGGACUCGGGGAUGACGCCAGCGGUCAUUGGGUUCUGGCGUCAGGGCGGCGCAGGAGCGGGUAUGCCGGUGGUUGAGAUUUGGCGGAGGCGGGCGUCGCCGUGCGGAAGAUUUGAUAGAAGCGACUGGUUUAACGGCGCUAGAAUCGAGGGCGCACAGGUGAGAAGACAGGCAGCCGCGGGCGCACGGGCGAGCGCGGAGCAACAGAUUGUCGGGCGGCUUCUGACAGGGCGGGGAAAGGAGCUUUCGCUGCCGUGGUCGGGGUUGGUGAUGGAGGAAUCGUCGUGUAGCGGAGACCAGGCGGCGCGACUGUGGUUGAAGUGACGGAAAAGACGGGCGACAUCGGGCUCUGGGGCCGGGAUCUGGCGGCGUGAUGAUGGGCGCGGGAGGCGAGGCUCUGCAGAAAGGUUGCAGAGGGGCUUCCGCUGCCAUUGGGGAAGGGGGCGCGAGAAUCCACUCGGUCGCUAGCCAGAGACAAAACUGAGCGGCGGCGUCGGAGAAAACGAGCCACGCGGCAGGGAGGCUCUGAAGCGGGCAUGCAACUCGAGUGCGCCUGUCGUGGAGGAUCUGGGGAAAAGAUCUCGCGUGUCCACCGGGCGGAUAGAACGGACGUUUGAGAAAGAUUUAGAAGGAUCCGACGGUGGGCUGAGCUUGCCAGGGUCGGGAUCCGAGCGAAAUGGGGAGGGGUAGGGUCUCCAGGGUCGGAACCGGGCGGAAGGCUGAGCACUCAGGCGCGGUAAAACAAGACAGAUGACUAUGAUCAGGGGCUCCGAUUAAGAUUAACUCGGAAGAUUAGGGGUCGGUCGUCAUAGCAGGUUUCAUGGACUCCCAGAAAACUAGUCAGGACAAAAGGAAACUACUCUACCGAGUUAGAGUAGGACUCUGUAACGUACUCAACUAGGACUCAUACACAAUCUGCCCUGUAACCCUGCUCCCCCGACUAUAUAAGGGCGGGUAGGGACCCCGCCCCCUCCAAAGUUCAACAACAGACACAAGUUCAAUACAACCAACACACAGGACGUAGGGUCUUACGCGAUCUAGCCCGAACCUGUCUAAAUCGUGUUCCUUGCGUCACCAUCGACUCUUUUGAUUCUCGACGAUACCCACCGCACAGAAGACCACAUGGAGUACUCCCUAGGCAGGUUGCCGAUCUAAGAUACCAACACGACCUGCCGAAGUGGUCAAUGAGGCACUCGGAGCACUGCUCCCACCAGUGACAUUUCCUCCUUUUCCUUGAUUCCUUCUCAUCUUGACCUGUGUCAUUUUCCUUUGCAGGAUCUUCCUUGUUAGCCUCCUCCAGAUCCUUGGCUCCGGAAUGAAGUCUGGGUUCAGUACAGGUACUUUCAUCCUUGACUCCUUGCUCUCCAUGGCUGGAGAAGACGAUUGCACUUGCACCACAAGGUUGCUGGUCUGGUACAGGGAUGGCGAACAUGGCUGAAGCGUGGAGAGGACGCAUAGUGGGAUGGUGCAAAAGAAGAGACCAUGGAUGAGCUACAUAAUCUAAUCAAUCACUUUAUUGGAUCGAAAUUACCUUUGCAUUUUUCUAUCUAGAUUUGUGCAUUCCAUUUCUGAUCAAUUAAGCAGUUCCCAAUUUCAGAAAAACAAACUUAUGAAACAUUGCCAAUUUGGUGCAUAACUUCAAGUAGUCGUUGUCAAUAAGUAUCAGCGCAAAAAGAAAAAGAAGUAGAUUAUUUCAUUUUUCCUACCGAAGGCAAUAACCCAGCAGGUCUCAAAAUAGUUUAUCUUUAAUAAAGAACAGCUAAAAUAAAUCACUAGCACUGUAGUAAUCAUAUACUUCCUUCAUACUCACAAAGGAAGUCGUUUUGGACAGCGACACGGUCUCCAAAGUAUUACUUUGACUCUUUGUUUUUAUAAAAAUAUUUAUCAAAAAGUGAUAUAUGUAUAUUUUUAUGAAAGUAUUUUUCAAGACAAAUCUAUUUAUAUAGCUUUCACAUUUCCAAACUCAACAACUUAAAAGUUAUUCGUGAUUUAUAUUCCCAAUGUUUGACCCAAGUCUUGUCCAAAAUGACUUUCAUUGCGAGUACGGAGGUAUUUAGUAGUACACUUAUAAAACACUUCCAAAUUAAAACACCAUUUGUUUGUUUUAAUGAAGGGAGUAGCUAGCUAGCCAGCCGUACGUUUGUCAGGAGAAUUAAUUAGUUGAAGCGAGCUGCGAUGGACGCAAGGAGUGCGGUGGGGUCCAUCUCGUACCCAUACAGGCUCCUCCAGGAGUUGCACUCGACGCCGUCGGCCAGCUUGUCGACCGACCCUGUCGCGAGGUUCACCGCGAAGGCGCCGCUGGUGCUGCAGCCUUCCCCGAUCGUGAAGAAGAGCGUGCCGCUCUUCUCGCCGAGCCACCGCAUCUUGAGCUCGAACUUCGACAACAUCGGCACCGUAAGCUGGGUCAGGACGCUGGUUUCGCCCCGCUCCCACUCGGCACCCGCCGCCGCGCUCACGUCCAAGGUCUCGACGCCGAAGCUGAGGAGCUCGCCCCCCAUCAAGCCGGCGCUGACGUAGCUCAGCCUCCCGUCCGGCGUCGUGCCGAGCAGCCUCCAGUCCGGUAAAGUGUCCCGUAUCGUGUAGGGCACGACAUGCACGUCCAUGACCGCCGCGGCGGCGCCGCCGUCUAGCCGCACGGCCAGAGCUGCGGCGACCAUGAUGGGCCAGUACACCACUCCACGGAGCACGACGGCGGGGCCUAGUCGCUGAAGCACGUGGCCGCUAAUCUGGGUGCCGGGCUUCCUGAAUUCCGGGCCCCAGCCGCCGCCGCCGCCAGCGUCGUCGGAGGUGUAGCACCGAAGAGCCGUGAAGCUGCGGCGGUUGUAGACUAGGACAAGGCUGAAGAAGGACGAUCCCUGUUGUGCGUCGUUGUCGAGGUCGUCAGCGGUGAGUACCGCGCACAUGUAGUCGUGCCCGGGGAAGUCGUCGCCGGCGAGGGGCGGGACGAGGGCCACGUCCCCCGUCAUCGGGUUGCACACGCUGAGGGCGACGCCAUCGGCACGGGUCUUCCUCCGGAGCUCAAAGACGACGCGGCCGCCGCGGGACGCCACCGGGCGCGCGUAGUGGAAGAGGCCGCCGCCGUCACCGCCCUCAGGAAGGCCCGGGAACGGCGAGCCUAGGAGGACGGAGGCGGACGGCGUCGGGACGAAGCACGGGUCCGUCUGCGCCUGGGCAGCCAGCUGCCUCCGCCUGGUGCUGCUGAGGUCAUGCUGCCCCCCGUGGAAGAAGCCGAGGGCGAGGUGGGGGAGGAACCGAUCGGGUGGCGGCAGAGCGCGGAGGAUGGCGGCCUCGCGCGCGGCCACGAUGCGUCCCCAGCGCCUGCACACGGCGGCGCAGCGGGCGACGUCGCCGGCGUCCGAGAACACCAGAGAAGAUUGCGUCGAAGAGCAGGUCGUCGGGCAUGGUGGCCAGAGGAUCAACGGCGCGCCUGCUGCUGCCUUUUCGGUUUCUUGGUGGGCGGCGACAACGGGACAGCCACCCUUUCGUGCUGUGCGGCGGCGCGGCGGCGCGGCGCGGUGGAGCCAUCGAUGGAUCGGAUCUCCCGGCGCCCCCGGAUCGAGGUAUACGAAGCUAGGAAAAAGGAACAGAUGCAAUGCACGAAAGGUGGGCGGCAUCGCGAGUUUAUAGGCCAGCAUACGCGGUUGGUGCGUUCCGAUCGGAUUUGGACACCGUCUCGAAAUCGGUCGAAAAAGAAACUUUCCAUCUUCUUCUUCUAUCUAUACAGUAUCUACCUACAUCUACAUCUAUCCAUACACUAUAAAGAAUAUUCUGUUGUUAGAGUUAUCAUAUCACUUCGAUCUCUGAAAAAGUGAGUGGGCAGUUAACUAGGCCUUUUUUAGUUCCCAAUUUGGAAGUGGCAAAAUUGGCAUUUUACCAUAAAUGCGCAACUGUAGCGUUUCGUUUGUAUUUGUGAAUUAUUGUCCAAAUAUUGACUAAUUAGGCUCAAAAGAUUCGUCUCGUAAAGUACAACAAAACUGUGCAAUUAGUUUUUGAUUUCGUCUAAAUUUAGUACUCCAUGCAUGUACCGCAAGUUUGAUGUGAUGGGGAAUCUUCUUUUUGCAUAGUGUCAAAGUUGGGAGUUUGGAUGUAACUAAACAUGGCCCUGGUUUCUAUCAUUUCCCAUGUAUAUCAUGCAUGCGUCGUCGUCAGCAGGACACUGUUUUCGGCUUCAGAACAGCAAUUCUGAUCCUAUAAGGGAAAAUAACCAAUUUUUUUUUACCAGUGAAUGAAAGUGCAAUUCUCCACAAGUGAGAGUUUCAGACUGAAUCCACAACGAAGAUCGCCGCGGUGUCAGACGGACCGACGACGACACAGCUGGCCCGGACCUGAAUGGGAAGCUUCGUUCGGCGGUGCAGCAAUGACGUCUCGUCAGAUAGAUAUAUGUACGUGCCAUGUAUGUAUACGAUACGGUAUUACCCUAGCCUGUCAUAAGCAUCGAAUGUAAACCACCUGAUGGGCCUGACGAAAUGCCAGCCGCUAAACUGGAAGUGAAUCAUUUUUGCAAUACUUCUGUACCUAUUUUUGUGAAUUUGAUCUUUGGACAGUUCACUCGGUACACUGUAUAGUACACUGUCCAAUUGUCCAAAGUAGUGUUCAGCUUCAUAAAAAUAUCCUUUUUUAUGACAAUCCGAAUGGGACUGCACAUUUAUGCAAAUAAAUAAAUUUAUAAGUUAAAAUAUAAAUUGAGAAAUUUUAGAGUGCUUGAUAAAAAUAAGAGCCGUUCAUAAGAGAAACAUUUUACUUUAUAUUUAACUAAUUUAUUAAAUAAAUAUUAUUGGUUAGCAAUAUGGCGACGUGGAAAUCAACAACCUGGAGCUGACCCAGCGAUGAGCUGCAAAGACAUCCCAAUGCAACGCAAGAGCAGGCGCAUGAACUUAUACAUGGGAGACGUGAAUGAACAUGCAUGCACGCAUUGUGUUAUCAUCAUCAUCAUCAUCAUCAUGUCCCCGUGUAAACAUGCAGCUCGGCUCAGUUCGGCCUGGCUCGUUAGGCUAACGAGCCGGCUUGGCUCAGCUCGUAAACAAAACGAGCAAAAAGGCCGGCUCAGCUCGACUUGUUAGCAACUCGAGCCAGCUUGUUAGGCUCGCGAGCAAGAUGUAAAUUUAAUAUUACCAUCUCAGUAUAUAUAAAAAAUAAAAAAAUAGUAAUUAUAAAAUCAUAAACUUCAAAAUCCACCAUGCAUGGCUUGUGUCGGCUCCCUAUAUUAGGACUUUAGCCUUCUAGCUCGUUUGGCUCAUGAGCAGCUCGUUAACUAAACGAGCAAAAUUAGCCGCUCGGCUCAUUAAAAAAUUCACCGAGCCGAGCCACCGACAACUCGAGCCAACUCGCGAGUUCUUGGCUUGGCAUCCAGCCCUACCCGUGUACGUCCAUGAAGGCCCAAGCAACUGUUAGCUGGCUUCUUUUUUACUUCUCUUCAAUACUUUCACCUUUGAGAAUAUAUGAUCAACUCAUAUGGUCAUAUAUAUUCAUAUAUGAUUGUGUUGUUGUAAAAGUUAAAACAUGAACAAAUAAUAUUAUCAAGCACUUUUACAAGAAAUUUCACCACUCUUCUCAUGAAGAGGUGGUACAGAUAAUUAGUGUGGAUUGUUAAAAGUGUGCAUUUUAAUAGUGACGUAGAUGCUUUUGAUUUGGCAAUGUUAAAGCUCGGAGUGUGUUACGUAGAUGCUUUUACGUGGUCAAACUUGUCUUUGCACCAGCACUAUGGAAUAUUAUUGUUGCAAUGUUGCUACCAAAAUUCAUAUUUUCCCGUGGCUGGUGUCCCAUGCAUAUAUAAUAGGAUUAUAUGACAAUCUGGCUAAAGGAGGCAUAAUAAAGCCCUUAGAUUGCUAUUUUACUUAGAGCACACAUAUUUGUUCUUUGAGUGUGUAGUUGCUAAGCACAUUUAGUCGUAUGCUUCUCGUUUUACUGGUGGUCACGAAGAAGCUCAAGAUUGACAACCUGAACACCUGAAGAGGUCUUGUCACUAAUAAGCAAACGUUCGACUCCUAGAGGGAUACCAUUGGGGGCACAUGCCCCACCUUAGAUGCUCCUGCAUUAUUUUUUGGGUUGAAUGCACCUCCCUAUGAAGUCACGUGCAUUUUCAGAUAGUGUAUUCGGAAUUUCUGGUGGUAUUUCGCUCCCAAAUUUGUAUAGGGCCUGUACCUACAAAUUAAUUAAGAAAAACUACUGCAUCGUAGACAGCUAUAAAUGAUGUAGAUACAGAGAAACCAGAUGUCGUGCAUACCCUUUCUAAAUCAGUGUACGGAACUUUGCCUGUCAGCAUCUCCAAGACCAUGCAACCCAGACUCCAUAUAUUCGCUGGAAGGCCAUAUUGCUUUGCCUUAACAACCUGGUGCAAUUAGGAUGUUACCAAAAUAUUUGGUUGAGGCUUAACAUACACAUCAUUUUCAGUUACAAACUUAUGGCUAGUACUAGUUUGAUUUCUUAAAGACUGAUUGAUAAAUUAAAAAGCUGUUGAUACCAACACAAUCGUAAUACAAAAUAUGAUUAAAAAUUCUAAUCCUUUUGGAAAAUAAAUAGCUAAGCAUAACAUUAUUGUUUUUACUUUAAUAAUAAGAACAAUAGCACCACAACACAAACAACAAAAUCUAACCUCCGGGACCAUCCAAUACACAGUUCUCUGGGCAGAUAUUUGUCUGACUCAAACUUGACACCUUCAAAGUUAAGAUUAGAAAGGGUUAGCAUAACGCGAGGGCAAUAUAAAUUUUCACUGGAGUGGUGCCAUUUAUAGAAAAAGAUUGAUACCUCCUUUGCAACUCCAAAGUCAGCUAACUUGACGGUGUCAUUUGUAUCAACCAGUAUGUUGGCACAUUUUAUAGCUCCGGUGCAUAUUUUUUUUUGUGCAUAACAUUUAUCCCUACAGCUUACUAACCAUAUAUACAAUAGCAUGUUAUAUUCUUACUAUUAAAAGUAAAAAGAUAUAAUGUUAUGCUUAGUUAAGGGUGGACCUACCUUAAAGCAGCGAGGGCCAAUGCCCCUCCCCCUCCUACUGCGCAGCUGCAGUUCUUAAUUUUUUCACCAUGUAUAUAUGCUUGCCUACUUUUUAUAGUCACGAAUAGAAUGCCCUCACUCACAAUGGAUCCGCCCUUAUACUUAGUUGUUUAUUUUCCAAAAGGAUUACAUAUUUUAAAGAAACAACAACAGCUGAACAUCGGAACAAGACGAAGUGUGCCCUACCAGAGCCUCUAGGCUACAGCCGAGCGAACCGGAGCAGCCUGCAGGUAGCGAGCGAGCCGAGCGCGUUGGUCAUUUACGGCCUCAUAUCCGUGAUCAGCAGCAGGAUUAGUGUGCGUUUCUAAUUCCUCUUCCCUGCUGCAUUAACUGGUAGCAACUCUGCUGCUGGAUUUUGUCAAAACAAAAAAUAGAACACCGCUGCUGUAUUUCCUAUUAAACAAACAUGCAUGUCUAUUGUGAUGUCUUAUCGUGUUUGCGUUAGAAUUACAAGGUUACGAGAAUAUGCUGUUGUAUUAUUUACGUCUAUAUGCAAGUGCACGAUUUUUUCCCCAACGGAAUAUGAACAAUUUUGUAUAUACCUGCAUGCAAGUGCACAAUCAGUUACGAAAAUAUUUUUAAACAUGAACUAAGGUACGCAAAUAGAUUGAGCCAGUUGGAGAUUAGGAGAAAAAAUUACCACAAAAUAUUUACUAGAAUUGGAAUGACUCGAUAUGAUAAUUUGAAGGUACCACAAUUUUGCAUUAUGAAAUUCCAAGGAACCAGGUACUAUAAUCGAUGAGUUUACCACAGUCAGGCGGGGGAGUUACCACAAUGGAUUAGUUACCAAAAUGAUGAGAUCAAUUUACCAGUUACCGGGCUAUUGUAUUUGAUCCCUUCACCGACUACAAGUACUCGCCCAAGUGCUCGGAGGCUGCAUAUACCGUACCCAUUGGAUGAAAGUUUUCUUUUUCUGAAGACUAAGAUAAGUCGAAGCGAAAUUACAAGUUUGACCCUCAACCUGAUUCUUCGAUUCAACCUAAGGCUCGGGGGCUUACUCCAUAUAAAAAAGUUUCAAGACAAAGACUACUCGAAGCAAACAUCGGGAACUGCUAAGAGUACCUUCCAGUCACGCAACAGUUCCGGUACUCGAAGAUUGGCCGCAUCGAGCAGUACUCGAGGAGCAUCAGGAGGAACUCGGGCAACAUCUUCAAGUACUCGGAACUGUUCCACUCGACUACAAAGUACUCGGGGGCUUGUUGACUAGGCACCCCCAGGCCCACCAGAAGACUUGUACGGAUCCACUCAAGGGAACGUACCCGAAAUCUAGUCGGGCAUGGAGACUACUCUGCAAGGCGCGUAGGUUUCAUGGACUCCCAGAAGACUAGUCAGGACAAAAGGAAACUACUCUAUCGAGUUAGAGUAGGACUCUGUAACGUACUCAACUCGGACUCAUACACAAUCCACCCUGUAACCCUGCUCCCCCGACUAUAUAAGGGCGGGUAGGGACCCCCCCUCCAAAGUACAACAACAGACACAAGUUCAAUACAACCAACACACAUGACGUAGGGUCUUACGCUGUCUAAAUCAUGUUCCUUGCGUCACCAUCGACUCUUUUGAUUCUUGACGAUACCCACCGCACAAAAGACCACAUGGGGUACUCCCUAGGCAGGUUGCCGAUCUAAAAUACCAACACGACCUGCAGGUGUAAUGGCCGAAGUGGUCAAUGAGGCACUCGGAGCACUGCUCCCACCAGUGACAUUUCCUCCUUUUCCUUGAUUCCUUCUCAUCUUGACCUGUGUCAUUUUCCUUUGCAGGAUCUUCCUUGUUAGCCUCCUCCAGAUCCUUGGCUCCGGAAUGAAGUCUGGGUUCCGUACAGGUACUUUCAUCCUUGACUCCUUGCUCUCCAUGGCUGGAGAAGACGAUUGCACUUGCACCACAAGGUUGCUGGUCUGGUACAGGGAUGGCGAACAUGGCUGAAGCGUGGAGAGGACGCAUAGUGGGAUGGUGCAAAAGAAGAGACCAUGGAUGAGCUACAUAAUCUAAUCAAUCACUUUAUUGGAUCGAAAUUACCUUUGCUAAGAGUACCUUCCAGUCACGCAACAGUUCGGUACUCGAAGAUUGGCCGCAUCGAGCAGUACUCGAGGAGCAUCAGGAGGAACUCGGGCAACAUCUUCAAGUACUCAGAACUGUUCCACUCGACUACAAAGUACUCGGGGGCUUGUUGGCUAGGCACCCUCGGGCCCACCAAAAGACUUGUAUGGAUCCACUCAAGGGAACGUACCCGAAACCUAGUCGGGCAUGAAGACUACUCUGCAGGGCGCGUAGGUGUGGCGGAUCCACUUCGAAUUAGCUUGAUUAGACAGGGUUAAGCCGCCUAACAUGCGACACCCCUGCCUGCCUUAUGAAAUUCCAAGGAACCAGGUACUAUAAUCAAUGAGUUUACCACAGUCAGGCGGGGGAGUUACCACAAUGGAUUAGUUACCAAAAUGAUGAGAUCAAUUUACCAGUUACUGGGCUAUUGUAUUUGUAUAUUCAAUAUAAUAGUGAAUUCGUACAAUCUGACAUUUGAUCUAUAUGCUAUUCAAAAUUUAGAUUUCUGACAAAAUACGACAAUGCCUUCAGUUCUCUGUACAUACUUUAUACAAUGAAUUACCAUAAUGGCAAAAAAAGAGUAGGCCAUAGCACAAAUUGAGUUUUAACAUGUCACCUAUAUUGAGCUGUACACAGAACAAGCUGCAUUAGUCCGUCAAAAACAAACAAAUCAAUUGUACAAGAAGACAGGAACCCUCACUACACACCCUACAAAUCAAGCUGCAUUUUCACAGGUAAGCCAAUGAUGCUCUUAAUUAAUGAGGAUGUGGGAAUCAUAGCGCCAUAUCCUAGGCAGUUUCCUUGCUGUAACACUGAGAGAAACACUCCUGCCUAGGCAGUUCACACUCGUGUCAUGCCAGUGGAAAUCGCUUCCCUGUAGCGACUAGCGACUUAAAAAUCGACCUUGUCUGCAACAAAUUAGGGAGAUUGGUGGUCAAUCCAACACCGAGAUGACCAUGACAGACAUCUGCAGAGAUUAUGGGAACAAGUAGGACUGACCCAAAGUGAGACUGAUAAAAUAUUAGUUUUAUCUACUGAACACAGAGAUCAGAGUGUACUAGCAGACUAGUAGUAGAAGAAAAAUAGCUUGCCGGCUCCAAAAAAAGCCAGGUCAUGUAAGCAGUAAAUCAGACUUCACAACUGUACCCUAUAUUAUGAUAUAUGUGUGUCUGAAUUACUAUAUGAUGACUAAGGAUAAAAUAUACUAAGGAAUAAGUCUGCAAAUAGAUGUUGUUAGAUUAUGGUAAAAUAUGAUCACAUAAUUACCAUACUAAUCUGCAAAAUGAAUUGGGGAGAACGAUUGUCCAUUAAGCAGCAAAGCAGGAAUCUGACGUGCACCAUCUUUUUUUGCUUGGAUCCACUAAUUAUGAUCGGAGCUGCGGCUACUUGUGACCCAUCACGCACAUCUGCAGAUGCCAUAUAGAAAAGACAAUGACUGGAACGAUGGUAAGGGAAAAAAAUCAAUCAAUCAGCAACUUAUCAGAUGGAUUCCGAACUUUGCCCGUUAGGAACUCGUAUGCAGCGCACAGGAUGGGCGACCGAAUGAAGAAACGGAAUCCGGUGAAGCGACCAAAGCGUCUUGGUCGGCGGGUUGCUAGCGUACACAUUGGCGAGCAGGAGGUCUUAUUGAUGUGGAAGCAAUGCCUCUUGUGCGCAGACCUGGUCGGGGGCUCUUCACGGAUUGCCGCUGGGGUCUGACGCCAUCGGCCGCCGGCCGCUCCACCGCUCCUACCGACGGGAGCCGCCGCCGCACAUGAUGCCAUACCGGGGUCGGAGAGAAGAUUUCUGCGGGCUGGUCGGCUGGGUAAUUAACGGACGCAGCAAAUUUGGGGAUGACUGCUCAUUGGCUGGCUCAAUGCAAGAGCAGCUCGUAGGAAUUGGAGCUGAGUCGAGCCUCGCGUGUGGAUUGGAGCCGGGCAGGAGAGUGUGCGAGCCAAGCGUGCCCAAGGGAAAUGGUUGCAAUGUGGAACGGUGAUAAAGAAAUAGUUAUAUAUAUAGGGUGAGGUUAAAAUGUAAAAUAGUUAUAUAUAUAUAGGGUGAGGUUAAAAUGUACCUGGGUGCAUUCUCUGUUCAGAAUGCAUAGACUUGCAACUGAAAGACUAGACAAUUACAAUUUGACCGAACUGAUUGCAACUAAACUGAACUGGUUGCAACUCGAACCAAACCAGUUGCAACUCGGUUCGAACCGAUUACAACUGGACGCGUACCAGUUGCAAUUCGGAUCGAAUAGUUGCAACAACGACACUAAACCAAUUGCAACCAAAGGGUGGGUGCAUUAUGUAUACAAAAUUCACCCAUGCGCAUUAUAGCAAAACAUUAUAUAUAUAAAGUGCCGUUGUUUCUUCCGAUCGUCGUGAUUGUUUUGCAAAAAGAUUCCUCACUUUUUCGUAAUUAACCCGCGGUGAAUAAAUACAUUGGAGUGUUUUUCCUUGAUGCAUCAGUCAAUUUUGUUGGCCAUUCAGAACGUGCCACGUAGCAGUGUUAUGGGGGUCUAGGAAAUGGUUGACGCUGAUAGCAAAAUCAGCUGGAUAAUUGAUGUGCGGUCUAGAAGAAAAAAUUUGACUGAAAAAAAUAAGCUGCAACAAUCGAAAAAGUCCAAGACAACGGCUGGUACAAGCCACGUAGCAAUUGCCGUUAUGCGUACCGCAAAAGCAAAACCCGCUAGGCACAGCAACUUGCAAGGAAAAUGAAAAAAGAAAACCAAACAACAAAAACAACAUAUUCAAUUUGCUAAUUUGACUUAUAGAGUCAAGCUACGUAGUAUUUGCAGUUAACAAAAAUUGAGUAAACAAACAAAAUGAACAGUCAAUAUAUUAAUCAAGACCACUAGAAAAUUUUAGAGGAAAACUAGAAUAGUAUCAAUCAAAAAACAAAGACAACAAUAUGGAAAGAAAAGGAACACACCCCUUCGGUUUUGAUGGUCUUCCCACUGCAUUCCAUAAACAUGCAAUUAAAUAUAAAUAAAAUUCGCACACAAAAUUAAAUAGCAAAACAAAAAUAAUUAAACAUACAUCGGACUUACAUAACCUUACGAAUUCUUCCACUAAUUUACACAGUACACCCUGCGAACAAAAAUAAUAAUAAUCUAUCUGUCGAGGAAGCACGGGUGUUACAAUGAGAUUUUACACGCUGGCGAGCCACCCCCAGUGAACAAUAAUACUGCAAGAGAGGAGAGAUCAGAAAAGGGAAAAACGACACAGGAAAAUACACACAUGCCGGUCCAAAUGGCAGCGCACAAAUCAAUAACAAAUACAAUAAUAUUUGAACUUCAUAAAUUCAUCUAAAAAAUUAGGUGCGCAUACUUCUUUUAUCGGAUCCAGAUCAAACUAUGAAAUUGAAUAACCACUGUUUAGUAUCCAAUUCAUCCUCUAUGCGCGAAUGGGCCAUAUCUGUUAAUUUUCUGGAAAUUUCGACGUAGGAAAAAAAAAAGAACUAAACAGGCAUGGGCCGCUUGUUCUCGGUCAGGUAGAGAGCCCAGGAGCGGAAGGUUCCGGCAGGUCAGCAGGACUAGCGGGCCAGCUAUCGUGCUGGGCCAGUGAGGCAAGCGGCUGCCGUGCACACAUGCAACGUGCACACGCAAUAAUUCAGUUGGGCCAGGCCCAUGCGGGUGGCUCACAAGUCACAGGCCUGGUUCCGUAUCAGCGGCACACGCACGCGGCUCUAAGGCUAGCUGCCCACCAGCAAAAUUAGCAAGCCAGACUACUUUGAUGCAUUGGUUAAGCAACUCGUGGGCUCCAUCAAGUCCAAAUGAACUCACAUGCUUAUCAAUCAAGAAUAAAAAAAACCAGUCGCAUAAUUCGUGUCUUUAUAUCCGUAUAUGACAUCAUCCAUACGCUGAUACGUAUCUUCACGUAUGUUAGAUGGGAGCCAAACAAAUAUAACAUGCAAAAUAAAGUCGGUAUCUAUUCGUUUUAGAAACAAAAUUAGAAAAUAAUAUAAUUAAUUCAUGGAGCCAGAAAAAUAAUAUCGUAAACCAUUGAAAGAAUUUUCCACACGAUAAAAAGGAUAUGAAUUAGUGUUUUUCUAAAUACCACUUGAAAUUGAUUUAGGGUUUGAGAAUUUGAGCAAGAGCUCAGAUUUGGAAUUCUGAUAUGUAGACAAAGAUAUGGAGGAUAAAAUAAUAAUUGGGUAUUUGAAAUCCAAAUUGUAUAUGAAUAAUAGGGCUAAAGUCCAUGUAUUUGCUAAUUUUAGGAUUUUAUAGGCUAAGAGCGAAGGAAUGAUUUGCACUACUAUUUUGAUUAAUAUUAUUAUUUCUCAAAAUUUUCUGCUUAUAAUUUAGUGCCGUUUUGGAAAUAAGUGAUGUGGGACCUAGAUCAAGAUAUAAUGCGAGUUUGGUACAUAUUUAUUGGGUUAGGGUGUGUAAUGAAUUCCGUUGCAACGCACGGGCAAAAUUGCUAGUAUAUAUAUAUAACGGUGGAAGGGUUUUGUCUGAAAUCGAUAGCUAGGGCACAACCAAUCCAAUAAUGCUAGCUGCCCUUCGUACAUAUGCAUACUGUACGUUUCCAAUCCAUUUCUUCAGAUAUUGGAGGGAAGCAAUAUGCGAACGAUGCCAACGCCAGGAUCACAGACUCAGUCCGCGUGCAGAGUCUCUCCCAAUGCACGUGGCGUCGUCGUGCCUGCGUCUGCGUGUCCGUGGAGGUGGGGGCCUCGGUCGUCCAUCGCCGUCGCUUGGUCCCUCCCCACACUCUCCGUCGCCUCUUCUACCUGCAUCGGUGAUCGGAGCUCAAGUCUGCGGCCAAGCCUCUGCCUCUGCCCGUCGCCAAUGGGUUGCAUCCCUCGAUCAUUUGUGCUCCAUCUCGCUGCAACUAGUUGUCAGCGUGUAAUCGAUCCAAUUUCAAGUCAAGUUCUGUUCACGCGUUCUUUGAGCCGGCCGGGGUGGACGCUCCUGUUCCACACCACAUUCCGGAACGCCUACUACGGCUGCAGUAACGAUACUGAACUCGCGGUGCCCGCGGCGGCGACGGUCCCGCUCUCGUCGACCUUGACGACGCACUGGUGGACCACCGACGACACGGCCACCGCCGCCGGCGGCGAGCUCAGCAUCCCCGAGAAGGAGUCGCCGGAGCGACGGAACGGCAGGUCCAGCCCCAGGCUGCGCAGCACCGGCGACGCAUCCACCGUCAGCGACGCCUCGAACUUGGGGAUCCUGGGCUCCCCCACCGCGACGGGCUGCUCCGGCACCACCGUCCUGUUCAGGAACGCGCCCGCACUAGUGUCGGCAGCCCGUCGCGGUCGUCGGGGAGGUAGAUGUACAUCGCGAACUCCGGCUCGCCGCCGUUGCCACCGCCGCCACAGUAGGGCAUGCGCAGGACCUUGAAGCCGGGGUGGACGCCGACCUGCAUGAACUGCCCGAAGCUCCCCCUCAUGAACGGCACGCGAACGGCGAGCUCCGGCGAGGCGCCGACGUAGAACGGGCCCUCCUCGGUGCAGUCCGGGUGGAAGGACGUGAGCCAGUAGCCAUGGAAGUAGACGGAGUUGCCGAGGACGAGCGCCGUCGAAGCGUCGAACUCCCGCUCCCCGACUAUGUCCUGGACGAGGCCGCGGGUGUUGCGCUCGAACCACCCGUUAAUCUCCGCCGCCGCCUCCCUGGGAUUGUCCAUGAAGCUCACCGACCGCGCCUCGGCCCUGUAGACGGCGGCGGCUGUGUCGGCGAAGGCGGGGCUGAGGCGCAGCGAGGCGUCGGCCCAGACGGCCGUGUCGCGGCGGACCUCGGCCUCCCGGCCGUCGCCGCCGCCAUUGCGGCCGGAGAGGACGGCGGACGCGAGCGCGGCGUGCGCCUCUGCACCAGCGGGCCCGAGGAAGGCGUUGAUCUGGUCGCGCGUGGCGCCCGAGGCGCCGGCGGCGAGGAGGGAGAGCAGCGCGUGGAAGGAGAUCGGCGAGAAGGCGAGGUUGGCGUUGGGCGUUCCCUUGUCGAGGCUUCCGAGGUGGCUGAGGAGGAGCAGGCAGAGCGCCACCUGGUCCCUCACGGCGUCGACGAUGGCCUGGCCCGCCAUUGGCUCGGCUUUGAUCUGCCGGGACUCGGAGGGGAAAGGAGAUGAGUGGGAGUGGGAGAGUAGCAGAGGAUUAGGAUUUUUGGGUGGGUUAAAUACUAAAACUACCCCCUAACUUAUGAAUCCUUAAUUCAUAUAAGUAAAUGAUUUUAUUUUCUAAAAAAAAUAAGUAAAUGAUUUUCGUUAACACUUGUCACAACUUGGCAUGUGUUAUAAUCUAGUAACUAGAAAGGUCGGCAUCAUGCAGGAGACUUGUUAUUCCAAGUUACAACCCAUCAAAUGCCAUUGUUACUUGUUAGCAUCGGUUUCAGAAUGAAGAACAGGAGAGGUGAAGAUGAUCCUGCAAUCCGCAGUCAUGUGACAAUCAGAAACACUUGUUCAAUAUAAAUCUAUCCCCACAAGUACAUUCCGAAAAUGUUAUGGAGGAAUUGACACGAGACAACUCGCAGGGUCCAUCGGAGGAACAAUGGCUCGAUUAACAGUUCAUUACAAACUCCAGGCAUGACACAUUUCCUCUAGCUACAGUGGUGACAAGCUCAGGAUAUCAACGUAAAGCAGCUCUUAUGAUCUGUUCAUUCCGCUACAGAUACAAACAUGACCUGAAAACGUUUAACACCAAAACUGUUGCAAACCAUGCUCAUUACUGCCAUACACCGAAACUGCAUCUCUCAUCUAUCCGCUCCGAAAUUCCUUCAAAACUGUCCCACCACGACAACUGACACCAAAUAGCUCGUGACACCAACAGAAUUGUCUCAUCUUGCUGCUUAAUGGUGCCGUGACUUCUGAUGUGCUUUUCCACAUCUUCUACAUCUAAUGGACUCUGAACCACCGCGGUCCUAUCUAUCGUUAAUCAUGCAGAGGUACCCGCCCCCAUCACGGCGCUCCAAGGGAUACCUGGUGACACCUUUCAUGUACUCUAGGUGCUUCACGGCAGCAUCUCGUAGACCAGAUCUGUUUGGUGCCUUUCCUUUCUCGCGCUUCUUUAUCAUGGUGCAAGUCCCCAGAGGGCCAUCCCUUCCAGCCCCAGGUCUCCUGCAGCAAAGAACAAUGGAUAACUUCCAAUUUAUACAAGGUACCAUCACAAAUACAGCAUCGACAUUCAAGCAUAUAAAAAAAAGUGUCUAAAAAAGGUUGAAAAAUAACCCCAAUAACCCAAGUAAAAUUCUGGUUGAUAAUUCUUAUGGACCAAAGAAAGCAGCUUGCUAAAGAAAGUAAUUGCAAAACUUGCCUCAACAAUUUCUCAGAGGCAACUCUAGCAGCUUCAAUGAUAUCCUUGGUAGGCAGCCACUUCACUGCCCUGCCAGGAUCACCUCGCAUUGGUGAGUGGAUUUUUAUCAGCUGCACACAAAUUUUUUUACAUCAAUAAGUCAUGUCAUCAUGAGUAACAAACAAAAAGAAGAACAUAUCUGCUAACAUGCCAUGGCUUAAAACAGUUGUUGUUAGCUAGUGUUAGGGGCUUAGGGCAAGAAGGAAACUCACACCAAGACAUUCCAUCAUUUGAUAAUAUGCUCUACCAUGAAGUGGCGUAUGACCCUUUCUGGCCUCUGAAAAGUAUCUUGUCCUGAAAGAAAAUAACGUCAACUGUAAGAAAAAUUCCAGGUCAACAUUAUUUACAGCCAUUAUGUAAGAUCAACAGUCACCAACCAUUCCUUGUAGCCUGGGUCUACUGUGAAGCCAUACAUGUCAACACUGUCACAGAUGGAGAGAGCAAAUUCAAGAGCUUUAACCCCAGUUCCUUUAGCAGACGAACCAAAUGAUGAUGAUGUGCCUAGCAUGAGGUAUACUGGAUUGGUUAUUGGAAGUUCCUACAUAACAAGAGUUCCAGCAGCCAGGUAAGAAAACAUAGAACAUGUACCAAUGUGACCUAGUUUCUAAAACGACAUGGAAAUUACCCGAAUCAUUUGGUUCAUGAUAUCAUGAAUUGUCGUCUUAACGAUCAAUACCUCCUUUUUUGUUUCUGCAACCAUAAAAGUAAUAUGCAUGUUCACCUUGAUAUCUCACUGCAUUGAUAGGGGUUUAAAAAGAUCGAUGGUAGACUUACCAUCUAACUCAACAACUUUGUCCAGUGCCUUUGCAGAUCCUCUGUUCAGAAGGCGAAAUGUACUCUUUGUACCAACAUAUUCAGUGUAAUUCUAUAAAAUGGACAGGAGUUGUAGAAUAUCCAAAUGCAGGGGUGAAACUGACCAUCUAACACAUCAUCUUAACAAACCUGGAUGGGCGCACCAUUUUCUCUGAAGAUGACAUCAUAAGAAUCAAUUUCAUCCCCAAAUUUAGUUUUAAGAAGAUCACCAGAGUUCCCAACAACAGCACAUCUACCAAAUUGGCGAGGCACAUAUGGUGAUGUCUCAGGUAGAACUAGCAAGAGCUUCUCCAUGCAAAGGGUUCUGUUCUGGCACUUAUUCCUGCAAACUCAGAGCAAAUAUGCUUAGUACUCUAUUGGAGUUAACCACACUUAAGUCUAGAUGAAAUGGCAAAGAUUUGUAUCUACCCACAGAUGGAUUCCUUUGUUGAUCCUGCGCCAUGCAUACUCCUCCCAGCCAUUUGGCAAAGCAUCAAUAUACUCCUUUGUGAGUACUGUUGUACUGUUUCGAACCUAGAGGUAAAAAGCAAUUGAGUGACCAUAUCAAUAGCUGACCGUGCAACUGUGAAAAACUUUAGACCAACAUUGCAGUAUAGUUUAUGUUACAGUGUUUAUGAAUGCUGGUGGGGCAGUCGAGAGUGAUGAGCCUACUACAAGUUGGUGGACAUUGCUAAAGUGGUCUUGUGCUCACAUAUGACUUUUUCAAACAGUAACAUAUGAUGAUGUGAUUCAUUGAGCUCGUUAAACUACAUGGACUUAUCAACAGAAAGCAUGUUCACCUGCUCCCAUGAGGCCACAGCUUCGCACAGAUUGAACUCAAAUGACAAACCUUCAACCUCUCCAGUACUCGGAUCCAUCUGCAAAAAAAAAAAAAAAAAAAAAAAAAAAAAAAAAAAAAAAAAAAUCAUUCCAUAAGAGGUAUGAAAAUGAGCAUAAAUAUCAGACAAGAAAGCUUGGUCACGAAAGGUGGCCAACAGAGUACUAUAUUUGCUAGUUGAACAUGCAGUAGAGUUUCAAAAGC
rnacentral:lncRNA from 1 species